rnacentral:lncRNA from 1 species
AUGGGGAAAGGCAUCAUGCAUACGUAUCCCUUGGAAUGAAGAUUUCAAAAACAGAAUGUUAUUGUUGGAUGCAAGUGAUGGCAUUGGCAUCGAUGCAUACAUAACACUGAAAAAAGAAGAUAUGGUCAUGAUUGAAACCAACCAGGACCUGCUUGCAUAUGCUUCUCUGCAUUAGACCAUUACUGAAAGGUAAAUCUCGUCUAAUCCUUCUCUAUAAUUACUUAAUAAAUAAAAGGUUUGCUUCCCCAAGUCAUUGGAGAUUCAAACUAUAAAUAUCUUUCAAAUGUCGGGAAAUAAAAUACAAUUAGACUAAGAGCUAGUUGCCAGUGUUCUUGAGCAUUUAGAGUUUGUUUGGAUACUAUGUUGUAACCUUUCGUGAUUUCUUUUGUUGCUUUUGAUUCCACAAUUUCCUUGUUUUGCGUGAACAGUGAGUAAUGUAUUGCUUUUACUAUCGACUUUAUUUUUCUUUCAAUAAAAUGGAUUUGUUUUAUUGCGUAUGCCUAAGAAAAUAUAGAUCCCUAACAAAAGAAAAUGAAAAGAGUGCUGAGAAUGCUUUUCUAUCAACAAAAAAAAAAAAGACAAAUUGACUAAGAAUGCUUUCAAGUAAUUUAAAACAAGGUUACAACACGUGUGAUAAUAUAAUGGACGAUUGGGUUGAUAAAUUCUAUUUUAAGUAGGACUCUUAUAAAACUGGUUCACCGCCACCCGAAAACCCCAAUUAUAUAACAAUGGCCCAAAACCUGCUGGAUAAAAGAGGCACGAUGAAUAAAGGGUAAUGGGAGAAGAUGAGUUGAUGUCGUCUAUUCCACCCCGCCGUGAGGGAGGCAUGCAGGCAAUGGAGGAUCUAAGAUUCGAAACUUGGGUGUCCCAACAUUAAACGUUCACGUUUUUUAAAGAAACAAAGUGCGGAGCGUGUUAAAAAAAUUCAUUUGAUCCAACUGAGGCAUUUUGUCGAACACUUAGUGGGUUUAUUGACGAAACCAGACCAAGUUGUUGCCUAUAUGUCAACAAGUUACGAUAUAUGCUAAAGCAAUCUGAAUAAUGCUAUCAAUAAUAUAUGUCGAGUGAUGUUGAUGUAGUCUGUCGAGAUAUGCGUACAUACCAAACAAUCAAAGGAUCUUCAGAGGAUCUUCAUAUGCGUGUUUUCCACCCUCCGAGUGGUCCUAAGACCACUUUGGUUCCAAUUUACAUCCACCCUUGCGGUGGGUGGAGUUCAAGAAUUCUUGUUGUUGUGUAGCUUUUUUUGCUUAUCCAUUUGUGUAUCUUAUAUUUUGUUUUCUUAAGUAAAUGACUAGGGGUGUGCUAUCCACACACUAUUUUUUACUUCUCACAUAUCCUCUUAAUUUUCGGUCGUUGGAUCAAAUGGAUUGAAGAAUAUCAAAUGACAAAAAUUAAAGGGGUGUGUGGAUAUCACACCCCAAAUGACUAAUGUUGAUGGGGAAAAAUAUGAUUGGCUAAUAACAUUUUGAUGUCAUAUAGUCAUCACAAUCUAAUAAUCUAGUCUCAUCUAAGACUAAUAUAUAGAAGUAAAGAUAAGUAUGUGAAAAACAUCUCAUCGUUAUAAGUUAAAGGGAGCUAAAGUGGUAUUUGAGAUUGGGAUAACUCUCACUUUAGUCCUGAUAAUAAAAAUCGAUAAAAAUGAUCCGGUCAUGAAAAUUAUUUUAUUUUUUCUGGAAAAAAAUCUGUCAAUCUUCUAAUAACUUUUUUAUGUAGUAUUCACCGAAAAGAAGAAGAAGAGGAAAGAAAGAGUUAUGAAACCUUUUUAUGUAGUAUUCACCGGAAAGAAGAAGAAGAAGAAGAAGAAGAAGAAGAAGAAAGAAAGAAAGAAUGUCAUAACUCAUAAUCCCAUCAUAGCCGAUUGCACCGCUGCCCUCCGCCGCCUCGCCCAACUCUAAAAUACCUUUUCGGCUAAGUCAAACCAGCAGCAGCACGCCUUAGCUUAAGGGUGGAAAAAAUUCCUAAAAAUCCCAAACCAAACCGAAAAAAUCGCAAUCCCAAACCAACAAUUUCCCAAACCGAAAUUUCAUUCGGGAUUGGCUUCUCUAUAUUUCGGGAAUCCCAUACCAAACCAAAAAUAUAUAUUAUUAAUUAAUAUAUAUAUAUACAUAUAUAUAUAUAUAUAUUAUAUAUUAUUCUUUUAUAAUUGAUGCUAGUUGACACACCCCGAUCCUGAAAUCAGGGCAUGCUAGCCGCCACGUGAGCGUGACGUAACCAUAAGUGCGAUACGGAAGCAAAGGGAAUAAGAAAUACGAAGGAAUAAAAACCAACUACUAGCAGUAUUAGAGUGAGUUAAAGUGUGCAAUACACGAUUUCAGAGCAUAAAAACUAGGUGUAGUCAAGUAGGACUAUAUUUAAAUUACAACACCCGCAGGUGAGUCCUACAUGCAGGAAGUCUGUCAGAACGUCAAAGAAAACCUCGUGAGCCACCAAUUGCUAACUAGAACCUGGAAGGGCGCAAAAACAAAAUUGAGCGGGUCAGUAAAACCAAAGUUUUCAAAAACAUUUCAUUUAAAACGUUUCUAACCCCUCGCUGUAAAACCUGUAUACUUCCCCAGAAAAAUAGUAUAUAAACAUAUAUAUAUCAUCAAAAGCUCAACUCACAAUCCUUCAUCGCUUUUCAGAAAGAAUAUGCCAUGCCAUGCCAAAAUAUAAUAAGAAUGUAUCAAUACAAAUCAGGUGAAAUAAUAAAUCAACCGGAGACCCUACAAUGGUCCUGUACGGCUGAUUCUAUAGCUCAAUAUCCCAUCCAGCCGGAGUCACCAACUGUGAUCUGUACGGCCCUGCCGAAGUCACCAACUGUGACCUGUACUGCACUACACUGCACUUAAGUCGGAACUACCUAUAGUAGUCUGUACGACUAUGAUGGUGAAUUAAUACGCUCUAGUGCUUCUCUCAUUAAUCAUCUGUGCAUAUAAUCUAAGGUCACCUACUAGUCGGAACCACCUCUAGUGGUCUGUACGACUAGCAUGUCGGAACCCUCACAUGGUCUAUACGACAUGCACCAACUUGGAUCCAAGGUGAGCGUGCGGUGCGGUGAAUAAUAUGAGCACUAACACCAGGGGUGUAGGUUAUGAGCUCUCAACACAAUUCACAUCAUCAAUGAUUCACAUGAAUAACAUAAAACUCACCUGAUACUCACCUAUGCGUCCACAGCACCAAUUCACAUAAAUAUGCAUCAAUUAUCAAUCCAUAUAAUUUAUAAUAUGCAUGCUUGGCAAUUGAAAACAUACUUUCAUAUAAAUUCAAUUUCUGGGAACAUUAAUAGUAUAUAGGUAAUACGAAAAACAAAACUGCCCACUCACUGGUAAGUCGAUGGGUCGUAACCCCCGUGAUGUCCCUGGAUGCGCUCGUCCUCGGGAUAGGUGUCACCUAUAUGCGAAACAACUAUAAAAAAGUUAAUUAAUGCACAUAACCGAUAAUUUGAAAUAACUUCUCAUACGGUGCUCAAUUUGGGUAUAUGAAUAUACCACAUCGACCUACUCGACGUCACGAACGUUGAGAAAGUUUUAGAAAUUUUUUUUGACGUGGCACGCGCCCCCACGCGCCAGGGCAGCACGGGUACAUGCGCCCCCCACGCGCGUCUUCUUCCUUGGUUCGCCGGACUGUGUUUUCCGGUGGCUGGAAAACUGGGGAUUUUUCAAUCCCCUUGUUCUCCCUCAUUUCUUAACCGUUUUCUUCGUAUUUUAUAUCAAUUUGAAGCCCUCAACAUGUAGAAUCAUGAUAGACUAGUUUCAAGGUCUAAAAUCCACUAGAUUUUACCUGAGAAAGCUCGAUAAUCCGGCCAAAUUUGAAAAACUCCGUUCUCAGUCCUUCAACGUCCAAAUUCUACCAACGAAGUACCCCGAAGCUCGUGAGGAUCUCCUUAAGCUCACUGUGAGCUUGAAAUUCCCUGAAAUGCAAGAUUUUACCUGUGCAUGAACAAUGCACAUUUUCGGGGUUAGGGUUUCACGACAAUUCUGAGGGUUUUAACUUCCACAAAUCACAUAUACGAACUCACAAGCUUACUAGGAGUUCAAAUCUUACCUUAGAACCUUCGAUCCGUGAAGAAAUGGGAGGUUCUUAGCUUGUCCGUACAAUUCGAGAGGGAGAGAGAGAGAAAGCCGUGAGGGAGGAGAGAGAGAAACACGGGGGAGGGAGAGAGGGAAGGAAGUGUGUGUGUGUGGUCUAUCACAACCCCUCACCAUCCAUUUCUUUUUCCUAACUCCCUAACCACAUAAAUUACAAACCAACAUUUUAAUCUCACUUAAGUUAUUUCCCAAAGCUUAUGAAAAUUUAGUCUAAAUAAUAUGUCACACACACACACAUACCUUAAUACCCGUCAAGGGUGAUUCCGCCAUUUCAUGUCCCCGAUAUAAAGAAUCAUAGGACGGGCUGUGACACUAGUAGUUUCUAAUUGAUGUCUUGUAUUUGUACCAUACUUUACCAAUACCGAAACUACUGAGCAUCGGUCAACGUUAUACCGUCAAGGACCUAGAAGAGUUUCCCUCCAACCAGGAGGCCAAUCACAGCGCGACACGUGUCGACAUCAGAAGCCAAUCAUAGCGCGACAUGUGUUAACAUCAGAAGCCAAUCACAACACAACACGUGUCAAUGUCAGAAUGAAACUAGAAACUCUCUUCUAUAAAUAGAGAUCAUUCUCUCACAAUAUUUCUGAAUGUCAUUUGUACUAAAUCAUUCAUUAGUACUCACUAAAGGAGAGCUUGAACUUAUGUACUUGUGUAAACCCUUCACAAUUAAUGAGAACUCUUCUACUCCGUGGACGUAGCCAAUCUGGGUGAACCACGUACAUCUUGUGUUUGCUUCCCUGUCUCUAUCCAUUUACAUACUUAUCCACACUAGUGACCGGAGCAAUCUAGCGAAGGUUACAAACUUAACACUUUCUGUUGUACCAAAGUCCUAAUUGAUUUUGUGCAUCAACAUUUGGCGCCGUUUGUGGGAACGACACUUAUUCCCACUAUCUUCAGCUUUGUCAAGCUGGUUUCCACCAUUCGUACACUCUCUUUUGACCAGGCAUCCCUCUCCAACAUGGGGAGCGAAUGAAGCCAUAACACACAGAAUGACACCCCUCUUGCACCUAGUGCGAAGCAACGAAAGAAGGAAGGAAAUAGGGUUGCUCUUUAAGCUAAAGUCUAUGAGCUAGAAGCUCAGAACAACAAGAUAGCAAUGAAGAAUGAGGUCCUCCAGGAGCAGUAUGAGAAGCUAUUUGAGACACUCCACGAAACUAGGCAUACUCAAACACGCGAGCUCGUUGCCCUUGUGGACAUCAACCAUCAUCUAGGUGCCCUCCAACACGGAAGAUUACCUUCCUUCGACAUGGGUAUCCCUGAUGAAGAGUGAGCUAAUCAUCAAAACAUUGAUCAACAUGAGACAUCUCUCAACCCAGCUGCUUCGACCCGAAGCAGGAGAAGUGGAGGAAGACACCUCCUUGCAGAAGGGUUGGAAUGAUCGAAAGCCGUUUAUCGUGACUGCUUAGACUUCCUAAAGCAACGUCGAAAGAAUCCCCUCCACAUAUGCUUGAAGAUCAAUGACCUAAGGGUUUCUGAAAGACUCGGUCUCCUCUCACGACCCAGGCCAUCUGCCAAUCUAGGGAAGGAACGACAGGUCCUAGAGGGACAUGAAGGUAUAGGGGACUCUGAAAUAUUCCGACAGACUAGCCUUAGAAGUCAGUACGGCGAGUCCAAGGAAAAAUCACACGCAUUUGCUCAAACUUUCCUACUUCCAAGAGGCGAUGGAGACUUACGAAAGAAAAUCCCAGUGGUACAUGACUCUACUCAGGACCCCCUUGUCCUACAGCUCCUUGAGGAAGUAAACAAGUUGAAGGCCGAACGUCAGGUUGAGAUACCUGAUUGGAACCAACCUAGGCCUGGCCCUCUCACAAGGAGGAUCCUCGACACCCCCUUCAAGCAAAGACAAAACAAAAGCUUGGUUUACAACUCUAUACUGGAAGGGAAGACCCAAUUGAACACCUUAACCUCUUUGAGUCCACCAUGGCAUAUCGGAUGCACACCGAUGAAGAACGAUGUCUUCUCUUCCCCUCCACCCUCUCUGGCGGAGCUCUAAACUGGUAUUGCCGUCUUCCACCUGAGACUCAUUUGAGGAACUGAGGAAACUGUUUGUCUCUCAACACAUCUUCCAGACCGAUCGCUUGCAUUCUGCAGAUGACUUGUACACUAUUCGCUAGAAGCCGGACGAGUCACUACGAGAGUAUGCCGGUCAUUUCAGCCAUGAGUAUUCUCGCUGUGCUGAGGCAGAUGACAAGACCGUCCUCAAGGCUUUCACGGUAGGCCUACGUGAUUGUUUCUUCAAGUACAUGAUCAAUGCCAACACUUAGAAGACUUACUCUAAGGUGAUGGCACAUGCUUACAACCAUGCCUCCGCCGAGGCAAUGACAUAUCAAGGGAAACCCCCCACAACCACCCAUUAUCAGCAAGUAGGGAGUGGAAGCCAGAUCAAACCAAAUGAGAAGACCUCGACCUUCCAAACGGCAACGGUGCCUCCCCCUACCUAACUUAAUACUUUGCCAAGUCAACAGACAUAUCAAUCUCAGGGCAAAAUGAAAGAUUUUCAUCAUCACCAGUCUCAUUUUAGUAAAAGGAGUAAGGGACACUACUGUGAUAACCAAGGGUAUCGCCAUGAUAAUCCCCGACCCCAGGCAGUCAACACAGUGGGUCAAGCACGUGUCAGGACAACCCCUACCCCGAGGUAUGAGGCAUACACACCUUUAAACACCACGUUCAUGGCCAUUUACCCCAGUAUAACACAUUUGAUAUCGAAGCCAAAGCCGAGGUACCCGGAUUACAAGCCCACGAUGAACACGAGCAUGUUUUGCUGUUACCACGAGCAUAACGGCCAUGACGGCGAGAAGUGUAUCACUCUUCGUGAUCAUAUUGAAGCUUUGGCACGUGAAGAAAAAAUUGAUCAAUUCCUCCUUCACCCUCCAAGGGGUAACCGUAACCAACGCUAGGUAAAUGUGAUAUAUUCCAUAAGUGGUGGCACACCUAUAUCUAAAUCUUCCAACAGGGCCAUGAAAAAUAGUGAAUGAAGUUUAAGGUCUGGCCAUCAAGUGUUUCACGAUGAAGACAUCAAGGGAGGUAAGUAUCAAAAGCCUAACUAGGAUCCAAUAUGUUUCUACCCUAAGGAAGAAAGAGGUAUCAUCUACCCUCACAACGACCCACUGAUCGUAGAAGCUCACAUAGCCAACUUUGAAGUACGACGAAUCCUGGUAGACACAGGAGCUUCGGUCAAUAUCAUGUUUGCUGAAGCUUUCAGGGCACUUAAUGUAGCUGAACACUUACUCGACCGUUCGAUUUCCCCUCUGAUAAGCUUCUCCGGUGAUAUCGUGCAACCUUUGGGGAGCAUACACUUACUUUUCACCAUUGGUACAGGCCCUUAUACAGCUACCAUUACCACUAACUUCCUGGUGGUUGAUUGCCUAACAACAUACAAUGUCAUCUCCGGACGCACAGGCAUCAAUGAUUUCAAGGCCAUGGUAUUCACAUAUAUGUUGUUGAUGAAAUUUCCAACCCCUUAUGGCAAUGGUUACAUCAAAGGAGAUCAACUUAGUGCACGAUCAUGUUACAACAUUUCGGUCAAGCAACAACACCUGCAUGUGCCCAAGGAAACCAUUUCUAUACAUGACCAAGUCAUAAAGACCAGCCCAGACAAAGCAAACUUAGAUCUUCACGGUGGCAAUAGUCAACCCGACGAUCCUCGAGAUGACUCUUUCACCCAGCAAGCACAACCCGCUGAAGAGUUGGAGAAGGUCUCUAUCUUAAAAGAUUAUCCGGAUCGCAUGGUGAAGAUUGGUACCACCUUGUCACCACCCAUUCAGUUGGCAUUGAUCUAUUUUUUGCAAGAGAACACUGAGGUCUUCGCCUGGUCAUACGAGGACAUGCUAGGCAUCUCUCAUGAUAUAAUCUAUUAUCGUUUAAGUAUUGACCCCAAGACUAAGCCAAUGAGACAGAAGCGAAGAUCUUAUGACGCUGAACGGUACGAGGUAAUGAAGCCAGAAGUUGAAAAACUCAAAGGCAUAGGCUUCGUCCGUGAAGUCAAUUAUCCAACGUGGGUAGCAAAUGUUGUCUUUGUUAAGAAGAAUCCGACCAAGGAAAAUCUCAUACUCCAAAAGGUUGCCCGAAUGACAUCUUUCCUCUUCCUCUCAUAAACAGACUUAUAGACUCUACGGCAGGGUGUGAACUCUUGAGCUUCAUGGAUGCUUACUCAGGAUACAACCAAAUCCUCAUGAACCCUCCGGACCAAGAACACAAAGCCUUCACUACUGAUAGGGGACUAUAUUGCUAUAAAGUCAUGCCUUUCAGCCUAAAGAAUGCAGGAGCGACUUAUCAGAGACUGGUCAAUUCAAUGUUCACCGAACAGAUUGGGAAGAGCAUGGAAGUUUACGUUGAUAAUAUGCUAGUCAAAAUCAAACAUGCUGACCAACAUAUCACCAACCUAUCUGAAACUUUCACCAUCCUGAAAAGGUAUCGAAUGAGGUUGAACCCCAACAAAUGUGCCUUAGGCGUAUGCUCUGGCAAAUUCUUAGGCUUCAUGAUAAGCCAACGAGGCAUUGAGGCUAACCCGAGAAGAUCAAAGCAAUCCUCGACAUGAAGGAACCGGUAACUUCAAAAGACAUCCAGAACCUUACUAGCAAGGUGGCAGCCUUAACUAGGUUCAUCUCUAAGGCCACAAACAGAUGCGCUCCUUUCUUCAAAGCACUUAAAGGAAGUAAGAAGUACAUUACAUGGACUGAUGAAUGUGCUGAGGCAUUCAAGAACCUCAAAGACUACAUAAGUAAAGCCCAUUUGCUCUCCAAACCUGAGGUUGGUGACACUCUCAUUAUCUAUCUGUUGGUAUUGGCUUCAGCAGUAAGUUUCGUUCUCAUUCGAAAUGAUGGUAAUGUCGAACGGCCUGUCUACUACACUAGCAAAGCCUUACAAGAUGCGGAGACACGAUACUCCAACAUUGAGAAAUUGGCUCUAGCAUUGGUCAUGUCUGCUCGAAAACUUCGCCCUUACUUCCAAGCACACUCCAUCAUCGUGCUUACCAAUCAUCAUCUUCGAUAAAUACUCUAAAGUCUUGACACUUCCGGGCGAAUGAUCAAAUAGGCAAUAGCAUUGGGUGAGUUUGACAUCUCCUACCAACCAAACCCAGCUGAGAAGGGCCAAUCAGUGGCAGACUUCAUAUAUCCUGUUGACAUUGUUUCUACACCUAAAGAAGUGGUUUCAUUACCCUCGGAAGCUCAGAAAAUAGAACCAACAGCCCCAGCAUGGAGUCUAUAUGUUGAUGGCUUGUCCAACCAACAGGGUUGUGGAGCAGGACUAGUCCUUACGACCCCUGACAAAGUGGCGAUAGAGUAUGCUCUUUGUUUCAAAUUCAAGGCGUCGAACAAUGAGGCCGAAUAUGAAGCCCUUCUAGCAGGCUUACGUUUGGCCAAACACCUUGGGGUUAAACGAAUUGAUAUCUUCAGUGACUUCCAAUUGGUGGUUAACUAGGUCACCAACAACUUUGACGCUAAAGAUAGCUCAAUGGCAGCAUAUCUGGCAUAACACAAUUGUUGCUCAAGCACUUCCACUACCAGAUCACCCAAAUUCCUUGAGCGGCAAACAGUCAUGCAGAUGCUUUGGCUCGCCUCGCCUCAGUGGUGGAAGACAAGAUUAGGAGAAAAAUUCAGGUCAAAUUGUUAGCAGCACCAAGCACCAUGGCUGCGGAAGUGUACAACUUACAACAAGGAGAUAGUUGGAUUACCUCGAUUUAUAUAUUCCUUGCUCAUGGCACCCUUCCAAAUGACAAAGUCCAACAUAAGCAGAUUCGAUACAAGGUUACCCGUUACUUGAUCAUUAAUGACCAACUCUACAAGCGGGGAUUUAACCUACCAUACCUAAGAUGCCUUACGCCCGCAGGGGCCGAAACUGUCCUUUGGGAAAUACAUAAAGGAGUCUGCGGAGAUCAUGCUAGAUCUUGAUCCCUAGCACACAAGGCUUUUCGCCAAAGAUAUUACUAGCCAACACUCCACCAAGAUGCCAUCAGAAUAUUCCGCUCAUGUGAUAAGUGUCAACGCUACGCAACUAUUCCUCACUCCCCUUCCAAGCCACUCACUCCUAUGAUCAGCCCUUGGCCCUUCGCCCAAUGGGGACUUGAUUUGAUCAGCCCAAUGCAUGUAGGGAAGGGCAAGGUUCGCUAUGCAAUCGUUGCAGUUGACUACUUCACAAAGUGGGCCGAAGUAGAACCCUUGGCAACCAUUACAGAGGUAAAAAUAAAAGACUUCGUAUGGAAGAACAUCCUUUGCAGAUUUCGCAUUCCCAAUGCGAUAGUCACUGACAACGGGCAACAGUUCGACAACAAUAAGUUCAGGAUGUUCUGCUCUAAGUUCAACAUCAACUUAUGUUUUGCCUCCCCAAUUCAUCCCCAGUCUAAUGGACAAGUUGAAGCCAUCAACAAAAUAAUCAAGCGAACUUUGAAAACCAGCUUGGACAAGGCUAAAGGUUGUUGGCCAGAAUUUGUACCCCAAGUUCUUUGGUAUACCGCACUUCGUAUCGGACAUCAACAGGAGAAACCCCAUUCUCACUUGCCUUUGGUACAGAGGCAGUGGUCCCAGUUGAGCUUGAUCAAGCAAUGUUCUGAGUCCAGAACUACGUCCAAAGUGAAAAUGACAAACAACUUACCUUCAACUUAGAUCUAGUCGAGGAACACAGAAACCAGGCUCACUUGAGGAAUGUCGCCUACAAGCAGCACAUCUCCGACUACUAUGACUCAAGGGUCAAACCUCGUUCUUUCAAAGUGGGGGACUGGGUAUUGAAGAAAAGAUUACUCUGCGAUAGAGUCCCAAGUGAAGGAAUACUUAGUUCAAACUGGGAUGGACCGUUUGAAGUUGUUGGCAUCAAUCACCCUGGCUCUUACAAGCUUAGAAGCUUCGAUGGCAAGACCCUUAGCCAUCCAUUGAACGUUGAUCACUUAAAGUACUAUGACAAGUAAACUCACAUUGUACAAGUGUUAAGCUUCAGCCGUUCGUCAUCCUAUGUAACGAAGACUAUUUGGCAUGAAUUCAAUAAAAAGGUGAUUUAGACAACUCGAUCCUAAUCCUCUUACAUUCCUAGCAAUGAAACACUCGGGUUCAAAGCUUCAACAUGAAUACUUCCAACAUGAAACAAAGUCUAAGUAUAUGUCAACAAGACUAUACAAAUAAACGAACAACUUCACAGUAUAUUCGUUCAAUCAUACAUUCUAACACAUUCAUACAUAAGCCAACUGUGCUUUGAAAGGGUUCAACAUAUUUUGUGUCAUUCGACACUUGCUACAAUGUGCCUAGACAUCUUGCCCUUAUUCUUACCAACCAAGUGAUGAAAUGUGAAGAAGGAACUCAUCUUCAUGCCACCAACUAGGUGAUGAAAUGUACAACCCGUACUCUCCUUUAUGCCACCAACCAGGUGAUGACAUGUACAACCCAUACUCUAAUAUCAUUUAGCAACUUGCCACUCAUGCCAACAACCAGGUGAAGAAGGAACUCAUCUUCAUGCCACAAACUAGGUGAUGAAAUGUACAACCCGUACUCUCCUUCAUGCCACCAACCAGAUGAUGAAAUGUACAACCCGUACUCUAAUAUCAUUUGGCAACUUGCCACUCAUGCCACCAACCAGGUGAAGAAUGAACUCAUCUUCAUGCCACCAACCAGGUGAUGAAAUGUACAACCCGUACUCUCCUUCAUGCCACCAACCAGGUGAUGAAAUGUACAAUCCGUACUCUAAUAUCAUUUGGCAACUUGCCAUUCAUGCCACCAACCAGGUGAUGAAAUGUACAACCCGUACUCUAAUAUCAUUCGGCAACUUGCCACUCAUGCCACUAACCAGGUGAAGAAUGAACUCAUCUUCAUGCCACCAACCAAGUGAUGUAAUGUACAACCCGUACUCUAAUAUCAUUUGGCAACUUGCCAUUCAUGCCACCAACCAGGGGAAAAAAGAAUUCACCUUCGUACCACCAACCAAGUGAUGAAAGCAACUCACCAUUCAUUCCACCUACCAAAAGACGAGUGGUACAACUUGUACAUGUAAACUCCUAGCAUUCACAAAUAAUCAAAAACCCUCAAGCUUGACAACUCAACUAAAGGAGCACUUAUGCCCAACAAGAGUUAUAGUCACCAACAAAGUCUUAUUGCAAGCCAACAACAACUUCAAUGCAUGGUAUACGAAGAUCAAGCUAUUCAGCCCUCUUGCAUCUACUUCAAACAUUUCCCCUCUGUAAUAAUGCAAACACUACAACUCGUAGAAAGCUUCACACACUCUUUAUCAAGACAGUGUGAAGCAAAACCAAUUUAUGGUGCCAACAAGAGCUUCAUCAAUGGAGGGCAACCAUAAUUCUCAAAAGCUUCACACACUCUUGAUCAAGACAGUGUGAAGCAAAACCAAUUUAUGGUGCCAACAAGAGCUUCAUCAAAGGAGUUCAACCACAAUUCUUAAAAGCUUCACACACUCUUGAUCAAGACAGUGUGAAGUAAAACCAAUUUAUGGUGCCAACAAGAGCUUCAUCAAUAGAGGGUAACCACAAUUCUCAAAAGCUUCACACACUCUUGAUCAAGACAGUGUAAAACAGAACCAAUUUAUGGUGCCAACAACAAGAGCUUCAUCAAUGGAGGGCAACCACAAUUCUAAAAAACUUCACACACUCUUGAUCAAGACAGUGUGAAGCAAAACCAAUUUAUGGUGCCAACAAAAGCUUCAUCAAAGGAGUUUAACCACAAUUCUCAAAAGUUUCACACACUCUUGAUCAAGAAAGUGUGAAGCAAAACCAAUUUAUAGUGCCAACAAGAGCUUCAUCAAUGGAGGGCAACCACAAUUCUCAAAAGCUUCAUACAUUCUUGAUCAAGACAGUGUGAAGCAAAACUAUUUUAUAGUGCCAACAAAAGCUUCAUCAAAUGAGUUCAACCACAAUUCUCAAAAGCUUCACACACUCUUGAUCAAGACAGUGUGAAGCAAAACCAAUUUAUGGUGUCAACAAAAGCUUCAUCAAUAUAGGGCAACUACAAUUCUCAGACCUUCGGAGCAAAUUCAAUUUAUAUGGUUCAUCCAAACCUUCGGCUACUACAAGGUGUGGCUUGCAUCACAAUCUCUUGCUCAACAGUGUGGAAGCAAAAUUUGUAUAUGUUAUCUUUCCCACAUUUUCAAAUUUCUAGUUUCCCAAAAAAAAAAAAAAGGGAAAUUCAACAAAGCUUCAUCAAUGGAGGACAACUACAAAUUCUCAAAAACUUCACACUAUCUUGAUCAAGAUAGUGUGAAGCAAAAUCAAUUCAUGAUACCCAACAAAAGCUUCAACUCCAAAGUUUCACCUACAAAGCUUCAACUCCAAAGCUUCACCUACAAAGCUUCAACUCCAAAUCUUCACCUACAAAACUUCAACUCCAAAGCUUCACCAACAAAAGCUUCAUCAAUGGAGGACAAUUACAAAUUCUCAAAAGCUUCACACUAUCUUGAUCAAGAUAGUGUGAAGCAAAAUCAAUUCAUGGUAUCCAACAAAAGCUUCAACUCCAAAGCUUCACCUACAAAACUCCAACUCCAAAGCUUCACCUACAAAAACUUCAACACAAAAGUUUCACCCACAAAAGCUUCAACACAAAAGCUUGACCCACAAAAGCUUCACCUACAAAAGCUUGACCCACAAAAGCUUGACCCACAAAAGCUUCAUCCAUAAAAGCUUCACCCACAAAAGCUUCACCUACAAAGCUUCAACACAAAAGCUUCACCUACAAAAGCUUCACACUAUCUUGAUCAAGAUAGUGUGAAGCAAAAUCAAUUCAUGGUGCCCAACAAAGCUUCAACCUCAAAGCUUCACCUACAAAGCUUCAACACCAAAGUUUCACCUACAAAGCUUUAAAAUAUAUAUAUAUAUAUAUAUAUAUAUUUUUUCGGAAAUUCAAAAAUUCAAAAAUUCAAAAAUUCAAAAAUUCGAAAAAAUUCAUGUGGUGGGAACAAAGUAGCUGCGACACCGAAUUCUGUAGGAAGUACUAUGUGAUUCAAUCAGUUGUACAUUAAAUAUUAUUUUCUCUAUUUUUAAACACGUUUAAAAUAUUUUAAGAGGCGUGUAAUGUCAGUUCUAAUCAAGGUCUUUGACACGUGCAUAAUAAUGUGAUUAAAUUAGUUGUCAAAUAAUUAGUUUUUUUUUUUAACAAACGAUAUUAUCUACACUAAGGGAAGGAGUGGUGGGCUUAGCCUCAUAAUGGGCUAGCAAUAAUAUGAUUCAAUCAGUUGUUUAUUAAAUAUUAUUUUCUCUAUUUUUAAUGUAAAUUCAAUAGAAACCGAAUGUAGCUGUUUUGAUUGGUUUAUAAUAUGUUUCUUCUAGCAUGAUUUAAGAUUAUUCUUUUAUUUCAAAUAUUUAACUUUUCUUUUGUCAAUUUACGCAUAUAAAUACAUUUAAAAUAUGUAAAUCGCACGUAUCACGCUAUGAUUCGAAAAACAUCUUGUACACGCGUACAAUAAUAGAGUUGUACAAACUGCCGUACAAUAAUAGAGUUGUAGUUAUUUGAGGGCACUGUCCAAGCACUCACUGUCCAAAGAGCACGAUGGUCCACAAUUUAAUUUCUUUUGAUUUUGUGCUUGACGUGUUCCAAAAGAAUGAGAUCCCAAUUUUUGAAACUACAUAAUCUUAAAUUUUUUUAGUGCUAAGUAAUUAAUUGGUUUAAUAAUAAAUAAAUAAAUAAAAAUGACAAGUAAGUGACAGUUAUCCAUCAUUUUCGAGCCCGAAGAGGCUAUGGGGAAGAAUCGGGUCGGGUAGAUCGGCAUGGAUUCAUUUAGCUCCAUGAAGAAGAAGAAUCUUCAGGUGACAAGGAGGUGCAGUGAGAAAUUACUCAAACCCCUUUGAAGUUAUUAAAAUUUAUGCAAUUGAAUUUUUUGAGUUUAAAUAUUUGAUGAGGAGACUAGAAUUUUCCAUAUAGAAGAAUUCGACACAACGCCUCUUUCUUCUAUCAAUUAAUAUUUUAUUUACGUGUAAAAAAAAAUUAUUUAAGUUUGCUUAUCUAGAUUUAAUACGAAGAUUCAUAUGAAAAAAAACCCUCCUGGGCAAUUUAAUUUUCAGGAGUGUACAUAUGUGUGUAUAAAUCAAUAGAAAACUUCAUUUUAAUCCUUAAAAAAGAUGAGUUUUAGACUAUAACCUUGUGUAAGAUUAAAAUCCAAUUUAGUCCCUAGUACAUUUAAUCAUCUCAUUUAUUAGUUAUAUUUUGAUGUUUUAUUUAUCUUUUUAUUCAUAUUUUAAUGUCUACAUUUAGGCAACUAAUUUUUUUUUUAUAAUAUAUAGUCCGAUAACAAUUUUGUAUGUUCUUCAUUUAGGUACGUUAAUAUAUUUGAAUAUUUCGGUAUAUCCAUCGAUACAAACAUAUAUGUACAUUAAUUCAUCGAUACAAACAUAUACAUACAUUUUGGUACACACAUUUGAGUUUUUAUUUCUUUAUUUUUUUAUUUUUUUAUUUUUUUAUUUUUUUAUUUUUUUAUUUUUUAUAGUGCAACUGACACACCUCGACCGAAGUCAAGACAUGCUGGCCGUCACGUGAGCAUGACGUAGCCAUGUGCACAGUGCGGAAGCGAUAUUUAUAAGGAAAGUACGAAUAAUUCAAAAGCUUCCUAUGAGCUUAAAAACCCCUAAAAAUCACUCAAUAAUUAUUGCAUGAACAGUGACCAUAACGGAGGUAAGUGGUUUGACGUGAAAACGGUGGACUUCUUACCUGAAACUAGUAUGGAUGGACUUGUAUCGACGAGAUGAAGACGAUGGUGGUCUUUGUUUCCUCGAUCUGUGAAGUUUUGAAGGUCCUUGGUGAUGGUCCGUGUGUAGAGAGAGAGAGAGAGCUCGAAGGGAAUAGAGAGAGUGAGUUUGAGGGAAUCACGGAAAAGAAGAAGAAAAAGGGGUGAUUUCUGUGUAUCCCGUGAGUGUAUGUGGUCCACAAGCCACAAUCAUUCAAACACAAACAAACAAAAUGCCAAAAUCAACCAACUUUUAAAAAUUAGGGUAACUAGAUAAACCCUAAUACUCUAAAUAUUUAAAACGCUCAAGGCAUUUUAUUAACUUCACACUCACGAAAAUGAUAAUACGGGACGGGCUGUCACAACAACGAUAUAUUUUACACUAAGACGGCUAAGCCACAUGGACAACUUAAUUUGGUAUCGAAUUCAUCAUCCACGAGAUUCGAACCUAAUACCUCUCAUUUGAGUAUUGAUUUUUAGGUACAUUAAUUCAAUAUACUAUAUUUUGGUACAUACAUUUCAGUACGUACAUUUUGGUACAUACAUUUCGGUAUUAAUAUUUAGGUACAUUAAUUCAAUAUAAUACAUUUCGGUUAAUACAUUUCGGUACAUACAUUUCGGUACGUAUAUUUUGGUACAUAUAUUUCGGUACGUACAUUUCGAUACUGUAUUUCGGUACGUACAUUUUGGUACAUACAUUUCGGUAUUAUAUUUAGGUACAUUCAUAUAAUACAUUUCGGUACAUAUAUUUAGGUUCAUUAUAAUAUAUUUCGGUACAAUCAUGUAGGUACAAAAAAGUCAAUUAUAUAUAUUUCGGCACAGUACAAUCAUGUAUUUAUAUAUUUUGUAUCACAAAUUUCUUUUAAUAUUUUCUUAUUUAUGUUCAUUUAUAAUUAAAGAACUAAAUAUAUGCAUAUUAAUAAAAUUAAAAUUUAAUGUGGAGAGAUUAAAUAAAAAUGCACAUUAAAUAAAAAAAAUUGAAUAUAAAUUUUGAUAAGAGUACACUUCAAGGGAUUAAAUUGAAUAUGUAAUCUAACACUAAUUUUUUUUUUAAAUUUUAAUCUUUUGCAAGGACUAAUGUUCAAAAACCCUAUAAAUCAAUUUCACGUCGGCAGAGCUGCUAUGGGGACCUCCGUACACACACAUAAUUUAUUCAUUCGGUCAUCAGCUCAGGAACCUCUCUGUAAACUUCUCCACACACUCCAGUACCUCUCUCUCUCUCUCUCUCUCUCUCUCUCUCUCUCUCUCUCUCUCUCUCUCUCUCUCUCUCAUCUUCUCCACUCCCCACUCUUCUCAGUUUUGGCAACGACUAAUGAUAGCCAAUAAUUUAUUCAUUCAGUCAUCAGCUCAGGAACCUCUCUGUAAACUUCUCCACACACUCCAGCUACCUCCCCCCCUCUCUCUCUCUCUCUCUCUCUAUCAUCUUCUCCACUCCUCACUCUGUUAGUUCUAUACAACUCAUCCAUCGCUUGGGGACUGACCUUGGGCUUUUCAGUUGCCAAGCAACUCCAGCAUCCGUUCUGAUCAAACUCAAAGUUGUAACUAAGGAGUUUGGAGAAAAUAAAAAGAUGAUCAAGGUUGACGUAAUUCACAAAGAAAUUAUUAAACCAUCCUCUCCAACUCCUCACCACCUUAGACAUUUGUGCCUCUCCCUUUUUGACCAGUUUAUACUUGAACUGUAUAUGCCACAAGUUCUCUUCUAUCCUAGCAGCAGUGAUGAACAUUCUUUGGUCGCUGAAAAGUCCGAGCUUCUAAAGAAAUCAUUAUCUGAGGCCCUCACUAUCUUCUACCCUUUUGCAGGGGAAUUCAAAAAUAACGUUUCCAUCAACUGCGAUGACCGCGGAGCUCUAUUUCUUGAAGCCCAAGUCAACUGUCCCAUGUCCAAGAUCCUGGACAAACCCGAUUCUGAGAUCCUGAGACAACUGAUUCCAACUCCUAUGCGUUCCAAACAAGCACAAGUAGGGCAUCUUGUACUAGUCCAGGCCAACGUAUUCAAAUGUGGUGGAUUGGCAAUUGGCGUCAGCAUUUCACAUAAGGUCGCCGAUGCCUUAGCGAACAGCAAAUUCAUCGAAAGCUGGGCUGAAAUUGCCCGCUCCACUGCCAGCACUACUGACCAUCACGUAGUACUUCCUACAGAAUUUGGUGUUGCAGCUACUUUGUUCCCACCACAAGAAUUUGUUAAGAAGACCCCCCUCACGCUACCUUUUAUUGACAAUGUUAUCGGAAGGAGGCUUGUGUUUGAUGCCUCAAAGAUUGCUGCUCUCAAGGCCAAAGCUGCCAGUGCCACAGUGCCAAAUCCGACGCGAGUUGAAGCAGUUUCCGCGCUCAUUUGGAAAUCCGCAUUGGAAGCAUCAAGAUCGAACUUGGGUUUUGCAAGGCCAUCCACAUGGCGGUCCUCUACGAACCUGAGGAAAAUAUUGGCUCAGCCCUUCGCAGAAAACUUACAAGGAAAUUUUGUGUUUUUUACCUUGACGAAGAUCGAAGAAAAUGAAGUAUAUGAUCUUCAAACCUUGGUUGCAAAAAUGAGGAAAUGCGUUGAGGAAUUUAAGGUAAAAUAUGCCAAUGAAAUUAGAGGGGAGGAAGUAGUUCAAUUCCUGAAGGAGUAUAGUGAGCUCGUUCAAAAGGAUGAUAUGGACAACUAUAUGUGCACCAGUUUGUGUAGGUUUCCUUUCGGCUCGGCCAAUUUUGGAUGGGGAAAGGCAUCAUGCAUUCGCAUCCCUUGGAAUGAAGAUUUCAAAAACAGAAUGUUAUUGUUGGAUGCAAGUGAUGGCAUUGGCAUCGAUGCAUACAUAACACUGAAAAAAGAAGAUAUGGUCAUGAUUGAAACCAACCAGGACCUGCUUGCAUAUGCUUCUCUGCAUUAGACCAUUACUGAAGGGUAAAUCUCAUCUAAUCCUUCUCUAUAAUUACUCAAUAAAUAAAAGGUUUGCUUCCCUAUGUCAUUGGAGAUUCAUACUAUAAGUAUCUUUCAAAUGUCGGAAAAUAAAAUGCAACUAUACUAAUAGCAAGUUGCUAGUGUUCUUGAGCAUUUAGAAUUUGUUUGGAUGCCAUGUUGUAACCUUUGGUGAUUUCUUUUGUUGCUUUUGAUUCCACAAUUUUCUUGUUUUGUGUGAACAAUGAGUAAUGUAUUGCUUUUACUAUCGACUUUAUUUUUCUUUCAAUAAAAUGGAUUUGUUUUAUUGCGUAUACCUAAGAAAAUAUAGCAGAUCCCUAACAAAAGAAAAUGAAAAGAGUGCUGAUAAUGCUUUUCUAUGGAAAAAAGUAAGAUAGACUGACUAAGGAUGCUUUCAAGUAAUUUUUAAAACAAGGGUUACAACACGUGUGAUAAUAUAAUGGAUGAUUGGGUUGAUAAAUUCUAUUUUAAGUAUGACUCAUAUAAAACGGAUUCACUGCCACCUGAAAACCCUAGUUAUAUAACGAUGGCCUGAAACCUGCUGGAUAAAAGAGGCGCGAUGAAUAAAGGGUAAAGGGAGAAGAUGGGUUUAUGUUGUCAAUUCUGCUUCGUCGUGAGGGAGGCAUGCAGGCAAUGGGGGAUCCAAGAUUCGAAACUUGGGUGUCCCAACAUUAAAAGUUCACGUUUUUUAAAGAAAAAAAGCGCGGAGCGCGUUAAAAAAAUUCAUUUUAUCCAAUUGAGGCAUUUCGUCGAACACUUAAUGGGCUUAUUGACGAAACCAAAUCAUGUUGUUGCCUAUAUGUCAACAAGUUACAAUAUAUGUUGAAGCAAUCUGGUGAAUGCUAUUGAGAAUAUAUGUCGAGUGAUGUUGAUGCAGCCUGUUGAGAUAUGCGUACGUACCAAACAAUCAAAGGAUCUUCAGAUGACCUUCAUAUGCGUGUUUUUGUAACAUCCCACAUCGUCCAGGGGAGUGGAUCAUGUAAGCCUUAUAUGUAUAUUCUCAUCUCUACCUAGCACGAGGCCUUUUGGGAACUCAUUGACUUCAGGUUCCAUCAGAACUUCGAAGUUAAGCGAGUUCACGCAAGAGCAAUCCCAGGAUGGGUGACCCACUAGGAAGUUAUCGUGUGAGUUCCCAGAAACAAAACCGUGAGGGCGUGGUCGAUGCCCAAAGCGGACAAUAUCGUGUUACGGUAGAGUCGAGCCCUGGAUGUGGUGGGGGCCCGGGCCGGAAUGUGACAGUUUUCCACCCUCCGAGUGGUCCUAGGACCACUUUGGUUCCAAUUUACAUCCACCCUUGCGGUGGGUGGAGUUCAAGAACUCUUGUUGUUGCCUGGCUUUUUUUGCUUAUCCAUUUAUGUAUCUUAUAUGUAUAUUCUCAUCUCUACCUAGCACGAGACCUUUUGGGAACUCAUUGACUUCAGGUUCCAUCAGAACUUCGAAGUUAAGCGAGUUCACGCAAGAGCAAUCCCAGGAUGGGUGACCCACUAGGAAGUUAUCGUGUGAGUUCCCAGAAACAAAACCAGGGGAGUGGAUCCUGUAAGCCUUAUAUGUAUAUUCUCAUCUCUACCUAGCACGAGGCCUUUUGGGAACUCAUUGACUUCAGGUUCCAUCAUAACUUUGAAGUUAAGCGAGUUCACGCAAGAGCAAUCCCAGGAUGGGUGACCCACUAGGAAGUUAUCGUGUGAGUUCCCAUAAACAAAACCGUGAGGGCGUGGUCGAUGCCCAAAGCGGACAAUAUCGUGUUACGGUAGAGUCGAGCCCUGGAUGUGGUGGGGGCCUGGGCCGGAAUGUGAUAGUUUUCCACCCUCCGAGUGGUCCUAGGACCACUUUGGUUCCAAUUUACAUCCACCCUUGCGGUGGGUGGAGUUCAAGAACUCUUGUUGUUGCGUGGCUUUUUUUGCUUAUCCAUUUAUGUAUCUUAUAUUUUGUUUUCUUAAGUAAAUGACUAGGGGUGUGCUAUCCACACACCAUUUUUUACUUCUCAUAUAUCCUCUUAAUUUUCGGUCGUCGGAUCGAAUGAAUUGAAGAAUAUCAAAUAACAAAAAUUAAUAAGAGGUGUGAGAAGUAAAAAGGGGUGUGUGUAUAUCACAACCCAAAUGACUAAUGUUGAUGGGGGAAAAUAUGAAUGGCUAAUAUCAUUUUGAUGUCAUCUAGUCAUCACAAUCUAAUAAUCUAGUCUCAUCUAAGACUAAUAUAUAGAAGUAAAGAUAAGUAUAUGAAAAACAUUUCAUCGUUAUAAGUUAAUGGGAGCUAAAAUAGUAUUUGAGAUUAGGAUAACGCUCACUUUAGUCCUGAUAAUAAAAUUCGAUAAAAAUGAUCUGGUCGUGAAAAUUAUUUUAAAUUUUCAGAAAAAAAUAUGUCAAUCUUCUAAUAACUUUUUCUUGUAGUAUUCACCGGAAAGAAGAAGAAGAAGAAGAAGAAUGAAAGAGUUAUGAAACCUUUUUAUGUAAUAUUCACAGGAAAGAAUGAGUUAUAAAAUACCUUUUCGGCUAAGUCAAACCAGCAGCAGCAGCACGCCUUAUCUCACUCGAAGCUCCCUCUGGUUCUCACACUUGCCGUCCCUCCAGUUUGUCAAGUUCGCGCCUUUGGCUUCACAAGGAUUUUUUUGGUUUCAUAAACAUGUUCUUUAAAAACGCUUUCAAUCAUAUUAAAAGUACUUCCAAAUGAGUCUAAAUUAAAAAUAUCUUCUUCACCUACUGUCUCUCAAGUCGGCAUCAUCCCCUUCCUUUCUCCAUCUCUCCCAAUCGUUCAGUCCCCUUUACUCCUCUUUAGUUUUUAGUUUUUUUCCUUUUCGCGUAUGAAUAAGGGAGAGGGACUCAUUUCAAAAUUAUCACAGUCGUUGUAAAAUUUUAUAUGAAAAAAGCUUCAUGCGUUCAAGAAGAGGGAAUCCCAAUUUUCAAAACAGCACAAUCUUAAAGGAUCUCUUUCCCCUGCAAUGCUAUUUUCAACAAAUUUUCAUUGCUUUCACAUUUACUCCGGAGAAAACUGGUAGGUAGUCUUCACCAGAAAGAAAAAGAAAGAAGAGGGAAAGAAAGAAACUCAUAACUCAUAAUCCCAUCAUAGCCUAAUUUUAGUGUUGGAAAUGGAGUCGUGCUUGGAUUAUUUAUUUAUUUAUAUUGGUGUCAUGUUUCGUGUUAAUAAAUUGUAAAAUUGAUAAUAUAUAAGGAUUUUUUUGGCCAAAAUAGUUCAUGAGAUUGAUAUAAAUUCUCAUUUUGAACCAUAAUAAUGAAAUUCAAUAUAAGUGGUCUCUGAAUUUGUUCACUGUAAAUCAUUUUGGUCAUUUUAUAAAAAAAUCUAUCAAUAUCAAUGUUAAGGGGAGAGUAUGGCUCGACAAAAAUACCAUUUAAAAGGUGAUCACAUAGUUGUUCACGUGAUAAUUUAACGAUUUUUCACAGAAUGAUCAAAAUAAUUUAUAGUGAAUAAACUUAUACUUGUCAACAAAGCUAUGAAGAACAAUCAAGAAAGUAGAGAGAGAAAGUACUCAAGAGAAUAGAAUUGUAUAACAAACUUAUUUGUGUAACAAUUACAAGACUUUCCCCUAUUUAUAACUACAUUUACCAUAACUACCUCAAAACAUAUCCACUAAUACAUUGACAAGCGGUACACUUUACAAUUUGGCACUUGUCAUAUUACAAGCAACCUACAAUCUUUAUAGUCUAACAAUACGUACCAACUAUCAACUUCAUUGUAACAAACUAUAAUGAAGAGUUAUAUCAAUCUUAGAAACCUUUCAUAAUAUAAUAAUAUAUCGACUCAUAUUAAACAUAAAAAAGUUAUCAUUUUGUGAGUAUAAUAUUAUGUGAACAGUGGAUGAUGUGUUUGUCGUUUUAAUUGUGUACGCAUUGUGAAGCCAAAAAUAAUCAAGAGGCGACACGUGCAUUUUUGAGUAAGGAAAAGACAAAAUUACCCUCGAUGCACAUCAGAUUUCCUACGCGCGAGCAGUGGACAAUCAUCUGUCAAUCAAGUCAAAAAUGUCCAAAAUAUGUAACAAAUUCAAAGUUAUUUCAUCCAUCCUCAUCCUAUAUUUUCCACAAGGUAAUUAUUUCAUAACCUUCAAAACAUUCCAAAUAAAUUGAGUUAAUUGGCUAAUUAAUGGAUUUAUUCCUAAUUAAUCCAUUAAUUACCAAUUAAAUCACUCAUUUCACACAAAAAUACCCCAAAGGGCGGGCCUCCUUUUCUCUAAAGGGGGACUGGCCAUGCUCUAUAUAUUGAACCCCAUUUUCUUUAAAAACCUAAGUCCACACUCUUGCAAAACUCCAAAAACUCUCUAAAUAUUUUUCUCCUAAAUUCUAAUUUUGGCAUCGGAGGUUCUUCGGUCAAAACCCCCCUCCCCCAUUCAUCGUGGGUGCGUGAGGCUCUUGGUUUUGACCCUAAGGUGUUAAUUGUUUUGCAGGUGCAAUUUUGUCCAAGAAGGAGAUGGAAAUUUGCAUCCACACGCAUCACAUCGUGCAUUCGUACAAGUUUAGAGUUGCAAUAACGUGUUGUGUCUAAAAUUACUAUCUGUAUGCAGUUUCAUACAAAACCAUUUUACAUAAUCGUCUUUCUCUCCCUCUCUUGUUUUUCUUUGAACAACUCAUUUUAUCAACCCUUAUGCUGGGUUUGGAUCGAAAUGUAUGUUUGGAAUUUUAGUCCAAACCAUAGUUCUAAUCAUACUCACGAGGUGAACCACCACUGAGUAGUAUAGUAGUUGGGAACGAAUUUCAAACUCAUAUUUCACACGGUAUGUCCUGUGUUUGAUUUCUGGCAUUGCUGAAUCGCACGAUGCUGAUCAUGAGGAAGUUAAAAUGCUUCUGUGAGUUUUUCUUACUCCUGAAAGAGUGUAUUGUCGUAAUGAAACUACGAGCUAAUCCUUUUUCAGAAAAGAAUAAAAUAAAAUCAUACUCACCUCCGAAUCUGAUUGAGAUCAAACACUAAACACGUAGAAUUAAUUUUGAUUGUUUAGUUUCUUUGCCUCCUUCACUAUAAUUAAAUCAAAUGAAAAAUUCUCAAGUACCUAGCUACCUUGUCCACACCAAAAAAUUAAUAAAAUUUGUAUCUCUGUAUAUCUACAGGUAGCGGUAGCUAUCUUGUGACUGUAUUAACAAGUGGUCUGUUCGCAACAGAUAUUGGAGAAUCGAUUCCCGACACAUGAAACGUCUGACUUUCACCAUUCUUAAUUUCUAAUAUUUUUUUUUUUUGUUUUUUGGGUAACCAAAAGGAGAUUGGAGAUGCAACACGAGAACUUUCUAGGAUGUCACACAUUUUAGUACUAUUGUCAUCCAAACUCGCUUAAUUUCGGAGUUUUAAUCAGAUCCGAUGCAUGUAAGUUGGUAGUACUACUCUAACCAAAUAAUUUUUUCAUGAUGUCCUAUCUAUACCUAAAGUUCACUAGCUUUUAUUCAUCGGAUUCAAACUUAGUCAUGAUAUUUUAUAGCAAAGUGAGAAGAUAAUGCAUUUUUUUAGUAUCUCUCCACUUGUAUUAUGACACAUAAUGUGCCUUUUUUAUUUUUUAUUUUUUUAUUUUAUAUAUAUAUAUAUAUAUAUAUAUAUAUAUAUAUAUAUCAACGAUAAUGAAAAUUUCUACGUUCACAUUUCCGUGGUGAGAAUGAAAAAUAUUACAAUGCUAGAAGCUAGUUAGCAAGGAUAUAGGAAUCCCAUUGCAGAGGAAGGACAAAUAAGUUGAAAAGGAAAAGAAAAGAGCAACGUGCAUAAUUACACAUGAACAGAGAUUUAGUAGCUGCUUAAUAUUUGUUAGUAGAUCUCGAUAAGUUAUUUUAAGGUAAAGUCUAUCGGUGGAGAAUUAGUUUUCUAUUUCACUCGCCGGUUUAUUUAUUUAUGAUUGAGUUAACUGAUUGAAAUCUUUCAACCAGAUGAGACCUAGAUGACCAGUGGAUCAACAGUUUUUAACUAGAUUAGAAAGAAUUUCUUCAGUGAUAAUAAAUUCGUCAUUAAUUUAAGGACAAAUAUGUUGAAGAGUGUAAAGUUUCACAUCAUGUUUAAUUAACUACAAUUUAUGUUAAUUGGUUUCACUACUUAUUGUAUCAAACAUUUUGUAAACAAAACCCACACUUACGGAAUUGCACUAAUGAUUAAAUUGGAGACAACAUCAAUAUUGAUUAACAUUAGUAGAAUAGUAUUUUUUUCACCUCGACUUAGGAAGAAAAGAAGGAAAGAAAUUUCUCACCCCAAGAGCGUUAAGGUGGCAAAGAGCACCAAUUGCAGUACAAUAAUAGAGUUGUAGUUAUUUGGGGCACUCUCUAAAGAGCUCGAUGGAGCCCGUUUCACACAAAAUGAUUAACAAAGAGAAAUGUUAAAGUUACUUUUUUUAAAGUAGAACUCUUUGCGAGUUUUUUAUCACUUUAUAUUUUUGGUAUAAAUUUUAUAAUGUUGGAAUAAAAAUAGAUGUUAAAUUCUAAGUUGACAGAGAAUCUAUAAAAAAUCUCACUUUUAAAAUAAUCCUUUUAACAAAUUUGGCACAUGAAUAUCGUAGUCUGAAUUUUUUUUUUUUUUUUUUUUUUUUUUGUAAAAAUGUUGACAAGUACUAGACGGCUAAACGUGUAUAAAAUUUUAACAUAAUAUUGGAGGACUCUUUUUGCCAAACAAAUAAGCUUAUGCCACCUACCAUUCUUUCAAAAUUGGCAACCCAUUUACAUUCUGCCCUACCAAUAUUUUUUGGAUUUGUAUAACUUCAUUAAAAAGACAUUUAGACAUUUUAAGUGAACAUUCCAGUGAAUUCCUUUUAUUUUUGUUAUUCUUUUGUAUUUUUGGUCAUAAAGUAACCAACAAAUACAGUAUUUCAGAUGGGGUCUUGUACCAGAUGCGUGUCGUGUAUGGACAUCUCAUUCCAUAAAAAGGACGGGGAGGAAUAGUCGUAUCACUGAAGAUAGAAAGGACAAAUGAGUUGGAAAAAAUAAAUAAAAACAAAAACAUGACAAUUAACUUGGACGAAACAAAACCACGCAUGUUUUUUAUUACUAGAUUUUCAAACAUAGGAUAUCUAUACUAUUAUUUAUCUUUACUAAUUAAUAAAAAUACUCAUUGUUAACUAAAAUUUUAUGAAAUUACUAGUUUAACUCUUUAAUUAAAACAGAACAUGAAUAAGAAAUAUGAGACAGAAAUGUAAUUUCACACAAUCAAAUUUUGCUGUUUUUUUUUCAAAGCCUCAUCUACAUGUAAUCCUAACAUAUCUUUAAUUUAAAAAAUAUAUAUAAAAAAAAAAACUUCUCACUUCCACAUUUUCUAUCACUCUCUUCCUCUCUCCUUCUAUUUCAAAAAUAAAAAAUAAAAAAAGUUCUCACAUACUUUGUAUGUGCCCAUAUGCUAAUUUAUUUAUUAAGAGAACCCUCUUUGUCAACUUUUUGCCACGUUUUUUCCUAUUUUGCCCUUACUUUUGAUACACACUAGUGACAAAAUGAGGGCAAAAUAGUUAUUUUGUACCUUUUGACAAAAUGACAACCAUAUCCCUAUUUUACCCUUUUUUAUACUUAUUUUUCUAAUUUUACCCUCACUUUUGAUACACAAUAUUUAUAUAAGGAGGACAAAACAGUAAUUAUGUAAUAUUAAAAAAAUUAUGUACUUAUUAAGAGAAAUUAUUCACACACACAAAGUGUGUGCUCACUGAUAGUCUUCUAUAAUAAUAUCGAUGGUUAGAACAUGUGUGCUCACUGUGAUCAAACCACUCUAGAUUUUGGGUUCAAUCUAAACGUGGGUUUGAAGCUAUCUAAAUCCUAAAUUUAUGUAAUAAUUUCCAACACUCUUCUCUUUCUUUAAUAAUAAUAAUAAUUUCACGGGUAGUCUAAAAAAGUGUGAAAAGCCUUACUAAUUAAUGAUAGCUCAUAUUGAAUUAUAAACUAAUUGCUACAUCGAGACCUUUUAUUAAAAAAAAAAAAUUUGACAGAAGUAUUAGAUUAAAAGGAAAACUAAUGAAAAGGGUUUGAGUUUUAAUGAUAAAGAUAAAAUAAAGAGUAAAGUGAAUAGUACCAUGAUUGACUUUUUAGUGUAAAAAUGUGAUUUUUCGUUAAAGUGAACAGUACUAGGAGUUUUUCGUUAAAGUUCCCCUAGAUUAAACGAGUAAAGUUGAAAUCUUUUAACAAGUGAUCUUCUAUCACAAUAGUGAAGAAGAGUAUUGUCUUUGCUAGACCCUGUAGCUUUUGACAUGACACAAAAACAACACGAAAAUAAGGGGUUUCGGAUCAACACGAUAACCAAUCGGCUCAUUAUCAGGUGACCCGUUAAGAACCCGUUAAUAAUGGGUUCUUAACGGGUAUACACGCGGGUAAUACGUGGGUAACUUGUUUCGACCCGUUAAGAAAAAAAUUAUUUUGAUAAUUUUAAAGUUUUAAGUACUAAAAGAUUUAUUAAAAAAUACAAUAGCCAUAUUAAUAUAUACAAUAUAUUCUAUAUUAAAUAUAUAGUUUUGUAUUAUUAUUCUAUAUAAGUUAAAAAAAAAGGUUUUAUUUAUUAUUUAUUUUUAUUAUGAGAGUUCCUUAUUAUCAUUACUAGGAUAAAUUUUACUUAAUUUGUUGUCCAAAUUAAAAUAAACUAGUAUAAUAUUUGUAUAGGCAAGAACUAAGAAAACAUACAUACAAGUAUGAAAAAUAUGAAAGAAUAUAUAAACACUCUUGAUUCAUCAGUAUUCCUCCACGAGUAGAUAAUGGUUACACUUACAUUAUCAUUUAGAUUUUGAGUAAACUGUCGAUUUGCCCCCUAAACUUUCACCGAACUUUCGAUUCCCCCCUGAACUUUUCGAUUGGAAAAUUUCCCCCCUGAACUAAUUUUUUUAGCCAAUUUGCCCCCUACCGUUAGUUUUUCAAACAUUCCAUUCAAAUUUCUGUUAAGUGAGACCAUGUGCACAACAUAUGAGGGUAGAUAAGUCAUUUCACUCUUAAAAAUGAUUAAAAAAUUGAAAAUAAAUUUUAAAAAAAAAAUUCCCUCUAUUUUUUACCUCUACCGCCGAUCUCCUUGUACCCACCAUUACCACCUCCUCCCACCCCUGAGACCCAUCAACCACCAUAUCCGGUCCUCCCCCUUCCCACACACACAGACUCCUCCUUCCCCUCUCUAUUUGUUAUUCUACGAACAAUGCAAGGAACGAAGAAAGUGGGAAGAGAGAGAGAGAGAUUUGUGAUGCAGGAAGAGGGUUGGGUCAUUGGGGUAGCAGAGGGUGGGGCCAAAUCAGGGAGUGGGGUUACAGUUGAGGGAGAUGAGGGUAGGGGGAGGAUGUCGUAGGGGUGGGUGAUGGGGGUGCGGAAAGGAAGUGGUGGUGGCUGGGGUUUUUGUAUUUUUUUCUUUUUUCUUUUCUUCGAUCUGUUUUUGUUUAAUCAUUUUUUUUAAUAAUGUAAAAUUAGUAGAAUGUUCAUGCCAUGAAGACAAUAACACCGUAUGUCAUUUUUUAUACAUAGGAAUGAGUGAAAAAUAAAAUUGAGGAUAUGAAUUAGAGGGAAAUUUUCAGUUUUUUAAUCAUUUUUAAGAAUGAAAUGACUUAACUACCCUCAUAUGUUGUGCACAUGGUCUCACUUAAUAGAAAUUUGGAUGGAAUGUUUGAAAAACUAACGGUAGGGGGCAAAUUGGCUAAAAAAAUUAGUUCAGGGGGGAAAUUUUCCAAUCGAAAAGUUCAGGGGGGAAAUCGAAAGUUCGGUGAAAGUUUAGGGGGCAAAUCGACAGUUUACUCUUUAGAUUUUUAAAAUCCUCCAAACUCUCAUGAAUAAUGUUUCUUAUUUGAGGGCAAAAUUAAUAAAAUUAAUAAUAAUUAUUGUAGAAGUGUAAAAAAUGUAAUAUAUAUAUAUAUAUAUAUAUAUAUACACACACACAAUUACUCAUAGUGACAAGCUUUACAACUUUCAUGAAAGGGUCAGCUUUGAAAUCCAACUCUAUAAUCCAUAAACCUUAAAUUUAUAUUUAACCGUCGAUUGUAUUCUUCUUAUUGAAUUUCAUUUUUUUAAUUUAUUUUUAAAACAUGAUCAUCUGGCAGAUGUAAGAAGAUGAACGGUUCAUAUAUAUCACGUUUCGAUAUUUACGGUUAACUAAAAUAUGAGUCGAUGUCAUAUAGUUUGUAGAAACUUUAUAACAAUAAGCAAUAUUUUUACUAACCGUAAAACUUUGAAUAUAAUAUCAACGAUCCAAACCGUUCAUCUUUCUGCAUACUCUAAUAGAUUAUGUUUUCAAAAAACAAAAUCUGAAAAAACAAAAUUUGAUGAGAACAAUGAAGCGUAAAUGUAAACAACAAUCAACGGUUAAAUUUUGAUUUAUGAUUUAUAUGAUUAUAUUGGCGAAUUUCGAAGUUAAGCUCUUCAUGAAAGUUAUAAAGCUUGUCAUUACGAACAUUUAUAUAUUUUUUCUAUAUACUUAUUUAGUAUUAUGUUUUUCAUUUGAUUAUUUAUUGGUUUAAAAUAUAUUUUCCUUAACUGGUAACUGGUCAGGUCAUAUUACCUGUUAAUAUUAUCGGGUCAAAUCAUUUUACCCGUUUAAUUUAACGGAUGUUACACGACACGAUCCGUUAAGAUAUCAGAUAUAACAUAAAAAACACAACACGAAUAUCAAGUCUGACUCUUUGCACUAUUGUGUGAGUCCGAAUUGCGUCAACUUCCUAAUUUAACAUCAAAGUUUCCAACAACCAUUCUUCCAAAUUGGUGAACCCGUCCCAUAUUCAAACUCCAAAGUCCAAACUGUCCAAAAAAAUCAAGUUAGUUGAAAAAUAUAAUUUCUUUUAUAUAAGGUAGAUAGCCCAUGAGGUUCAUUUACUCUGGCCAGUUUUGACGCGACUGGUUUAAUCGGACGUGGUAGGUUUCAGACCGUUCAAAACAUCUCUUGCUGUUCUACCCCUCAACCCCAUCGACGUCACUCAAAUCUUCUUCUUUUUUCUUUCUCAUUUUGGACUUCCCAGAAAAAAAUAGACCAUAUUAAUGAGAGCCCAUAAUUCCAACAAAAUAGAGGUGAUGGCCAAUUAUUUUAUUCAUUCAUCAGCUCCAUACUCUCUGUAAACAUCUCCUCCACACUCUCCAUCUCUCUCUGACUGUUAGUCUUCCAAUUCAUCCAUCGCUUGGGGACUGUCAUUGGGUUAAUUUGCAGGUAACUCCAGUAUAUGAGUCUCUCUCUCUCUCUCUCUCCAACUCUCUCCGACUGUUAGUCUUCCAACUCAUCCAUCGCUUGGGGAGUGUCAUUGGGUUAAUUUGCAAGCAACUCCAGUAUGUUAGUCUCUCUCGCUCUCUCUCUCUGUUUUACCAUGCUGCAAAGUUUUUGGGUAUGAUUUUCUAAACAUAAUUGGUUGGUUGGAUAAUAUAGAUUGGAUACCAGGAAUAUGAAAUGAUUCAUAACUAUCGACUGAUGAGUGGUUGUUGUCGUAUUAAGCUACUGAUAAGUUAGCGCUUUAGUUUUUCUAUACGUAUGUCUGUAUAGAUAUAUAGUUGGUUUUCUGUCGAUCUGCAUUUUGUAAGAGUUGAACAGAGCUCGACGUAAAACCCGAGUUCUGGGCGGAUGUCUAGUUAUUUUAGCAACUGCUCAGUAUGGUGAUUAAGUUACUUUUUACUAUUUGUAACUAGUCGAUUAAUUACAAGAAUACGUUCACUAACUUGAGGAACAUUGCUGUGAAUGAAGGACUUAGGUGGGUAGGAGUUAGGUGGGUUCAAACUUGAUAGGCAAUGUGCGGCUGUCGUUUCUGUUGACUAGUUGUUACGUGGCAUAUCUAGCUUCACGAUAAUUUGCAUUUAAUUGAUCAUUGUACCCCUAUCUCUCUAUAUCUCUCUCCAUCUCUCUAGCUGAUACAGCUCAUCAUCAUUUAGCUUUGCAUUUGUUUUUUUAUUGUUGGUCAUCAAUCCUAUUUUCCGAUUCUGAUAGGAACAGUUGCCAAGUGAAUUCAAGUUUCGUAUCCGCAAUGGCGCGAAAAGAAGUAUACCCAAUGUCUUUCAAUAAAGUAUUAGACAUUUCACAUACUAAUGAGUAAAUAUAUUAAUAUAAUUCUCCUAUUUCAUAAAAUGUGGGAACGCAAACCUUAGUUUAGUCAAGUUAAUUAAAGUAGUGUACUUCACCCUCUACGUCACAAAACAUGCAUGAAGUAUUUGCAGCUAACUGAAGACUUGAUGCAAAAUCGAGGGAACUGACGUUCUAGGAUUCAUACAGCCGAUCUCAUUAAUGAGAUAAUGCUUUGUUGUUGUUGUUGUUGUAUUUAUCAUUUUGUACGGAAAAAAAAUAUGAAAUCAUGUGGGCCGUUAAGCUCAACAUGUCAGUUAACCUCCUUUGAUACUAAAACGGUAGUUGAGAUUUCACUCUAAAACUAAUACGCAGUAAAUGAGUAGUCCAACUCCUUAUAAGACCUUUAAAUGUUUGUAAUUCCCCGAUGUGGAAUUGACACUCUCACCGUUGUUAACCGGCUGUGAGCCUUCAAAUUUGGAGACCUGAAUUUUACAGACUAGAAACCCAGUCUCCAAAAUUUUCUCCUUGUAGUGCAAGAAUGAAUUAAAACAAUUUCCAUGAGAAUAAUAUCCAAUCUUUUUUCUGAAGGCAGUUGUAUUUAUAUUUGGCACUUGCCUUGCAGAUCAAGUAACUAGACUCACUUGAUCACAUCACAUGGGAGAAGACAUUAAAAGGAGUCUCUUGGUAAAAGAGACAAGUGCCGGGGAAGAAGAGACUAGAGUUAUUGAUGGCGAAGAGGAAUUGUCACUGAAAAGAAGGGUAUGGAUUGAAAUCAAGAAGAUGUGGCUGGUGGCUGGCCCUGCUAUAUUCACCAGAGUUGCGUCUUUCGGAACAAAUGUCGUCAGUCAAGCGUUUAUCGGUCACAUUGGCUCUCUGGAGUUAGCGGCUUUUUCACUCGUGUUCACAGUACUUGUCAGGUUCGGAAACGGCAUCUUGGUAUGUUUAUUAUGGCUCCCUUUACUAUUUCUUUUAUUUGAUCUUGUUUUUCAGAUGUUCUUGGGGACCAAUUGCAAUCGGCAUACCACUCUCAAUUUCUUUUCGCAGUUUUUGAACUCCACAGUGAAUUAAUUUGAAAGAAGUUGCAUUUAAAGCAGAUAUAGUUUUGUUUAGUGCUAAAAUCUUAAAUUUAUAGCAGAUAAAUUUUUUAAGUUCGUGGUUGUCUCAAAGACUAGUUCAAGAUCGUGUUCACUUACUGUUUUUAGUUGUGUUGUUAAUGUACUUCAAAUGAACGAAUUCAUAAUAAUGGCUUCGAAGAUCAGCGAUUGAGUAUUCGUCAAGUUUUCUUUACUUUAUAACUUGCAUUUGCAUAUGAUCUAUGUACCCCAACUUGUAGCUGAAAAAUGUAUUACCCCAACUACAUUCUGGUUUGUCAUCUGUUUUCCAAAUUGUAGAGGCAAAUGUGAAAUAAGCGUUAUUUUCUAAUGGCUACUGUACCAAUUAGUUCACGAAGUUAUCUGCUCUACGAAAACUUAACCAUAACAGCUAGGCUUUUCCGUGUGAUCUGACUGAUCGAUGUUUCUGAAUCUGUUACUCUACAGCUUGGCAUGGCAAGUGCGCUGGAAACUCUCUGUGGUCAAUCGUAUGGUGCAAAACAGUACAACAUGCUCGGGAUACAUCUUCAGAGGUCAUGGAUAGUACUGUGUGUAGGCACAUUAUUCCUUAUUCCUCUUUUCGUCUUUACAACCCCCAUUUUUGAGGCUUUGGGCCAAGCAGACAAUAUUUCAGAAGUUGCAGGAUAUAUUUCUCUAUGGGUAAUCCCUGUGCUUUUUGCCUUUGUUGUAUCAUUUACCUGCCAAAUGUACUUACAAGCGCAAAGCAAAAAUAUGAUCGUUGCAUAUGUGUCAGCGGUUUCAAUUGGAAUCCACAUCUUUCUUUGCUGGCUUUUGAGUGUGAAAUUUAAGUUUGGGGUUCCCGGUGUGUUGGUGUCGACGAUUAUAUCAUAUUGGUUACCCAACGUGGGUCAGCUUUUGUUUAUUCUGUGUGGUGGAUGCCCCGAAACAUGGACAGGCUUCUCAAUGUUAGCUUUUACUGAUCUCUGGGAUGUCGUCAAGCUUUCUCUGUCAUCCGGCGUUAUGCUUUGGUAAGAAUUUCUAUUUGUUUCGGCUUUUAUUUUGUCCCUUAUUCCAUAGGUUUCUUUAAGUGCGCACGUAUAAGUUGUUAUAAAUUUACUGAUUUCGGUCAUUGAUAGUAUCUGCAUGGAGGCCUUAUGAACUAGGUGCUUUCACAUAGACACAAAUCACAUAACUGUUAUUCAUUUACAGUCUUGAGCUUUGGUACAACACAAUCUUGGUCCUUUUAACGGGAAACAUGGAAAGCGCUGAAGUUUCUAUCGAUGCCCUAUCUAUUUGGUAAGUUUUAGAGCCUUCCUCUUCCUUGUGAUCCUAAUCUCUGAUCAUCCAACUGUUUUCAAUGCUAAAUUUUCCGACAUAAUUGCAGCCUCAACAUCGUGGGGUGGGAAAUGAUGAUAUCUCUCGGUUUCCUGGCUACAGCAAGGUACUUAUUCUCGUUCUUCAGAAAAUUGUUCUCUGCGAACACGAUGAAAAUUAUAUAAGAUCUUCAUCGGAGCAAUGCCUCACUUUUGAAUAUACGCUCUUUGACAUAUUCUUAGAACUUCAUAUGUUUUUAUGUAAUGUACUGUUGUACUGAAGUGUGCUUGAUAUCUUUCACUAGUGUACGAGUGUCGAACGAGCUUGGAAGAGGUAGCUCAAAGGCGGCAAAGUUCUCGAUUGUGGUUAUUGUGUCGGUAUCACUCUCCAUUGGAUUGGUGCUUUUCGUGCUUUUCUUAUUCUUGAGGAAAAAACUUGCGUACAUUUUCACCAACGAUGAGGCUGUAGCUGACAUGGUUGCUGAAUUGUCUCCUUUGUUGGCCUUCUCCAUACUGUUGAACAGCGUUCAACCCGUGCUCUCUGGUACUGUUUCCAUUUCUCUAAAAUACGUAAUCGUAUUAUUUCGCCUAGAUUAGGUAGGUCGAUACCAUGAAGAAAACAAUUUCCUUCUGUGUCUUCAAGUACCAGUUGAUUAGUUAACUUAGUACAUUGCAAUUAUCAUGAACAUUUCUUGUUUCCGAAGGAACGUAUUAUAAAUCUUGAAGAGUUCAUAACGUAACGAAUCUUUCAUCGACAGGAGUUGCUCUGGGAGCUGGAUGGCAGAAAUAUGUAGCAUAUGUGAACCUAGGCUGCUAUUACGUUAUAGGGAUCCCUGUUGGAGUUGUGCUUGGUUGGCCUCUAAAAAUGCAAGUCAAAGUAAGCUACUCUCUCUAUCUUCUUCUCACUCAGUCUAAUUUUUGUUAGGGUUCGUUUGGGGUCCCCGAUACUGGGUUUUGAGACUGGAGUCCGAUGCAUGUUUUGUGACGUUGAAAUGGUUAUCGAACGAGCCCCCUACCAAAUCACUUCAAUAGUCGUGUUUUCUCUUCGAUUUGCUCUUUGCAAUAACUCAUUUUAUCAAUCCUCUUCUGCAGGGUGUUUGGAUUGGAAUGUUGUUUGGAACAUUAGUCCAAACUAUUGUGCUAAUGAUACUCACCUACAAGACUGAUUGGGAUAAACAGGUAGAAUUAAUAUUUGAUUGUUUUCUAUGCAUCCUUCACUAAAAUUAACAUGACAUACUGAAAGAACCUUUCUUCAGAACCAAGAAACUAAAACAUGUAUCAACAUCUACAGGUAGAUAUAGCUCGUAACCGCGUUAGCAGGUGGGGUCGAACAAAUAACGAAGAAUCGAAUCCCGACACAUGAAGAAAUGUCUGAUUUUUAUCGUCCUUCAAUUGUUCUAGUCCCACCACGAGAAAGACGCACAGAAGUAACACUUCGUGCGAGCAGAGGAUCUUUUGAGGGUUAAUUGUGUUUUCCAUUUUGCCCUUCAUUUUUAUUUGAUUCAAAUGACUUUCGUUAUGAAAUUGAGGGACAUUAGAGCAUUCUCAACAGAGUGGAGUCAAGGACUCCAGAUACCGCUAAACCAAAUAGUCAUUUGCAUUUUUCGGCGGUAAAUAAAGUGGCCAUUGGCGUUUUUUUGUCGACAAACAAUAGGAUAAUUACACAAAAUUUUUCUUUGAUUCAAACAAGUUUCAUUUAUGAGAGCAUUCUCAACAAAGUAGAGUCAUGGACUCUAGGUACCGCUAAGCCAAAUAGUCACUGGCCCUUUUUUGGGUGGUAAACAAAAUGGCCGUUGGCAUUUUUGUGUCGACAAGCAAUAGGAUAAUUACACUAAAUUUAUUUAAAAAGCGGGAAGCAGCACAGCGGAACAAUAAAAUCCCACAUAGGUGAGGCGUAGAAAGAAACACAUGAAACUUGGACCAAAACACAGAGGUAUAAUCCUCCCAGAUGGCUCGCAGCUCCAUCAUAGCUAAAAAUGGCUUCCAAAAGAAAGGGGGAGAAAAAAAAUGGCCCAUCCUCCGACCCCGUUGUGCCGGAGGACAGGGUAAACCAUCACGAGACAAGACUUUAACCGAACAGGGCGGGGAACCUGAAAUUUACCGACCCCUUCAUCAAUGAGAAGGGAAAUAUUAAUAUGUCAUAACCUUGAUGAUGAUAUGGCACUUGGACGAAAGAAAAUUGCACAUGUAACUUCUCAGAUAGAAUUACAGAUGGUGAGAGCACUAAAGUUAGAAGUUUACAAAAGAGAGGGAUCAUCUUCUCAACAGAUUGUAUGCUGGUAAAUCCUUUACACUGGAGACAUCCUCGAGUGCAAGCUCGCGUUCCAACUGACUUGUUGUAGACUUCAUAACAUCCUGGAAAAAAUUAAAAACAGAAUCAGAAUAAGAAGAAUACAGUGCUUUGCAUCUUAAAUUCGUGAGCGGAGUGACAAUGAUUUACGUUGAAGUCCAUAUAAGAAGCACGCUUUGCGAGCCAUUGAGCAUCCAUCAUCUGGAAGGCUACACAAUAAAGUUUGUCAAAUGCCAUCUCAUCUUCUUCAAGCAGUUCGAGAAAACGGAUUCCAGCCAAAGUAGUUGGCUUUGCUGCAAGAAAAUAUAUCCGAUUAUUUAUUUAUAAACACAGCAUCAGCGUUCAGAAUUUGAGGGAGGAAACAAAGAACUCUUCAGAUAAACAUGCUAAGCUGAUGCAUUCUUGUCAAAUGGUUAAGAUCGUCCAUCCUCUCGCUUAAAAAUUUAACGGUACCUGAUUGAAGAUCCAACAUUUGUGCCAAGACAAAAGAAAUAUUGAUGCCAGCUACAGCAAAGGGAUAUUCCCAGUCAGCUCUAGUUCCAUCUUGUUUGUGCAACAAUCUCUGGAAUGAUUCCUGUAAGAUGAUCAAAUCAGAAACUCAUCAACCCUUUCAUGACUUCUGCAGAAACAUGGAACAAAAUGAAAACUUAAUUAAAAUAGAAAGUCUUGCACGCUACAUUCAAAAGAAAGCAAUAUUUUGACACCCAUACACAUUAAAGCAUUGAAAGGACAAUAUUUCUAUGCACAUGCAUCAUGUAUGCAAUAACCUACAAGUUUUGAACAUACGAGAGAAAUGUAAGACAGAAUGUCUUGCAAGCAUGAUGCUGGGAAACAAAGAUAGACAGACAGACUAAGAAAGUAAAUCUGAAGGGAGUGGUAUUAUUCUGGUUAUAAGUUAUAACAAUAAGAAAAAUGCAUCUCCUUUGAGCACUUAACCCAACAAUCCCAGCAUCAAAAACCAAAAGCAUUCCUCUCAUGUAAGUAAUAGAAUGAACUCAAACCCUUCUUUUCUUUGAAGCGAAGAUGAUGAAGGGUACUAAUUCACCAAAAUAUAAAAAAGGGCAAGACUUCCAGUUUAUCAAAGGGCUGGCAUCCAAAAUAGCACCAAUAUCUGCAUUGAUAACACCGCUACAAAUGUGGGACACUGAAACUCUACCCCCGCUAUAAUAUUUGUCGAUAUUUUAUAACUUUGAGCACUGAAUCUACUGAUAUCUCAGACAAGGCCGAUAUUUUCAUCCUUAUCACAGAGGCUUUCUCUAAAAGUCAAAGCACCGAGGAAAAUUUCCAACUUCAGAACCAUUAAUAUUUGUGAAACCCAAAACUUCAAAUGCAGCAAGGAUUCUCCACUCAGCCUUGCAAUGAAAGUUUACUUAUGUAGUAAUCAGUGUUCAUUGUAAAUCAUAAAAAUCACAUUCAUCAGAACAGUGAAAGGGGCAAAGAAUUUGGAUGGCUCAAGUUUAAUAAAUUAAAGGUUUAAAGAAAACACGGGAUAAAUCUCAAAGUAACAGAAAAAUAUAUCAAAGGCAUACAAUUUUUUUAUCUACUAUUGAGAGAUUUAUUUGCUAAAAUGAAAUAGAACCUACCAGCCUAUUAUAAUUGAAAAAAAUAAAUUAAGUUAGAAAGAGACAAACCGGAUACUGCUGGGCAAAAAAGAUAAGAUUCUCCAAUGAUAUAAAUCCCCCACCUCUGCAAAUAAAGUUUGAAAUUUCUCGUUAUCAUUUUCUUUCACAAAGGAAAUAUGAAACAAAAAUAUAUGUGACUCACAUCACUAUAAUUUCAUCUCGUUUAAACUACACACCUAAAAUCUGUUGAAGGGUCUGAACCUUGCCAACCCAUCUGUUUCCAAAGGUCUGAUUUAAGAGGUGGGAGCUCCUUAUCCGGAUAAGCCAACCUCCAUAACUGUAAGAGCGCAUCCUGCAAUUAACAAACUCAAUUUGUGUUUAAAAUUGAAACAACAAAACUAAAUUGAUUAAUUCAAUGUCCAGUAAUAGUACAAACAACUCUUCUAUUUUUUUUAAAAUCACUUGGACAUUGUUUAUCAUCAUAAUCAAUUUUCAGUCUAGAAAAAUCAACUAUGAGAAGUUUGUAAAGUUUUAAAACCAGCAUGGCUGCAUCCAAAAUUUUCAUUAAACUCACAGGAGGAGGCUAUCCUAAGGUACAAUAUAAAGAAGAUAUAGAAUAGUAUCAUUCCAAAAACAUUGUUCAAUAUUUUCCCAAUUUCUUCAUGGCGAUUGCAUCCAGAAUUAGUAUGAAAAUAAUACCAGGGAUGCAUGCACAUCUUGGGAUGGAACUAAAGUUAAACAAACCAACUAACUGUAAAUACUUACAUUUGUCUGAACGAAGAGCACAAGUUUAGACAUUUUGGGCAUGAAGUCAACCAAAAUAAAAGAAAAUAAUGAUACUAAUAGCCCACAGUAAGUGUGAUACAGUAGUACUAGUAACACAAACAGAAAAAUGAUCAAAAUGCUGUGAAAUGGAAAAAAAAGACCUACUUGAUGCUCCACACGAGAACCAUCAAAGGGUACUUGAAGCCUUUGUCGUAGAUAUCUGAGUCUUGCUUCCUAGAGGGCACAAACACCCACACAAGUGAACCUCAUAUUAAAAAAAUAUAUAUUAUACCAUAUAUACACAUCCAUGAUGAAAAAACAGUAUAAAUCGUUGUCAUUCCGUUGUUCCAAACAUCAAUAUUACGGAUAUGUUCCCCUAACAACUAAAAAUCAAAUUGGAGGGUCAAGAUCAAAGAAGAGAUCUACUAGAAGGAAUUACACCAUCCUCCAAGCCCAGAAUCAAAAGAAAAAUGAAAAGCCAAAUAAGAAACUACCAGCUUGCAAAGCAAUUGGAAACCAGCUUCUAAUAACAGAUUGUAAUUUUCAUCACAAGCACACCCAUUAAUGAUGAAGUAUUCUACAGUCCUUACUCUGACUCCCCAGAGUUAGUAAGCCAAAGUUAACUUUCACAGUUCCAAAUUCAUAAACUUAAAUUUUAAACCAGCCCACACUCCUUGAAAAUGUAUGAUAGAGAGCUUUUAAAUGAGACCACACCCCUUGAAUAUAACCCAAGAGAAAGAAAAAAAAUAUCAUAAAGGUAAAGACAUUUCAUUUCUCAAAGGUUAUAAAGAUCAUAUCAUUUCAUUGGACAUACUUGCAGAGGACUAAGAGGAGGAGCAAACAACUUAGCACUUUCUCCAUUUUGUGUAGUUGAAGAGAAGGUCAAAAGCCGACCAAUAAGUGAUCCAGAUCCAAGAACAAUAUUUGCUACAAAAGAGAAAACCAGAAAAAUUAAGUUCCAAAACUAUAAGUAUAUUUCCACUAUAUAAAAUACAGAACAAAAUUCACAUAGUAUGAACAGUAUAAUGAUCACGAUCCGAAAUAUGUGGAAUGAGCUGUGUCUUGACUCUUAUCAAAUUUAACUAUAUCAAACUCCUCAACAGAAUUUUGAAUGAUCCUCAGGGUACUUUAACUCGUCCAAUGAAAAUAUUGCCAACCUUUAGGACAUUUCAGUAACCUAACACUUGAAAUUUGAUGAAAUCAUAGAACGACUGACCAGGAAUCAUAUCACUUAAUUAAAUGGUUGCUUAUCAAGUGGGUACCUUUCUAAGAAUGAUUCCAUAGUUGCUGUUUAUUUGGUUAGAUCAUGUUCUAAAAAUCUAGCUGUAUAAUGCCCCAUCACUUAUGGGCAAAGUUGAGAAAAGCUUUCCAGUAAAACGGUAAAGUCUUAUUGACAACAAAAAUCUUGAAUACCUAACCACCGUGCCCACUGCGCAAUCAACUGAGAAAACAGAAGGGUCCAAUGGAGGUGUUCCUUUCUCCGCUCAUCAUCCCAGAUCUCUUCAAGCGUCGUUUCCUGUGGUGCAUCCCAAAAAGAUAUCAAUCACAAAAGGCCAAAAAUAACUAUUACUGAAAAAAAAUAAAAAUCCUAUCCUCCAUUUAAAUGAACAAAUAAAAGCCUCACCUCUGCACGCCUAUCUGAAUAAUUUCCCAGUAGAGGCACAUUAAGUUCAUCUGACUCCGACGUCUCCAAAUGCUCCAUCUUUUUCCCAUCCACAUCCCCAUGAUGAAACCUUUUCCUCAAAGUUGCCGACGCCAUGGCGCUUCGUAUAUAAUCAGACUGCAUUUUCAAACAAAUCAUCUCAUCAGUCGCGUUGUUACAAGCCAAAUGCAGCAUCUUUCACACACUGGCAAACAACCCAAUACUACAUUCUCUCCAAACUUCCAUUAAAGCUAACAACUUUCCACCCAAUCGAAAACCAAAUCACAAACCCUUAAGCACAUUACUUAAAUCCCAACCACUAAAUAAGUGCAAUUUCAGACUAAUCCACUACUGCAUACAGUCCCAGAGCUACUGAGAUACACCCACAAAUUUCAAUUCCAUAAACCCUAACACUGAAAAAACUCGGAUUCAGUUCGGAAUAUCAAAUGGGUUUGUGUCAUCUUCCAAUUCAGGCCCAUAAAUCAAGUUUACAUUAGCAAAAACGAAGAAAUACCAACAAAUCAAAAGUUGAAGAAGAAGGAGAAGACAGAGGAUUGCUGACGCCUCACCUUACGUUACCUAUGGCUUCCGCAGACGACCCCAAAACUGAAUAGCCUUUCGUUCUUCAGUGAUUUUUGUGCUGACAAUCGAAUCGAAUAGCUUGCUCUUCUAUAUGUGACUUUAUUCUUCAACCCAAAAUUCUGAAAAAUCAAAAAAUUGUAUAUCUAUCGAUUCUGUGUGUGUGUGUUUAUUCAGAGUAUUGUAUUGGUGAAGACGACUUUCUGAAUCCAGAGUUUGACGCCAAUUCAAUGCGAGCACAGCCGAGGUGACGUGCCUAUAACGUUUUAAAGCUUGCAGCUUUUUUUUUUUGUUUUUUUGUUUUUGUUUUUUUUUUUGUUCUUACUUGUUCAGAAGUAAUCGUGUUAUCAGAAGGAAUAGUGUUUAUCUUAGAUUUGAUUUAGAACUCUUAUUUUAAUGUAUAGAAGUAAUCAUGUUAUAAGAAGUAAUUGUAUUUAUCUUAGAUUUGAUUUUCAGAAUUUUUAUUUUAAUGUUCAGAAGUAAUCGUGUUUAUCUUAUAUUAGAUUCUUUAAUUUUAAUCUCAACUAUUUAUUUCUCGAUAAAUUAAGUGAAGGUUAGGGAUUUAGCUUAUAAUUGUCUGAAUGAUGAUUGUAUUCAGUUUUGGAAAGUUGAAGGUUCGAAAAAAUUGAUUUUUUUAGAAAUUAGAUGCAAUUACUAAUUCAUGAUCUAGCAUGUCUAGAACAAAAACUCAUUCUUGAUUCUAGGAGAAUUUUUAAGAAAGCCUUUCGUUUGCUCAUCUUCGGUAGACCAAUUUAAAUUCUUUUCUUGUUUACAUGCCCAUGCAUUUGGACAAUCUUUCGCUAUACACAAAAAGUAAAUAGUUUUAGUGCGGAUAACAUCAUCCUGAGUGUUAUUAUUCCACUCACAUUAUAACGUAUGAGUAUUUAAAAAUGGAGUGUAUAACAUUGUCGCCUACAUAUACAUAACAUAUGGAAUAAGAGUUCGUUUGGAAGUGUUUUUUAAAAUACCUGAAAGAGUUUUUGGUGAAAUUGACUUUGUGUUCGAAAAACACUUUAAGUGUUUUUUGGAAGAAGUAUCAAAUAUAUAUUUCUUGCAGGAAGCACUUAAAAGUGCUUUUUUAAGAUCCACUUGUUUACUGAGGAUUAGUUUCAAAAAUAUUUUCACCAAAACAUUUUCAGUUAUUUUAAAAACAUUUGUAAACGAGCCCCAAUACACCAUGUGGUAAGUGUUUUCAAUACACGUAAAAAAAAAAUAUUUAUAUAGGACGAAAGUCUAAUUUUAUUUGGUGUGCCGUCAUCUAGUCUCCCAUAUUACUCCAUUAUGUUUUGUUCAAAGAAAAUCAAUAGCAAGACGAUUUCCCAGCAAAAUGAAGUGUGUGGGUGCCAAUAGCCAACCUAGUUGGCAUGUACACAUCUUAUAGUGAUCUUGCUACCUAAUUUACCUAAUUUAUCUUACAAAUGUGAUAUGUUUUCAGAUUGGAUAUCACAAGUCCUUAAUUUCUUCAUAUUUUCUAAAUGAAAAAAUUAUAGCAUCAGUCUCUCAAUUUUAAUCCAAUUCAAACAAAGGAAAACUAAUGAAAAGGGCUUGAAAACUUUGAGUUUUAAUGAUAAGGACAAAAUAAAGGGUAAAGUGAAUAGUAACAGGAUUGACUUUUUAGUGUAAAAAUGUGGUUUUUCGUUAAAGUGAACAGUACCAGGUGCUUUUCGUUAAAGUUCCCUUGAAACAAUGAUUCCUUAAUUACAAAUCCAUGACCCUUGGUCCCUAAACUCAUCAAAACGUGCAUAUAUAAUAAUUUUUGUCAACUCGUCAAAAUGACUCAUGUUGGAAGGACCAUUGUUAUAAUUAGGUUAAAAUUGAGAGAUCAUUGCUUCAAUUAGGUUAGAGUUAAGGGGUCAUUUCUUCAAUUGAGUCAACGUUGAUGGACCAUUGCUACAAUUUUUUUUUUCAUUUGGUUUUCCAUAUUUGCCCAUUUUUUCAGCCUAUGUGGCAUGUGACUUAUUUUGACAAAAGUUAUACGGAGUUGACAAAAAGAACCAUAGCUGCACAUUUUGAUAAGUUAAGGGACUAAUAGUCAUAGAUUUUAGUUGAUUGGCCAUUGUACCAAUUAAAUUAAAGUUGAAUGACCAUUGCUACAAUUUCCUCUUUCUAAUAAAAUUCAGGUCCUCUUGAUUGACACCGAGGCCCGACAAGAGCCCAAAAAAAUUCAAGGCCGGCUCAGCCCAAUUUUUAUGGGAGAUGCUAUCCACACCCCGCCUAAAAUUAACACGGUGUAUAAAAGAAUAAAAAAAAGUGUGAAUGCUACAAAUUUAUAACUAGUGUAUAAAGCACAAUUGUAGCCAAGAAAGCAGCAUCAGCCCACUCGAGAGGGGAGUCGACGAAAUGCAUCUCCCAAUACUACUCAUCUUCUGAAUGUCGAUCGGGACGCAACCUCCCGGAAGCAGCUGAAGAAACACUAUCAAGGUAAAGGCAUAUCCAAGAUUUAAAGUACGCAUUUAGUAAUAUGCCCCAAACGAUGUUUACAACGCCAAUGAAGUUUGCACAGGUACCUUCAAGUUAGGCACUUCAUGUCAAUAUGAAAUAUAGCUACCGCGAAAAUUUACGUGUUCUACGACACAUCAAAGGACUCUGUGCAUAAAUUGGCAAGGGGCAGGUGGACCUAGGUGUUUAAAAAGACCAGACGCUACUCUCUACUAAUUUACAUAAUAACACAAUGCCUCUGAGAAAUUCCACCGGCUCCAUAGAUUUCCAUGACGAUGUUGUCACCAAAAGUUUUGGGUACCUACGCUGGUUUUGCCCGAGAUCCAGGAUGGGAAAUUCUUACUAGGUGAAAUAAACAACUUACUGUCGAGGUACUGGCUGCGUAUUUGACUGAUUACUUUGCCCAUAGAACCCCAUACCCAGUGGCCGAUAAUAACCCCCAGUGGCCGGCUGCAACUGCUGCUGUUGUUGCUGCUGCUGAGGCUGCGACUGCUGUUGCUGCUGACUGGGCCUCGACAUGCUCAUUGAAAUAUGUGGAGGUAUGGGGGGUGGAGGUGGUAAAGUAUUUGAUCCAUAUCCAUAAGGAACUCCACCCACCAUAAGACCAGAGGAUUGGACGUAUUGAUUCGCUGGUGGAGUUGCAGUAGACGGUGAUGGCGCUGGAGGUGGUGGUGGCGGACCAAAAGGAUUUUGCAUCUGGUUACUUUGGGACAUGGGCUGCAUCGUUGCUGAGGACGCAAUUGGAACACUGGUCAUUGCCUGCUGGAGAGACGUAAAAUAGGCUGCAUUGCCACCAUCAGGAUUGUUAACAUCAGACAUUUGUUUCUCAAGCUUGGGCCGUUUUUCUGGAGGAAACAUGGAUAAUCCUGAUGUAAAUCCAGCUGAUGUUAGGCUACCGGUCAUCGAGGCAGCUUCUUCAGCAACAAGAGAUGAAAGAACAGACGUUAACAUUUGUGCAGAAGAUGUAGACGCAGCAAGCUUAGCAGCAACAGCAGCUGCCGCUGCUUUCUUGUUCUCUUCAUCAGUAAUUUUGACAGGGGCAAAAGAAAGCACGGACUGCGUUGGAGGCUGAGGUGGGAUGCCAGUUUGUUGAAGUAAUGGUAUAUUUGGUUCUAAACCCCUGGUAGACUCAGGUGUCAUGUUAACGAUAUUGCUUUCGGGGUUCAGUCUCCUUUUAAUAUUACCUACCCUCUCAAUCUGAUGUCGAGCAACCUGCAUGGAAACAAAUAGUUCCUAUUAAUCACAGGGAGUAGCUAGCACAUAAAGGAAUUGCAUUAUAAGACAUGGUUUGAUACGCUUUGCUCCGGACCAACUUUAUAAACAGACAAACCAUUUGAGUCUCCUAAUAAGUGCAUCACCACAAAGGAAAAAGAAAAGAUAUUGUUGAUAUUGUUACACCUUUCAGCAGAUAUUCAAACCCGAUGAGUAGAUUUAUAACUUGGAAACAAUAAAUGAUCAACCUCACUGUAAAAAGCAAAGUGAAGAUUUCUCCAUGUAAGAUUAGCUCAAAUUCGUAAUGUUGGAACUAGAAGAUUUAAUUAGGGGAGGACAUAUCACUUUAACUGAUGUUGCAAGUGUUAUUGUCCAAGAGUAAUCAGCUUAUUCUUAUUGCCUCAUCCGUCUCCUGGGAACCUUGGGACUUCGCUUGCUAUUUGGAGUUAAAUGAGGGCUACCUAAAUCAGUGUCUCCAUUUGACAUCCUUGCAUGGCCAGUUCUAGAAGCCAAGGCACUGGAACUACUUGGAGCUCCGAGAGCUUCACUAUAUAGCUUCCAUAAUGCUUCUCAAGAAAAAGGACUAUUAGAAUAUUGACAGGGCAGGAACACUAAAUUUCUGUGAUUCUAACAUCACUCCUGAGGACUUCUUUUAUCUUUGAUGGAUAAUAAAGAAGGGGGUGGGGGGAAGGAUCAUAUUUUUCAUUGAUUCAACUGAGUAAUAAUAUACAGCCUACUGGUUCCAUAAAUAAAAUGAAAAAUAAUGAAAAUUCAGAGUGUUAUACUUUUAUGCGCAAACGGAAGCGAAUUAUAACAAAGUACCAAAUAUCAACAUCGUAGGUGAAAACUAAAACAAACAAUCUCAAACUGACACAAGAGAUUUACGUGGUUCGGCGUAAAGCCUACUCCACGGGCGAAGCACGGCGAGGAAUUUCACUAAACAAACGGAGAUUACAAAAGAGUGUUUAAACUCUCACAACCCAAAUCCCACAAAUUACAAACCCUAAACCAAAUGAGUAGAGAACCCAAACAAACAGAGAAGAUUCUCCCAAAGUGCUCUCUAACUCACCAAUUGAUUCUCACCAAAUUGUCACACGAAUGAGCCACACAAAAUACACUAACCCUAAGGUCCUAUUUAUAGUGCAUAGGACUUAGGUUAUAAUAAGAAUCCUAAUAGGAAAUAAAUCUAAAUCCUAAUCAAAUAGGUAAUUAACAAAAUCUCUCCACCAAGGAAACUAACUAAGAAGUCAAAACCAAAUCCAAAUAGGACAUCAAAACCAAAUAGGUAACACAAACCUAAUUUAUUGCAUCAUCCUAAUUUUGAGCAAAAAACCCAACACAGAGAUCAUCCAAAUGAGCUCAAUCAAAGCAAAUAAAUUAGCUCAAUCAGCACCCUUAAAUUAGCUAAACCAAAUUAGCUCAAUCAUCCCUAAAACAGAAGGCUCUCACUCCCAGCUUGCUGCAAAUGAAAUCAAGAACAUGCUACGAGAUUUCAGAAAAACUUGAGCAACUUGAGCCUACAGUACUAAAGGCACUUACGGUUAUUCAAUUUUGUGUUAGUCACAAAGCCGAAGAAGAGGGAGUUCUUUCUGUCAGUUUUAUUACCAUAGAUCCUCAAGUGAAUCAAGCCAAGAACCAAGACAGCAUCUAAGCAAGGUGAGGUUAAAGUAUAGGACAAGAACCAAUACGAUAGAGGAGCCAAGUUAUAAAUUCAAAGUCUUUCUACUUUCUUUUGUAAUAAAUGCAGUUAGUCUGCAAGUUCUUUGAGUUUGCGUCUCUCUAUGUUACAAUAUUAAUUAUUAGGUGUCAUAAAUUUAGUCUUUAAAAUACUUGUGUAUAUUAAUGUGGAUCUUUCCAUGUCCAUGUACCAACUAGCCUAUAAAAAGGGCUACUUUGUAAGCUUUUGAAAAUAAGUAAACUUUGGGUUUCCUGCUUGUGUUGUGAGGCACAACCACCUUGGAGUGAUUCCAAGGCACCUUCGGUGUGAGACCGUAGGCCAGUGUGAUGCCAGAUUUUUUUUCUAAAAACCAGUAAAUUAACUCAAUCAUCCGUAAAUAGUAAACAGUAGGGUGUUUACAAGACCUACACUAACUAUUUCUUCACAUUAUUGUUGUACUUCGCAGACUGUCUACAUCCAUGGGUUGUUUCCAAAGAACAAAAAUAAAAGAUUGCAUUUGCUUCUCAGAGAUAUGCAGGAGUAGUCAAGGGAAGCUUUACCCCCAACACAUACAUAUUAAAAGCUCCAGCAAAAUAAUUACCGCCCAACCCCAGCUAAGUCCCAACUUAGGAGACAUUUUUAUUUGUAUCCAGAACACAAAGUGGUGCACCCCAUGUCAUAAUAUAAAUGGACGACAUGGUUGAUAUGUCCCACUUUUAGGGCAUAUUUCUCAUGUCCCUCCACAUAUAUUAUGACACGUGGUGUACCGUCUCGUAUUCCAGGUACACUCAAAAAUCUCUUUCAACUUAGAGUCGAAGACUCUUACAUCUUUAUCACUGCCAAUGCCUGAGAGGCCAUACGAAAAAAGAAAAAAAUUGUAAAUUAUGAGGAAAGGUAUUGCCCGUAUUUUAAUGUACAGUUAAAAAACAAGUUUAGAGAUCAUUUUAUAUCAACCUAAAAACUCAACGAAAUAAUAUUUCUAUUUAAAGUCGUAAAAAAUGAACAUACGGUCAGAUGGGAAAAGUUUAUUAAUCAAAUAUCUUAGAAAUUUAUAUGCCUUAAACAUUUUACUUAUUUAUUUUCUUUUACAGAGUCAGUCUGAGAGUAAGCCAAAAUUGAUGCAUGUUGAUGACAUUAUUACAGACCCAAAUUCAAUUAAAAUUUUCCGGGCAAAUUUAAAAUCGUAGAACUUUUUAAUCAAAAUUUAAAAUUGUCUUUCAAUUCAAUAUUACUUCUAUUCUGGGACUUAAUAUGCUUCUAAAUAAGUUGUUUUCUCAACUCAUCUCAAGAUUAUGAUUUCUAAAACUUGCUCACGCAAAAACCCAUCUGCAAAAGGACAAAAGACAAUACACAUACUAAAAACAGAACCGCUCAAUAGAUCAGUUGCAUCGAAGAGAGACCUAGAACUGAUACAGGACAGAUUUGAACCAAACUGAAUUGGGUUAAAAUUAGAAAUUAGAAUUGACAUAGGAAAGAUUUGAAGCAAACAAAAGUAAAGAAAAAGAGAGAGCAUAUGCGUCAAAAUACAAACUAGCAUCACUAACGAACUAAACACUCUUGACAGCUCAUCAUAAUUAAUUGUCUUGGAUAUAUGCACAUCUAAAUGCAUAUGGUAAUUAAGACCUAAAGUUGAUACAAAUGUAUCAUAUUCCAUUCUCAGCUACAAUAUAUACACACGCACAGAAGGGAGUCACAUCAAGAUUCAGUUUUCCCACAGUUUAGUUUACCUUCAAGCUAACUUUUUCCUACAAAACACAACCAAAUUAAUUCUUAUACAAACAUCAUCUAGCCCUUUCAAUCAAUAGAUAUCGACAUUUGAGGGAUGCAGGAAUCAAACUCAAGAUUUCAUUAUCAACAGAAUCAAGGUGCUGGGUUUAUAAUACCACAAUUUCUGUUAGCUAGAAAAGAUUAUGAGGAACUGGUGUUGAUGACUAGCUGAUCUCGAUAACAUUCAGAGAUAAAAACUUUCGUAAAUGAAAUUAUAAAGGCUUUGUAAAUGCACACCAUUUCCAAUAAAUUUAGACUUCUUAAUUUUAAGAGGGCUAAAUAGAGAUUAGUAAGGUACUCUUACCUGCACUUGAGUGCGAACAACUUCCAGCUUUGAUUCCUGUAACAGUUAUAUUAGCAAGCAUACAUCAGUAUCUGAAAUCUUAAACAAAACCACAGAAGCAGAAGUGAUAACAUAAGUGGAAUAGAAAAAAGAUUUGUACUUGAUCCUGGAGUGCUUCUUUAAGCUGCAAAACCAAGGCAGAUCUUGUUGCCUCCGAACUUUCAAGCUGCCCAACAGAUUGAUUAAGUACAUCUUCCUGCUCUUUCAAAUCAUCCAACAAUGUGGAUUCCGGCUGAGUUCCUGAUUACAGUUUAUAACAGCGAAAAAUCAACAAAACCAUUCUACAUGGCACUAAGACAAUAUACCUCAGGAGACACAGUAUUAUCUUUUACUGAAAGCAUCAAAGAGUUCAACCAUCUUCACUAAAUUACACACAUGAAAAUCAAAACAUUGUAUAUAUCAGCAUACCUAUCAAAUGAAGAUUUUUCGUUGAUCUCAAGGGUCUGGAUGGAUUUAGAUUUUCAGAUCCAUUUGGUUAACUUGACAUAGGAUUUCAAAUAAGCAAUUCAAUUAAUUUAAAAAUUAUUGCUCAUGACCCACACAACCCAAGAACAGUGAACCAUGGCCCAUGACUGUAGCUCAUUAUCUGUGGGUAUUGCUUGUCAGUUACUGUAACUGAUGAAACGCAACUUGCAACCUGUAACUUACAUUGCAAGUCGUGUUUCACCACUAGUAAUAGAAACUUGAACUGGUGAUAUCUAGGUUGCUGCUAUCCUUGGGUAUGGCUUGUGAUAAUGACAAAAGAGUGAAGGUAAACUUGCACUCUCUCCCCUUAAGUAUGGCUUGUAUAAUAAUUUUCAGUAUCCAGGUUGUUCAUAUCCCUGGGUAUGGCUUGUGACUUACUGUUUAAAUAAUACACUGAUGUUAUUAACUAAUACCUUUUAGUUAUCACAAUCAUAAAGUCAUAGCAACUAACGGUUUUAAGGUUCCUCAAUUAACUUAAAUCACAGAAGGGAAACAAAACAUACACAAAGAGAGGUGUAGAUUCAAUGGUUAGCAACUUCGUAUUCUAUUUAUAUGGUCAUUCCUAAAUAGUAAUACCCGAGACCGACAUUGUUACUCCUAGAACUACACGCAGUCUGAAACUUGCAAUUGUUACUCCUAGAACUACAAUCGAAACCGACAUUGUAAAAGACAAAGAUGAGACCAUUUGAGCAAUUAUAUAAACCAAUUCAAUUUUCCCCUAGCAGUCUAUUAAUGAUACGUAAAGGUCGCACUUGGUGUGAUGGCAAGUGCCUUCGCCCAUGAGCGGUAGGUCUCGGGUUCGAGACUUGGGAGCAGCCCCUCCAUAAAUGGGGGUAAGGCUAGCCGACAAUCACCUCUCCCAGACCCUGCGUAAAGCGGGAGCCUUGUGCACUGGGUACGACCUUUUUUAGUCUAUUAAUGAUACGUAUUUGCAUCUGAGCCAAAAAAUAGACAAGUCACAGAGCCUUUUGAGAUACAACUCGUGAAAAAAAAAUGAAAAUUCACACAAAAUAACUUGGACAACAUUCUUGACCAUGAACCAAUGGUACAAUACAAAGCCUAUUCAUAGUUCUCAAGUUAUUAAGAACGAAAUAAUGUGAUUAAAAAAAGAGACAGAUAGCCUGUCAUACUGAUGUGAGACUUUUCAAUCACUUGGCAAAGAUUAAUUAAACCUCUCUAAGACUUGGAAAUAAGAUAAGUUGCUAAUUUUAAUUUAACUAGAAACUAGCUGAACGGACAAACAGGUCAAAGAAGGAGAGGUCUAAGGAGGAGGUGAGCACCAAGAAGGAAGAAGGGAGGAGGUAAGCACCAAGAAGGAAGAAGGGAAGAGAUGAGCAUCAAGAUGGAAGAAGGGAGAAGGUGAGGAAGGGGGCAAACUAAGAUCUAAAUUCUAUACAAAGAACGGGAAAUGAUGCUAUUCCUUCUUUGAUGCUUUGUAUUGUCUAGCUAUAUUUAAAAGCUUUGCUCCUGCUUGCUUCGUAUAAUGUACAACUCUAAAGUAUGCACUAACAUCCAUUUGAAGAACAGACGAAACAAAAAUGGCCAAAAACUGGUGCAAAGUAUCCUCAUAGGUUCAAAACUUCUAGCAUUCCUCUCCCUCACAAACACCACAUAAUCCAACUAUACAAUGAGGAAUAGGGUCAAAACAUCUUUUUCCUAAACUAUCAAAAGAAAAUAGGACCAAAAAUAUCGUUCACUCUCAUACUAUCAAAAUAAAAUGACCAUCUUAAUAAAGCCACAUGAGAGUUCAUUCAAACUGAUCAAAAUAUAAUGACCAUCUUAGUAAAAAUAUACAAUUUUUUUUUUCUUUCAGAUAAGAAUCACGCAAAACCACACUCAAUACAUUCCACCUAGAUCACAUCAACUAUAAAUGCAACCAAUCCAGAUGGGUUACACAGUACACUAAAUAUAGCAUCCGAAAAUGCUAAGAAGAGGAAGCAGAAAAUCUAAUUCGUCCGACAUAAAAGUAAACUCCUCCCUAUCCUCAAAAAAUUUUCCCUUCCGUUACAACCAUGUAGAUAGGUUCUCCUAUUGGCCAGAGUUUAAAAGCUCUCUUAGUGGGCAGAGUUUAAAUUCUUUCCUAGUGGCCAGAGUUUAAAGGAUCUCUUACUGGCCCCCACCCACAGAAAGACCCCCGUCAACAAUGCAUAGCUAUUUCUUAGAAAAAUCAUGCAACAACUAACAAGUUACAACAUAUUUGUGAACUACAGGAGCAAUGUAAAAAGAUGUGCCCUGUUUAUUCACCAGCUAAUUUAAACGGCCACAGCAAUGAGAUAAGGAAACAUAGGAUCUUUUUAAAGCGUAGCACAAGUACCCAGACACAUGGAUAGAACAAUGCCUUCUAUCAAGCUAAGCUUAACUCAAAGAUAUAUUAUUGGUACGACCGUACGAGACAACAAAUUUCAAACAUCCACGAACACCCUGUCAUUUGGGUUUCUUGGGAUGAUUUAAGUUCCAAGACAAGGCAAAGAAGGAAAAUAUGGAUCUAAGGUGGACAAAACUGGAUUAUGAUCACACAAUAUCUAUAAUCAUCAAGGAAAGAAAAUUGAAGGGAUGAAUUACCUACCCUAGUAUCCUCCAGAAUUGGAUUCUAGUCCAAUUACGAACCACAAAUUUUGAACUAGGAGACUAGAAAUAGCCCUGAGAAACGUAUUUCCUAUGGCAUUGAAGAUAACUUCCACUCCACAACAUUAGAAUGCAAUAAAAUAUACUUUUGGUGAUCAACUGAUUUGUAGAAUUAGAAUUGUAAACAAACAAUAAUUAAAGUCAAAAUAAACAGAACCUAGUUUUCACACCGGAAGAGUCUUCUGUUUUGUCAUCUAAUCCUAUGACUCAUCAAACAAAGUCACAUAUAAACAAAAUUUGUGAACUUAACCACAUGUCCUAACUCUUACCAUGAAUCAAGGUGUUUUCAACAUCUUCAUCAAUUUUACCCACAUAAAGUACAGCAGCACUACACUUGUUUAAAGCAGCUUCUUCGGUAAGAUGUUCAUCAAGAACAGGUUGAAAUGCGGUAAGUAUUUUUUCUGGCAGACCUCCAACAGCCAAUUUCUGAGGUUUAGAAGAAUAAUAAGGCAUGUACAAGCUCACUCUAAAUAAGAAUACAAUUUUAGGCAUUGAAUAUAAAUCAACAUUAAAGACUGCCCAAAGUGCUUACAAGUCUAACUGAGUGUGCAUCCCUCUUCACUAUCUUGAUAGGAUUUGAACCCUUUCCAUUGCUUACAGGUGGAGCGGGAUGAUUGUUUCCCAUCAUAUCAUCUUUAAGACUCUGCCCUCGAGACCCAAAAACCUUCCUUUCUUCCCAUAUGUCAACCUGAACAAACGAGAUAGCUUACAGAUGAAAUAAUGAGACUAGAUUGCUAGGCACACAUUAUCAAAAGGAAGCAUAAAUAAGAGUGGACACUGAAAUGGUUCCCUUUAGUCCAUUACAUGGAAAGAAAGGAGAUUGUCUUCUGGAGAGUGGGAGCAAACUAAGAUUUUUUUGGAGUAAUAGAAGGUGCUAACUCAGUUAGGUAGUGAAAUCCUCUGAAGUCUAAAAAGUACUUAAGUUCAGAUUCCACUUCGAUGAAAUUACAAACACUGCAGAAUCUUUAAAAUUUCUCAGGCCCAUGCUAUAGACUUAAGUCACUUAACAUUGAAGUCUAAGUUCAUGCAAAUGCAUGCAUGCACACAUCCAAAUAUCUAUCUAUGGUAAUCAAUCAUACAGCUAUUUACUACUGUUAAUUGUAAAACAAAAGAGAACAUUCAUAAAUGGCUCACCAGUCUUGUGGCAGCUUUCUUUCCAUGUUGAUCACCAUUUUCAUAAACAUACUUGAGAGCUGCAGGAAGGACCUUCCAGAAUUCAUUCACAAAUUCACUGCCCUUUCGCCUACUGUUUUGCAAUAUGUCAUUAGCCAAAUAUAGACAAGCCACACGCUGAUCUUUCUGGGCAGAAUUAAAACAUUUAUCCCAUGUUUCAACAAUUUGCCUUGCUUUCUUUCGGUGAGAAAUACACCAACGAGACAGAGCUGUUUAAAUGAUUAAAGAAGCACAUAAUAUAAACAUCAAAGUUGAAGCUAAGUGAUCAGGUAGUACAUUAUAUAAGAAACAAUACAUCAUUAAGGGGAGGAAAAGGUGGAAGCAUAGAUAUGCACAAAAAUAGUCCUCCACAUAAUUUAAAAGUUAUGUUUCCUUUUAUAAGAAAGAAAUGUUACUGCUACUCAACAAAGUGCAAACAAAGUGGACAAGAUAUCACCCUAGAACAUACAUCACAGUACAGUCAAACUUAAUAAGAAUCGCAUUCUAUGACACCAAAAUAGUAUCUAUUGAAAAGUGAAUUACAGAAGUUAUUUACAUAAUCUAUACUAUUACUAAGGGAAGAUAUAAAAAGGACCAACUUUACAAUAAAAUACAUAGGCACUAUAAUAUAAAACGGACCUCCCACAUGCUUUUUUUUACAAAUUUUACCCUUAAUAAAAGAAAAUAAAAUAUAUAAUAUCGAUAACUAGAAACUAAAAUUCAUUCAAUAAAAUAAAAAUACAAAAAUCUCUACACAAUCUUUUCAGCACUCUCUCUUUAUCUCUUUUUUCCCUCCUACAAUAACAGUCAUUCUGACAUGCAAUAUAUGUGUGACAGUUGCUAGUAAACUAUAGCACAACAAGAACAUAGAUACAGUUGAAAUGUCACCAAUUAAUGCAAUGUUGAUACAGCCAAAAACAAGAGCAUACAGAAAAGGUAAAAACUUUAACAUUACAAGUUUUUUCACAAAUCUAAAAUUAGGGAAAAGUUUAAAUUUGUAUUGAAUUAGAUUUAGCAAGAUCCAAGUAAUAUAAAAUGUACAUAUGUUAGUAUGUUAUUCUAACAAAAAAAUUCUUAUAAAAAAGUAUGUUAAUGAGUAGGUGCGUAAUACAGCCACACAGAAACAAAUAUGAUACCCUCAUUGUAAACAUGACUAUCACUGUAUCAAAAAAUAAAUUAGCUAAACCAUGUAGUACUAUACAGAGGGGAUUUCUUAAGAGGAUACAUUCAAUGCAUUGUUGUGAACUGUUGAGUUUCGAAAGCUUGUCAGCCAAUAUCUGUCCGUCAAAUGCUUCAACGUUACUCAUUAUGCUGUUGCUCAGUUUUUUACAUCCCCUGCCACAAUAACUGUAUUGUUAUGCUAAAAAAAAUUUUAAAAAAUGCGGAAAAUGCAUUUCGAACUUGUAAAGUUUUUAACUUUUUUUUCACCCAUUUAAGUACAAGAUUGCAUUAACAGAAUAAACAAUUAUUUACACAAAUCCUGGUACUCAAUAUCGUCCCGUCUUGCUACAUAUUUACAUGCUAUCACAGUGAGAUAAACACAUAAAUUAUAAAUAAAUAAAAAAUCCCCCAUUUCCUAAACUAAAAUUUUGAAAUUAAAUAAACGCAAAAAAACUAAAAAUGUAUGUACAAUUUGUAAAGCUUUUAACUUUCUUCGACCCAUUCAAGUAUGGGAUUCAAUCAACAGAAUAAGCAAUCUUUACACUGAUCCUGCUACAUAUUUCAAUGCAAUCAGAGCUAAAAAUAAAUAAAAAAGAUAACCCAUUUCCUAGAUAAAAUUUUGAAAUUUACCAAAUUCUAGGGUUUAGACAAAAAACGUCCACGCACAGCUUCGAACCGAAACGCAGUUAGGGAAUCGAAUCGGAGAGAAGGACGGAAAUGAAGAAGGAGGAGGGAUGGCAUGGUUCGGAGACUUACCGGAGCAGCAGCGGAUGGACGUCAGUCUCUCUCUCUCUUCUUCCGGCAACUUUUGCUAUGGCCCGAGUGCGCUUGGUCCCUCUCUGGCUCUCCUCCCUCUGUGGGCUGAAACGACGCCGGGCUAUAUACGAUAUUUGCUAUACUCUUCCCUUUCCCAAAACCUUCAACUAGAGUCCUCAAGAAAAGAGAGAGUAAAAAUAUGGGUUAGCCCCAAACUUUGCCCAUUUUUUUAAAUUUAACCACUACCUUUUAAUAUGUUACGAAUGAACACAUAAAACUCGAAUUGACACCAAAAAUGUAUUUUUCAAUCGCAUAUACGCUUUUAAGUACCUUUGGUUAAAAAGGUUAAGUUUUGUUUCUAUUAUUUACACUAAAGGAGAGGGGUGGGCUUAACUCACAAUGAUUAGCAAUAAUGUGAUUCAAAUUCACCUUUGGCGAGAAUCAAAUCUAAGACCACUUACUUACAAGUAAAGAUGAAUACUAUUAGACCUUAGUACUAAAUGGCAAGUCUAGAACUCUCUCAUCACCAUUCUAAGUUUAUUUUUCUUACUCUCAGUACUAGUUUGGUACUGAGAUGUUUUUAUAAAAAGUGGGUAUAAAAAAAACUAAGCUCAAAAAGAUGUUUGGUAAACACUUAAAAACAGCUUAUUUUCACAGUUUUUGGCAAAAAAAAAAGUUGAAAACGUGAAGUAACAAAAAUGAGCUUAUUCUCAAAGCAGUUUUUUUUUUCAAAGCACAGCAAUACCAAAUCAACCCUCAUUUCUAUCUAUCAACCAAUUUACCUCACAAAACAUUUAAUACUUUAAUCUAAACACUCGGCAUUUAGGGUCUUUUGUCUGGAUUUGGAUCCUCUCCUGAGCUAAUGGAGAGGAUCCUCCUGACUCAUCAUCUUGGGCCGUUAGAUUUUUAUCCAACGACUACAAACAGGGGGUCCCUUUAAAGUUAUAAUAAUUAUAGCCGUUGGAUAAAAAUCCAACGGCCCAAGAUGAUGGGUGAGGAGGAUCCUCUCCAUUAACUCAGGAGAGGAUCCAAAUCCCUUUUGUCUUGGACUUGGCCACUUAACUUUUACCAUCAGCGAUGAAUAUAGGACCCCAUGAUCAGCCUCCAGACCUGCUGACUAAAAUUCAUCGAAACUUGUUAUAACCCUUUGUCACUAGAUUGAAUAAAUUAAAUAGAACCAACGAACAUGAUUAAACAGAGAUUUGUGAAAGUUAAAAAAAAAACAUGUGUUUAUAAUUCUCUUGUUUUGUGGCCACUUUUAGAUAUGUUUUGUUCGGGUCUCAUUACUCAUUAGAGCAUGUCUUAAGAACUAAAUUGAGUAAAAAGUAUCAUUUAAUGGAAGGUUAUCUUGUUUUCACCCAACAAGUAUGAUUAAAUCAAUCGAGUUGAAUGGUGCUACUUACAUACUCAUUUUUAUUUUUCUCACUCUUAUCUCAAUUUCUGGUUGUCAGAUUCGAAUGAAUUAAAAAAAAUCGGUAGAAAUAAAUUAUCGUAAAUCAAAUGAAACCAACAGGCAUAAUUAGUCGUGCCCGUGACGUGCUUGGGCCGUGUUUGACACCUCAAGAUCCAAUACUAAUUAGGCCCAAGCCACUAAAGAUUCAUUGCCGCCGGAAUGCUCUUGUGCUAUUAGCAUCAGCAUGUGAACCAUCUCAGAGCAAAUGCAAAUGGAGACGACGGUGGAAGAUACGUUGUACCUGCAGCUGCACAAGCUCUCCGCCACAGAGGAAGCGGCACUCGACCAGUUGCUCUCCACUCUAUGGCAAACCAGGAAAACCGGCCUCCACUCUCCCCACCAAAAAUCCCACUUCCAAUCUCUCCUCCAUCUCCCUUCUCUCUCCCACCUCGACCCUGUUCGUCUCUCUCUCUUUCUCUCUCUUUCUCUCUCUAAAUUUCUGCAACAAAAGCUAUCAAAUUUGCAUACCAAUUUGUUGUUUUUAGUGAUAAAUUGAAAAAUUACAGGUUUUGGCAUGCCUUCGAUCGCUUAUCAGAAAAUGGGUACACGAGAACUUCACCGCCAACGACGUUUUGAAGCUGUUUCCGCCCGAUUUGCCACUCGAUUUGCAGAGCAGUUUGGUGUUGUUGCUCCAGAAGUAUCAGGUUCAGUGGAAGGACGAAGUAGCUACAGAACAGGUAACACACUCAGGGACUGUUUGGAUUUGCUUAGAAGGGCUAAACGUGCUUUCUAACAACCAAAAGCGCUCAUGGGUCGUAAAAGCACUUUUAGUUGAAGUGCUUACGAGCAAAGUGCUUCAUCCAUAAGCAUUCCGAGCCCUUACUUUGACAAUGGACUUUCUUUUGGAAUCCCUUACGAGUAGAACUGCUUUCUACAUGUUUAUAGUAAAAGAACUUCUAGUAGAAGCACUUACGAGCAGAAGAGCUUCUUUCAUAAGCAUAUCCCGAGCCCUUACUUUGACCCUGAAAUUUUUGUCAAUCUCAAAACUAUUGCAAUUUGAUCGCUUACUGCAUAUUUUUUCCGGGUUCUCUUUGGUGUUUUGAUUCAUAUAUCUGAUGUUUUCCAGCGUUCAUUGCCAAGGGCUAGUGUUGCAUAUCAGGUCAAGGCGAAUGUGCCGCCGACCUUCACCUCUUUGGGUACCUCUGGCUCAUUAAAUGAUUUUGGAGCUUCAACAACGCCGAUUGUUUCUGCUACUGAUGCAUCUCAACUCACUUCCAUGCCUCCUGCAAACCUGGUGGUGGGUAUACUUUGGCGUUCAUUGGUUAUAAUUAAUUACCUAUGCUUGGAACCUUUUGUUCUAAUGAUAUUUCGUAGGAUUUGGGAAGUUUUUUGUUUUCUAUAUGAUCUUGGUUUCUCAACAGAUUCCAAACCAAAGCUGUUUUUUGUUGUGGAAAGUAUGCACCUGUUUUAUCUUUCAAAUAUAUCACUGAACUUGCAAACCGCGGAACAUUAUUUUCAUUUUCUUCCUCCCCUUCCCUUUAGGGGUAAAUGAUAUAACUAAUGGAUUUCCUCGAUAUAUAGGGAAUUCUACCUCGCCUAAAGUCAAUGACUUGGACCAUGGAGAACUGUAACUCAGGGCCGGCUAAUAAAGUGGCCGUCAUCACUCUAAAGGUAGGCAAAUUCUGAGAAGGAUUCUUCCCGAAAGAGUUUCGAACAAGUCAGUUGAAAUACAUUAUGAAGGUUUCAAUUGUGUUGUGUGUAUACGUAUAAAUAUAUGCCAGACGUAAGGUACACAUAAAAAUUUAAGCCUUCAAAAUCUCAUGUUUGAUAAGACUUGUGAAAUCUAAUCAACUGCAAGAUGUAUGUUUAUAUCUGUGUGUGUGUGCGCGUGCGAUUCAGUGCGUGCAUAUCUAUUUCUCAUCCCUUUCGCAGUCUCAUUAAUUUGUUCAGUCGGCUUUGUUCGGCCACAUGAUUUUAUUCUAUUUAAUUAUUUUUACUAUUACUUUUGCAGUUGCAAGAUUAUACCAAAUCUCCGUUAGAUGAAACGGAGGUGAAGUUUCAACUGACUAGGGACACUCUGGAAGCUAUGCUGAGAUCACUGACAUACAUUAAGGAACAACUCUCAAGCAUGGUAGGCAUGCUUUCUUCUAACUUAUUUGAGCAUUUGGCCUUCGUUCUACCCAAAAUUUUCAUCUGAACUUUAGAGAUAUAGGGAUGAUGAAAGAUUUCACAAGGUCCUUGUUCCCUUUGGAUCACAGGCAGCUUUAGAUGGUAGAAUUUUUAGCAAACAGGAUGUGUAUAUAGAACAGAAGUUUUAGGAUUCGUUUGAUUUUUGUGGAAUUAGAUAGAUGGAGAAGAAUGCGGAAGAGAAAAGAGACGAGAAGGUAAAGGACAUAAGCAACAAGCGUCAAAAAACAUCGAGGACCUGAUUUGCCUUAUAAGAGAGCCAUAUUUGGGCUUCAUAUAAAACUCCCAAAUACUCCUAUAAGUGGUCACCUUUUGGUUGGUGCUGCCAAGAACUGACCACCCUCUGCUGGUUGCCGGCAAACUUUAGUUUCCAAAAUUUGUGGAAAAUACGAAAGUUUCUUUAUACUGGAAACAUUAGAAAUGCCGAGAAAACGCAUCUAUUUUCUUAGAUGUAUAUUUUUUCUUUGAGAAGGUAUUUUUCUGCUAAUCAAACGAAAUAUUUUAACAGAUAGUUCAGCAAAUAGUUGUACAUCAACAUUGAUGUGAGAAUUUUAGGUGUCGCGCUUCUUUACCUUAUUGCAGAACGAUAUAUCUGAGCUUCUGUUGUGGAAAAUGUAUUUCAGGUCGGAGGAACUUCGGGGCCAUCACAGAAGAAGCAAAAGCAAUCGGAUCAUUUGGUUUGAUAUCGCUAAAUGUAUAGCUAACACGUCUAACAUCCCGAUAUGUUUGGAUACUAAGCGAAAUAGAUUUUGUUCUUCACCGUGACCAGUGAAUACAAAACUCUUACUGUACUUUCUUUUGUGAUACACUUUUAUAUGUCAGCUACUAAGUGAGAGUUUUGGAUUCGUGUAUAAGAUUUUAUUUUGUUUUAUUUAUUUUUUGGUCCUUUAGAAACAUUAGUAAGAUGGACGCAUUUGCCGUCUCCAUUCACAAACGCGAAGGUAGCUAGCAUUUUCCGUUAUUUAGAAGUUCGAGUGAAAUCAAACCAUUAAAUGCAUUCAGUUGAUGCGUGUAAGUUUCACACACAUCUACAAUUGACAAUCGUUCAUACAUUUGUAUGUAUUCAUUAUUCUUAUUCUUUAAGGAACCGACCAACGUCAGCUGAUCCAAAAAGUAGCAAAGUCGGCAGACGACUUGAAAAGAGACCAAUAAACUCUUCCACUCUUGUGCAUUUUUUCGGAUGCUUUGCUAGUGACAGGUUGGUCGGUUUUAACAAAGUUGAUUUACAACUUCAAACGGGAUUUGUUAUUAACGCUACAAAUAAUCAUCACGCACUUCUUCCCCCUUGUUUUCUUUCGCGAGAAAGAAGCACAUGAUGAGUUUUUUGGAGUGUCAAACGAAAAAUGGCUCCCUUUUGGAUACUUGCAGAAUGCAUAAGGCAGCCUAGUAGUUGAAAUUUUUUGAAUCGAUGGCGAGAUCUGAUAAGAAAUGUAAAAGAAAACGGGACAGAAGAAACUACCCGGAUUCAUAGCUAAAACAAUACGAGAACCUCAACUUUUACAUCCAAAACAUAAUGUACAAUACUGAUGAUCAAAGCCAAUCUUUCACCCAACUCUCACAAAAUGUAGGAUAAAACACGAAAAAUUCACACUUCAAGAAAUCAAACCAAAAACUCAUUCUUGAAGAAACCAAUCCAUAAAAAAUCAGCGAACGAAACUGCCACUUACCAAAAUAUGAUUAUAUCCACACCAGACCGGAGAAAACAAAGAGCUUGAAGUCGCAAUCCACCAAACACAUUCUUCAGUUUUCGUGUUUUAUAUUCUCAACCUCUGCCAAUCUGUCCUGUGUAACUGAUGGUUUUGGCGGCUCACCAUCAACAUUACUUCCUGAGACUUGCUCUAAAGCAAUAGGACUAGUUAUAGUUUCUUGAACACCAUGUUCUGUAGUACUUGAUGCAAUCUUCUCCACAGUCGACGCCAUUGCAGUAAUUCCUACUUCUGCCAAUCCCUCCUUCAAAUGUGAUGUUGGUUUUAAAAGCUCGUCGACAUGACUUUCCGAGACUUGCUCCAAAGUACUAUUCUCUUGAACACUUGAUAGUAUAUCACUUGAUGCAUACUCCGUUGAACUCAUUGGAUUAGUUCCUAUUUCUUCAGCUCCAUCAUUAACAUGACUUUCUGAGAUUUUCGUUGGAGUAGUGAUAUUUCCUUGAACAUUUGAUGGUAUAUUGCUUGAUGCAAUCUCCUCCACCAAACCUUUUGCACCAGUUUCUACUUCUUCCGACCCAUCAUGAACAAGAAUUUCUGAUACUUGCUUCAGAGGAGUGAUAUCUUCAUGAACACUCGAUAGCAUAUUGCUUGAUGCAAUCUCCUCCGCAGUACCCAUGGCAUCAGUUCCUCCUUCCAACCCAUCAUUUGAAAUUGACAUCGCCUUUGGCAACUCAUCAACAUGACUUUCUGAGACUUGCUCCAAAGCAGUAUCUGUAUGGGUAUCUUCUUGAUCACUUGAUACUGUAUUGCUUGAUGCAAUCUCCUCCGUAGAACUUAUUGCACCAAUUCCUACUUCUUCCAAUCCAUCAUCUGAAACUGACGCUGCUUUUGGCAACUCAUCAACAUGACUUUCUGAGACUUGCUCCAACGCAGUAUCUGCAUUGAUAUCUUCUUGAAUACUUGGUACUGUAUUGCUUGAUGCAAUCUCCUCCGUAGAACUUACCGCACCAGUUCCUACUUCUUCCGACCCAUCAUUAACAUGAUUGUCUAAGACUUGCUUCGGAGUAAUGAUAUUUUCUUGUUGAAAGCUCGAUAGUAUAUUGCUUGAUGCCAUCUCCUCCGCAGAACCCAUGGCAUUUGAUUGUACUUCUUCCGACCCAUCAUUUAAAAUUGAUGUCGCUUUUGGCAACUCAUCAACAUGACUUCCUAAGACUUGCUCCAAAGCAGUAUCUGCAUUGAUAUCUUCUUUAACACUUGAUACUGUAUUGCUUGAUGCAAUCUCCUCUGUAGAAUCCACGGCAGUAGUUCCUACUUCUUCCGACCCAUUGGAAAGCUCACCAACAUUAUUAUGAUCCGAGACUUGCUUCAAGAGAGUAUGAUUAAAUUCCAACGGUAAUUCUGUUGAUCCAUCCUCAGGUUCCAACACUUGAGGCAGCUCAUUAACAUUCCCAUUUGAAUCUUGCUUUAAACCAGUGACAUUAUCUUCCAAGUAGCUUGCUUCAACAAUUGGCAACUCUGAACUGGUCUGGGCAGUAUUUUCGGAUGCUUCCAAGCAUCUCUCUUCAACAGUUGGCAACUCGGAAUCUUCCAAGCAUCUUGUUUCAACAAUUGGCAACUCUGAACGGGUCUGGACAGUAUUUUCAGGCGCUUCCACCUCUAGCUGAUCGUCAACCACACUGGGAAGAACAACUUCCUCACCAGCUAGUCCCUUAUGAAUUUGCUUAAAAUACGUGUCAAUAUCAAGAACUGGUAGCUCCUGGUUCAAUUCUGACAGGUUUAAAUCACCAAAUUCAGUGCUUGAAACAUUUGCUUCCUCUGGUAUCAGCUCAUCUGUAUGGAAUGGCUCGCUGAUAACAUCAUUCACACUGAAGUCCCCAACUGCAUCUAACUCCGACAGCAGCCCCGCAUCAAUCUCCUUUACUUCACCUACUUCUUCUUUAAUAAUAAGUGCUUCGACAUGAUCAACAUAUGGUUCAACCAUGGAUUUAUCUGACCAGGAAAGGACUUUUCCGUGCUCUGACGGCGGCAGUUCUUCAGAAAGAACGGAUUGAUGACUACAAUCUGCUGUCUUCGUGUCAAAAAUCUUAGGGAGAUAGAUAUCAUCCUCUGAAUGAGAACCCACUAAGCCAACUUGGUUGCUUGUCCCCAAGCUUCUAUCAGUUUCAUCUGAUGCAUGUACUUUUGAGGUGGCACCACUUAUCUCUACAAAACCUGGAGUAUCUUUGUCUGUGCUUUCACCAUACACUUCAGAAUCCCGGUCUACAGACGGAACUUGCGCUUCAGCUAAUCCUGGAGGUGUAACCAUUUCAGAUAUAUCUGCUUGUAUAUCAGAAGAAAUAGAAUUGAAGGAAAGGAUCUUUUCAGUUGGUAGGGGGGUUGAGUCAUAGACUGGCUCAUCAUGUUCAUCUUCAUUCACCCUCCUGCUCAUAAACUGAACUUCUGACUCCUUCAGUGAAGGUUGCGGCGAAAUUACAAACUCCUUGGCGAUAUCACGUCUAGCCUCCAAACUGGUUGAUCCUCCUUCCACUGCAUCUGCAAUCUUUUCAUCCUCUUCUGUCAAUGAUGACAAGCUUGACGUACUGCUGUUGUCCUCUUCAAUCGGAUCUUGUUUGACAUGAACUUCAUUAGUAAUAUGUUCCCCAUGAGUAGCUAAACCCGUUGCACCAGACAAGCUCGGUUCCAGGUCUUGCGAUUCAAGCAAUUUUACUUCAAGUUCAUCAUGUUGACCAUCUCUUUUUCCGGCCUGUUCCAUUUCCAGAGAAUCUACGUCUUCAGAUGAUUGACUUCCGUGCUCAACAACAAGAUCAUCAGUAGCAUGGUAAAUGUUGGAUAUCGCUUCUGUUUCUUUAGUAAAGUCCUGCUCAUUGAACUUCCUUUCAUCCAGAUCUGCUGCAGAACUCACUGACUCGGUAUCGGGAACAGAACUCAACUUUGAUUCACUAACUUCGCUUAAUUGUCUUUGAAAUAAGGAACUGCUUGGUCCUUCAGAAGCCAACCGUUCUGAUACAAAAACAGGUCUCCAUUUAAAAUCUUGCCUCUCUUGCCUGGCCUGCCCUAAGGUUGACGGUCCCAAACUGAAGCUUUCAUGCCUUCGGAAGAUUGCAUCCUUGGCGUGAAAUGGCACAAACUCUUGCUCGAAAGGGUCUCCCUUUAGAUCAGGUUUUUCUUCAUUUGACUCAUACGGAAGAUCAAAGGGGUUUCGCCUUGGCAACAUUACUGAUGGAGCAGACCCAGGAAUGGGUAAACCCAAGUUGUCAAAGGGAUCAUACAGAUCAAAUGGGUUGUGUCUUGCAGUAGAGAUUGGUGUAACAUUAAACGGAAGAUCAACUCUAUCAAAAUCUAUAAGAUUCUUCUCUGCAGUUAUUUUGAAGCUUUUUCUUGCUCUUCUCCUUGCAAUAAGGUUCUCCAACCGUCGGUUCCUUUCGAGCUCCAGAUUCCCCAAAUCCAUGAGAUUCUUUUGGUCAUCCUCUGUCCAUUUGAUCGCAGAUUUGCUUUCAUCAUCCUUCCCACCCGGUGCUUCUUCCUCAUCACCGUCAUUAUAAUCAUUCCCAUCCUCUGCUACUUCUCCGCCUUGGUUUUCACUUUCCACGUCAGACUCAACACUGCCAGCAUUGUUCCUUUUAGACUGGUCUGAAGCAGCAUCAGGCUCAUGAUCAUGGGACACACGAGCUGGCUGUGGAGCUUCAAAGUAUAAAAGUGGGUGCAGCUCAUCAAGCAUCGGAAGGAUGUCAGCCAUUGAAGCAUCUGGUGAGGAACUCUCUGCUCGAUCUGACUCAGAAUCUGAAGCAUCGUCAUCCACAUCCUCACCAGCCUCAUCAUCACCACCAUUUCCAAGAAGCGAAGAAUACAAGUGAUCACCCUCGUGAGCAUAGCUUGCCUCUCGGGGACAUAUAUUUUCAUCUUUGACUCGAUGAAUCUCACCUCGCACCUUUUGAAAAGAAGUAUAUUGCUGCUCAACAGCCUCACCGUCAACACCACCACUGCCAAGCAGUGAAGAAUACAAGCGAUCACCCUCAUGAGCAUAGCCUGGCCCUCGAGGAGAUAUAUGAUCACCUUCCACUCGACGAAUCUCAUCUCGAAUCUUUUGAAAAAAAGUGUACUGCUGAUUAACAGUUCCCACAUCCCAGUCAAUGCCUUCUAUCCCCAAGUGAUCAUUAUCAAUCUUUCUCCGCUCUCCUAAGUCCGAACUUUCUAAUUCUCUCUCCGCAUCCUCAAUCUCUCUCUUCUCACCACCAGUGUUUAGCAAAUCCUCAUCAAUCAGUGGCAUAUAAACAACUGAACCAUCGCGAUCCUCAUUCACUCUCUUCUCACUAUCAGUGUUUUGCAAACCCUCACUAAUAAGUGGCAUAUAAACACCCAAACCAUCACGAUCCUCAACAUUGCUACUUUUCUCUACGGAUGCAUCAACAACAUCCCUAGCCUCUCCCAUGAACCUUUCUGCGGAAAAGCUCCCAUCUCUCUCAAGCACAACAGUGUCAUCCCCUAAACUCCUAGUCCUAAGAGAAGCAACAUCAUCACAGGUAACCUUCUCUUCCCUUUCGAUUUCGGGUAUGUUGGUUUGGCCAAAACUCAAAAGGGUUCCUAGAAGAACCGCAGUGCAGACUAAAACCGGGGACGUCGAAACCAAAAGGGUAAACACAAAAGGAAACGAUCUGUACAGAAAUAGCAGGAAAAGAAGCAACCCAGCAAGAAAAGGAUGAUUGCAAAUUGAUCUGUAACAUGCUCUGAGUGAAAUCAUCACAAUUUUCCGGAAAUUAACAACAAUUUCCAACACCAACCCCAUUUUUUAACUUUCUCAGUGGAUUAUGGGUAUAAAUACUAAUCGCAGUUCCAAUCUGUAUGAACAGAAAAUUAAACCAAUCAAUCAACAUACUAAAAGCAAAAGCAUAAAACUAGUAAAUUAAGUAGGAAAUAAUCAGAGAAAAGAAAAACCCACCUCAAAGAAGAACCAAAUGGGAUUUCAAAGCGAUCAGAUGAAGAUCAAUCCAGAACCUGAAAGCAGAAAAAUUGGAGAAAAAAAUGGAAAAAAGUUGAGAUUUUUUUUGUAAGGGAAAGAGAAAUGGAGACUGAGAGGGCAGAUGAAAAACCAUAGAAAGUAAAGGGCAAUGGGAAUCUCUUGAGCUUUUUCUUUUGAAGGAAAGCAGCUAAGGAAAGCUGUAUGUAUGUAUGUAUGUAUGUAUGUAUGUAUGUAUCUAUAAUUCUAUAUCUCCAUGAAUGUAUGUCUGUGUUUUUGGGUAUAUUUGAUAUGACUUUUUAGUGUUGACAGAGAGGAAAAUGGGGCGGCACAGAAAGAGGAGAAGAAAAGAAGCCUGCCCAGUCAAUAAAGUCAAUCGCAAUCACGACACCAACUUCUUUGUCUGAAAUAAAAUACAUAGCAGAUAACGGUCUCACUCCUCCACUUGGGGUGAACGACUUAGGUACGUGACGUUUUGUACCAAUAAAAUAAAAGUACGUAAAUCAACUCUUUCGUGUAGGUAUAUCCGUGCUAUUUAAUAAAUUCUUCGUAGGCUUUAGAGAAAUUUAUGUAAGGUAGUUUGACUAGUUAGAUAGUUAAAUACUCACUGUACUCCCACAAAGUAAUAUACGUGAAUUUUUUAAAUAUCAUUUGUUAUUCUCGCAAAGAAAUGAAUUUCGCUGUAAGUAAAGUAACGUUUGACUUUACAUAAGUAUAACUUUUAAUGCAUAUAUUCAAUUUAUUGUUAAGAGUUAGGUUGUCAUAUUUAAAAUUUUCUCUAUUUAUCUCGAUCGUCCAUUAUAACAAUCACCUGUGACAAUAAAAAGUAAUCGAGCGAUGACAACCAAAAAGUAGGUUUGGAAGAACCAAAGAAGUCGUUCUUUGAAGUUGGUCAAACUACCAUACUCAAAAUUCUCUUGUGCACCAUAAUUUAGUUCCCCCUAUAGUUCAAAUUAAAUUAGAAGACUUAAUAUGUUGUCAAACUUAUUAUUUAUGAAUUCAAACAUAAAAAAUCCCUCAUUUACAAACAAAGAAAUAUAUUACCAAAUUAUAGUAGUAAGUAAUUCGUAUUAUGAUAUUCUCAUUUCUUGGAGUUUCUGUUUUAUAGCGGCAUAAGCAUGUUGGAAAUUUUAUAUUAAAAUUUUAGGUGUGUGUUAUCCAUACAUCCGUUUUUACUUCUUACACACUUCUUGUUAAUUUUUAUCCAUCUGAUUCGACGGUAAAAAAUUAUAAGAAUGUAUGAAAAGUAAAAAAUGUGUAUGGAUAUCACAUCCCAAAAUUCAUUACAUCUUAACCGCUCAUUGACAUUUGUGAUACCCCUAUCCCUACCGUUCAUCUCUUUAUCAUAUUCACAUGUCGUGGGAGCCCAUAGUCUCUGUUUAACAAAUUAUUUUAUUAAAAAUUCGAAUAAAAAAACAAAUUAUUAAAAAAGAGAAUGUUGAUGGUAAAAAGUCAUGAACGGCGGUCCGAAUACCAAAUCAGAUGUUCCUACAAAACAAGGCACACAAAAAUUUCCCCUAACUUGUCUUUUUUAUUUUGCAAGAUUCAUCCGUCUCAUUUGCGUCUUACCCCUUUUCACAUAACACUUACGACUCACCAUCAAACGGUGAUCUCGCACGAGACCUUCUCGACUGGAUGGGGAAUUUGGUGGCUCUAGGAGGGUUCAACUUGGUAUUUUGGAUCCGACCCAUUACCCCAAUUUGAUCCGACCCAACCCGUUAAUAUUAGUAUUUAGGUGGAUGCUUUAACGGGUCAGAUCGUUAACAGGUGAAUCCGUUAAAUAACGGGUCAUUUUGGAUCAACCCGUUAGCACCCGUUAGUUGAUGAUGUUUUAAUAGUUUCAGUAAAGUCUUAAUAACAAAAAAUAAACACUAUGAAAAAAAAAAAAUAAUAAUAAUAAUAAUAAUAAUUAUUAUUAUUAUUAUUAAUGGAUGACAUGUUAGCUUAACGGGUCGGAUUCGGGUGACCCGUUAACUUAACGGGUCAGAUUAAACCCGACUCAUUUACAGGUCUAUUCGUAAUGAUGGGAGUAGGAAGUGGAAUAGACUAGUGAUGAGAGGAGUAUAUAGAGUUCUUGUUUGGAUACAGGACCCCGUUUGUUACAUUUUUUAAGAGGGACUAGCUUUGGCUAGGACUAUAGUCCUAUGUUUGGUACGGUCAAGGAUAUGGGUGAUUUUCAGACUAGAUUAGAAACAACGUUCGUUUUUUUUAAAUUUGGAAUCGGAGUAAUCUCUGUAAUUUCGAUCUACAUUUGGCUACUCGUAAGGUUAAUUCUGGCGACAAUAAAAGUGUAAAACCACACGACAUUCGAUCUAUAAUUGCAAGUCUUCUCAAAUUAUAACACGUCAUAGAAAAUCCCAUGGUAGGUGACUGUAUUUUGAUUACUGGGUGACUAAUAGAACGAGACUCUUCCCCGCACUAUCUUUUUCAUGGACUUCGUACACAGAGAGUAUCUCGUAUGUAUCUCGUAUGUAUGAAUGAAGGUAAAUUGAUCAUCUGGCCAACAAGGCAACACGAUCCUUCUGUAUUGCCUGCGUUAGGUUGAUUUCGAAGAGCUCGCAUCGUAUUGGCAUCUCCAUCUCAUAAAAGGGGUUCUUCAAGACGUAAUCGGUGUACAACUCAUAGAUAUGUUUCAAGAGACCUUCCAUGUGCUGCGUCCCAGGCUCACACACAACAAAGAACUUUGUCCCUGCAAAACCGAAACUAUCUUAUCAAAAAGCACCAUUUUUGCAAUCCCUUGCAUUAUUGCAAAAUUUCAAGUACAGGGUUCGCUUCUUGAACUGUCAUGGGAGGGGGGAAAAAGUGCAACCAAUGUCGAACUCUAAAAUACUGGUUCAAUUCGGAAGGAAAAAAAGGCCAAACCAGAAAAAGCAGACACAAUUACUCUGUGAAAAUGAAAAGCAAAAGAUAUUAACGCUGAAACAAGCAUUAACUUCGUGCUGGGGAAAUCUCAGACCGGCAAAUGGAUCUGACUUGCCAUCCAGGUUAUAAAAACAACUCAUCCGAGUGAUGCAACUCAAGUAAUAACACUUGUCAAAAUGCCUACUACUAUGUACAGUGUUGAAUCUGGCAUAUCGUAUUCCUUGUACUAUUUGAGCCAUUUGCUAAAAUCUAGCAUAUUUUCUUCGCUGGAAGAAAGUAAAGAACUUAAAAAUUCCUACAUUUACUGCAAGAAUGUGAUGCGGGGAACAAGGGGAUUGCUACAUAUGAUGACCAGAUUGAGGAAACAAACCGUUCAUACUUUGUUUAACCAGAACAAACAAGAUCCUAAUUGUAUGGAAAUCAUUAACAUGACACCAAAUCAAGUGGACCGAAAUUCUCAUUGUGUAAUCCAUCUUCAAAAAUACGUAACCCCGAGACAGAAGUUGCCUAAAACUUUACAGACACCACCCUGUCUCAAACAUUACAACAACAACAACAACAACAACAACAACAAAGCCUUUUCCCACUAGGUGGGGUCGGCUAUAUGAAUCCUAGAACGCCAUUGCGCUCGGUUUUGUGUCAUGUCCUCCGUUAGAUCCAAGUACUUUAAGUCUUUUCUUAGGGUCUCUUCCAAAGUUUUCCUAGGUCUUCCUCUACCCCUUCGGCCCCGAACCUCUGUCCCGUAGUCACAUCUUCGAACCGGAGCGUCAGUAGGCCUUCUUUGCACAUGUCCAAACCACCGUAACCGAUUUUCUCUCAUCUUUCCUUCAACUUCGGCUACUCCUACUUUAUCUCGGAUAUCUUCAUUCCCAAUCUUAUCCUUUCUCGUGUGCCCACACAUCCCACGAAGCAUCCUUAUCUCCGCUACACCCAUUUUGUGUACGUGUUGAUGCUUCACCGCCCAACAUUCUGUACCAUACAACAUCGUUGGCCUUAUUGCCGUCCUAUAAAAUUUUCCUUUGAGCUUCAGUGGCCUACGAUGGUCACACAACACGCCGAAUGCACUCUUACACUUCAUCCAUCCAGCUUGUAUUCUAUGGUUGAGAUCUCCAUCUAAUUCUCCGUACUCUUGCAAGAUAGAUCCUAGGUAGCGAAAACGGUCGCUUUUUGUGAUCUUCGCUAGAUUGCUCCGGUCAUUAGUGUGGAUAAGUAUAUAAAUGGAUAGAGAUAGGAAAGCAAACAAAAGAUGUACGUGGUUCACCCAUAUUGGCUACGUCCACGGAAUAGAGGAGUUCUCAUUAAUUGUGAAGGGUUUACACAAGUACAUAGGUUCAAGCUCUCCUUUAGUGAGUACAAGUGAAUGAUUUAGUACAAAUGACAUUAGGAAAUAUUGUGAGAGAAUGAUCUCGUAAACACGAAACUUCUAAGUACCGGAGUGUGGUAUCGUCUUGACUUGCCUUAUCUGUCUCAUAGGUAGAUGUAGCAUCUAGAACCGUGAGGUGAGAGUGAGGCAGUUCUCGCUCAAUGACAAUCUUUAGCACUCACCUCAGAUAACAUUUUAUCCCUCCGUAAUAACUAUCUGUCAUUCACUACAUUACAGCCUAAACUAAUGCAAUUCACAAGACUCGCUUCAAAAGUUCAAACCAAGUAGAUGAGGCUUACUAGGUUAGCAACAGAUCGAUCCCCAAUUUAUCUCUUCGGAACACAAAUUAAUCUCACCAGAUUGAAAAGCUACAGAGUUGUGUUAAUCUGACAAACCUCCUCAGAACUUCACCAAAUUUACAGUUUACAAUUAAAAUGCUGGCUGCAAUAGUUCAUAUGGAUAUCUAACAAUAUUUAACACACAACAACUAUUUGAGUUACAAAAUCACCUACAUCAUCUCUGCAGCUUGUUCAACACCCGCUUUUUCCAAAUUCUACGAAUGUUACUGAAACCCGAGUCCUACAAUACACCGGUGUAUGAUGCACCAGUUUUAUCAACAGUUAGAUUGGAAUAUCUAGAUUAAAGCACGCAAAUCCAGUCAUCCACUGAAGUAUUGCAUCCUAUACACCAGUGCAUUGUCGAAUUUUCGAUUGAUACCGAUUAAACAAAAGUGCAAAUUCUUUGAAAACCGAUAAGAUCAAAGUUCGAAUCGUACCGGUGAGUGAUUGAAAGCAAUGAAGAUCGAAAGUGUCAGCUUGGAGGAGCUCGAUGCCGAAACAGCCUGAUACUGGCGACAGCUGCUGAGAAAUGGCGUGCAUUGAGUGCCACAAGCUUGCAACCCUCAAGCUAUCAUUCGUGUCCAUUCGUCCCGCCGACCCAUAGUCCUAAGAUUGUCCAAGCAAACAAAGAGGCACAUCAAAAUCGGUUAAUUUCCUGUUUGGUUGCCGAGAAAACGGAGGAAAAUGGACGCAAAAUCGAAGCUUUUGAAAGAAAUCCUUGAAUUUUUUUGAGAAACAAACAGAAAGUGAGUUGAAAGAUUUGGGGUUUUUGUUACCUUGUAGAAGAUCAAGCCGCCUGAUUUGUUAAUGAUGUAGAGGCUGUAAAUUGCUGCCAUUUCCGAGGACUAAUUCGGAAAACGAAAAAAUGAAGAGGAAGAGGCUCUUGAUUCAAAGAAGGUAAUUAAAACCUUUGAAACCAAGGGCAGAUCGGGGCGGAGGCAGCGAAGAUUGGCGGAGGAGAGCGAGAGAGAGAGGAGGCAGGAGUAGGGAGGUCUGAUCGGGGUGGGUCGAGAGAUUCAAAGGCACAACCCGGGUCGCAAUUGGCACUCACUUCGCAGUUCGCACCUCCCCGGGUUUUUUUUUUUAAUAUAACAAAAAGAUAUAAUUUUCAUUACCAUAACUAACCACUUACAAGGAUGUCAAAUGGUACAUAUGCUUUAGUGAUCAAUUUCUUAAUCUGGAGGUAAUAAGCACAAAUUACAAAUGAUUUUAAACCCCUAUGCGGCCAUCACUCAAAUCGCACCACUAGAACAAGGAAUCCCGAUAUUGAUAUGUCCCAUGGACAAAAAGUGUCAUACAAAGCAUCGAAACCCUCACCAAAACCAUUGCGAGACAACGAGGCUACAAAAUCUCAGAAAUGACACAAACCACUUGCCGAAGCAACACAGACCAGUCAUAAAAACUAAAUUAAAAGAACAAAAGAACAAGGUGAAGUGUCCAUAAUGGAGAUGCGGUUGCAAUUUGGUAGUAGGCAUGGGUAGCAGAGGCAGAGGCACAUGCAAAAAUGUCAAGAGGUGUGCGAGGCCAACUGUAGUCGGGACAAACUCAAAGGGGUGGGCGGAAGAGGAUCUAGCCAGAGCCACCAAAGUCGUCGGAAUGCCACCACAAUCUAAAAACCUGCAUAAAACAUGAUAGCACCAAGAGUUGCCAGAAAUUCUUCUGAUCGGUGUUGGUCACAGUUAUGGCAAGAAAUAGCGGCAAUGACAUGGAUGGUAGAGGGGUUGCCAAGCCAAGACCACCCACAUCACUGCACUGCCAUCCCCAUCACCACCACAAACCCAAAGAGGACAAAACAAUAGUUCCAAGGGCAAAGCCCUCGGAAAAGUCCAAACAACCUAGAGAAAAUUCUGCUAGCAAAUAUGCACACCAUCACUGUGGGUGCCCAGGAAGCCACUGCCGAGAACACUCCAUGUGCAACCCCACCCAGGAAGCAUAAGCUGCACAAAUCCAAAUAAACGAAGCCUCCAGUAGGCAUGACAGCCACCAACUAGGCAAGAAGAGCAAAAAACCAGAAAAAGUAAGUCAAAUACCACAAAAACAACCCAAAACCGCAUAUCUAAGCUCCAAACAAGGGAAAAGCCUUGUAUGGCAAUAAAAUCAGGGAAGUGGGUCGGAGGCUCACAACAAAGCCAUGAAAACAGGUUGCGCACAGAAGAGUGAGGGGAGAAGGUGCUGGGCAGACCAAGGAACAAAGAAAAAGAGAAAGCAGCGAGGGGAGGGUUGGGGGCGCAGAAAGAAAGGAAAAAAAUGUGUGGGUCGCAGCAAGAGGACAGAGGGUAAGAAGCAAGGGGUGGAGAGACUAGGAGGAAGGGGAUGCUAGAAGGGGGUGGGAGGGGUUGCCGCCGGCCCAAGCCUAAGCAAGGAACCGGCGGUUGAAGCUUUGCAAAGUUAGGAUUUGUGGUUGGAGGAAGAGCUUACCAAUUUAUUUGCACAAUCUUUUUUUUUUUUGAAUUUGAUCCUACCUCUCGGGUUUGAAUUUGAUCCAUAUGAUCAAUUUGAUAUCCAGCUUAUUGCUGAUCUAGUGAUAUUUAGCUUUAUUUGUUAAUUCGUGAGUAAGAAUAUAUGUUUUGAAUUCGAUUUUUGUGGGUGGGAAAUUCGAUUUCAAAUUAUUAUAGUUGGUCAUUGUUUUUAAUCUAAAUUCUUCACCCCCGUAAUAUAAAUUCUCGAAUAAGAUGUUGUAUUCUAGUUCACACCCGAUUUGAUUUUCCAUGUCGAGGAAGACUUACAUGGCAACAAUUCCACCAUAACAUCCUGAUCCGAUAAUGUAUUGGUGUGUGAAUAAAAAAUUACAAAACAUAAGUGGUUGCAAAUCUCUUGAGAUUGUUUGAUAACAAAAUAUAUGUGGUUGCAAAACUUCCCCAAGGAUUAGUAAAAUAAGAGAAUUCGUGAAAGGUACUCCGACGCUGAAGACAAUAUUUGUAUGAAUGUCUUAUCAAGAUUUCCUUAGUGCAUUGCUGAUGUGUGGGAUUCAAGGCAUCACAUUCUCGAAAUUCCAAUCUCAGUAGAAAUAUUGAUCUUUAAACAACGUGUCAGCAAACAAGAGAAAACCUUUUCAACCAAAGAGGGAAAAAAAAAAGGAGCUGUAAAAGUAACUGUGUUAAAUGUUUCAUUACAUAAGGUGAAAUAUCAUAAAACCAAACCCUAAAACCUAGUGCUCAUCAUGCAGCCACUUUUGUGCAGUCAUUUGCAACAUCUUUGCUGUCGUGCGGUUGUCCUUGUACCUUCUCAUCGACGACCUCCAAGUUCGACGAAGCUGCUUCAUCGCACGACGAGCAGCCGCCUUCAUCGGAGACCUCAGAACAAUGGUCAGAAGUCAAUUGCUGCAACUCGGACAUGAUUGAUGGCGAAUAAGCUGGCGAAUAGGCUGGCGAAUAGGCUGGCGAACAACCUGAAUCGAUAAAACUAGACAUUUUCUUGUCAUCUUCUCGCAUUCUUUGUCCGUAAGCUUCAUAGUCGAAACCAACUGAACUUCUCCCGCCAAAUGUGGAUUCCAACUUGUCCAUGUUGAAAAGAUCUUCCAUUAUCUUCUGGCUCUGCGAGUUGUCCGAGUACACAAACUUCAUCUUCUUGUGUGUUUUUGGCUCAAGAAAUGGUUUUACCAACUGCAAUUCAAGGAAAGUUUCACCAGAUUUUUCGAACUUACUACAAAGAGGUUUCGAUAAUACUUAAAAACCAAUAUAGAUAAAGCUAAUCAAACGAUCAUUUAAUAAAGAUUUCAAACCGAAUUAGGAGGAGCAUUGUGGUCAGUUUUUACGCAGAAAACACAAGGGAAAGAAUAUGAGUACUUCAAGUUGAUGUGAUCUUCUUAAAUCGCAAAACUGGUGACAAAUGACAGACAAUUCUAAUAAACCAAGUAUGCCAUAAAACAGUUGGCAAGAGAUUUUCGUCUUUAAAAACCUAGUUUGAGUUGUUUAUUUUCGUCUUUAGAGUCUGCUGGCAGAUAAAUCUGGUUACAGAAACUAGUUCCGUGGCCAGAUUAUCCACGCCCCGGUUUUUCUCUGUAGUUUUCUACCUUCCUGUUCUUGUUCUUCGUCAUCCAACUACCCCGGAAUCUACUCAAGUCCCAGAAAAUCCAUAAGGAAACCCGGACCUACUAUUGUCUUCAUACCAUAUAUAUUGAACAAAACGUUAAUCGUGAAGCUCUUGCUUACGUUCCAAGUUUCCAACAUACCUCACUACACUAGCCCUAAUAUCAAAUGCAAAGAGUAAUAUCAUAAAACUUGAAGAAUUAUUAGGUUUAGACAAGAAAGCAAUAACAAUUGCAGAUAGAUGCGUAAUAACAUACCGUCCAAAAGGACUCAAAUAUUUUUGGUGGAUUAUAGAGGAUGCCAAUUCCCAAUCUCUCAGGGUAAUGAUUUUGCAGGAUCUUAGCUGUUUCCCUAGUCGCCUUCAACGAUAUGCUCGACGUGUUCCACCGUUGAAAAUCAAUUAGCCACACCAUCUGUUCCUGAUCUGGAUUCAUAUUCAGUAUGGCAUUCUCCAGGCAGUAUACCAAAUACAUCAUCUGCUCGUUUACCGCAUUUGUGUUCUGACACGACGAAAGAAUUUCACAGUCAAACAGAAAAAUGCUAACAACUACUAACAUUAACGUAGAUGCUUUUCGUUUGAUUUAACUACCUGAAAACCAGGCCUCAGGAUAAGAACUGUCCUUCCGCACUUGUCAUGGUAAUUGGCUCUGUAAAUUUUUCCUGUCUUCGCUUCUUGAGUAAUGUUUUCCUAUAUAAGAUUAGAAUAAAUCACUUUCAAAUGGGAUUAUUCCAUGAAGUUUUGAAAAAUAGACGGUUCAAACCUUUGAACUACAAAGUACAAACAACAUGCAACUUUACGAGAAGGAACCGAUUUUUUUAAGAUCCGAACUGCCUAUUUUUUUAAAGUUUCGCUCAAAGAUAAUUCUGCUAAAAAUCCAUCAAUUUAAAAAUCAUGUAAUCAUAUGAUUAUCAGCACGGCAUUUUCAUAUUCAUGGAAACGCUACAUUCGUCUAUUAAUUUGGCUUUUUUUUUUUUUUUUUUGCAAGAACAGUUUAUGCAUCAAAACUUUCAGAAAUUGACGGUUCAGAUCUUUGAAAGAUGCAUGCACAUUGCUUACCCAUCGGAUCUUCUCGGGCUUGAACUCCAACCUCCAUUUUAUGGUUUCUUUCAGCAUCUUGCCCGCCUUCUUUGUAUUCCAGUUCCGCGCUCUUAGGUACCUUGAGAUUGAAGCUUCUGAACAAAUGGCUGGUAGCCUAUCCGCAAUAGGACCCAUCAUCUUCCUUACUUCAUAAAUCUGAAGAACAGAAGGGCCAAAUUAUUUCCCAUGAAAAAAGGUUAAAAAAUAAACAAAAAUACAUAGAACUUUACUACUAUAUCCACGUUCUCAAUCACCGCUACAAUGAAACAAAAAGAAAAUAAUUUCUGCACAUCAUUUUCUCAUUCUGCACGCUCCUGUUUAUUUUUGCCCCUUGAUUUUCCGUCGAUUCUCGCUUCAAUCAAAACGUCAUGCAUAGGGUUGCGCGAAAACUUUCCCAUGAAUCAAAAUCUUAUAACCUCAUCUAUACCUUGGCCAGCUGCUCUCCAUGUGACAAUGCUUUAUCUGUUGUGCUUUCUCCUUUUUUGAAUGACAUCUUUUAAAAAAUUUCAAUGACCCUAAAUUUUAACGAAAUCGAUCACCAAAAAUCAACUGCAAAAUUCAAAACAAAUAAGAAAAAUUAUAUAAAAUUGUAACAAAAAAAAAAAAAACAACGAGGAGGAGAAAUUGAUCGAUAAGAAAAUUUAUAUAAAAAUUGAAACAGAAAUAAAAGAACUAGUACGUGUUUUGCCAGGCAAAUACUCAGAGCUCAUGGCAAAUAUCGAAAUCAAUAUCCAUUUAAUAUUUCCCCCAUCUGAAAAUUCCUAUCACUUUUUUUUUCCUUAUUUAAUAAUAAUAAUAUUAUUUAUAGAAUGAUGGGAAAAUAACAGAAUGAUGGCAAAAUAACAGAUUUUGGAUUCGAUAAAUAAGGGAAAAAAAGGAACAAAAACGUAUUAGCAUUAUCCCUUCUAAUCUUUUCUUUUUCAAAUUAUUUAUUUAUUUUAUUUCUAAAGAAUUAUUUUGGCCUGAAUUAUUAUAAAUUAACCAGCAGAUGUCAGGUAAGAAGAAAGGUGAGUACGUGGACGAAUUGGAGACGAGCGUCUGGGAUUUACGAUGGUGGACGGAGAGCAGGUUUAGGACCGUUAGUUGAAUUUUUCCUCAAGCAAACUCAAUAUUACAAUUUCUUCUCUUUUUUUAACGGCUCUUUUUCUUUUAGGGGAACGAGUGGCCACAUUUUGAUAAUCCAAAAUUUAGCGAUUGUGACCUCGUAAUUACGUAAUUACGUAAGUAACUUACACGCAACUGAAAUAUCAAAAUGACGGUUUCUUUUGUGGUGUCAUGUGAGUAAUUAAACAUGUGACAACAUAGACUUGGAAUACGAUUACAUUCACAUAGGCUAUCCAACGGCCAACUGUUAAUUAGUCCAACACUGACAUUGUCCCAAACCGAAUCGCUUCCAUAGUCAGGCAUGAGGUUUUAUGCAAAAACGCUUCCAUAGUCAGGCAUGAGGUUUUAUGCAAAAAGCCUUGGUGUUUAUAGGAGUGGAAACAUUCAUUUACAUAUUUAGUUUGAUUUGUCGAAUUUCCUCGUGGAUUGACGUUAGGGGUUUCCUGCCACUACAAUACAAGAAUAACCUGAUUUCUUGUUUUGUUGCAAGCAAUGUUUGAAAUUUCUUUGAAAUGGUCAACAUUUCUAAGGAAAUUUUGGAAAAAUCAAAGAAAGAUAUGAAAAGGGGCUUAAGCCCUACGUCAAAGAAACUCUUAAAUUCGACUAAAAUCGACAAAUUUUGUCAACAUUUCCGACAUUGGUUAAAUAUCGACAAAACUUGCCAGAGACAGAUAAUUAUGAUUAAAUACUGAAUACAUAGAACUUAUGGCCUCUAGAGUGCUAAACCCUAAACCUUAUAUUCCGGUUAUGGCUCCUAACCAACUGGAGAAUAAAAAUUACAAAUUACAAAUUACAAACUCUCAUUAUUGUACAGAAUUACGGAUAAAUACUAGCCCGAAGCUAAAUUAAACUACUUUAGAACAGGAGUCUGGGCUAACUGUUGAAGUUGAUGAACAAUGUGAGACAUCCUCGGGCGCAUUGAUGGGACAUGCUGUGUACAGGCAUAGACGAGGUCGACCACCUUUUGAAUGACACCAGCCUCCGGAAUCUCAGGAGAAGAAACAGUUAUAUGAGGGUCCAGGAGAUCCGGGUAGCGAUGAGCCUGCACCAGAGGUGUUGCCCACUCAAAAAUGCUCUGCCAACCCACCGAAUCAACGGCCUGUGCAGGUCUACGUCCGCUCACAAUCUCAAGUAGCAGCACACCAAAGCUAUAAACAUCACUCUUUGUCGUAAGCUCAUUUCUGUAGACAAAUUCUGGAGCAAGGUACCCGUACGUGCCACCAGCCAUCACUGUCCUCUCGUGCAUCACUUCAUAUGGUACAAACUUUGACAGACCAACCCCCAUUAGAUGUGCUCCAAAAUCUUCAUCAAGCAGUACAUUACUGGCACGGAUAUCACGAUGCACGACAUGCGGUUUUACCUUGUCAUGCAAGAACCUGUUUGACAUAUGAACGGAUGAACCACCAAUUAAACACAAUCCAUUCUGCAUCAUUCAAAUCCUUCCCAUUGCAUUCCAAGGUAGAAAUGUACUAAUGAAAUAAGGAUUGACAAUUUUCAGCGAAACAAGAAACAAAAAUGAGGAUUGACAAUGAUGGCAUAACCACCAACACUAAAGCCACCGAAGUAAACUAGCAAGGGAAAUCCACAUCAGAAAUGUAUGGCAAACGUCCAAGCUAACACUAAUGUAUGAAAGCAGCCAUGGGAAAGCCAUAUCAGAAACAAAAUGUUUCCGAAAAAAAUAGAUGCGAGAGUCGAGAUAUAUUCUAAUCUAACCAUGAAAAAUCCCUAAUAAACAAUAACCUAUGUCAAAUUUUUAUAUAUUUUUAACAGAUCUUUUCCUUUCCAGGUGAAAAAUUGCAACUCGAUCAAAAGUUCAGGAGGUAAUUUGAGAAUUUCCCAUUUGAUUUAAAUCUACACAAUAUUAUGAUUUCUAAUUUACGUGAACAAUGAUAGUGACCUCUCGGAGAAAUGAGAACUAUCACGAACAUAAGAUGCCUUGAAAUAGAUGCAACAGAGAUAAAAGAUCUAAGUGAACAAAUCAGUCUCAGAUUUUAGAUCUUUGUUUGACCUAAGACCAAGAGGAAAAAGUGAUGUAUAACUUACGCAAUUCCUUGAGCAAGAGUUGUGGCAAUUUUCAUUCUCAUGGCCCAAUCUAAGCUUCGACCACCCCUAGGUAUGUGGUGCAGCCAUUUAUCCAAGGGUCCAUUAACUAUGAACUCAUAAACUAUGAAGCGAUCACCAUGAUCAUAACAGCAGCCUUUCACAGCCACCAAAUUUGGGUGGUGAAGCCUUGCAACCCUUCCAAUUUCAGAGUAGAACUCUUUUUUCCUUUGAAAACUAGAUCUCUUCAACCUCUUAACAGCCACCCUUGAGCCAUCAGGAAGAAUUCCACUGUACGUGCCUCCCGUCUUGGCAUCUCCCAGAAGACGGUUUCCUUCACUAAAGUUCUUUGUAAUUGACCUUAGUUCCUCUUUCAUGAAGACUUUCCAUGACGGAGUGACUAAUGCAGUUUCUGCUGGAUUAGAUAGUUUGCGGGAACGUCUGCGCUUCUUGCUACGCUUGUAUGCAAGAAGCCAAAUCACUACAGCUAAUGUUGUGAAGAGAAUCAACCCACUUACUACUCCAAGGAUAAUAAGAUAUUCUCUGUGGCAAUGCAUGUGGUAACAUCUGUUCCCUGAAAGCAACAGGAGCAAAAUUAAAUUAGCUGGACAGAUAAUUCAAGAUUGGAGUUCGUAAUAAAAAAUUACAAAAUAUACCUAAAUCAACCAUGCAUAUAAAAGCAUGAGACGUAUUGCAUCUUUCAGCCAAGAGAGACGUGGAUCUAUUAGUCACCAAUAUGCAUACAUCGACCGAACUAUUGGUGUGGCAAGAGAUGUUACUGCAAAUUGACUGAAGAGGUUGCACAUGAAAGAGAGACCCAUUCCAAUACAAAGUAUUAUCAGACCAAUUCCAGCCAAGACCAAUGGUAGAGUUCACACCUCUGCCUCCAACCCAGCAGCCACUGGAAGCACAUAGAUUUUGGGCAAACGCAAGUUCUUGAGAUGUUUUGAAUGCUGCUAAGUUGCCAUUAUAACUUUUACAAUGGGUUUCUGACUCAUUCCAUGGUUGGGGGCUUCUCGUAUAACCAAAGCACUUCCUCCUAUUAGGUCCAAGAAUCCAACCAGCAGGGCAUGGUUCUGUUCACAAGCAAUUGAACAUAAUAUAUUGAUUAUAAACGCAUAUAGACUAUAAUGCAAUCUCUUUUAACAAUAACACCCUUGACACAACGAAACAUGAUCAACAUGCUCACUACCAGCAUGCUGUCAAAUAGAAUGCUCACUAACGCAGCUUAUAAGGUAACAAUAUAUCCAACACCUUUAAUUUCCAUGGUAUAACAGUACGCUGUCGGUUUUAGGAGCAUUAAGAUUAUUCGUUUCUAGAGACAAAUUACAUGCAUCUUCUUGUGCCUUGCAUAACUCAGCUGAUUUUCUAUAUCCUAAGUAUCCUAUCUAUCAGAAUAGCAUGUUUUAUGCAUCUCAGACCUCAGCAGUCACAGCUCCAAUUGUUCUAUACAAGUAACAUAAUAUUGAAUGCCUCGUUAGAAUCUUAAACUUCGUCAACCAAAUGCAUUGUUAGAGGUUCGCGAGAAGCAUUUUUACUUUUAACGGUGAUAAACAAUAUUCCAUCCUUCGAAAGGUACCACAUUAUACACAAAUGAAGGCUGGUUUUUGUUCAACUAUCGUCUACUAUCUACUCAAAAUACCCAUUUCCGCAAAGCGAAAAAGUGAAAUUUCUAUAAACAAUUAGGAUUUCUAAAGUAAAAUUUAGAACUUGAGCUGAAAAGGGUUACUCACACCUUUACCUUCUUCAGUUCCAGAAGUAACCAAAUACCUGCGAAUCGGCUCGUUAUGCACCUAAACAAUGAUAGUGUAGCUUUCAAUACGUGAAUCCACAAUGUAAAGCAUCUUAACAGUUGAGAUUAAAGAGAAAAAUAUUUAAAAAAUAAAUAAAUUACCAUAAUUUUCUUACCCUUUGUGAAUCGCAUGCACCCAGCAGAAACCAAACAAUCAGAGGCGCAACCAAUUGCAGAGCAAUCAGAUUCCCUUCCAUCAAACCCAUUUUUCAUAAACCCUAGAAAAAAUGGUAAGUAGGUAAAAUUUCAGUUCUCACAUAUCACGGCCCCUUUUCACACCACACCAUGCUCUGUAAAUUUGAGGCCUUUCACUUCAGACCCUCGUCCCAGCCCUACGCAGCAGCAAGGAAGUUGUUCUUCUUCCGAGCCAAGUCAAUCUGUGAGCUUGUCCCUCUCCCUCUUCAUUCAAUUUAGAGUAGACGGUGGAAAAACCCAUGUACUUGUAUACUUACUUUUCUUUUAGAAAACUUUUUUUUUUUUUUUUUAAGUCAAUUUGACGGAAAUUUGGUAAUUUACUUCAUAGAAUUUAUGAAGGAUGGAAUAGGUUUGGUAAAAAUGGAACCAGAUCCUUUCCGGAUCUAAAAAUCUGAGUUUCAUGAUUAAAUGAUUUAGACUAUUAAAAUUUGAUCAAACGAUUACAAUUAUUAUUCAACGUGUGAUUCAUUUACUUAAAAGUUUUCUUUUAGUAAUCAACCAAGUGUAAGAAUUUCUAAAUUAAUUUGGUUCGUUGAGUAAUAAAGUUAGCAACAAGUGGAUUGCCUUGCUAGUUAGAAUUUUAUUCUUCAACCCGUUACGCUCUAAGUUGAAAUCAAUUUCCGUUAAAUUAGUAUAGAAUGUAGCUUGUGGUCAAUAUUAGUAGAGAAUUCGGCUUUUUAUUUUUGAAAUAAACGAUAUUAUUUACAUUAAGGAAUAUGAGAUGCGCAAACCUCACAAUAAGAUAUUAAUAAUAUGAUAUAAAUUCAUUUUUUUAACGGAAUCGAAUUUAUGACAUUUUAUUUAUAAAUAAAGAAGAAUAUCAUUACGGUAGUACUAAAUCGUAGAAUCCGAUUUCUUUUAUUUUAAGUUUCAAAAAGAAAAUUGAUUUCAACACCACCAAUCUACAAUAAAGUAGAACUAAAGAAAAAGUACAGGAGUAGAGGAGUAGGUGGGUGAGCCUGAAAUUGGUAGGUGAAGUUGUAGUAGUAAAUUGGCCAAAAAUAAGAAGUUGGAGCAGCAACAAACACAAACACAAAUUCCAAGUAGAAGGAGAGAGAGAGGAGGGAGAAAGAAAUGGAAGGAUUAUACGGAGCAGUGAUGGAGGAGAUAGGGCGGUACACCGGACUAUCACCGGCGGCCUUCUUCACAAUCGCCGGGAUGAUGGUCGUGGUUUACAGAAUAGUCACCGGCAUGUUUGUGGGUCCCGAAGAUUACAACAAGCCUCCGGUGGCGGCGACCAUCGACACCGUCGAUUCUGAUUCCAAAUCCAAUUUUGUGAAUAAAUACUUCAAUUCCGCGGGGGCAGCGAGAGGCUCGUCGGUCCAGAUGGGAGACAUGACGGAGGAGCAGCUGAGAGAGUACGACGGGUCCGACCCCAAUAAGCCGCUGCUUAUGGCUAUCAGAGCUCAGAUAUACGACGUCUCUUCCUCCAGGUACUUUCCCUGCUUCUCUUUCCUUCCUUCAUUUUGCACUUAAUUGAAAUUUAUAAAAACAAACCGGGACCUUUUGGUCUUUCACGCCAAUUCCGUUAGAAUUUUCGUCAAAAAUAAGGACAGUAACUUGCCAUUUAACAGUACAUAUAUAAAUUGAAAACGAAAUAGUUACCAAGCGGUCAAAUUUUGUAACUUACACUUGGUUUUUAGGCAUGUGAUGACACACACUUAAUUUUGACGGAAAUUCUUAUUAUCGUCAAUAAAUAAAGUUAAUAAAAACUGAAAACUAAAUGGUUAUUAAACCGGUUUUUAGUAAAUCUUAUAACUGCACAUGUUUUUUUAAUCAUGUGACAGCUUGUGCUUAAUUUGACGGAAAUUCGUAUUAACGUCAACGACCAAAGCUACACACUUGGUCAAAAGGAAAUUGAUUUUCGCACUUCGCCAAUUUCCUCAGCAUGAAGAUAAAAGAGAGUGCAAAAAUCACUUCCUUUGUCGAAUUCGAACAAAUUUUACGGAUUUUUAAUCCGAGUAUCCAAAUUUUAUGGAGAUAUUGUUAUUAUUUAUCCUCUAAUAGCUUGUUCAGAUUUUAGAAAAGCGAACACAAAUUGGCAAUUUCAGUGCAAAUGAAGAUCAUAAUUUGAAGCAAAUUACAACAUGCAAUGCAGGAACUUUUACGGACCAGGAGGAGCGUACGCCAUGUUUGCUGGAAGGGAAGCAAGCAGAGCGCUGGCUCUUCUGUCCUUUAAACCCCAAGACAUAAACGGCAAUCUCGAAGGUCUGGGGCCUGAUGAACUUGGCAUACUACAGGAUUGGGAAGAUAAAUUCAUCGAAAAAUAUGACAAGGUCGGGCAGCUUGUAGCAGAGCAAACAACUACAAAUGCCGAUGAGAAAACUGAGGUCGCUGCCGAUGACGCUCAACCGCAAGCAGUUGGACAAGCAGAAUAGAGGAGAGGAAAGAAUAAUCUGUCAAGAUAUUGCACGCGCUCGGGCUAGGGUUUCCUUCUAGCCGAGCGCAAAUAUGUAUCUCAUUUCCGUAUUUUGUAUAAACACAAGAAAUGAUAACAGUAUAUGGUAAGGUAAUAUAGACCUUGUCUCCUGAAUCAGUGUCCCUUCGGCUCCUGCUGCCUUGAUCCUUGCAUAUUCAUCCUUCUCGGGUUGGCUGGGAAAGUAACAAGAAAGAAAAAGGACGACUAGGACUAAGGAGAAAGAAAAAGGACGAUUGGACAAGCAGAAUACAGGAGAGGAGAGGAGAGCAUAGUCUGUCAAGAUACUGCACGUGAUCGGGCUAGGGUUUCCUUCUAGCCGAGCACAAAUAUGCAAGGAAAACUAAUGAAAAUGACUUGAAAACUUUGAGUUUUAAUGAAAAUGACAAAAAUGUGUUGUAAGUGAAUAGUACCAGGAAUUUUUCGUUAAAGUUUCCUGUGUAUCCCAUUCCCAUCUUUUGUACAAGCACAAGAAAUGAUAACAGUACAUGGUAAGUAAAAACCUUGUCUCCUGAAUCAGUGUCCAUUCGACUCCUGCUGCCUCGAUCCUUACAUAUUCAUCCUUCUCGGGUUGGCUGGGAAGAUAAUAAGAAAGAAAAAGGACGAUUAGAACUAAACUUAAAAACACUAACCUUGAGAAUGCAUCAAAUCAGAUCUACUGGAUACCUGUGACAUCAGUGACUCUUGUACCCCAAGAAACCAAGAGUGCAAGGCCGCCGGCGGCAAAAUUGGCAUCACUUGUCCACCAAUCCUCAUACAAUUGUAAUAACAUAACAAGCUAAUUACACCAGUACAGCCAAAUAAAAGAUUGGUAUAAACUAAAGAUGAACGGAAAUAAAUUCAACACCGAAGAGUAAAAAUGAAAAUCGAAGGAAACAAUAUAUCAAACAUCGAUAGAUUAUGCAACUACCUUAAAGUGACAUACUUGAUCUUCAGAAACUAACAAGAACUUUGCUUUUAUUUGUGCUUGUACAAGAGCACUUUGGUUUAUGCGUACAAUGAUACCUCAGGAAAAUUUUCUAUAUAUGAUACAUAACCCGAAUACAUAACUGAAGUGUUCCGAUUAUUGUAAUGUAUCUUCUAUCGACACGAACAAAGUACAUUAUCGCGGAGAAGAACAAAAAAAUAACGAAUCAAGCAUAGAUAUAUCAUACAAAUACUUUGAAUGAGACAUACUCUGGCCUCAAAAACUAAUCAGAACUCUGAUUUUAUCUGCACGUAAUUGUGGUGAUUUCAGCAAACGGCUCCUACGGCUUCUCUGUACGUGCUUUGGCUUUUCGAACGGAUUUCAUGGCUUCUUCAAAUGAUUUCUGAAUGCAAAUGAAAAGCAUGUCAGUGACACAAUGUUGGAAUGAUUCGUUCGACGAUUUUAGGCUCAAUUUCUAUAGACAUACAAUCGACGGAUACCGACAGCAUUAUAUAAACGAAAAUUAGAGAAAGCUUGAAUUGAGAAAACGAAAGACCAGGGCGAAAGAGGAACAAGAAGAAGCAACGUACCUCAUGAUUAUGCAUCUUCCAUAAGGCAUCCCAGCCCAAAUUAACAACUGCUAUACCACCUAAGCAAGCCCUGCAUAAAAUUUAUCUUCCAAUGAAGCAUUUCCAAAGAGAAAUUUACCCAACAUAGUACACUGAUUAACCAAAUGCCGAAUUGGGCACGGUUCAAUAUAAUUCCAUGUUCAUCUCAUCGGGCAAAUGUAUGGGUUUUUAUUAACGAAAACUAAUUAAAAUGAUUUGAAAACUUUGAGUUUUAAUGAUAAGAACAAAAUAAAGGAUAAAGUGAAUAGUACCAAGAUUGACAUUUUAGUGUAAAAAUAUGGUUUUUCGUUAAAGUGAACCGUACCAGAACUUUUUGUUAAAGUUCUUUUUUUUAUAGCAUAGAAUAUUACAAAUAAGUUCUGCCUGUACAAUCUUAUGCUACCGAUCUUAAACCGAAUUACAAAAAAAGGAGACAGUUAGGUAGUGCACAACCAUCACUCUUUUCACAUUCGUUAUAUUUGUUUCAAAUGAACUUGAUAUAUACUUUUAAAAUAACUGAAAAUACUUUUAGUAAAAAUAUUUUUGAAAUCAAUUUUUAGUUAAAAUGCAAGUAAAUUUUGAAAAAACAUUUAAAUACUUUCGGUAAGAAGCACAUAAUUGAUGCUUUUAGAACUCAAAAACAUUUUAUCUACAAAGUUUUCAAUCAUUUUAAUUCAAUAGAAAAACUGUAAAAAUCAGCCGCGGAAAUUUACAGACAAGUGAAUAGGAAAAAAAAUUACCCUACCCUGCGACGGAGACAUUGAGAAGGAAAGCGCGCGUGGUGACAUAUCGGAGAAAAUUCUCAAAGGCGGAGGAAGCUCCACUGGCGGCUCCGGAGCCACCGCCUCUUCUGUAACUAUUACCACCACUAUAUCCGUAACCGUAAUUGUAAGUGCGAGUGUAGGUAUUGUAAUUGUUGUGGGGGCGGUGAGAGCUCUGGAAAUUGUAUUCGGCGCGCUUGCGAUCGUCGAUGAGGACCUGGUAGGCCUCGGAGACCUGCUUGAAUCGGACGGUGGCUCUGUCUCUCUCCGCCUUGGGGGAUGCGGAGUGCUUGUCUGGGUGUAGCUUCACCGCCAGCUUCCUGAACGCUUCCUUGAUUUCGGCUUUGCUCGCAUUCCUCGCCAGCCCCAAUACCUUGUAGUGAUCCAUGAUUUCGUUUUUGAUAAUUUUUCUCGAUCGAUCAAUUCGUUUUCUUUGUAAUUAGGAUUCGAUUUUUUAAGUUGGGAAUUGGGGAUUGAGGAACUAGGGUUUAUAAAUUCGUUUCGUCUUGGUGAAUGAAGGGUUGGGUUAUUCAACGUCGUGGCAUCGCCAUAGCCGCUUCCUUUCUCUUCAUGCUUCGCGGUUCGCAGUUCAUUUUCAGGAGAAAAUUCCCCUUUCCCCAUUAUACCCUCCCGAAUUUUCUCUUUAUUUUAUUUUUUAUUUUAUUUUAUUUUAUUUUUUAACAAAAGAUAUCAAGUUUACUUUUAAGAGAAUUAGACCUAAGAAAUCUCGUAUCUACGUAAAGAAGGAAAAAAAGAAGGUUAUUUUGAUAAAAGAAAAAAGAAAAAAAAAAGAGAAAAAAAAAAGAAGGGUUUAAUUACUCUAGUGCCCAUAAAAGAAUGCAUGACAAAUGAUGAUUAAAUACUUUUUUUUCUUCUUUUUAUAUAUUCAUGUUUUUUUGUGUUUAUUGUUUCGUUUUCGUGAAAAGUGUGUUGUUUUCGGUUGACUUACUUGACGGUAUAUGUGAAAAUGUGUCCAAACCUAUCUUGAACAUGAAGGCUAUCUUUGUUACUAAGCAUCUUAGAUAUUCGUGAAUUGUGUCCGUUUAUUGUACAUUGUAUGAUCAAUUUUAUCAAGUACUGUUUGUGUUUAAUUUUAAAUAAAAUACUUAAAAUAAUUUCUAACUGCACGAUGUAUAAUAAAUGAAUAUGAUUGACGGAUCCUCAUGAUCCUCACAUAAAGGAUCCGGGUUCCCACAUUUAACCCUCCCACAAAGCUAACCCUCCAAACUUUUCAACCCUGCAUUAUUUUUAAUUGAAAAAAGAGUAAUGUUAUAUUUACCACUUAAUUGUAUCUUUGGGUUCAAUACUCACUAAAAACGAAUUUGAAUCACAUUAUUAUGACUAGUCUAUCGUGAGGUUUUAGCCCACUCCCCAAUACUCUUAGUUUAGAUACCAUCUUUUGUUAAAAAAAAAAAUUGUAUCAUCUUUAUAACACAUGUGGAUUCUAUCUCUAUUAGAAAGAUGUUAUAAUUAAUGAUACAACUAGAUAAUAAAAUUAUUUCAACAAACACAACUAUAUGGUAAUAUCAAGUGACACUAAAUAAUAAGGAAAACUAAUAAAAAUAGUUUGAAAACUUUAAGUUUUAAUUGUAAGUAAAUAGUACAAAAAAUGACGUUUUAAAAGUAAAAAUAUCAUUUUCGUUAAAAAUAAACAUUGCCGAAAUAUUCCGUUAAAACUCCUUAAAUAGUACGGCCGUAUAUCUAAAUUUCAAUCAAGAAAAAGGUUAGUUAAGUCAAAGCCCAAAAAGGUAAUUUGAGCAACGGAAUCAACUCCAGGUUCUCUUCCAAUCGACUCGGACCCGGUUAGCUCCCAUCAUUUCCAUUCUCUCAACCACCGAACAGAACAGGCGGAUCGUCGGCGCUACUAUUCCUUCCUCCACCACCGACUCAGCCGGCCCGGUAAGAAUCUUAUUUUCCGAUUUCUACCCAUUUCUUCAUUGUUCUUCGCUCUCAAUUUUCUUUAUUAUUUAUUUUCCUAAUUCAUAUGUAAUUAUGUUGGGCAUGGCAUAUAGCUUGAUUUCUUAUCUAAAUCCUAGCUCUGAAUCUCAAAUUUUGUGUCCAAAAUCCGAACUUUUGAUUUGAUGCUUUGUUUUGUGUUCGAAUUCGUUGAAUUUGUUACUCAAGAGUUUCAAUCUUAGCAUUUGUAUGUGUUGAAGAAUACAAGAAUCCCACAUCGAAAAUUGACCAAAUAAAUUACAGUAUGUAACGAAUGCUUCCGCUCCUAAUGAUACCGGGGCUUUUUUUGUGAUGAAGCCCCAUAAGUUUGCGUGAUUAGUAGUGGGCCGCUGGUCUGACUCUUUGAAAUCUUGACAAAAGCGUUGCCGCCCCCACUGAUGAUUUCUCUCCCUCUCACAUUGUGUCUGUUUCGCUUUCGUGUUUGUUGGUUAAUUCUUAAUAGAAGUGUUUUUGUGACUGGUUGAGAUCUGUGGGAUUGCACAUUCAUUGACUCUGUUUCUUUUUCUUUUUUAUCCGUUUCUAGUGCUUUUGGGUACUGGUACAGAUCAUUUGUGUAACCAGGAAGAAGAUGAAAGGCCAAAGCAGUUACGCUCCACCUGCUUACAUUCCGUUGGGAAUGUCGGAUUCUGAAUCAGCGAUUGUUUUGCGAAAUGAAGACCCGCCUAAUCAGCAGAACAGCGUUGACGGGCCCAAACAAUGGUCUUCUGGAAUCUGCGCUUGCUGUGACGAUAUGCAGAGCUGUACGCUACUUUCUGCUUUGUGACCUUGAUUUAUCAGAAGGAAAAUUAUGAAGGUGCCUUCUUGAGUAGGGAAAACGAAAAUUAGCCUGUUGUCAUUAUACAUGAAUUUUACGAGGAUUCUUUAAGCAAGGCUAGGAGAGGACUUGAAUUAUAUAACUAACCCUAUAGGUUACUAUAUGCUUGCCUCUUAUUUUUUAUGCAUUAAUGUUCUCUAAGUUAGCAGACCCCACUUAGUGGGAAAAGGCUUUGUUGUUGAUGUUGUUGUUGUUGUAAUGUUCUCUAAGUAUUCUUCAAUAUGUGGAGGACCUCUUUUAUGUCUGAAUUUGUGAUUGGUAUUCAUUCUGUGUUAGUUAGAAGCCAUUGCAAUAUCUAGAUUUUAGGCGAGUAACCAUGCACGGAUUUUUUUUAUAGAUCAAACAGUAUAUACUAUCCCAUCAAACUUGACGAGAACAUGAAGACAACAGUAGGUUAGAAUAACAGAACUUAUGAUGUGUACGUUGAUCAACUAACACCUUGAAUUUUUCAUGGACAAAAUUUGGAUAAAGAUUAUUAAUAAGACCCAUAUAUUAAGUACUUUAAACCUCAUUUUAAGGAUGCGAUAUCCAGUCUGAUGUGAGGUAAAGCAUUGGUUGUUGGUAUAUACUCUGUGUUGUUAGUGGUGAAUAAAUAGAUGAUAAUGUUUUGAAUACGUUAGAGGAGGAUGUACAUGGGAAGAGGGUAAUCUGACUUGUUUAUAUUUUUUUGUUUAUCACGAUAAGUUGUAACAUUUGCUUCUUAGGUACACAACCACUGCUAAAUAUGUUCGUAACAGUAGCAGGAGCUUCAUCCAUCAUGUCUCCAGAUUAUGGCUUUCAAACCAAUGACGACCAUCUGAUUGCCGAAUUUUUUUUUACAGGUUGUGUAGGUCUAUUUUGUCCUUGCUUUCUGUUUGGAAAGAAUGCAGAAUUUCUGGGUUCUGGGACAUUGUUAGGAUCAUGCAUGACUCAUUUUAUUUUGUGGGCACUUGUUAAUACCGCCUGCUGCUUAUUGACUGAGGGCCUGUUUUUGGGCAUACCGGGAUGCUUUGUUGCAUGUUAUGCUUGUGGCUACCGCAGUGCCCUAAGAACAAAGUAUAAUCUUCAGGUAUAACAUCGUUUUUCAAUUUACAGGCUUAAAGUCUGUUAACUUUUUAAGAGUAGAAAAGUUUUGAUUUUGUGCUUUUAUUCUCUCAGUUCCUUCUUGAAUUUUGUUUACUUUUCAUCUGAGUUUCAAUCUGCGUUUUGACUGUUUGAGAAAUAGAAAUGAUUACCAAAAAUGUGACUGAUUAUUGAUGUAGAAGUUGGGUUUGACACGUCGAAUGAAUGCUUUGAUACCAUGUUAAAGUUUGAGCUUCCCACCGCAAUUCAUGCCCGUGCGUGACACCAUAUAUAAGGCUUACCACUCUAAGAUUUAAAAAAGAAAGGUUCAUAUAUAGUAACGAAAGGCUUCAAGUGAUAGGGAAUGUGACUUUAUAUUGUGCUCAUUGGUGGAAAAUAAUUUAUUUGAUUACUUUGAAAUAAUUCAGUGCAAAUGGAGGCCAAAACGAGUUAGGGGUGAAGAUCGGAGAUCAAGAAAUACCAAAGAGCGACCGUUUUCGUUACCUAGGAUCUAUCUUGCAAAAGAACGGAGAAUUAGAUGGAGAUCUCAACCAUAGAAUACAAGCUGGAUGGAUGAAGUGGAAGAGUGCAUCCGGUGUGUUAUGUGACCGCCGUAUGCCACUGAAGCUCAAGGGAAAAUUUUAUAGGACGGCAAUAAGGCCGGCGAUGCUGUAUGGCACAGAAUGUUGGGCGGUGAAAUAUCAACACGUACAUAAAAUGGGUGUAGCGGAGAUGAGGAUGCUUCGUUGGAUGUGUGGGCACACGAGAAAGGAUAAGAUUAGGAAUGAGGAUAUCCGGGGUAAAGUAGGAGUAGCCGAAAUUGAAGGAAAGAUGAGAGAAAAUCGGUUACGGUGGUUUGGACAUGUGCAAAGAAGGCCUACUGACGCUCCGAUUAGAAGAUGCGACUAUGGGACAGAGGUUCAGGGCCGAAGGGGUAGAGGAAGACCUAGGAAAACUUUGGAAGAGACUCUAAGAAAAGACUUAGAGUACUUGGAUCUAACGAAGGACAUGACACAGGAUCGAGCACAAUGGCGUUCUAAGAUUCAUAUAGCCGAUCCCACUCAGUGACUUGGAUUUUCCAAGUCUCCAACCGAGAAGUUUUCCUUACUCGGAAAAUUAAGGGAACACUACCCAACCUACAUGCUCCACUCAGAAAGCUUCAACAUACAAGCUUCAACAAAAGAAAAUUCAAAGAACUUAGCGAAGAAGGCUUUGGUGUAUCUAACACAAUACGUUGAAAUGAAGGAAAGCUUAUUUAUUGAUAUCCCCGAUAAGCUACAAAUAUGUACAUAUACAUGAGUCAAAAUAAACACACAAGAGGGAGCCUUCACACAGGUUGCUUAGGAGAAGUCUCAGCAGUCGGUAGAGCCCCAGAAAGAGAAGGCACCGGAGGGGGAUCAUUUGGAGCCUCAGUACUGGACAGAACCCUAGAAGGAGGAGGCAUCAGAGGUUGAUCAUUUGGAGCUUCAUUACGCGGUACAGCCCCAGAAGACGAAGGCAAUAAAUGCCUUUGGAACAAACCCACAAAUCUCUGAUGAUCAAGUAAAAACCUGACCAUCAGUUUCCUUCAUCUGGUCAAGCUUCCUCUUCAUGUUUGUAGCAUAGUCAUGUGCGAGCCGGUGCAACUGUUUUAUUCUCAUGCUUGAGCCCUCUAAUCUCCUGUUUGAGACUCAUCACUUCAGCCGCCAAUGAUUCAACUUGGCGGGUUCGAGCAAAUAGGCGUUGGGCCAUAUUAGACACAGAACCUGCACACUGAACACUGAGAGCCAGCGAAUCCUUAACAGCCAACUCAUCAGACCGUUUGGAAAGUAGUCUGUUAUCUUUGGGAGUGAGAAGGUUCCUGGCCACCACCGCAGCGGUCAUAUCAUUCUUCAUCACGGAAUCCCCAACGGUAAGAGGACCAGUAGGGGAGACGAAGGAUGGGCGCCAUAUGUUGUCUGGAGAAGGCGGGGCUGCCUCUUCAACAAGGUUCAAGUCAAAACGACGGUCGGAGGGGCCAGACAUUUUCAAAGGUGUUGAAGAGAGAAGAGGUCGGACAAAUCAAGAUCUUAGAAGUGCAAGAAUGAAGCUCCUACUGGUGGAGAUUCAAGUGUGCUUUGGAACUUAAUGCCAGCCCCUAUAAAAAUCUGCACUCGACGGAGCUUCAGAAAUCGAAGAGGCGCCUGCUCAGAAAUCGAAGAGGCGUUUGCUUUCUCAAAAGCUGGGCUGCUUAGAGAUCACGAGGGUUGAUCUCAGAAAUCGAAGAAGCGUUUGCUUUCUCAAAAGUUGGGCUGCUCAAAGACCUCGAAGGCUGAUCUCAGAAAUCGAAGAGGCGCUCGCUUUCUCAAAAGAUGGGCUCCUCAGAGACCACGAGGGCCGAUCUCAGAAAUCGAAGAGAGGCACCUACUUUUCCAGCCUUGUCAGCACCUGUCACACGCACACUCAGCUUUGCGGAAAUUAUGGGCAUUCUGUCGAAGACUUCUGGGGAAGUAGAAAACACAUGAAUCUUACUGUUCAAUCACCCACUUCCCACACGCAACAAUAGCUCAUGGGUACCACAUAAAACUUUGCCAAAGUUCUCUGCCAAAGUUGAGCACGUGAAGCUUGCAGCUCCCACUACAUCGCUCUGACCAAGAAGGGUAAAGAGAUAAUAGCAAAGAAACAGCACUAACAAAGUUUAGACCCAUAAAUUUUGAAGGUCUAGCUACCAUAUUAUUACCCACAAGGGUAGGGUAAGGAACAGUACCACUGCUGGAUAAUUGGAAAGUCCCUGUGUGUCAACCUCUGUGCUUUGUGGCAAGGUAGACUAGCAAACAUGCCCAACCUUUACUCAUAUUCGAGAAAACACUCCCAAUAGGAUUGCUUGCUCCAAAAUCGAAGAGGCACCGUCCUCCUAAUCUCGAGAGCCAGACUCCCAAUAUGACUACUUUCUUAAAAAUCGAAAGAGAGGGUAAAGGAACAGUACCAUUGCUGGAUAAUUGGAAAGUCUCUGCAUUCUUCCACAUCAAAAUCUCCACACGCGAUUCGACGCCACUAGCGUUCUUACCGUCCACCUUUUUUUUUAUCGUUUGUCGUUACGUAGCCGAUGACGCCUAACUUCUUGUCACCCUGGAUCCUGGUGGUUACUAAGGACAACUGCUGGGGAUGGAAAUUCCUUGAUUUGUGAUCUACCCAUCCAAUCCACCAUUCAGCACUCCGCACUCGAUAACAUCGAUUGAAUCGCUCCGGGUUACACCCCUGUAUGCCACUCGUCGUGGCUGGGCCUCCGUGAUACGUUUAGACUAGCAAAUUAUGCCAGCCUCUUCUCGCAUCUCCAACGCGAUUCACGUGUAGAAACAGGCGCGUGAGACAAGAUCUGCGCGUGGCGUCGCUACUAAACAUACAAGAAGUCGAGAACACCACCCCUCGUGCGUAAUCCUCGAAGAAAGACAGAGUACUCCCCCAACAUUAGUUUUUUCUCAAACACAUAACGAAGAGACACUGUCUCCCCGAAUCUUCGAAGAGGCCAGACCCCCAGCAUGAUUGCUUUCUCAAAAAUCGAUGAGCUCGUCUCGAAUCAAUCCGAAGAGGCGCUCGCUUUAUGACGUUUAGCUGGGCUGUCUUCAGUACCACGAGGGCCACCCGGAUCUUCCGCAAUUUCAAGAAUCAGCUAGCGGCACCUACUUUUCUUAGCACUUGUCAGCACCUGUCACAACGCGACGACACUCAGCUUGCAGAAAUUAUGGGCAUUUUGUCGAAGACUCUGGUUUGAAGUAGAGAAAGCACAUGAAUCUUACGUUCAAUCACCCACUUCCCAACGCCAAACAAUAGCUUCAUUGCCCCCAGUACGGUUCGGGUACCCCCCGAAAGGUAAGAUAGCAGGAGGCAGAGUUACACUAACAAAUAUCUCCGCACAACUAAAACUUAUGAAGGUCUAGCUAACAAUAUUUGAUAUACGCCACACAGCUGUAAAGGGCACACUAAGAUGAGUCCACUGCCUGUCCCGAAAUAAUUCGCAGUAUUAAUUCACAACGUUUGUCAACCUCGGUGCUAGAAUUUCCUCCUUUCUUGCCACGUGAACGGUCCCACCAAUAGCAAUUCCCAGGAGGUCGUGUGGUGACUCACUUACUCUCGCCGAGGUGUAUUUUACUUAAGAUUUCAACAUACUCUGUCUUGCCUCUCACAUUUUAAACAACUCCACGCAAGUGCCCGUGCCGUACCGCAACUUUAGAGCCAGAUCCCAAACAUGAUAAUAAUAUACAGUGCACAUAUCCGAGAGAGAGUGCACGAGGAGACAAUCGCCUUCCUGUGAAUAAGCCUUGCGUGUGUGCAAACCGCUGUCGCCUGCAGGCGACGUCCGUGGAAGAUCGGAACAUAGUGAAUAGCCAAAAACCGUAUUUCCACUACACGUCAGUCUCAGUGAGAGCUUGCAAGCACCGUUCACAAAAAGAUUUCUUGGCUCCAAAAAUCGAAGAUAGGCACCUCGCCCUCGAUCCGUUCUCCGAAUCUCGUCUCUGACACUUUCCCGCCGAACCUAUCCACUCUAAUACUGUCUCAUAAAUCUCGACAGAAGAGCGAGUGACAUAUACACAGAAAUCGUCUCGGAGCGUCCCAGAGCUAAAAAAUACCCUCGCGAUGAUUGCUUUUCGAAAAAUUGAAGAGGGCCUAUCGUCUUCGAAUCGAAUCGAAGAGAACCGAGAUACACAGACCAUUUUUCAAAGUGCUCUGACAGAGUUAAACAUGUGAACUGGCAGCUCCCACCUCCGGCUAUGACCAGACUUCCGGUGGUAAAGGACCCAUAUUGACAACUUAAUAGAUUCUUACGUAAUCUCUGUUCAGGAGCACCUCUCUACUCUCACCUCGCGAUAACCCUCCAUCCCUCCACACGCGAAGGUCCUUACAGACUGCACACACAUACUUUGCUCUACUCUGCUAUCACUAUCUAGAUGAAGUGGCCGCUAUACCUCCUCACGCUGGACUCUCUUUCGACGCAAUAAUUCAGCUUUUCGUCAUCAUCGCGCGUCUAACAAUAAGGUUGAAGUAAGUGGGAUUGGCGCGGUCUGCCGUAAGUCCAAGCAGGACAAGCAUCUUCCCCCACUCGGCCCUUGGACACAGAUAAUUCACUCUGCCAAACCCACAGUCUAAAUACGUCCUCACGUGGGCGAAGAUAUGCUCUCAUAUGUCAUUGGUCAGUGUUGCUCUCACAGGCAAAGCAGUCAAGCUCACUCUAUACUAGUUCAUUAGAAUGCGUGUUGCCCCAAUGCUUUUCCUCCUCGAGAGCGUCUUUGUUUUCUCGCAAGAGACGAAUUAUUACAGAGACGCACCAUCAGUCCAGCACUUGGGUUAAUACAACGGUAUAAGAACAAAGAUGGGGAAAACCGACUGCCGUGCCUUACAAUGAAUAAAUCUACCCUCGCGCAUUGCUCUCGUAGUACGCUAUGCGUCCAUCUUGUCAAUCUUAAUUUCACGGGAAGAUUGUGGCGGUGGAGAGCACAGAUUCAGCGGCGAAGUCGGCACAGCAAUCCGACUUUACAAGGAAGCAUGUGGAGGACAAGCGUACCAACAGGCACAACAGUAACCUGAUGACUCCUCACUCUCACGUCGUACUCAUUAACGAACACAAAAAAGUAAAUUUAUCCAUCCCAGCACGGUUCCUUGGGAACAUAGCGUUAAACCUCAUCUCCAGAUUUGACAGUGAGUUGAUUAUAUGACCUCUUCUGAUCAGCUCUCUCUCUGCCGGGGCGGAUAAUACUCGAUUCGUAACGAUCACAAAAAACUCCUCCACUCGAGUCUCCAAUUGCACAUAAGCGCGUGUGAGACUAUCGUGGAGUCGUGGCGAGAACUGAGAGGCGAAAAGUAUCUCAUACUUCGAUCUCUCCUGCUCCUCAUCUUCUUAUCUCAUCUAGUCCCUUCAUGCCUAUGCGAACUACUUACACAGAUGGGGAGAAGUGACCAAUCUCUACAGCAUUUCCAGGUGGUCUUCAAUGCCCUGUUGCAUUACCUUGUCUUUGUCAACCUCUUUCAGCAGAGCGCCCCUAGCUCGCCUGGUCGAAACAGCUUGAGACUGCCUUACUACAUUAAGUGUUUGUAUCUACGUCGCUUGACCCAAGCCUGAAACUACAAGUAAGCUUCAAGGAAAAUUGAAUACAUUACCUUGUCGUUGUGUCUAAUGUCUUGAAUACACAAUGCUUCGGGCAAUUUAAGAGAAUAAGACUACACUGAGUCGUCGAUUGUAAUGGGAGUACUCCCUUCGGAGCAGAUAGUGACUGGCAACACCCUCUACCUAUGAGACAAGAAUUUGUGGACGUGACAAGGUCACGCAAACGAACUUACUCCCACACUCCGAGAUACUUAGAGAAGUUUCGUAUUAGGCUUCCGAGAUCUUUCUCUAUACAACGCACUUAUAUUUCGUCCUAAUGUUAUGUAUUGUAACUUAAUAACAUAUUCUCAACUUAAAUCCUUACCAUGUAUACUAUCUUAAAUAAGUGAAACGACAUGUUCAUUGAUAUAUUACCAUAUACUAAUUUACUUUCGUGUGUGUGUGUGCUAUAAAUCCCUAAUCAUACUAAUCCAAUGUGAGAACUCAUCUCCCUCCUCUCCGGUGGGAUCGUCGAUCCAUAGUUCCUUUCUGUCAGCAAUCUAGGUGAACCACGUUACAAUUCUUGUGUUUGCUUUCCUAUCUUCUAUGCCAGUGGUUGCCCGAUAUAUACUUAUUAACACACUACAUUUCAAAUUCGGACAUCGUGGGUGAAGCAUAUCGUAGACUGUGAAUAUUAUCACCCAAAUUCUCACUAUAAAGCUCGGAGACCUGUUUCUUACUGCUAUCCUAUGAGAGUCUCCUAAAUACCUCUCGCUAGAAGUAGAACACGGAGAAUUUAGAUGAGAUCUCAACCAUAGAAUACGAGCUGGAUGGAUGAAGUGUAAGAAUGCAUCCAGCUUGUUUGUGAGACCGUCGUAGGCCACUGCACUGCUACAAAGGCAAGACAAUAAUCUUUAUAGUUGGUUCGGGCAAUAAAGGCCAGCGAUUGUUGUAUGGCACAGAAUGUUGGGCGGUUGAAGCAUCAACACGGUACACAAAAUGGCCCAAAGCUAAUUGGUAAAAGACGGAGAGAGUGUAGGAUGCUUCGUGAGAGCUUCGUGUGGGUAUCCACAGUUUAGGAUUACCCAAAGAGUAGACCGCCAUAAGUAAUCCUGUGUGUCAUCUUUAUAUGCAAGGAAUUAUCCCUCGAUUGACCACAUUUGUGUUUAAGUAGGAAAGUACCGAAAUUGUAGGAAAGAUGAGAGAAAAUCGGGUGUGUGUCUUUGGUCAAUGUUGUCUAUAUAAUAGGACAGUGUCCUCCGCUAUCCCCACUAAACAAGUCUGUCUCGGUAUCAGAAUAGAUCUGUGACUACGGGGACAGAGGUUCUAGUGAGGUCCGACUAGGUGUGAUUAGUAGUGUCAAGACCUAUAUAGGAAAGUAGCGUUGGAAGAGACUCUGAAAAAGAAAAAUGACUUAGCCGAACUUACGCUAUACUAUUGGAUUUCUAAAACGUGAACCUAGGAUGCGACUCGACACAGAAAUUCUUUCAAUGCGCGCAAUGGACUGUUAUCAUAGGAGUCAUUUUAUCAAGCAACGCUCGGACCGCUCACUUAGUGUUGGGGAAUAUUUUAGUGUGAUUGGUAAGUCUCGUUGCUCUCUUGUUUGCGCUUUUCGACUUGAUCUCACUCUUAGUAGCUAAGUGGCUAUUAAACUCUCAGUCGUUGCGGGAUUGCCUUCGUAUAGGAGCUACUACGAAACUUUUUGUGGACAACUGUGCCGGAGGGGUGGCCCCUUAUUUUUUUAAGUUUUAUUACUAAUUCACUAAGAUCGGACUUAUCAUUCUUGUCAGAUUAGAAUUUUGUAGGCCAUGGCACUCCAUAGCUGGAAGGGGAUAUCAAGCUUACUGACGACUUCUUUUCAAUCGGCCACUCCACAUGUGUGCACUUUUGAUCAUGGGGCUUUACCCGUGGAGAUCCGGUCAUGAAAGUUAUCUACAUUAUAACCAGACCAUUGCAGUUCUGACACUGUAGGAUAACUGGCUAGUUAGGUACUGUCAGCGGACCAAAGUCCCUCACGUACGCAAUGGAAACCUUGAGUCUGCCGAUUACAAGUAUAAGAACGCACUCUCUCGAAUAUAUUUGUAUAGAAUAUCCUGUAGGAAUCCAUGACAUGCGUUUUGUACGUGUUAACACAAACCGUGUGCUUUGUGGCUCUUCUCCAGAUAGACCAAUUGAACUCUAGGUAAUGUUACUUGUAGCCUCACAAUUCUCUUACACUUUAAUGAAAUUAUUCGACUACUUCUAAUUGGAUUCUUAGUUCCCGGUGUCGAUUAUUACUCUGGUUACGUUUAUCCGCAUGAUGUACUUUGUUUCACUGUUCAGAGUGUUUGUGCUCAACCGCGAACCUAUGCUACUCUUCCUGCCAUUACCUAGAUUAGGCAUGCAAGGUCCUACUGAGUGAAUCUAUUAUAUGGGAACGUUUAAUGAACAACGAAGUGUAUAUCUGCUACAUCCCAUCUAUCUGUUAUCUCUCUCGUCAACUCUUUCGUGCAUAAGAUAGCUCACACACGCUUUUUGUGAUCCGUGUAUUGCAAAUCCGGUAACCUUUGGUUUCUACACAUUCUCGUUUAUAGAGUAUUUUAUUGGUAUUGCUGCUCAAUUCUAUUUUCUGUAUAGUCAACAAUCAAAUAUUUCCCGGUACUUGGUUAUUCUUUCGUAUGAGUCAUCACGUACGACAGCUAAGGAUGUGGCUUCUUUGGACGAGGGCGGUAAUCGUUUCUAUUUAGACUAUUUAAUUUUGUUUGUAGAGUAGGCCCCGGCCAUUUGUCUGCCCGCACUACUCAAACGUCUAAUAAUCCUUUGUCCCAUACUCUUUAUUAUGGCUCAGUAAAAAAAUCGAUUAUGAGCUAUAGGAUUUUUAACUGAUUGUGAAAAUUGGGAUCUCGCGAAGCGUUUAGAAGUUGCUUCACCUAAGAUUCUUGAAAGUUUGAUGGCAAAGGAUUCUCAUCAUCUCAACGUUGGGUAUGUUUAUUGGGCUAACAUUAUCGUCAUAUUCACUAUCUUGCUAAGAGAUGUGCUGAUGUGUGCUUGAUUUUUUUUUUUCGUUUGUCUAACCUUUCUUUGGAUUAUAUUGGAAGCAUCUCGCAUUAGCUCCUGAUGGGAUUUGUUGGACGAAGAGCGAAUUUUCAUGGGAAGUACUUUGAUCCGAAUUUUCAAUAUCUCUAUAUUGGCUUUCGUUUUCGUCUUUCUGUAUUUCCUCCUUUUUGGUGUAUCUUUCUGUUUGUUGUUUACUCGCCUGUAUGAGAGCUAGUGGUGCGAGAGUUAGUGAGUGAGCCUCAUAGUUAUCGGAGGAAAACACAUGCGCUGUGGAUCACACGAUUUUUCGAAUCAAACCACGGAUCAUCAACACGAAUUAGUUGAUUAUGAGUUCUCUGUCUCCUCGAAUGUUAGUAUCUUCAUAAUACAAUAAUCUUACUGGAAAACUGAGACGACGCGAGCUGUAAUUGUAAACGACCGUAAACUUGCUGUUUCUAGCAAAAAAUAGUUUGGUUAAAAGUGGCCGAUUAAUAAUUGCACAUUGAGCUAAUCUAACCGUGCUUUGGUGGUUUGGACAAAUUAUAAGCCACUAAUUAUGUACAGUGAUUUUGUCUUUUUUAUUCAUUCUUAGUUAGACAUUUAUCUUUUCACUAAGAAGAUUAGUUUCAAAAAUCAUUUACCCAAAAGGCCGUUGAAAUUAUAUGAGCGUUUUAUAUUUCUUUAUAAUGUUACUUCGUAUCCCCCUCCAAUUCUCAACGACUACUGAUUGUUAAGAUGAGUGCUAAAUUAGCGAGGGUUGAAAAUUGAGAGGGGUGUGUGAGUAAAGUGAAUUUGAGUGUGGUAGAGACAUGGCCUAUAACUUAUUGCAGUGGAGUUAGGACAAUAAUAUAUAUACAAUUAAACGGAUAAUAUAGAUAGCAUCUAGUGCUCAUAGUUUUUAUUAAGAAUGAAUGAAGAGAAAACCUACCAUAGAGUAAUGUUAUACUUCAAAGGAAGUCAACCGAGUGUAUAACAGCAAAUUUUAUUCGAUAACCUUUGGGCAAUAUUCCAGGAGAGUUGAAAUGAAGUGUAAUAAUCCCUUCCCAUGCAUAUGUAAAUAGUUUCGGAUGGGCAGAUGUAUCGCAUACGUUUCGCAAAACCCGAGUAUGUUCAAACACAAGAAUUGAACCUCAAGAAUAAGAACUAUACCGUUAAUUCCCAUUAAUGUGUGCCUGCUUCAAACUAUAACAGAGAAUGAUAUUAGCUGUAUUUUUUCCAUGUCAAUCAAUUGAGUGAGAAGAUAUUCAAAGAUAUUUUUUCAUACUCCACAGCAAAACAAUAAGGUAAUCAUUGAACCCAACUUAAUUAAACACUUAUUUUUGAAUAUCAAACUCUUUUACUUCAGUGUGUGAUAUUGUGCAGGAAUAUCAACUACGUCAGUGGUUUGUAUAGAAGGAGAAAGGGAGGCAUUGAAUAAUUGCGAAUGCCCCCAAAUAUAUAGACCAUUCGCAACUAUAUUGAGUGGUCUCAUGUAAACUUUCAAAUCGUGUCAAAUUUUAGCUCAUGUGUUAGUUUAUAGCACAUUAUUAGACAACGUCAUCUAAAGUUAUUGAGAUCCUCUGUAAGAGAUGAUAGUCUUAAUGCCCAUGUUAGGUUGUACAGAUACAACUUUGAGUUUUGCUGCCUAGCAAUUUACUGUGCUUACUAUUCUUCUCCCAUGGACAAUAGUGCGAAGGUAUUAAGUUUUUAAAACACAAUUCAACUUUGUUGUAUUUCUCGUAAUUGUCUUGUUAAGUUAAUAGAGCAUUUGUUACAUUACGUCUGUAUACCUACUAGUUCACGCUACUCAGAGGAAGUAGAGUUGUUUAUGCGGCAUUGGGAGUAGCAUUAUAGACUGAGUCUCGAUCAGCCUUACAUAAAUUAGCACACUUUAUUCUAAUAAGGGAAGAAAAUAUUCUUUUAGUCGAAUUGGCUGAUGUUAUUAUUCGAGAUUGUUAAAAAAUAACACGGCUUCAAAUUUAGUAUUCCAUUGUUCUAAGAAGUACGGUAUUGACUACCCCAUAUUAUUCACAUGUUCAUCCGGAUAAAAGAUUCCCUCUAGACCGAUAAGACCAUUUUUUAACAAAAUGUCAGGCAUUAGAUCUUAAGUGGUGGCCCUAUAAGGAAAUUCGAAUUGAUAUUUAUGGUGUGGACGAAUAUGUCUUUUCCCUUAUUUCGACUAGAACAUGUAGUACCUCUCAUCAGUAAGAGCUAAGAGUAAGUUUUAAAAGAGUGAACAGAAUAUUCUACAAUAGAUUUAUCCAAAUUCAAGUAAAUGUAAGGUUAUAAAAUAGCUGUGAAGGCACUAUUAGGUCUAAUUCAAUCAAGAUUUUACAAGAGUUUAUAAAUUUCGAGGCUGAUAGAGUUUUAUAGAUAUUUUUAAAGUAUUCAUAAAAGGUGACACUUAGCUAUCUAGCAUUUGGAUUUUUGAAUGAAUGGAUUUUGGCUCGUGCAUAAGUCGUUAUUGUGUAGCUUGUAUUGUGAACAUUUUGAAUGGUACUUUAUGGGUAAUGUCUGAUCGAAUGUCCUUAUAUUUGCUUUUUAUGGUCCUUCGGGUUUGAGGGUUGUUGUGUGUAAUAAGUUUGUUUUUAACUUAUUUAAUGAAAGUGACGCGUGAAGCUCUUCUCGUAUAAAUCCGUCGACAUAUAACCUAAUGUAUAUAUACUAUCCAAUUAAAAUUUUACAUCACAUGGAAUCUAUAAAACUCCAUUAAACACCAUAAAUUUAUAAAUCUUUUAAAAUCUUUUAGAGAGAUAAUCCUCUAUAUAAUCUCCUCUCGUGAUACGUGAGAUCUAUAAAAUACGUACUCGUCAAUUAAGCUCUCUAGUUCGUAUAAAAUAAUUAGACAACUAAGCUGAUUCACAUACUCGCGAGCUCAAUAGCCAUAUAAUAAAGUUUUAGAACCAACUCAAGAGUACCCUGUGAUAUGGGAGUGAUGAGAUUAUUUUUGAACUUAUCAACCCAGUAGAAAGUGAGAAGGAGAGAGAGAAGCAAUCGGGAAUAUGAUGGAGUUUCUCUCUCGGGGAACUCAACGAUACCCAUAAGGAGUUGUGUUAGAGAUGGGCCUAAAAUAUAUAGGAGACGUAGUGAGCCCAAAUCACCGAGCAUGUGUGCAGGAAUACGGUGAUAGAAUAGCUGGCGUUGAAUAGCUUGAGUUGCCUCCAUAAAGUAUUUAUAGUGAAUAAAAGUGCACGAUGUGUUCAUCUGUAACUCUCUUAGUCGAGCCUUCGCCGUGAAUAUAGGUGUACCUCAGAUCCCAUCACGGUCGCGUUGCGGAUUAGCGGUCUUCAUGUAACCUCUCAGGCAGUCACUCAUUCCCACUAUCAUUCGUAUGGUGUGAACGUGCGCGACUGUCAGCCCCCAGAUUCCCAAAUCAUCACCAACUACAAAGCCAAAUCCACUCACGGCCUCUCUCUUGCUUUCUUGAUGACUUGGAUUCUCGGGUAAUAUUCUAAUGGGUUUAGGGUGUAGGGUUUAAGAGGCGGACUACAGUGUACUAACCAACUAGCUUAACGCACGGCUAUCUACUAGUUACGUCAAUGUCAUUCCAAAUACUUUCGAACACAAAACCUCGGUGUAUGCAUAAAUAUUAUUUACCACUUGAAUUAUAAGUGUUUUUGUCAAACUAUACUAUCCAAAUGCAACCUUGAAGUUCUUGUAGUUUAUCUUGCGUGUUGUGAGUGAGAAUGUAUUUAUUAAAUGCCUGGGAUAGUGAAUGUUUCCUUUCUAACAAGUAUAGUUUAACAGUGUCUCUCAGCCUUGAGGUGCCAUAAAUGGAAUGGCAUCUUAUGAGUAAGUGUAGAUCGAUUUAUGAUUCUAAAUCGCUUUUGUUGUAUAAAAAUAUGUCGCUCGAGUUAUUUGUCUCAACUCGUUCUCACCAAUGUCAGUUAAGAUUGCAUGAUGUUUUUGGGAAUCUGUAAUGUUUUUUUAGAAGUGGUGUUUGAUCAUUCGUUACAGGUGUGGUCAGAAUACAACGGAAUAUUUAAAUUUCUUGAUUAUUGGACAACUCUCAUUACACUCAUGUUUUGUGCAUAUAUUCAAUAUAUUUGUCUUUUCGCCAGAGUAGCAGUGUGUUUUUAGUAAAAACCUAUAUUGUGGACGCUGCCUGUUAGCGUAUUAAAGCCACGCCUUCCUCUCGAUAGAGUGUUUAACCCUUGUUCAGUGUGUUUUCAACAUAGGUAGUUUUCGAACUAUUGUAUAGAGGUCUUUUAUAUAUAGUGUCUUCUCGCCUUUAAAUAGUCGAUUAAAAGUUUGGAAAUGGCGCAGUAGAGAUCUGACCGAUAUAUAGGAUUCUUUGGGAAUGACUGUGCUGAUUGGUGUGUAGUGCAAACUUUUACGACCCCCAGAAGUAGUAAGCUCGAUGUUAAAUGUGCAGUGACAAUAACAUAUUCUUCCAGUAGUGCAUACUGUUAAGAGGCUGUAUGGGCUUGUGGGUUAUUUAGACUAUUUGAUGACCUUUAGUCUAAUUGCUAAUUAUGUAUAAUUCUUGAUUAAAUUGCCUGAUGGGAAGACCAAUACUUGUGAACAUGGUGCUAUCGCACACACAAUAAGAGACGAACUUUUGAUGGUCUUGUGAAUCGUCUUGGCUCCUGGUAUAAUGGGGUGUGAUCUAACCCGUUAGAGUGCCAGGUCACACCCACCCGAUAAUCGUCAUGUCGAUUUUUCUCUCUAUAUGUCACGUUCUAACCUUCUCUUCUCUCAGUGACAAGUUAUCGCCUGUUGUCUUUACUCUUUGCGCGUUUGCUGUCAAUGUCGUCUUGUUACAAUAAUCUCCGGGUCAAGAUUCUAUCCAUUCCACUUUGUACAUAACUACCCAUGCUUCUUGCCCACCAUCUUCUUUCAAUAUUCGAAUACUUAGGCUUAGUUAUGGGUGCUCUAGUGCCCAAAUAGUUUCUUGCCAACGAUUACAUGACACCUAUAACUCAAGCAUAUAGCGUGUAUAUUGGAUUCGUGACUCGAAAGAGCUAGCCUCACGUAUGAAUAAACCUAUGACACCCAGCGAUUAGAAGGUUUCCUCGUAUGCUAUGUAUAUUAUAGUUACGUCCUCACUCGUCUCGGUUAACAAAGUAUCAGUGAUGUGUGAUCUAUAUUUACAAGAGUUUUCAACAUGUUUUUAUAGCGUGUGGUUACUUGCAGAGAAUUUACUUAUACAACUGCCACUAAGACCCAUUCAUCGAAGUGUCGUCCUCAUUCUUGCAUUGGACCAAGUAUUACUAUCGUUACAUAUAUUCCUCGUCUUAAGUACAAUUUGAAAAAAGGUUUAGUAUCUGAGGUCGGUCUUCGGUGCCUCAGUCUCCUCUUUAGUGUAAUGUACAUGCCUCAAGAGUCUGUUUGCACUGCGUGUCAUGUAUUUCUUUAGUUUGGCAAACAUUUAUCCAGAGUUUAUACCUUCGGGUAUUCUAUUCGAGAGGAGAUUGUGGUUCACCGACUGAACUUCUUCUCCGAGAGGACUUUGCAGUGUCUGUUAGGUCUUCAACGUAUCCGGAGGUUAUAUAGAAUAAUUAAUUCUGGUGUCAUACGCUUACUUACUUCAUAUGACUCUCGAUUGUUGUUUAAUUUCAUGAAAUAAUAUUUGUGUGGUGAGCUUAAAUAUGGAACUACUAAUUGUAUGAUAUAAUAGGGGUAUAUUCAGUCUCCUCGUGUAUAUUUCCUAUUUAUCGCCGUGAGAACAGUACGUGUAUAUCAAAAAAGCAAAAGACGAGAAAUUAUUUCCUCAACCUUUGACCGAAUAUGCUAACGAUAGUAUCCAUACGAUUUCACAUCCAGUUAGUUCUAUAGAUGGUAUACUUAGUGGUUUGUAAUUAUUUUAAGCGGAAGUAGUGUUUCCAAGUUAAUCCGCGCUGAGUAGCCUUCAGUGGUGUAAGAGAGUUCCAGUGUGCGCCAAACGAGUGGCAUUUAAUCUUGGUCGACUUGACAGCGCCCGCCUCUGUCAAGAUAAUAAAUAGUUACAAGUUUGGUUCCACCCAUUCUUUUUCGCCCAAUUAUUUUCUCUCGGACGAAGAAUCACUCCCACUACCCUUGUAACUGAUUGGCCCGCGACUUCUAGAAGUCAUAAGAUGGCUCAUCCUGCUCUGUGGAAAUGUUACCUGGCAUCUAUAAAUCUUUUUAAUUUUCUUAUAAUUAAAAAUGAUGGAGAAUUCGAUUUGGCUCACUAAUAGUGGCGAAAAUGGUGCUGUUUUUUCUUCAUAUGCUAAGUUCGGUUACUGACUUCUCCUCACGUUGGAGUAGAGCUUUAUAUUUGAAUCAAACUAUGCCUCCAUCCCUUGUUGUAGACAACGUUAUAACGAAAGCUUUAUUACAAAUAAACGUUAGGUUAUCUCCUCAAAAAUUGAAUCGUGUGUUCUGUGACAUGAAUAUAGAUGGUCGGAUUUACUUCAUUAUAAGAGUGAGCGACAGUUUCUGACCUACAAUUUAAUCAGAUGCAUUCUGACAUGGAAAAAUUGUGUGAAAUGUACUCGCCGCCAGAGCCAGUGUCCGUGAUCUUAUUCAACUUAGUCAAACUUUAUGACGGAGGUUCUGACCCGCUAACAAUUGAUCAUCGCUCAAUUGGAUAUUGAGUAGACUUCUUAAUUUUCUUUGAAUUCAUCAGAUCAGCAAGAUCUUUAUCAAGGAGUCACGCCUCUAUAGAAGAAUUUAAUGUCGCACAAAGAACAACUCGUACAUUGAAUCAUUAAUCGAAAUCCCAAUGUAAUACAUGCCCUAUGCUGUUUGGUAUUAUCACGUCUCGUCAUACGUCUGCACAAUUUCUGCACCAGAUACUAAUAAUAAUGUGUUGUCUUAAAUUGGACUCCUAUUGUAUGUUUAAAAUGUUGAGGAUUGAGCUCCCAUGAUAUCUAGUACGUGAUAUCUUUAUAUAAUUUUUAUUAUUUCAUCGUUAUAAUCUUUACGAAGCUAGAUAUAUUUGUCUCUUUGACUUUAGGUCUCAUGUAUUAACUGCAUUAUUUAUGUUUAGCUAGAGCUCUUUAAUUCGAGCCGAUAAUACUAGAUUGUGAUUUACAUGCUAUUGCGAGGAGAUCAAGGUAAAUUCACGUGAGCUAGUGUGAUAAUCCAAAUCGGAGAUGAGUCCAUUAGGUUUGAUUAAUUGGCAAUUGAUCAGUAAAGUGAGAGUCUAGUCGAGUGAAUUGUUGUACGUAGAAACUCGUUGUCCUUCACCCCGGUGUUAGUUGCCCUCCUGUUGCAGGUAGUUGACAUUCCAAAGUAGUAAUUUACUUCAAUUUUAUUACUCUUAAGAUUCUAUAGAGAAAACAGGUUAAGCAGCAUUGUUCUUGUUGCACAGGAGCAUAGUUGUUUCCCCAGUCUACGCACGUUUACGUUAGUGUAUGUCUCGCUUGUCGCGUCUACCUUCAUUUCUAUUGUUUUGCUUAUCAUCCAUUCAAUCGUCGCCAAUCACUCACUCCGAGUGUCUUCUUGUGCAACACUAUAUCGAGAAUAUUGGACAAAAGGUUUAGAUGGCUCCGGAUCACUGAUGUCUCUGGUGAACCCUAUUGACUCACAUAUAUGUACUUAGGUUGUGUCGUUUCCAGUUAAGUUGCAUUGCAUUUUGCUUAUUAUUCUUUUUUUUUGUAUAACCGACCCAUUCGUCCACAUCUGUAGUGUAGAGAUACAUAGACUCUCGUAGAAUAGUAGUUAAUGUCUCAUUUUUCGUUCUAUCUGCCCUUUGAACUUGACCGUAUUUGAAUAAUUCAGUUGAUGUAACGCUCGGGCCCUAGCCUGCUCUAGAGAUACGGUGUAUUUCAAGAGACAUCAGUGCUGCCGAAGAACUUGAACGUGAUGAGUGUUAUAGACUUAGUCGUACAAUGGGAUAGGAAGUUUCCUUGGCUGGGGUGACAGCUAUUUACAUGGUGCGCUUAACGGGCUUGCUCAUCAAUUGCUUUUAACUGAGUUGUAGAGUCAUAUACUUUUUAACUCAAGUUAGAUUUAUCUAUUCUAACUCUGUGACUUAGUUCAUUCUGGUCAAUGUGUGGUGUGUUCGCUGAGCAUUAUGUUAACUUCUCAUAUCUUGAUCGAUCAUUAUCUAUAUGUUUGGUGUGGGUGUUGUCUAUGCAUCUCCGUGCGUCGAGCAUGGUUUCUUAUAUACGUACGUAGUAUUAAUAUGUUUCUGGCAGGAUGUAUACAUUAUUACGAGUGCUAAUGUCUACUCUUCACCAUCUUUCCUUUGGAGUGCAUUAGAUGGGUUGGAAAAUAAGUUUAAUCAUGUAGUUUUAUGUGUUAGGUAAAUUUAUAUUCUGGGACAUGCCGCGUGUUGUGUUUAUGUGUGUGUGGUACCUCCAUCUCGAGCAUUUGUUGCAUGGGUAUUUGUAUCGUGACAUUUUCCUCCUACUCUUCGCAGGCGACUCUUUCUUAAGAUCUACUUGUACAUUUGCUUGUGCGAUGCAUUGUGCGUCACUCAUUAGUGGACUGCCGGCCGAUGAUUUCUGACAGACCAUUUUACCCAUUCCGCAAGUGUUGAAUUAAAGGUUGGGUUUACUCCUCUUAUUCAUGAAUGUUUUUUUUUCUAAUUGUUUUUAGCCUUAUUGGUUUUAAUCAUAGCACUUUUUAGCUUGUAGCGUAAGCGUCGGAAAUGUUCAAUCUGACUCGUGUAUUUUCUUGACCCAAAGUCCUGGAGGUUAUGGUUGUAGUGAGAGUAUUUUCAUAUAGUCUGAUCUCACUUUUUUAAACAGGCUCCCGUUUUCUCACAUUCGGAUCGUAUUGUGGUCUCUUGUUAUGUAUGUCGCCUCAGCAUUUUAGGGUCUAGUGUUUUAAAUUAGUUUUAGGUUUCAGUCUUGUGUGUUAGUGUACUCUCCGCCAUAUCGUCUAGGUAUCUCUGAAUCCUUCGCCGGUUUCACUUUGCGCUCACAGGGGGGUGAGCUAUUGGGCCCUGUUAUGGAGGUUAAUGGCACUGCUUCUGCCGGUGAAUUAAUCUCCUAUUCUCGUGCCCUAUCCUUUAUUAUAUGCGUCACUAUUUUUAACUAUUAGAGGUCGUGUUCGUAUCAAACGAGUGAUCAAAUGUAAAUUACUUAUAGCAUAGUUAGUCCGAAUAUAAAAAAUUAAGUUUACUCGCGAUAUUAACAAUACUGAAUCAACACAUCACGACUGUCAGUCUCAUUUAUCAACUACAGAGUUGUCCUGUCGCAACUGAAUUGUCUUAAAAACUUCAUAUCAUACUCCAGGGGAAGAAAAUUACAUAGAAAUUUAGGGAACGGGUUUCUUUGCUCAGAGCAAAGAGAUGCAGUAUCGAUUGGAGAAAACAAAUAUGAAGAGAUUCUUGUACCUGUAGAGAUUGGUCUAUGAUGGUAUGAGAUUUAGAGAUCUGAUAUUAUUCUAAUUCUUUUGCCAGGGGCAUAUGAAUACUGUAGAGGAAAAGAACAAGAACAAGACCCGAUAGUUGGUUUGGUUCGGGAAUAGAACACUCCAAAUGUCUCAGUUCUCUCCCACAAGUUGUAUUUUACCUUGAAGUUCUCACUUAUAUUCUCAUAAUUAUGGAUAUUAUUGAAGGUUAUUAAUGUAAUUUCAUUGGGAUUAUUCCUAUCCACUCUCUCUCUCUCUCUCUUUGCUACUCAUCAAUGCUGUACAUCUCUGUUUGCAUAUUCAUAUUUACUGUCUCUAGUGAGAGACUUUGUGUAUAAGAGAUUUAUGUGAAUGAAAAAUCAAACUUGCGCUGAGAACUUCUUAAUUUUUAAAUGAAUCAAUUGGUAACAAUUGACCCAUUCUAACAACAAGGAAAAAAUGUAUUGAAAGACAAAAAGAAUAACACAAUAAAAACCAAAUAAUUCUCCAGGUUCUGAAGUCAUAUAAUUAAUAAAAUGAGCGUAGCUUGGUUAUGUCCUUUUCUUUAAUAAGCACCAAUUAUCAACACAAGAUGUGCUGCUUGUCCUUAAUUGUAUGCUAAGCGUCACAAAUUACCAUCGCCAAGCUCUGCUCUCGUAGUCUACCCAAACACGUGGUAAUUAAAUAAUUAUUAGACAGCACUUAAAAAUGAAAGUUGUCCUAAUUCAAACCAACUAUGUAAGAUCUUUCCUUUUGAAUACAUGUAAUGGUAAGUCUCUCCAACAGCCUUCUCCUUAGCGCCAUUCUCAAUAACAUAUCAGUCAAUGUUCGUGCCAUAAAGUUCUUUAUCUCCCAAUUUUAUCUCUUCCCGUAGUAAUAUAUCAUGGUUUUCAAACUUUAUUAAACAUCACAUAGAAUUUUCUUCCUCUACACAUUUUAUAUCCUCACUACUGUUGACCCUAAAAAAGUGUCAUCUACGCAGUCCAAUAAGAUGAGAAUGUGUGGUGCUCAGGCACUGUGUCAGGUACAUGUUUAUUUAGGACAUAUUUCCUGUAGAGUACGGAUCCAAUUGCCUCUGAUGUUAUGUGUCAGGUCGGUGCGUUUGCAGAACUCGUAACUGGUCCAUAUCUCCUCGCUCGAGAUCAAUAUGAGUGACGUGAUGACAAUGCAACUUGUUUUAAUGAUUGCAGCCCCUCCGUUGAAUCAUAUUUAGCGAUAAGAACAUAAGAUUAAAAAACUGAAUUUACAAUCUAUUCGUAUAGCGGAAACUCGUCAAAGGCCUAAGGACAUCGAAUACAAAAUCCGUCUGUCUUGGCCCGUCCCUUCCGGGUUCUACGCUCUUAGACCACAACCAAGUCCUAGUCGCUUAUGUGAUUUGUAUACUGACCGCAUAACAUUCCUUAUAUACAAAAAAUGUUAGAGGAUUUCCACUUUAAGAGAAAGCCCUUGCACAGAGUAGGUAAGACCUCAAGAUAAAAAAGGCUUGGUAGAGAAACAGACAGACGUCACUUCCACAGCGCAGAGAGACAAGAAAACUUCAAUACCUAGAGAAUGAUCUUGCUAGCCCCAAUAGAGGUAUUUGUAAAAUAAUCUCUUCUUUGACCGAGAUCUUGGAAGAUAACCAGUCGGUCUUGGUAAAUACAUCGCUCCACCCAUGGCUAAUAUAUUAAUCCUAACACCUGAAUGGUAGUUUUCUGCGUAGUCCAAAACAGGAUUCGGCUGAAAUUAUUCCACGAAAUCAGACAAUGUAUGAUUUUCAUCCAAAAUGAAGGUGUUUCCGCCAUGGUUGCCUUAAUAACUAACUGCUGUUUAUCCAAAACUGAAUAGAGCCUCGUGAUAAAGUAGUGCGAGAAAAACCCAGCGAAAAAAUAAUAGAUUAAAAUAGAAUCAAAUUCGUGGAUAUUAUUGUAAGCUGAAUCAGCUUUGCUGACAGUGAGGCUAUGAUUGAAGGUCAUUUGCACAUGAAUAGUUAAUGUGUGUUGGAAUUAGAUCUAUGUUAAAGCUUUUUAUGUUCGCCCUAAAUAAGCGUAUUGCGGAACGUGAUAAAAUGUGAAUUGCUAUAUGAUGGAUUUAACAUCUUAUAAUCUCAACGUGUGUUAUUAUAAUAAACCAACUUCAUCAUAACUAGCAACCGACCGUCUAGUUACCAAAACAAAUUAAGGUCUGUGUGAUACUGCAUGCAUAGAGUAAUAAAGCCUUAUUCUUGUCCAGUUAAUGAAAGAAUAGAGUCUGAACUAUUUACAAAACAAGACUAAAUAGAAUAUAGGGCGCGCACUCUUGACUUAUGCGGUGCAUCGCCUAUUGUUAAUUAAUAUAAAAAGCAUUGAAUCACGCUCUACGCCCUAGUGUGGCAUGUUCCGUGUUUCCUUCUUGUGUCAGUUAUAAAUUCGCAUUCACCCAUCCAUGUUUCACUCUAGUGCCUCUUGCUUUUUGUAUUAUGGGUACAUUUUACUUAUAAGCUCUAAUUAUAUUAAGACUGUCAUUCUAACUACUUGUUCAAUUUUCAUCAUUCACCACACGCAGAUAUCUCAAAUCAAUUUUGAACUGUACCACUUGCUUAGGGUGACAUAUAUAUACUGUCGGAGUGCCUCUCAUAAUACAUUUAUUAUUCCUUCCCGUGUGAAAAUUUAAAGUCCAUAUAUGACACAAAGGAUAAAUUCAUAUUAAUAUAUCGAUAAGUUAUAUUUUUAAGAAUAUGAUUACCUCUUUAAAUAGCAUUAUUAUAUAUGAGUCCUUUAAUCAAUAUAAUCCAAGAAAUCUUUGAGUACUCCAUUUUUUCUCUAUUUCCAAGAACGAGUUGAGUAUCUCCAUAGCACUUUCUAAUACUCAAACUUCGUAGCAUUGUAUUCAUUAUUUAUGAAUACCGAUGAAUGAAAAAUUUGUGUUCGAAGAGAUUUAAAAAUUUGUGGCCAAAAAAACAUCACGUAAACAUAUAAUUGAAGGAAGAUAUAUUUUAUUCAACGUUGGCAUGUAUAGAAUGAGAUUGUAUAAAAAAUACGAUACUAUAAAAUAACUGCCAUCUCUAUAUAAGAGAAAUUUAGCAAUAUCAGUUAGUUUGGAGGAGAAGAAUUUCACUAGGUAUACUAUCUAAUAUUUAAAUUACUUAAAAAGUCUUUAUUUGUGUGUAAAGAAAUAUAUAAAUAUAAACAUGGUCAUCAACCAACAUUCUCCAACACAACACUAGAACCUAGUACGCGCCAAUCCACCCACCGCUACUAACGCGAUACCCUAGCAGACUACAAUUAAUACUACCAAACUACAGUAUCUAUUAAUCAAAAACAUACAACCGCAACAAACCCCCACUUGGUUAUCUUAAAACUUGGAACUUUAAAGUUAAACUUUGUAAUAAGAUUCGUGCAUAAAUGAUGGUGUUAUUCAACUUCCGAAACUCCAGAGUAACACAUCCUACGUGAUCACCUCCGUCCUUUUCAUUAAUUAAUCCUCACUCUACGUUAUCUCAGUUAACGAACGUUCUAGCUCUUUCGAACCAUUCAAUCUCCCUCCCUAUUCACUACAACACUCAUCUACCCAAGACAUCUACCUCUGACAAGGUAAUGCAUACGCCCAUCCAAGAACGAGCACAGAUUCGGGCCUUGUGCAUUGUAUCUAGGUUGGUUCGGGUCUGGGAUACCGAACCGAAACCCCCAACUAGGAAUCCACCAAGACUCCUCGGAAACUAUUCUCUUCCCCGGUGGUGCGUAGUUGCCCAUGAUUUUAUAUCCCAAAAAAUCUCCGUACGACCCUCGAAUUAACUUAUAUUCAUCUUCGUAAUAAAUUUGACGCGCCUUACUUGCCAACUUGAGCAACUCAUCGGUUGUCACAGCAAGCUCAAUUUGUCUACUUGCUGGGUCACUUUGGGUUCGGGAUCUUGGUUACCUGUGAUAGAAAUCCCAAAUUAUUUUGGCCUUUUUUAUAUUUCUUUUCUAACAAUCUCACUCUGGUACCUCUCAAGCUGAUAGAGACGCAUAUAGUUAACCUUCUCACCAUUUUCAGGAAGAGUAUUACACAACGUUACUCAAAACUUGUCGCUUGACAGGUCUCCUCGACCAACUACGGGCCCACAUUCUCUUGCUUAUCAACUCGCGAUUUCUCCCUAGCUAAACUGCGAGUCUCAACUUCUUCAAUCUCCCAAGGAGCCUUCACCACGAACAUGUUCAAUCCUCAAUAGAUUCCUGGCUCAAGGACUUUUCAAUAGCAAGCACGGCAGUUCAUGAAGCGAACUCUAACAAUUAAGCAUGUAAAUUCCCUACAAUCCUGUGCCUUGGUUACCGAAAUAACUGCUUAAUUAAAAGCUUGCCAACUGUUAGCAAUAAUGAAUAUAAGUUUAAAGAUUUUUGAACAUACCCAAAACUGGCGUCUCGCCCGAACUCGCCAAUUGGUACGGAUUUAUGUUUACAACAACCAGCUUAUAAAGCAAACCUCCGAAAUAUUUUUCUCUAAGCAAAAAGUUGCAUGGCAACCAAAAUGAACUUAAGUUGAAGUUCAUUCCCUUUCGCCCAUUCCAUUCCCAAAAGUCUCUCCAGCUCAUGCCGAUCUAGCGUGGGAUUUGUGACGACCAACUGCGGACUUACCCCCCAAGGAUAAAUUAAAAGGGAUUUGGUUAUGGCUAAAUAGCAGGAUCGUUUUGACGGCUGGACUUUAACACAAAUGAUCGUUCUCUUACCAAUCUAAUAUCGAAUUCCCCAGCUCCCUCCACGCCACACUGCAGAGUUAUAACGAAAUCCAGCUAUAAUAUUACAUUGAAAUUAAAUUGCAACAGAGAUAACUCGCCUAUAAGCCUCUAGGGGGUUUAACGCUAUAGAGAAUGGUUUUUCCGUCCUCCAAAGAGCGAUUUGCGUUCCUAGGUUUCCUUCUUCCCUUAUCACAUGAUAUAGCCCCCACCUUGUUGCAAAAGGCCUUUGUUUAUAGAACAAAAAAAAAUUCAAAACCAGUGGCACAACCCUAGACCCUCUUAUAGGCAUAUGCAAACUGAAGGUAGAAGAAUACGAAAACUUAACUAUAGGCAUCAACUGCUGUCUGUUGUAAUCAACAAUAACUUUAGAAUCAUCAAUCAAGGAAUGGUGAGCUUCCUGCAAACAACCAACUAAUCUAAGCACAACACAGACACGUUAUGACUUAUGCAGAUCAUAAUUUCACAUUGUCCCCUAUUUUCUUUUCCUUGGCUUGCCUCGUCUAUCCACAUUUAAGACAUUAAGCAUACCAUUACGAAAUAUAUUAUUCAACCACCUACAAUUGAUAUGCACAUGUCUUUUCUCACAAAACUAGCAAGCACAGCCAAAUCAAUUUAAUUUUAUGAGAGAAGGACGUGUCUAUGAGAACAAACACCAAUACCAUUAUGCUUGAAGCGAAAUCUAUCAACAAUACAAGAAUGUAAAAUUAGAAUUCCCCGCCACAUAGACAUGCAUAUACAAACUUAUAUGCACGCUGCACCUUAUAUGAAAAUAAAUGCAUAUACAAAUUCGUGCACCCACCCUCCCAAAGGCAUGCAGGUCCUGCACUGCACCCACCCUAAUUCGAAACCCACAGUCCUCAAACCCUCACACAUUCGACAAAAUACUCAGAAAUCAAGUUAAUCAACAUGAAAUUUGACUAUAAACACUAAAGAACAAAAACCCAGUGAAAAUAAAAAACCCUUACCUGGAUUUUGGGACUCGAUUGGUCUCAGAUUCGCGUCUUCUUGCGUCUAUGUGUGUGUGGCUGGUUGGAUGAGCGUCGCUGAAGUGGACGGAGGACGGGAGCAGCGGCGUGACUCAAUGGAGGAGUGGCGUCACUCGAAUCGAUGGAGAAGCGAGCGGCGGGAGCACGAGCAGUGUUCGGGAGAUUGAGUGAGAGUGAGCGACUGAGAGAGCUUGUGAGGAUAACAAAUGACCUAACUAAUGGAUGGUUGGAUUAGAUCUUAACCAAUCCAACGGUCCAAGAAAAUUCUAAUUAUAAAUUAAAAAUAAAUAAAUAUAUAUAUAUAUAUAAUAUUUAGUUCGGUUCGGGAUUAUUGAACGUUUUCAAAGCUGUGGCCGAAUCCCAAACCGAAACUUUCGGAACGGGUUCCGUUUCAGGUACUGAAUUUUUUGGGAAAUUCAGUUCGGGCAUUUUUCAAUCAAAUUUCGGGACGGGUUCGGGACGGUUCGGGAUUUUCGGGAAAAAUUUCCACCCCUACUUGUAUCCCAGUUUAGUGAUAGUACUAGAAGUUAGCCCUAGGAACUUCAUAGUAGGCAGCCUCACCUUUACUAUCACAAAGGUGAAACUAUCAAGGAUACUCUUAUAGCUGGAUAUCCUACUCAACUAGAGUAUAGUUUUCAUUAAGAGUUUCAUAACCCAUCCUUUACUUGUGCUACAAGAUUUCAUGCCUUUAGAGAUAACUUCUACAAAAAGUAUAGCAUGAGUCCAUAUCACAUCAUAACUUGUUAUUACCUGUUGAACCAAUUUCUUGGGAUCUCCAGUCCAAAGGUUAGGUUACCAUCACAAGUGACUCAACUUAUCAAGGGCUUUAACCCCAUUCCGCUAGAGGUUUUCCAAAUUUUUUCUCAUGCUAAUCCUUUCGUCAAAGGGUCAGCAAGAUUAUCUUCAGACAUGACAUAAUCGAUUCUGACAAUCCCUGUGGAAAGAAACCAUGUUAUUGUGCUAUGUUUUCGAUGAAUCUGUCAUCUCUUUCCAUUAUAAUAUCGAUUUUUCACUUUUGCAAUGGCUGUUGUGCUAUCACAAUGAAUAAGCACAGCAGGAAUUGGUUUCUCCCACAAUGGAAUGUCUAACAAAAGAUCUCUCAACCAUUAUGCUUCUUCACUAGCUGUUGCUAGGGCAAUCAUUUCAGAUUCCGUUGUUGAUUGAGCAAGUAUGGUAUGUUUCUUAGACUUCCAUGAGACUGCAGCUCUAGCUAUAUUAAAAAUAUAGCCACUCGUGGCUUUAGAGUCUUUUGAUAGUGUAUUCCAAUUAGCAUUGUUGUAUCCUUCAAGAACAGCGGGAAACUUUUCAUAACAUAAACCAAAAUUGAUGGUCCUCUUAAGGUAUCUCAUUACCCUUUCAAUUGCAUACCAAUGUUCCAUAUUGGGACUGGUUGUGUACCUACACAGAACCCCAACUGCGUAGGCUAUGUCUGGCCUAGUGCAAUCAGUAGCAUAUCGGAGGUUACCAAUGAUGCUCGCAUACUUAAUUUGUCUAACAUUUUCACCAGUGUUCUUAAACAACUUCAUACUAGGAUCAGAUGGUGUACAAGCAGGCUUACAAUCAAAAUAUUUGAACUUCUUCAGAUUUUUUUCUAAAUAAUGUGACUGACUUAGAGAAAACCCCUUCUCAGUUUUGUUAACCGUUAUUCCAAGAAUUAAAUUUGCCUCUCCUAAAUCCUUCAUAUCAAAGUUAUUGCAUAGCAUGGUUUUAACUUCAUUUACCAGGUGAAUAUUAGAGCCAAAAAUAAGCAUGUCAUCAACAUAUAAACAUAUUACAACACAUAGAUUACUCUCAGUUUUAAUAUACAUGCACUUAUCACUUUCAUUAAUUUUGAAGCCAUUAUCAAGAAGUAAACAAUCAAAUUUAACAUGCCAUUGUUUAGGUGCUUGUUUUAAACCAUAAAGUGACUUAUUUAAUUUAUAAACUUUAUGCUCUUGCCCAGGUAUUACAAAACCAUUAGUUUGAUCCAUGUAAAUUUCUUCCUCUAAUUCUCCAUUUAAAAAAGCAGUUUUAACGUCCAUUUGAUGCACAACAAGAUUAUGUAAAGAAGCUAAUGCAAACAUGACUCGAAUGGAUGUAAUUCUAGAGACUGGUGAGAAAGUGUCAAAGAAAUUGACAUUCUCUCUUUGCCUAAAACCUUUAACUACUAACCUAGCUUUAAACUUGUCAAUUGUGCCAUCGGAUUUUAGCUUCUUCCUCAGCACCCAUUUGCAGCCAAUGGUUUUGUAACCUGGAGGUAGCUCAACCAAGUGCUAAGUUCUAUUCGAUUCUAGUGAAUCCAUUUCAUCGUUUAUGGCUUCUUGCCAUGAGUCUGUAUCCAAUGAAGUCAAUGCCUCUUGGAGUGUUGUAGGAUCUUCUUCCAGUGCAUAAGUUUGGAAGUCACCCCCAAAAUCCUUGGUGACUUUGGUUCUCUUACUUUUCCUUGGUUCGAAACUAGUUUCGACUGAAUCAUUUAGAGCAUGGUUGCUCGUUCCAUCCUUCCUUAAAUUAGUUGAGGUUAAACCCCCACUAUUCCUUGACAUAAAAGGAAAUUUGUUCUCAAAGAAAUCAGCAUCAUUAGAUUCAAUAACAACAUGGUUCUUUAAAUCAUAAAAUCUAUAUGCUUUACUAUGGAAUGCAUAACCAAUAAAAAUACACUCAAAAGCUCUACUAUCUAGUUUUGACCUUUUUGGGUCAGGUUUUCGUACAUAAGCUAAGCAACCCCAUGUUCUUAAGUAGGACACAUUAGGCUUCCUAUUUCUCCAAAUUUCAUACGAUACAAUUUUAGUUUUUGAAGAGGGAACCCUAUUGAGAACAUAACAGACAAUUAAAAUAAUUUCACCUCACCAAUAUGAAGCACAACCAGAGUUAAGAAGCACAACCACUAUUAAUUCACAAAGUGUCCUAUUUUUUCUUUCUGCUUUGCCAUUCAUUUUUGGGGAGUAGGGUGCAAUUGUUUCAUGUAAUAUGCCUAGAUUUUUACAAUGAUCAUUGAAAGGAGCAAAUUCAUAUUCAAGUCCCCUGUCACUACGAAGCCUUUUAACUUUUCGAUUAAAUUGAUUCUCUACUUCAGUUAAGAAAAGUUUAAACAUGUCAAGUGCUUCACUUUUGUUUUUCAUCAGGUAAACAAGACAAUACUUUGAACAAUCAUCGAUAAAGGUGAUGAAGUAACGUUUCCCAUUUCUUGUGAUUACACCAUCAAACUCACAUAUAUCAGAGUGGAUUAAGUCAAGUAGUUCAGUUUCUCUAUGUAUCAAUUUGUGUGGUUUUCUCGUGAUCUUUGCCUGACUACAAUAUUCACAUUUUUCUAAAUCCUUUACUGAGAUUUCAGGAAUUAGUCCUAAACUACUCAUCUGAUUUACUAACUUCUUAUUUACAUGACAUAACCUAGCAUGCCACAUAUUGAAAGAAGAUAACAUGUAAGCAGAAACAACAGUUUUAUUCAUAACAUUAACAUUGAGUUUGAACAUUCCAUCAGUGGCAUAUACCCAUUUCCCACAAAGACACCAUUCUUUGUGAGAGUAUACAAGUCAGCCCCAAUAGUUUGUGUGAAACCAGCCUUAUUGAUAAGGUAACCUGAGACCAAUUUCUUCCUGAUCUCUGGAACAUGCAUCACCUCCUUCAAUAUUACAGUUUUCCCUGAAGUGAACUUGAGCUCCACUUCUCCAACUCCAGCAACAUGUGUUAAGUGAGAGUCACCCAAUAGAACCCUUCUGUUUUCCGCCUCAGUGUAGGACUUAAAAAGUCCACGAUCAUAGCAGACAUGGCGCGAAGCACCAAUGUCCGCCCACCACCCCUCGAAUCCAUCAACCAAGUUUAUCUCUGAGACCAUUGCAACAAGCUGAUCCUCUGUGAGAUUGGCUUGAGGAGCAGUUCUUCGUUUGUUGCGACAGUUACAAGCAAGGUGUCCACGUUUGUCACAGUUAUAACACAAAAAUGGCUCAACUGUUUCAUCUCUUGAGUAUAGGUAUUUUUCUGUUGUUAUUACGAUAGGUGUUUUGUACCUUCAUAGGGUUCUUGUUACUGAGCGAGUCUUGGUGACAUUCUUCAGAUUCUUACCAUUAGGUUUGAGAUCAACAGUAGCAUGGUUCUUUAAGUAUGACUUCUUGUUGGUAUUCGAGAUGACAAGGACCUCUUCUCGCAUAUCUUGCUUCCUGGCUUCUUCCUCGAUUCAAAGACGAGUAAUCAAGCUUUCAAGAGAAAACUCUUUUGUCUUGUGUCGCAGAUCCUUCUUGAACUCCUUCCAGCUUGGUGGCAACUUGUCAAUGAUCACAGCAACCUGGAACUGUUCAUCCAGAUUCAUUCCUUCAGAUAUGAUCUCAUGAGCAAUCUUUUGCAAUUCAUGUGAUUGGGCCUCCACAGACUUGUCAUUCGUCAUUUAGAACUUGAGGUAACGACUGACUGCAAAUUUCUUGGCUCCCGCUUCUUCAGUAUCAUACUUCUUUUGGAGUGCAUCCCAGAGUUCCUUAGCUGUUUACAGGAAUAGUAGCAAUCAUAAAGAUCAUCACAUAAAUCAUUUAAGAUAUAGUUUUUGCAGAGAAAGUUAUUUUAAUUCCAUGUUUGAAAUAGUUUGAAUUGUUCAGCAGUUGGUUGAUCAGGUAGUAGUGGCAUCUCAGAAGUACAGUUUGAAGCAAUUUUCUUGGUGGUUAACAAAAAUAACAUCUUUUGUCUCCAGCAUUUAAAGUGAAGUCCUUCAAACUUGACAGGUUUGUUCAAAUCAGUGACGAAGAGAGUGAUUUUAGUGUCCAUGGAAAAAAAUAAUCGUCUUAAAAUUGAUGAAAACACUUCACAAACUCAAAGAUAGGGAAUGAGUUUACCAGGAAAAUUGAUGAACUAAAGAACACAAAAAUAUCUUGGGUUGAGUCGUAAACAAUGUCGCUUUCUUUAAGACGUUUCGCGACUCUGCCUAAGGUGUGUAAGUAGUCACAAAUGCCACGCCGUCCCCAAGAUAAAACAGCCCAUUAUCACCAUUGAAUAGAUCUUCCUUUGCAUUGAGGAACAUCCAAAGCCUUCACUCACUCAACAACUCAAUGUUCUCCAAGUAUUUCUUAGGUUUUUUCAAUGUUAUAUACCAAACUAGAACCCUAGCAUUUAUAUACUACUUAGAGAGAUAUUAACGUUGGGAUAAUUGAGGAGAAAAUGCUCACAAAAUCCAAUCAUUAAAUCAAGAAGCAAUAUCAGUUAGUUGAGAAAGAAUAGGUCUUCUAAAUAAAACAAAACUUUAUGUUGGAGAAAAAAAAGGAUUCUCCAUAAAAUUAGGAAUCCAACGUUAACCUAUCUGACUAAUCCUAAAUCUUAAAUAAACAUACAACCCCAACAGGUUCGUAUAAAGAAUGGUAGAAACCUUAGAUGAAGAUUUUAUUUUCUUCUCGAAACAUUGGUCUUUAGCGGGGUUGACUUAGAUAUUCUACAAAUCAUUAUGUUGUGUUACAUAGUUCUUGUAGGAGAAGAUAGAGAUUUGAACCUGACGUUCAUAAGAGGUUCUAGGUUUGCAAUAUUUGCUGAGAUAGCGAAACCUCUGUGGUUCACGGAAACAAAACUGUUUGUCCUAAAUUCUCAAUAUGUUGCUUGCCAUACAAGUUAGAAACUUUGAAUCAUGAACAUGUAUGGUGGAAAGAAUCUUGGAUAGAUACGACAGCCGGCACUCUGUUUUUCACGUGGAAUUCCUCAUGAUAUGAAUAGUAUUCAUCUCAUUGUUGUCCAUAUGCUAAUGCUAUAAUCUAAUUUACUUCACUUUCUCUGAAUCAGGAUACAGAAUUUUCCAGGGAGCCAGGCAUGUAAAUGAAUCUUCGUCGCUGCCUUUUCAGGAUUUCAUCCGAACUAAUCUAAUCCAGUCAUAUGAAGUAUUCAGCAACCAACAUGCCAUUUUUGUGCUUCGAUUUUGCACCCUUACAUUAGCAGACGAUAUCGGUGUCUGGAAUUUUGAGCAGUUAGAUACAAUAUUAUUUUUGUUGCUACUUAUCUUUAGACUUUCCAGUUUUACCUUGGUGUGAAUUGACAACAAAGAACAUAACUUCUUUUUAUCUUAAAAAAAAAAAGAAAAAAAAAAAAACUAAUUGAAUUGCUCCAUGAAACUACCAUUUAGCCUCAAUUUACCCCUUGAAAUUGUCGUUUUCAACUUUUUUGUCUCACUUCACCCCAUUCUCUUUAAGAAAUGUUAAAUUCAAGGGUAUUUUAAACAUUUCACUUUGUACACAUCUCUUCGUCUUGCCUCUUUCAUGCGCUUCACCUUAGUUGACUGAUCAUCUUAGUGAAACAAAUAAGGGUUCACGGAAGAAGAUAAAGGAAUUUAAUAAUUUAUUAUGUUUGAAUUUAACGUUUCUUUAAUAGAAUGGGGUCAAGUGAGAUCAAAUGAGUUGAAUAUAGUAGUUUCAAAGACCAAAGUGAGACAAAACUAGUAUCACGAGGGAAAUUUUGAAAAAUAACCAUAAUUUAAAUCCCAUAUAGAAUUAUAGCCACUCCUUCGAGUUUAUGAUAAUUAUAAUCAAAAGUUGAGAUAAAAAUACUAAUAUACCCUGAAAAUAAGGUUUUCAGAAGAUCCAAAAAGACAACAGGUGCUUCAGACUCAAAACCAAGUUAGUACUAGUCUCCAAGUUCCAGUCUCACCAAACCCAACAAAAACCCAUAAAAAUUUAAAUUUAAAAGUAAUACAAAAAAAAUCCGCAAAUGAUGAUUUCCAUCAUAUAGAUCGUACGGUCCAACCAUUGCAAAAAACGCAGCAAUUUGUGGCUGCCAUGGAGCAAAUCAUGGGCUCCCCAUCUCAUACCUUUCCCAUCCAAUCCUAUUUCUAUAAUCACGGUUAAGCCACGUUAACAUUUUAUAUUUCCAUUAUUUUUUGUCUUAUUAUUUCUAUAAAAAAAAAUCAAUAUAAAAUGUUGAUGUGGCUUAUCCGUGAUCACAGAAAUAGAAGUUUCUAUAAUAAAAAAUCAAUAUAAAAUGUUGACGUGGUUUAACCGUGUUCACAUAAAUAAGAGGGGAUGAGAAGGGUAUGGGAUGGAGGAGAGCAGACAAUCCAGGUCCUCUACAAGAAGCCCUGACCAACUCCUACUCCGUAUCCCCAUCGUACCAACGCCUAAAGCGCCAUAGCAGCCAGUGAGAUACUUUAAACAAAUGAAAGCCUAGGAGUUGGAAAUUUUACAAAUUUACAAACCUUGGGUUUUAAUUGGCCUCUAGCACGAUUGAGUCUUCGGAAGGAUCAUGACCCAACUACCAUUUCAAUCCCAAAACACCAUAAAUUAAACAAAAUGCAGUCAAAUUUUAGAGAAAAUUCAAGAAACAGGCUACCUGCAGUGGUUUGGGGAUGAAAUGGCAUCGUUGUUGGUUGAAGAGGAAAUUAUAUGGAAGAAGGUGCUACUGUUGGUACUGCAACUUGUCCUGUGUUUGAUGAAUAAAAAGAAAGAAGCUUGUGUCUCCAUUGCAGUGCGAGUGCAGAGCAACGCAGCGACAACACUUGACACGAAAAGAAAAGCUCGAGACAUUGCAAACACAUAUGGUUAAAUAGGGUAUAUUAGUACUUUCUCAUCAACUUUUGAUUAUAAUUAUCAUAAUUUUAAAAGUGUAACUAUAAUUCUAUAUAGGGUUCAAAUUUUGGUCAUUUAUCCAAAUUUCCCGUAUCAGAGAGUAAAUUGAGACUAAAUGGUAGUUUAUGGGGACAAUUCAAUUAAUAAGCCAAGCAAAAAAAAACUACAAAUCUUCGUACUUUUUUUUUUGAACAAUCGAUAUUAUCUACACAAAGGGGAAGGGGCGGGUGUUCGUGGCAGGAAUUUCCAUCGGGGAUGCUUCCUAGCCGACGAGCACACAACUUCCCGAGAGGUCGUCGCUGGUUGAUGCUUUCUGUCGGGCUUCUGCUUUACUGGCGGGCUUGUCAGGUAAGGCUGAAAGAGAAGGACAGAGUUAACUUUGAAAGGUGCCUUUGUGGGGCCUUAGGUGUAGGCCUUGAGGCUCACAAUCAAGAUUAACUUUUCAGUGCUCAGGCGUGCCACUGCCAUCUUCAGCAUGGCAGAUGUAAAACGGAUGUUGAGUUUUAAUUAUAUAUAUACUCGAGAGACUACGUUAGUUAUGACAGGUGCCUUUGUGGGGCCUUAGGUGUAGGCUUUGAGGCUUCCCGUUAAUAACUAACUUAGUACUUGAAUACAUAAGGUUCAUUUUCUUGGUUAUAUGAGUCUUAUAACCAUUAUACUUCUGAUUACCUGAGCCCAAAGAGCAGAAUGAAUCCAAAUAGGUGCCUUUGUAGGGCCUUAGAUAGGCCUUGAGGCUUCCCAUCAGAACUCCUUCUAUACUCAACGUUCUAGCCCGAGGAACAUGAUGAAUCUAAAUAGGUGCCUUUGUAGGGCCUUGAAUAGUCCUUGAGGCUUCCCAUCAGAAUUUAUUAUGUGCUCGAACGUUCUAUGGUAAUCAUAAUAUAAUAGAAAUAAAACUAAGUGACAUGUCGAUUACUUGCGCCUCAAGUAACUUCAGACUUCUUGUUUAUCAAAGCUUGUCGUGGAUGGGUUAAGUCCACAUAAGGUUCUUUUUUUAUGCCUUGAGGCCAAGGACUUUUGAGUGAUCAAAUCUUACAUGCCCGAGGGCUUAGAACUUAGAUCUGGCUUGAACUGUGAAGACAUAUUCAAAUCGGAUUCAAGCGCUGAGAGAGUCUUUUAAUAGCCAUAUUACUAGAAAUAACUUGGAUACAACUUGUAGUAUACAACAUAUUGCUAGGCUAAUGAAUGAAAAGACAAAAACAAAGAGGGUCGGGCAAGGCUGAUCGUCUUGCGACUUCCUAUCUUUGUGGUUUAUCAGGAGGUUUGAAAGCUUAGAAAAGGGGUUGGGAGAUGAGUUUACAGAAAGAAAUCGAUACUACAGCAAGAGUUGAACAGGGUAGCAGAGCUAUUACAAAGGGUUUAUCCCGAAAUGGAUGAAGGCUUGGGCUGACUACAGCUUCGUUUUGAAGGAAAAUCUGGCCUUGAGCAGAGUUUGUGCUUAUAUUUGUUGGUUUGUUUGAGUGUCCUUAACUCUGAUUUCUCUUUCUUCUUUUAUAGACACUUUGGCUUGGCCUCCUGUAGCAAUAAUCUUGCCCGAAUGCAGUUUAAAGGAUAGUGACUCAUUAGCUAUUUACUUGUACUGCCACUGUAAAGUACUUUUGGGCUGAUUAGCUGGCUGGUCUAUACCACUUGGCCCUUGGGUAGGUGAGCAAGUGGUGCAAAUGCUCUGCACCUAGUCGGGAAAGGCCUUUUCUGCCUUCUAAGCUUGGGUUGUGCUUCGGGCUUUUCUCCUCUUUGUAGGCCAACUCCCUUCUAAGCCUAAAGUUUAAGUUUUAACCCAAACAGCGGGUUUAGUCUCACAAUGGCCUAACAAUAACGUGGUUCAAAUUCGCCUUUGACGAUAAUCGAAUAUAAGAUCUCUUAUCAGUAAAGAAGAAUAUCACUAGACCGUAAUACUAAGUGGCUACAAAUGUUCAUACUUAGUAAAGCAUGAAUUGCCAACUCUUACAAAUUGCAGGAAGUGUGAGUCCAAAUGCCAAGAAGAGAGGCACAUUGUCCCAACCAACUUGGUCCGAACACACAGGUUUAACGGUUGAUGUAAAGUUCAGCAACAUGUUGUCGAAUACCCUUUGUUGCGCCCGGCAUGUUUUAAACCACCCUAGUUGAGAGGAAACAGUGUUAGGCAACCAUAAUUUGCGAGGCGCCUAAACCCGCGCAAUUAUUUGAGACAUCCACCAUUUGGCUAACUCCUUUGAGAUCUCUGUCAAGCAUAUUUUGGGAGAAUCCCCACCCAGCCAUUUUUAAUCAACCGGAACGAGUCAAUUUGGAACUUCUUCCAACAUUGAGAACAGAAGUACCACUAGAUCAAUAAUUUUGGUCGUUUUGGUAGCGUUUUAGUUGAUGUGAGGAGUAGAGGGACCAAAGCCACUAGUGGAAAUUAGAGGAAGACCAAAAUACCAGAUAAUUGCAUUAAAAUGACAUUUCAAUACACACUUAAAAAGGCUCAUACAUUUACACAAAAGUGUGAUUCCCUGGACACAAUGGAAUACUUCAGUCCACUCGCGCCUUAGCAUUCGAAAAUAUUCCGGCGAACUUCGAAUCUAUCUUUACAAAGGAAUGGUAAUAAAUAGAUACAGCAAAUAUUCUUUUAACCAAAACUCUUUCCGAGUCCAGAAAUCAAUGAUUUUUUUCGAUCCCCUACUGUUACUAGGGAGCUGUAUGCAAACAUAUCCAUAUAAUUUUAAAUACUCAGGUCCGCCAUGAACACACUCUAACCCUAAAAGCUCAGAAAAUUCGCGAAAAUGAUGCUCACCUGCGCAGAUUCUGUGAAGCAGUCCCAAAAUAGUUUCCAGAGCAAGGAACAGCACAAACAUCACAUUCUGUUCCAACGUAUGUCACCGUCCUUUUACACAAAUAUUCUGUUCCAACUUCCAAACAAAAGACUUCAGAUGACCAUCACAUUGGACAACCGACAUCAGGUGUCAAAAACUUCUUACAAAAUUUCAUGUUAUUGCAGCCAAGAACCGUUUAUGACCCAGAUGAUCCACAAGGGAUCACUUCUAAUUCAGUGGCCCUUGAAAAAAGUCCUACCCCAACGUAUCAAUUUCCUUCCCAGAAUCAUCCUCAUUAAUGUUUCUCCUCAACCUUCUUAGCCAUAUAUCAUAGUCCAUGGGAUAUGGUGUCCCACAUAGACUAUCAACAUAAUCGGCAAAUGCUUUCAACACAGUUGAGGCCUCACCUAACUUCUGUUGAAUUAAUCUUCUGGACCAAGAAGUCUCUCUCCACUGCAGUGCCCCCUCAACGGAAUCCAGAUCAGGUAGAACCCCACCACACGAAAUAUAAAGCAUGUAAACAAGGCUCUCUGCAUCUGAAGCUGAGCAGAGCUUUCCCUCCUGGAGAGCAUAAGUAGAAGAGAAAUGAAGGUUCAUUGCAGGGCGGUCCCUAUCUUCAAGAAUAGCACGUCCCCAACCAAUAAGAACAAAAUAAGGUUGCUUCUCGGCAGACCUGACACAAAUCACAUUCUCAGGCCUGAUGUCUCCGUGGCGAAUUCCUGCAGAAGCAGCAGUUGAAAGUGCAGAUAAGCAAUCAUGGCAACAUCUGAUCGCGUCCUCCAUACCAAAUCUGGCUUCACUUGUCAUAUGAGCCACUGUUUCACCAACUGGGCUGGUCACAAGAAUCGGGGUGCCACACCAGGGGUGAUCACAGUUUCCACCCGAGCUGGGUUUCUGACAAUGACCAGGGUGAAUAAUCCUGCCAGAAGCACUUAACUGAGGUAGAUACUUGCUAGAUAGACCUCUCUGUUUCAUAGUAGUCAAUAUUUUCGUCUGCCUCUGAACUUGAUACCACAGAUUCAUAUCCUCCCACGCGGGCUCCAGCUGGGAAGGAUGAGAACCAACAUAUAGAAACAAACUUUUCUGAGGUUCUUCAACCGGAGAAGCAAUGUAAUAUGGAUGUUCACUGUUAUUCAAGACUUGAUUGAUCUGGUAACCUUUUUGCCAGUUAGAAUCCUCCAACCAUAAUACAGAUCCUGCUUCUAGCUUCAUUAACUGUUCGGUCUCAAUUUUAGCAGAAUCAUCCUCAACUUCAACGAUUUCUGGGGAUACAUUGCGCUGCUGGAACCGACACAGACCAUUUCCAUUCGCCCGGGAAUUCCCCAACUGCCUCUCAGUCCUUCUUGCUUGGAGGCGAGGACCAUGGUCAGCAGCUAAAUCCUCUAUUGAGUGCUUGGGAAAUCCAGCAAAUUGCACAAUACAAUGGAAGGUAGCAAAGAGUAACUGUAAAGCACCAAUGUCUCCCCAGUUGGCAUUUCCAAGUUUGUUCCAGAUCCUAUCAAUGGACGAGACUGCAAUCCUAGAAUGGUUUGUAAUCCAUUCAGCUGCACAUUCGUAAACAUUAUUGACAUCAAACACCAUCUUAUUUACAUCUCCUUCAACCUUUACUACCCCACCAUACUGAGAAUCAACAAGAAGAAUAAACACAGAGUUUGAACUCUGAGAGUAGUUCAUUCUGCUCAAGCUUCUUGAUAAUAGUACACGAAGAGCAUAGAAAAGGGCCUCGCCUAAAACAGAUAGAGAAAGCUGCCUGUCACUAUCCAUGGAAAAGUUUCUGAUAUCAGGCCUUAAAAGAGACAGUUCAAGAAUAUGAUCCCACUUCCCACGGGGAUGUCUAGGGUUUGUAAGCAAUAAACCGGUAGCACAAAGACCUCCAAGCUUACCAUCCCCAAUUGCCUUCUCAGCCUGGUAGAAUUUCAAGUUUUCAUUGUAUAGACAAGCAACAGAGAAAGGCAUAGGCUCAUCUUGAUUCCAGAAUGCUUCCCACAAUCCCUUCGCACCGGCAUGUAAAAAAUCUUCAAUGGCAAGAUAAGCAGUUGCUUCAACAGCAUCCGAUGUUGAAGCAUAAACGGAAUUGGGCAUCCUAAUCACCUGCUGAAAUGAAAUCCCUUCCAAUGCAUAGUCAAACUUUUGAAGUUCUAUCAACUCAAAAGGCACAUCAAAGGCCGGUUUCAUUGGUUCUGAUUUGUUGGAUAUAGAUUCAAACCAGUCUUCUAAUUGUGUAGUAAGCAUGCCACUGUCUACAAAUCUAUGAAGAAACUCCUUGCAGUUACGAGACCUACUGCCAGAUGAUGCACUAGACCUCCUUGUCCCAGACCCAACUGAUUCCUGGUCUGGCGACACAGCUGCCAAAGAAAGUAUAAUAAUGUAGAUCAGCAAAAUGGGGUCCGAAACAAGAAUAUGCACAUGAAUCUACGUGUGUGUUUGUGUACUAUUUCUUAACAAGUGCAUCCACACAGUUGAUAUAUACCAAACAGUUGAUAUAUACCAAUGACAGAAACAAUUGUUACUGAUUGACUUUAAAAAUUAUAGAAAAGCUGUGCAGUUACCAAAAUUUGACCAUCAGUCCAUUUGUACCUUUUUCUAUUCACUUUUUAUAAGAACCACAAGUUUUAUUAUGAAGAACGGAGAACAAUAGAAAUAAAAUUGAUCAUAAAUCCAAAAAAUCAAAGACUCAUAAGACUUUUCGUACCCUACUAAAAUCCGCGUUAGCACUUAAUAUUUGUUUCUUUUUUUCGCUCUUGGUCAUCCUUAUAUGACAUACGUAAUGCAUUCUCUCAUGGUUGUGAUUCCUUGGGCCCUACUCCUACUCUCACACCACUCUCCUAAUUUUUAUCCUUGCUGACUUUCUCGAGUAUGCUGUAUUUCAAUUUCCAACUAGUUUUACAUUUCAUCUUCAUCCACUAUUCUAUCCCCAAGUUCUACCAAAAGAAAUACCCUUCCUCACUUAGCCAUGUCCUCCUUCUCCUCCUCCAACAACAGACUUACAUGGUUCCAAAUCUCCCCAAUAAAUAAUUGUCUCUCUAUUAUACAUCUUAGCUAUUGUCUCUUCUGCAACAAAUUGCAGUGACAACAAGGUGCCAUGUACAUUCCAUCCACAUAUUCAUUUCGAUCAUUUUUUUUAUCAUAACAAAUUAGGUAUAAUAUAAACCAAAUGCUUAUACAAGAGGAUCAUAAACAUGACCACCACUAAUUCGGAUUAGAAUACACCAAUCAAAUGAUCGAACGUGCGAAUUCAUUAAUCUUAACAUUUCAGAUAAAAUAUUCUCAUCACCCAUUGUGCCCCUUCACCGAUCCAAUAUACUCCACAAACACAUUAGAGAUAUGGAAAAUUUAAAAUUAAAAAAAAAAAAAAAAAAAAAAAAAAACAUUCUUGAAGUGGAAACCCAUCUUAAGUCCUUACGGCGACAGGGCCGGCUUAGUUCCACCAACUUCUCGAGCAGUUGCAACAAUGACAUUGUGAACCCAUCACCCAUUGCCUUUGGACAUUCAAUUCAUCUCAUAAAUUUUACAGUCACACAAUUGGGGUCAUUGUGCAAUGAAACCCAUAAUUCAUCCACCAAACACUCAGCUGGCCACAUUAAUGUUACUUCCUUUUGAGGAAGAAGCUCUUGAAUUCACUUUAAAAAUACAAAAUCGAGCUCUUGAAUUUACUCAAAAUUCAAAAUUGAGCACAAAAAAACACUGAAAAAAUAAGAAAUUGCCUAACACAGAAACCCUAGAGAUGACCAAGACUAAAGGAAACAGCCAAAUUUUCCGAGUAGACAGAGAGAGAGAGAGAAAGGAAGAGAUGAAAGGCUGACCUUCCAUUGCGGUUAGGGCUAACAGUCCAAUCCAACGUAAUCCAGUCCAACGCAGUCCAGUCCAACGCAGCAGCUCAUUGACCGACCAUGUCUGCGCCUCCUCCUCCUGCGCCGAUCAAACGAUCGCUGCUGGUAAUUUUCUCUUUUUCUUUUCUUUAUUUUUUGGUUUUGUUUUUUUAAAUCGGGUAUCCGAAUAUCAAGGCUUUUUUUUUUUUUUGGGAUCGUUUUUUUUUUUUUUUGGAAAAUGUCUUCAUUUGCCGGCCGACCCUUGGAUUAUUCGACUGCCCCCGCCCGCACCAUGUACACGUAUUUUUAUUUUAUCUUUUGUUUUUACUGCCAAUUUUUUCACAUUUGCUUUUUAUUGGGUUGCACAUUUUUACAUUUUUUUUAUUUAUUUGUCAAUCUUUUUUCUUCAAAUAAAACUAAAAUAAUAAGUACGAAUACGGUCGGCUAGGGCCUCGAAUUUAAAACUCUUAAGUGAUGGCGAAGAAAUAUCUCAUACGAAAAGUACGUGCUUAUAAGUAUUUGAAUUAUUUUAUUUAUUGUGAAUGGUGGAAUCUCAAACUUUUUCAACGGUCAUACAUAUUUCACGUUACUUAGUUUGUUCGAGGUGUUCUAACAUAUAAAGUUUAUUAAAUUUUUCAUAUGCUUAUAAGAAGUUAUUGAAAACUCUUAACUAUCUUCGUCAUAAAAUGAACUAAUUUUGAAACUCUAGAAUUGACUCGGCUUACCCAAUUGCCUAUGCUAGUGGGGAUGCAAAAGCACUCCCACAACCACUUAUAAAAAGGUUUUUCUUGCCAAUUCUUCAAUAUAUUUUUUCGACACAUCUAUAGAGAAUCUAACUUCAUAACUUAUGCGUCAUUUCCAUUCAAAAACCUAGAACCUAGGCCCAUCAUCUGCUUGUGCCACGCCCAUACUGCUUUGCAAUGGCUACAUUCUUCUCUUCAAGUUGCCUUUCGUUGUAAUUUCUCAAUUUAUUUCUUUUGAAAUUUAAAAAGAUAUAUAUCCCUACGUAUCGGAGUUGUUAAUAUAAAUUGGCGAUUUUGUACGACAUACAUUGAUGAAUUAGAAAUAACUUGAACAAACUUAACGACGAGAGAUUCCGUCCGUCGAAGCGAAAGCGUAGAAGUUAGAACUAUCCAACUGGAUUUAUUGCAACAAGAGUAACAGCUAGACAAACACACAGAACGAAGCAAAAGACAACAUGUUCAGUUCAAGUGCUGCAAACAAAAAGCAGAUGUUAAAACAUGAAAGCCGAGUCUCUCAACGCUCGUACUGCUUUCGGAGCCUACGAAGAACAUUCGAGUAGAAUUUCCAAUAAGGAUGAGUAGAUGAAACAGCAGGCUGUCCAAAAGGGUUUUCCUUCACAUAAAUUUGCACAUCUUUUGCAUCUGCAAGGCCAUCCAAAUACUUCCCAAGUUCUCGCUUUGGAUCUAUUUCCAACAGUCCAAGAAAAAAGAGAAAUCAGCUUUUAGGUUAAGCAAGUGGUAGAAUUUCAAAUGUUAAUUCUCAAGGGAGAUGAUAUCCGAAUAUGCCAGUUCACUGUGUGCUAAAAAUAUAUAAUGCAGGAGGAGAAAAUGAGCAUGCGAAAAUCACUUCCAAAAUAAUAAACGUAUCAAAUUCUCGUCAUUACCUAAUUCUUUGUCGUUGUCAUUCUCAGCAUCAUAUGACUCCAAGAAGAUACCUGUGUUAGGCUGUGACAUGAAACAAAGAAAACAACUUUAGAAUGAUUAAGGAUAGACAUUGUCGCACUUUCAUUUUCCCCUUCUGCACUCCUUCCGUUUCUGUCAUUUGUUUCCCCUUAAAAAUUCAAUCCAAAACCUAGGAAAAAAUGAAGUGCAGAGGGAGAAAACGGGAGUCCGAAAAAAAAGGAGGAAAUCAGAAUUGUGAUAACCAUACAGGAUUCAAUAGACCCUUGUAAGGUUGAUCAUCAAUGAAAAGUGUAUCAGAUUCUGAGUAUUUCCCGCUAAAAUAGCUCCACACUUUGUCCAGUUCUUUGAAAAAUAGAGGCUUGCGAUUAUCCUCUAGCGACUUGAACCCAGAGUCGGUACAUUCAUGUUGAUCCUAUUGAAGAAAUACAUAUCAGUAAAUCUUGUCACCAAACAUUUACCUAUAUAUAUAUAUAUAUAGAUCUCAAAAAUACAUGUAUAUGUGUGUAUAGCUUUCAUAUCUUAACAGUUCUUACCCAAACAAAUGACAGUCGCCUUCUCAGCUUUCCCAUCACACAAUCCAAAACACCAUCCACAUUUUUUCUGUUAAUCAGUCAUUCAUAGCACAAUAAACAGACUGGAUAGGAAGUAAAUAACAAAUGAAAAUCAUGAAGAAACAGAAGUAUAACUCGACAUGAUAAAAGGUAGACAAUAACAUUAAUAGCAUGUUUACUUACCAAAAACAAGAACAAGACUAAAUGAUAUCGUUCUAAUUCCCAACAUCUUCAUGUUUGCAGUCAAAAACGAAAAAGAAAUAAAAAUAAUAAUAUGUAGGUUUCAGCUUAAAAUCAAGAAUUAGAUACUCUCGAAACCAAAAAUUAGAUCAACUAGACAAAAGUUGAUUCAAUUCGACAGUCCGAGUUACCCUGUUAUAAGUUCCCAAAUUCAUAAUUGAUAGUAAACAUGCCAUAAAAAGUUAAAGAACAUAAAACAUUGUGUGUGCACUUACACUUGGGCAGAACUCAAUAUUCCAACUUCGAAUCUUUCAAAACAAAAUUGCAUGAAUUCCUCACAAAAUGGUCUCCUAAAAACUGCAACGUCAAAGAAGAGGGUUGUCAAACCUAAAACGAAUGUACAUUGUAAAUUGCGAAUGUAACAUGUAGUAAUUGCGAAUGUAACAUGUAGUAUUCUAAGUAUUUUUUUUAUCUACUAUUUUUUAAUACAAGCAAUAUUACUAUUAUAAUUCACACUAAGGGAAGGACAAUUUGAACUCGGUAGACAUCAUGCUACAAGCUCUAGUAGACAAGAGAAACUCAUCAUUAUUCAUGAGUCGUUGAUAAACUUUUUUGGAAAUGUAAUGUUAGGUAGACAAACUUUUUAAACUUCAUUUGCAAAAAAUAUGUUAUAUCAAAGAAAGAAAAAAAUAUGCAUGUUAGUAGAUCUUCAAAUUUUCCCUACAAAAAAUUCCACUCUCCUUUGUACUCUCACAACAAUUAAGUAAUAAUCCAACUGUCAUCAACCACGUUAGGUUUACAAAAUAUAAUUUAAAUUUCCUUUAAAUGCUAUGAACAACACUCUAAUUCAAAGAUUAGUGUACGUACCUAGAUAGCUUCCAUAUGUGCCAUCAGGAGUACGAUUGCUCGGAAUUUUUGCCCUGUUGUAGCGGAUAACUCUGUGGACUAGCAAGCCAUUGAGGCUAAAGAUUACAAGCUUCUUCCUUGAUCCUAUGUAUAGCUUCUCCAGAAAAAGGCCGCAAUCGCUUCCGGUGUCUUCGUUGCAAUCAUCGUCGCCGUCAUCAUCGUCGACCUCAUCGCUGUCAUAUUGAAGCUUGUUGUUACAAAUCUUUUCAUCAGCCAUUGUUCAAAGCAAUGAUGUAACAAGUAGCAAUUUUGCCGAGUAACAUAUGGUGUCGUCGGUUUAUAAGAGGCUGCUGGCUUUUCAUCUUCUGUAAAUGUUUGUCGGUCAAUUAAUAGAGAAAGAUGAGACUGUUGGCUUUUCAUCUUCUGUAUAUGUUUAUCGAGUAAAUGGUGGCUUUUCAUCUUCUGUAAAUGUUUGCCGGUCAAUUUAUAGAGGAAGAAGAGACUGUUGGCUUUUCAUCUUCUGUAUAUGUUUAUCGAGUAAAUGGUGGCAAAAACCAAAGAGUAAAGAGAAAAAUGGUCUUGCAAAUCUUUGGGUACCCUAGUCGAGUAAAAAGACGAGAAUGACUUGAAAAAUGCCACUCAUUUUUUGUGACGUGACAUAUUUGACUAAAAAGUUAAUUAUGAUUCAAUGAUAUUACUAUUCAUUUAUAAAGAUGCGCUUUCAAGUCUUUCUCAUUUAGACGACGAGUUUAAUACCUAAUUGUAGUGACUGAUCAUUUCAGUACAAAUCUUCCAGCUUUUAAAGUAGAACAUUAUUCCCAUAACUAGUUAAAGUCCUCCAACAUUCAACAAUAUGAACUAGUUGUCCUUGCGUUACUACUCACACCAUCGUCAUAUGGAAUCGUAUGUUUUUUUCUUUCUCGUCAUGUGACAUGUAUUGAAGCAAUGUCAACCAACAACUACAAUAGGAUAUCCACAUCUUUUAACCGACUCAAGAUUAAUGAGGCCCAAAUUGCAAUUUUCUUUCUAGCCCAUUAUAACAACAAAGAUUUCUAACAAUUGGGCUUGUAAUAGCAUUCCCAGUGAGGGGCUUUAUAUGAAGCUGAAAAAGUGGUGAAUAUAGCCCAUUUUUAGAGCUUCGAGGAAUUUUUGGGACUUUAUAAAAUAAUCUCUUCCAAUGAGAGGCUAUAUCUUUCGGGCUCUAUAUGGGGCUAUAUAUAUUUAUUUAUGUUGUAAUUUGAUUAAGCAAUGAUUUUUUUUUUGUGUUAGCUUUUCUUAAGUUGAUUUUUGGAAAUGCUAUCUUAAAUUUUUUUUGUGAACCCUUCAAGCUAAAAAGUUCAAAUUGUGACAAAGUUAGAUUUCAACACUUAUGAAUAGUUCGUUGGAUUAGAUUCCCUUAUCUCAAUCUCAUCCGUUGAAAGAAGCAAACCCCAUAUUCGCCCUUUUAAAUAAUUAAAUUUUCAUGUAUAACACAACAAUUUACCUAGCACCAAUUGGUAAAUUAAUAUCAUACAAUUUUGAAAAAAAAAUUAUUUGAAAAUUUCACCCAUCAAUGCCCAUGAACGUUAAAUCAAUUUGAAAUUUUAAUUCUUAAGGAAUUAAAACAAUCAUUAAUUAGCCAAAUUGCAACAAAAAUAAGUAAGAAAAAAAAAUUAAAAUAAUAAAAGGAGAGUAUAAGUGUAUUCGCAAGUGGAAGGAUAGUGAUAGAAUUUUGCUCACAUGAGUUGCUACUUUUUUUGUGGGACUUACUGUUUUUUGGGGCUAGAUGUAGCCCAAUUUUAUACUACCCAAUUAUGGAUUUAGCCCUAUUUUUUGGCUCAUUGAAAAUGAAAUUUAUCGCUAAAGCUAGAAAUGUGAUAGUCUCAUGAAUGAUAGACAGAAUUCAUGCACCAUGUCUCCAAAAUUCUUCUUCAAAUUUUGUGCAGAAGCUUCUCAAAGUUACCACAAAAAGGAUAAUAAUUCCUACAACAAAGCGUGGGAGUCUCCCAUACCUCCACAGGGCAGAAGGUUGUAGUAACACCCCACUUUUCCAGCACCUUCCAGUACUCUCUCUCUCUCUCUCUCUCUCUCUCUCUUAUACACACCCAAGACUGAAGACAGAGACCUGGGUUUUUGUUCACUGAGGCAUAACAUCAAAACUUGGAGUGCAUAACAAAAUGAAGCCAAUCGACGACAAGAAAUACAAGGUGACGAUCCGGACGGUGACCCACGACGAGGAGGGCCGUAAGAGGGUGGAGAAGAUGGAGCUCCCCACCCACAACAUCGACAGCAUCGUACGUCGAGAAGAAGCUCAUAGACAAAGGCGUGCAGCGACUCGAACGCCACCCGUGAGACGGGACUGGGAUCGGGAGGCCGCCGCCUAAGUCGGGCCACGGUGGCUAGUACACGUAUUUUUAUUUUAUCUUUUGUUUUUACUGCCAAUUUUUUCACAUUUGCUUUCUAUUGGGUUGGAGAUUUUGUUUUUAAUAUUUAUCAAUCUUUUUAUUCUUCAAAUAAAACUAAAAUAAUAAGUACGAAAACUAGGGCCUAGAAUUUAAAAAUCUAAGUGACGGUGAAUAAAUAUCUCAAAAAGUACGUGCUUAUAUAAAGAUUUAAAUUAUUUUAUUUAUUAUGAAUGAUAUUAUAAUAGAAUCUAACUCUUUCAACGGUCACACAUAUUUUAUGUUAUUUAGUUUGUGAGAGAUGUUUUAACAUAAAGUUUGCUAAAAUUUUAUAUGCUUAUAAGAAGUUGAAACCUUUUAUACUAUUUACUUUAAUGUAUAGUAAAAUCUUAACUAUCUUUGUCAUAAAAUGACCUAAAUAUGAAAUUCUAGACUCGGCUUAGCAAUUCCACAACUACAAAAAAAGGUAUUUCUUGUUAAUUCUUCAAUAUACUCUUUCGACACAUGUUUAGAAAAGCUAACUUUGUAACUAAUGCGUCGUUUCCAUUAAAAAACCUAGAACUAGGUCCAUCAUCUUCUUGUGCCACGCCCAUACUGCUUGGCAAUGGCUACAUUCUUCUCUUCAAGUUGCCUCUCGUUGUAAUUUCUCAAUAUUUUUAUUCUGAAAUUUAAAAAGAGAUAUAUCCCUUCGCUUGGAGUUGUUAAUAUAAAUUGGCGAUUUUGUACGAAAUACAUUGAUGAAUUAGAAAUAACUUGAACAAAAUUAUCGAAGAAAGAUUCCGUCACGAUCCAACAGAAUGUAUUGCAACAAGAGUAACAACUAGACAAACACACAGAAAGAAGCAGAAGACAACAUGUUCAGUUCAGGUGCUGCAAACAAAAAGCAUAUAUUGAAAUUUAAAGUUGAUAACAGUUCAUGUUAAAACAUGAUAGCGGAGUCUCUCAACGCUUGUACCGCUUUCCAAGUCUACGAAGAACAUUCGAGUAGAAUUUCCAAUCCGGAUUAGUAGGUGAAAUUGCAGGCAUUCCAAAAGGGUUUCCCUUCACAUAAAUUUGCACAUCUUUUGCAUCUGCAAGGCCAUCCAAAUACUUCCCAAGUUCUCCCUUUGGAUCUAUUUCCAACAGUCCAAAAAAAAAAAAAAAAAAAACUAUGUUAAGCAGGUGUAGAUUUUCAAAUGUUAAUUAUCAAGGGAGAUGAUAUCCGAAUACGCCAAUUCAUGUGCUAAAAUAUACAGUGCAAGAGGAGAAAAUGAGCAUGCGAAAAUCAUUUCCAAAAUAAUAAAUGUAUCAAAAUUCUCGUCAUACUCAGCAUUAUAUGACCCCAAGAAGAUCCCUGUGUUAGGCUGUGACAUGAAACAAAGAAAGCAACUUUAGAAUAAUUAAGGAUAGCCAUUGUCACACUCUCGUUUUCCCCUUCUGCAUUCCUUCCAUUUCUGUCAAUUGAUUCUACUUCAAAAUUCAAUCCAAAAGAAAAAAAGGACUGCAAAAGGAGAAAACAGGAGUACCAAAAAAGGAAGGCAGAGUUGUGAUGACCAUACAGGAUUCAAUAGAGCCUUAUAAGGUUGAUCAUCAAUGAAAAGUGUAUCAGAUUCUGAAUAUUUCCCACUAAAAUAGCUCCACAGUUUGUCCAGUUCUUCGAAAAACAGGGGCUUGUUUUUAUUCUCUAGUAAAUCUUGUCACCAGACAUUUACCAAUAUAUAUAUAUAUAUAUAUAGAUCUCAAUAGUAUACGUAUGUGUGUAAAGCUUUAUAUAUCUUACAGUUCUUACCCAAACAAAUGCCAGUCGUUUUCUCAGCUUUCCCAUUAUACAAUCCAACACACCAUCCACAUUUUUUCUCUUAAUCAGUCAUUCACAACACAAUAAACAAAGUGAAUAGGAAGUAUAUAACAAAUGAAUCAAGAAGAAACAGAAGUAUAACUAGACAUGAUAACCGGUAGACAAGAACAUUAAUAGCAUGUUUACUUGUCAAAAACGAGAACAAGAAUGAUAUCGUUCUAAUUCCUAACUUCUUCAUGUUUAGAGUCAAAAACAAAAAGAAAAAUAAAAUAUAACAUUUCGUCAGUUCGCCGAUCUGAGUUACCCUGCUAUAAGUUCCGAAAUUCAUAAGUGAUAGUAAACAUGCCAUAAAAGUUCAUUAGAAUAUAAAACAUUAUGUGUGCACUUACUCUUGGGCAGAACUCCAUAUUCCAACUUCAAAUCUUUCAAAACAAAAUUGCAUGAAUUCCUCACAAAAUGGUCUCUUAAAAACUGCAUCGUCAAAGAAGAAGGUGGUCAAACCUAAAGCGAAUGUACAUUGUAAAUUUCAAAUGUAACAUGUAGUAUUCUAAGUAUUGUUUUUAUCUGAUGUUUUUUAAUACAAGUGAUAUUAUUAUUAUAAUUCACACUAAGAGAAUGACAAUUUGAACUCGGUAAACAUCAUGCUACAAGAUCUAGUAGACAAGAGAAACUUAUCGUUAUCUAUGAGUCAUUGAUAAACUUUUUUGAAAGUGUAAUAUUAGGUAGACAAAUUUUUUAAACUACAUUUACAAAUCAUGUGAUGUAUCAGCAAUAAAAAAUAUGCCUGUUAGUAGAUCUUCAGACGUCCUCCUACAUGAAAUUCCACUCUCCCCUAUCUCAUAACACUUAAAUAAUAAUUCAACCGUCAUCAACCACCUUAGGUUUACAAAAUAUAAUUUAAAUUACCUUUAAAUGCUAUAUGAACAACACUCUAAUUCAAAGAUUGUGGUACGUACCUAGAUAGCUUCCAUAUGUGCCAUCAGGAGUACGAUUGCGCGGAAUUUUUGUCUUGUUGUGGAUGGAAACCCUGUGGACUAUAAACCCAUUGAGACUAAAGAUUACAAGCUUCUUCCUUGAUCCUAUGUUUAGCUUCUCCAGAGAAAGGCCGCAAUCGCUUCCGGUGACUUCGUUGCCAUCGUCACCGUCAUCGCUGUCAUAUUGUUGCUUGUUUUUACAGAUCUUUUCAUCAGCCAUUGUUCAAAGCAAUGACGUAACAAGUAGCAAAUUUUGCCAAGUAACAUACGGUGUCGUCGGUUUAUAUAGGAAGAAGAGACUGCUGGCUUUUCAACUUCUGUAAAUGUUUGUCGGUCAAUUUGUAGAGGAAGAAGAGACUGUUGGCUUUUCAUCUUCUGUAUAUGUUUAUCAAGUAAAUGGUGGCAAAAACCAAAGCAAAAUGUUUGUCAGUCAAUUUAUAGAGGAAGAAGAGACUGAUGGCUUUUCAGCUUCUGCAUAUGUUUAUCGAGUAAAUGGUGGCAAAAACCAAAGAGUCGAGAAAAAUGGUCUUUCAAAUGGCUUUGGAUACCUUAGUCGAGUAAAAAGACGAGAAUGACUUGAAAAAUGCCACUCAUUUUUUGUGACGUGACAUAUUUGACUAAAAAAUUAAUCGUGAUCCAAUUUUAUUACUAUUCAUUUAUAAAGAUAGACUCUCAAGUCUUACUCAUUUAGACGACGAGUUUAAUACCUAAUUAUAGUGACUGAUCAUCUCAAUCCAAAUCCUCCAGCUUUUAAAGUAGAACAUUAUUCCCAUAACUAGUUAAAAUCCUCCAACAUUCAAUAGUCUGGACCAGUUGUCCUUGCGUAACUACUCACACAAUCGUCAUAUGGAGUCACAUGUUUUUUUCUUUCUCAUGUGACAUGUAUUGAAGCAAUGUCAAUCAACAACUAUAAUAGGAUAUUACGCUUCUUUUAACCGACCAAAGAUUAAUGAGGCCCAAAUUGCAGUUUUCUUUCAACAACAAAAGAUUUCUAACAAUUGGGCUUGUAAAGACAGAAUUCAUGCACCAUGGUCCAAAAUUCUUUUCUUUUCUUUCUUGAUUUAUUUUGUCGCUUUUCAUUUCGUUUUUGUUGUUUUUCUUUAUUAUCUUUUAAUUAUUGUUAGGUUUCGUUUUAAUAUUUAAUUUUCUUUUUAAGGUUGUUUCUUUGAUUUCAUUUAUUUUCCACGCCUUAAGGAUAAUCUGUGAUCCAAGUUUUGGGUGGGAAAUAAGAAUUUUCAAGUUUUUUAUUUUUGAUUCAAUAUAAAAAAAAUUCAUUCUUUUGAAAUUAAUAUCUAUAGAUUAUUUUAAACAUUAGAACAAAUGGACUUCAAAGUCUUUUCUAUUUAUCGUUGCUUAGACACUAAUUCAUGAGUUAUACUUAAAAUUUUGCACAUUCACAUCAACAUGAUUUAUGAGGAAUGAGAUUGAAACACUUACUUUUAGUCUAAAGUAUUUUUUAAUUAUUUUUUUUCUUAGUCUAGUGAAGUUCGUUAUUAUUAUCAAUAAAGUAAUAAUUAUUUCACACAAAGUUUUGCUUAGUAACCAGGCCAGUCCUGCCUAAUCAGUAUUGAUUCUUGCAUUAAAUGAUAGAGUUUUGGCAUGGGGCAGGGUGGUUAGUUGAUUUCGUAGCCUUUUCAGCUCGAGUUAGUAAGUCCUUAGUGUCCUAAAACCCUUGUGGUUUGGGAGUCAUUGACCUAAAACUUGUUACAUGAGUUGGAUCGAAAGCUUAAGUGCACUGACAUUACACGACCACUACUAUUAUUAAAAAAAAUCGAAAAAAAUAAUUAUAUAAAGAAAGAAAAGAAAAAAAAUAAUAAUAGAUCUUUUUGAGGUUAGUAUGUGUGAAGUAGUGAAUAAAAAGGACGAGAGGUAAGAGUUUUAGUCGAGUCUCUUUAACUAUGUUGGUUCACUCUACACCAAGGGAAGCUCAUGAAUUAUAAUUGAAUAUAAAUGGCUUAGACUUUGUAGUGGGAUUGGUUGGAACUUUUGGAAAAAUGUUCUAAUUUUUAACGUUUUUUAUGGAUUAAAAUUUGAAGGUGAAAUUUUUUUGUGUGUCUUAGUUAAUUUUGUUUAAGUUUUUUAGUUUUUCUUUUAUUUGCUAGUUUUGUUUUGCUUGAGGGCAAGCAAAAAGCUGAGUUUGCGGGUAUUUUGAUGAGUUAAUAUUAUAUUAUAUAUUUUACCCUAUUCUUAGUAAUUUGGUAAUUAUUUUUGUAGAAUUUUGAUACUAUGCUUUAUAUUUUCAACAUUGGACAUUUGACUUCAUCCGGAGUGAAACGUAAUCAAACGGAUGAAUUUUGGAGUGAUUCAAAUUGGAGGACGUUCGUGUGUUCCUUAGCUUGUUUGUAUCAAAAUUUUAACAAUUUAUACCGAGUGGUUAUUUUCUGGCGAUUAAAUAAAGAAGCAGUACAAGUUCCUGGAAAUUGAUGUUUUUUGGCUUAAAUGCAAUUUUUGGAGCUUAAGAUGACCUCAAAUGGGUUCGUGGCCUUCUGGAGAAGUGUUCAUAAUAGUCCAAGUUUUAAAUCCAGCCAUUUUGGGCCAAUUUUGAAGCUGAUAUAGGUCCACAAUGUGGUUGUGCAGAAUUUUGGACGAAUUUACCAAGUCAAUUUAGGACUAUGUUUCUUAAUUUAUUUAAAUUUAUUUGGUUUCCUAGUCUUAUUCUAAGACAUAUUACUAGGAGGAUUUAAUUAGCAUAUCAAUAAGCCUUUUUGGCUGGCCCUAGGGUUUUUCUCAUGCAAUUUUUUGGAGAAGAUUUUGGGCAAAGCUUAAAGAUUUCAAGACUUAUAUUUUCAAAGUGUUUUCAUUCUUUUCCUAUAUCAAUAAAGACUUUGUGAUUUUUAAUUAUAAAUAUGUGUAACUAAUUCUCUUUGCUAGGGUGAGACCAUGAUCCUUAGCAAGAAUAUGCAAUAUUUUUUUAAUUUGCUUAUGAAUUUAUGCAUGCAAGUUUUGGAUUGUUAAUUACUGGUUUAAACUAUCUAUUUGUCUGAGUGAUUCACGACCAUUAGGAUAUUUCGAAAAGUAAUUUGAUGCAAUUUUGGCGGAGGGUUGUCCCUAAAAUUGACUAUGGCUUAUUGUGGUUAAUAUGUGUAACUUCUUAGGAUGGACAACCCAUCUUAAGGGUUACAUAGUUUUUCAAAAGCUUUUCACAAAACUUAAUAAGUCUUACAUGUUCACGACGCCACGGACGGAUUGCAUGUUAGAUAUACGUUCUAUGUUGGAGGUUCCAAGUAGGAUAUAUUUUACGAAAACCUAACCUUCAAAAUAUGCAUGUGUAAUUCAUAAGAAAUUAGAAGAACUACACAAGAUUAUUAGGAUGACGGCGGAACCCUAGUACUUUCUCACUUUGAAUUCUAAAAAUUGUUUCCUUUUUCCUUCUUUAAAUUUGCAGAUUCCAGUUAACUUUUUUUAAUUAAUUUCGUUUUUCUUAAUUUAGGUCAUAAAAUAACCCUUUUUUAAACUUUGUUUUCAAAUAAUUAACUAAGAUUUGAUUUUAAAAUAAAUUAUUCAUUCAAUCCCUGUAAAAAACGACAUUACUUGAGCUGCUAUACUUUUGCCACGCCCAUACUGCUUGGCAGUGGGCUACAUUUUCUCUUCAAGUUACCUUUCGUUGUAAUUUCCCAAUUUAUUUCUUCUAAAAUUUAAAAAGAGGUAUACCCCUUCGUAUCGGAGUUGCUAAUAAACACUGGCGAUUUUGUACAUACAUUGAUGAAUCAGAAAUAACUUGGAACAAAAUUAUCAAAGAAAGAUUCCGUGGACGCGAAAGCGUCGAACGAUCCAACAGAAAGUAUUGCAACAAGAGUAACAGCUAGACAAACACAGAAGGAAGCAGAAGAUAACAUGUUCAGUUCAGGUGCUGCAACCAAAAAGCAUAUAUUGAAAUUUAAAGUUGAUAACAGUUCAUGUUAAAACAUGAUAGCGGAGUCCCUCAACGCUUGUACCGCUUUCCGAGUCUACGAAGAACAUUCGAGUAGAAUUUCCAAUCCGGAUGAGUAGGUGAAAUUGCAGGCAUUCCAAAAGGGCUUCCCUUCACAUAAAUUUGCACAUCUUUUGCAUCUGCAAGGCCAUCCAAAUACUUCCCAAGUUCCCCCUUUGGAUCUAUUUCCAACAGUCCAAGAAAAAAGAAAAAUCGGCUUUUAGGUUAAGCAAGUGGUAGAAUUUCAGAUGUUAAUUCUCAAGGGAGAUGAUAUCCGAACACGCAUGUUCAUUGUGUGCUAAAAAUAUACAGUACAAGAGGAGAAAAUGAGCAUGCGGUAAUCACUUCCAAAAUAAUAAAUGUAUCAAAUUCUCGCCAUACCUAAGUCUUUGUCGUUGUCAUUCUCAGCAUCAUAUGACUCCAAGAAGAUACCUGUGUUAGGCUGUGACAUGAAACAAAGAAAGCAACUUUAGAAUGAUUCAAGAUGGCCAUUGUUGCACUCUCAUUUUCCCCUUCUGCACUCCUUCCAUUUCUGUCAUUUGAUUCUCCUUCAAAAUUCAAUCCAAAACCUAGGAAAAAUUGGAGUGCCGAGGGAGAAAACGGGAGUCCGAAAAAAAAGGAGGAAGGCAGAUUUGUGAUGACUAUACAGGAUUCAAUAGGGCCUUGUAAGGUUUAUCAUCAAUGGAAAGUGUAUCAGAUUCUGAAUACUUCCCGCUAAAAUGGCUCCACACUUUGUCCAGUUCUUUGAAAAAUAGAGGCUUGUGUUUAUUCUCUAGCGACUUCAACCCAGAGUCAGUACAUUCAUGUUGAUCCUAUUGAAGAAAUACAUAUCAGCAAAUCUUGUCACCAAACAUUUACCAAUAUAUAUCUCAGUAAUAUAUGUAUAUGUGUGUAUAGCUUUAAUAUCUUACAGUUCUUACCCAAACAAAUGACAGUCGUCUUCUCAGCUUUCCCAUUACACAAUCCAAAACACUAUCCACAUUUUUUCUGUUAAUCAGUCAUUCAUGGCACAAUAAACAGAGUGAAUAGGAAGUAUAUGACAAAUGAAAAUCAUGAAGAAACAGAAGUAUAACUCGACAUGAUAAUCAGUAGACAAGAACAUUAAUAGCAUGUUUACUUACCAAAAACGAGAACAAGUCUAAAUGAUAUCGUUCUAAUUCCUAACUUCUUCAUGUUUACAGUCAAAAACAAAAAAGAAAUAAAAAAAAUAAUGUUGGUUUCAUCUUAAAAUCAGGAAUUAGAUACUCUCGGAACCAAAAAUUGGAUCAACUAGAUGAAAGUUGAUUCAUUUCGCCUGUUUGAGUUACCUGCUAUAAGUUCCCAAAUUCAUAGUUGAUAAUAAACAUGCCAUAAAAGUUAAUUAGAAUAUAAAACAUUGGGUGUGCACUUACUCUUGGGCAGAACUCCAUAUUCCAACUUCAAAUCUUUCGAAACAAAAUUGCAUGAAUUCCUCACAAAAUGGUCUCUUAAAAACUGCAACGUCAAAGAAGAGGGUGGUCAAACCUAAGGCGAAUGUACAUUGUAAAUUGCGAAUGUAACAUGUAGUAUUAAUUCUAAGUUUUUUUUUUUUUACUGUUUUUUAAUACAAAUGAUAUUACUAUUAUAAUUCAUACUAAGAGAAGGACAAUUUGAACUCGGUAGACAUCAUGCUACAAGCUCUAGUAGACGAGAAAUUCAUCGUUAUCCACAAGUCAUUGGUAAACUUUUUUGAAAGUGUAAUGCUAGGUAGACAAACUUUUUAAAUUAUAUUUGCAAAUCAUGUGAUAUGUCAGCAAUAAAAAAUAUGCAUGUUAGUAGAUCUUCAUAUUUCUCCCUACACGAAAUUCCACUCUCAUCUGUCUCACAACACUUCAGUAAUAAUCCGACAGUCAUCAACCACGUUAGGUUUACAAAAUAUAAUUUAAAUUACCUUUAAAUGCUAUGAACAACACUCUAAUUCAAAGAUUGGUAUACGUACCUAGAUAGCUUCCAUAUGUGCCAUCAGGAGUACGAUUGCUCGGAAUUUUUGUCCCGUUGUGGAGGGAAACUCUGUGGACGAUCAAGCCAUUGAGGCUAAAGAUUACAAGCUUCUUCCUUGAUCCUAUGUUUAGCUUCUCCAGAGAAAGGCCGCAAUCGCUUCCGGUGUCUUCGUUGCCAUCAUCGUCGCCGUCAUCGCUGUCAUAUUGAUGCUUGUUUUUACAGAUCCUUUCAUCAGCCAUAGUUCAAAGCAAUGAUGUAACAAGUAGCAAUUUUGCCGAUUAACAUAUGGUGUCGUCGGUUUAUAGAGGAAGAAGAGACUGCUGGCUUUUCAUCUUCUGUAAAUGUUUGUCGGUCAAUUUAUAGAGGAAGAAAAUACUGUUGGCUUUUCAUCUUCUGUAUAUGUUUAUCUAGUAAAUGGUGGCAAAAACCGAAGAGUAAAGAGAAAAAUGGUCCUGCAAAUGGCUUUGGAUACCCUAGUCAAAAGAUGAGAAUGACUUGAAAAAUGCCACUCAUUUUUUAUGACGUCAGAUAUUUGACUAAAAAAUUAAUCGUGAUCCUAUGAUAUUAGAAUAUCUUCAAAUGAAAUGUCAAAUUUUGAACUCAAAAUUAAAAUUUGACAACCUAAAUGACAUUUUGACAUCUUUUAAAGUUUUAUUGUCCACCCGAUAUGUCAAAUUAAAUUAUUAUUUUAUUAUAUUAUAAAAUAAAUGAUUAAAUUAAUAAAAACUUAAUAAAAGGCAUUUAAUAAUUAUGAAAUUCGAACCGGUCACCAUUUCUUUUUAACAAGAGGGAAGUAAUAAAAAGCAUUCAUAAUUAAUUUUGAAGCUGCUCUCAAAUUUGACAGCAACUCUCUUGCUACCAAUUCAUGUUAUCGUCACAUAGGAUUUGACAUUUUGGUUGGAGAACAUUAGUGUGAUCUUUUUUUACUGUUAUAGCUUAUGUGGACAUUUUGACAUCUUUUUUGGAGAUACUCUUACUAUUCACUUAUAAAGAGGGGCUCUUAAGUUUUACUCAUUUAGACGACGAGUUUAAUAUCUAAUUGUAGUGUCUGGUCAUCUCAGUCCAAAACCUUUUAGCUUUUAAAGUAGAACAUUAAAAUCCUCCAAUAUUCAACGGUCUGGACCAGUUAUCCCUGCAUCACUACUCACACAAUCGUCAUAUGGAGUCAUAUAUUUUUUUCUUUCUUUCUCGUCACGUGACACGUAUUGAAGCAAUGUCAACCAACAACUACAAUUGGAUAUCCACUUCUUUUAACCGACCCAAGAUUAAUGAGGACCAAAUUGCAGUUUUCUUUCUAGCCCAUUAUAACAACAAAGAUUUCUAACAAUUGGGCUUGUAAAGACAAAAUUCAUGCACCAUGGUCCAAAAUUCUUCAAAAUUUGUGCAGAAGCUUCUCAAAGUUACCACAUAAAGGAUAAUAAUUCCUACAACAAAACGUGGGAGUCUCCCAUACCUCCACAGGGCAGAAGGUUGUAGUAAUAGCCCACUUUUCCAGCACCUUCUAGUACUCUCUCUCUCUCCCUCUCUCUCUCUCUUAUAUACACACCCAAGAGUAAAGACAGAGACCUGGGUUUUAGUUCAGUAAGGCAUAACAUCAAAACUUGGAGUGCAUAACAAAAUGAAGCCAAUCGACGACAAGAAAGACAAGGUGACGAUCGGGGCGGUGACCCACGACGAGGAGGGCCGUAAGAGGGUGGAGAAGAUGGAGCUCCCCACCCACAACAUCGACAGCAUCAAGUACGUCGAGAAGAAGCUCAUAGACAAAGGCGUGCAGCGACUCGAACGCCACCCGAGAGACGGGACUGGGAUCGGGAGGCCGCCGCCUAAGUCGGGCCACGGCGGCAAGUACACUUGGGAGGGACCUGGCGACGAGGUGGAAGUUGAGAUGGACCCGGUGCCGCCGGCGAUCGACGAGAGGGACCCGAACUACGUGGAUGAGGAGACGGAGAAGAAGAUUGUGAAGGGGGAGGACGAUGAUGCGGCGGGGUUGGUUGUGGGGGAGGUGGAGGUAGCGAAGGCGGCGAAGGACAGGGAGGGGGUUGCUAGAAUUGAGGUGGUUAGUCCUCGUCACCUCCAGACUUAAGUUGCUGAUCUUUGUAACGUAACGGUGUACUUGAAGAGCUUACUAAAAUUAAAAUGUUGUGACCUGUCUUGCGUGUAAUUAUUUGGUUUUGCAUGAAAAAUUAUGUAUGCUUUCUUUUAAUAAAUAUGCUUUAAUUUUGUAUUGAAUUUUAUGAUAACAUUUCACUUUCUAAAUUUUGGUACCUAAUCUUGUGGAAGAUCAAAUUGUGGGGGCUUAUAUUAAGCAUGUUCUGCGCCUUCGGGUUUGUGUUGCACAUCCAUCUUCUUUUUUUUUUUUUUUUUUUUUUAAGAAACGAUAUUAUUUAUAUUAAGAAGCUUCUUAAUAAAUUAGUAACAAUGUAUCAAAACUUCAAAUUUAAGAUUUUUCACAUACAAAAAGAAGAACAUUAUUAAAUGUAGUAUUAAAUGAAAAACUUAAAACUUAAAAUAUGCUGCUUUGGGCUUUUAAACAACGAAAUUCGGCCUAAAGCACCCAUAUGGUCUUUAUACAGAUCAUGUGGACCUUUAAAAUCAUCCUCAAGCCUCUUUGUUGAUUUUAUGCUUGUCUAGAUGCCUUUUUUAAGGUCCGAUAAACGAGUUGUAUUUGUUGUAUUUGUGUUAUUUUCGUGUUAUAAUUGUUAUCGUAAUAGGUUUAAUGUGUUUUUAACAUGUGACCUAAUAAGGAUCUUAUUCAACGGGUCGUGUUGUUUUAUGUCAGGUUAACGGGUUGUGUGAGAAAUUAUCAUGCUUGAUGUUUAAAUUUGACAAAUGAUAUCUUAUUCGGCUUUUAACCGGUGACAUGAUAGUAACUCAAUAUGUUAACGGGUUCUUAAUGGGUUACUCGAUAAGAGCCUGACUUCUUAUUAGGUUGACUCAAAAUUUGUUAUUUUCAUGUCAUUUAUUGUCGAGUUAAUAGGUCAUGUAAGAAAUUGUUCAACCAAUCUCCUCCCCUCCUAUUGCCUUAUCCUCCCCUUCUCUCCUCUCUCCUCACUUUCUUCUUUUACUCUCUAUAAAAAAUCAACACAAAUGUUGACGUGGCUUAAUUGUGGCAGUUCAAAUAGGUGAAGAAAAUAAAAUUUUGAAGAAGUGAGAAUCAUACUCUAUAACAAAGAUCAUGUUCAAUAGCUAAGGCCUUAAUCAAAUGAAGCGAUCUUCUAGUAUUUAAUUGAUAAAACCCAAAUGGUGACCCAGCUCAUCACAUCACUCCCAUGCAACAGUUUCGUAAGCAUUAACUUGUCCAACAUGGAAGUUCAAGAGUGAUGCCACACCCAGGGCUGAAGGGGUAGAGGAAGACCUAGGAAAACUUUGAAAGAGAUUCUAAGAAAAGACUUAGAGUACUUGGAUUUAACAGAGGACAUAACACAGAACCGAGCGCAAUGGCGUUAUAAGAUUCAUAUAGCCGACCCCACUUAGUGGGAAAAAGCUUUGUUGUUGUUGUUAUAUAAUUAUUAUCGUUAAAGAGAAUAGAAAAUUCGAAAUUAUUACAACAAUAAAAAAAGAAAGAGUUUUUAACUUGGGACUCAUUCACUAAAAUAUUGAACCAUAUGCAAAAAGUAAGCCAAUUAAUGCCACACUAUAAUCGUUUUUACAUCACUUUCCGUAUUCUAAACUUAUGGAUUAUUUCACCCCAAAAAAAAUCUUAUGGAUUAAGUGUCUGACUCAUCAUCGUCUCAGUAUUUUGUUUUCGUGAUAUCUGGACUCCCUAUCUGAAGCUAAGCUUAGUAAUUGACCACCUUUUUUAUUUUUUUUUUAUUUUUUUAUAACAAAUGAUAUUAUGUACAUUAAGAGAGAGAUGAUAACCUUAACCUUACGAUAAGCUAAUAAUAAUGCGGUUCAAAUUCAUCAUUGGCAAUAAUCGAACCUAAAAUUUCUCUUACAAGUGAAAAGGAAUACCACUAGAUCGUAGUACUAAGUGACAUUGACCAUCUUGUUCAGAACACCAAAUUUCGUUGAAAAUCCAAAUUUCUUGGCACGUUUAUUUGAAAGUGUUUUUCUAAUCUUGAAUUUUUGUGAAUUUCAAUUAAACAAGGACAAGAUUUUUACGAAACAUCGAUGUAUAGCAUGCAUUGUCUUUUACGUGGUGCAGUUUCACUUGUUAAAUUUUCUGGAAUUCUGCAAUAAAUGCCUAGCUGUUAAAUUCAGCAAUAUCCGUUACAUUGUUGUAAUCUUGAAUUUUCAAGUAAUUUAGGUAUAUUUUGACCGCUGGAGUGACACGUGUUAGAGAUGUUGUGGAUCUCUCACCAGAAUUGUCCAAUCAUUUGAAUUUAUUAUUUGAAGAUGAAGAAAGCCAUACGCAAGGUUUUGUUCCAGAGAAGAACAAAAUGGAUGACAGCACAAGGAGUCUUAAGUUAAGGGGAGAAUGAUUUGAUGGCUGGUUGCUGAAACGAAUCAUGUCUCUGGCUCUCUGCAUAUCUGAAGCAAAAGGGGCGUUCCAACCUUUUUAAUGAUAAUUGACAAACUAACAAUUGCGUUAAGUUUGUUAAUUACUUGUUUGUAUUCGUCUAAUGUCGUAUUACUUGAGAUAAAGAAAGUUUUUUCAAGAACGUGCGUGAAGAAUGAUUUGUAUUAAGUAAUGGGAUCUAUGUCCCUUUAUCUCCUAAUAUGGCAGAAAUGAUUAGCUUGCAUUCCAUUCGUCAAUGGAGUCUCAGCUGGCUUGGAAAUCAUCUUUGAAAUGAUUAGCCACAAAAAUGUAAAAAAAGUUAUUAAAGGGAUCCAAAGUGAAGAUCUCAAAUUUAAUCAACUCAAAAAAAGUUAAAGCACAAAUUUAAUAUUUUACGCCACCAUCUUCUUCGGCCAAUUUCUUAUGGUUAAUCAUCUAGAUUGAAGCUCACUAUUUAGAAUCUAUAUGAGAAAUGAUUUGCGUACUCAAUUUCUACCCUUCACAUUGUUAUUCAUUUAUGAUAUUUGGAUAGAAUAUAGAGAAUUUUAACGAAAAGCUACCGGUACUGUUCAUUUUAACGAAAAAUCACAUUUUUACACUAAAAAGUUAAUCCUGGUACUAUUCAUUUUACCUUUUAUUUUGUCCUUAUCGUUAAAACUCAAAAUUUUCAAGCUAUUUUCAUUAGUUUUCUUUAGAAUAUAUAAAACUAAAAUUACGAAGAGUAGAAAAAAUGAUUGUUGAAAUUAUUUCUUUAAUGAAACGGAAAUUCAAAAUGCAACUUAAAUAACAAGUUUUGUACAAGAAAAUAUGAAAUUUGCUGCAAGUGGUGGAUUGCUCUGUUAGAGUUUUCCUCUUCAAGACUUCAACCCACUAGUUACCAGGUUCAAAGCUUCCCCCCUAUCCUUACUGUAUAAUUUUGCUUGUAAAUGUACACAUUUUGGUUACUUAAUUUCAAAGUUCAACAAUUUUCUUGGUUUCAUAAAACAAGUAAUUAGCCAUGAAAAAGAUAUAACUUAACUUGUUGAGAUUGCUACAUUUUGUGCACUAGCUUCAAGUUUUUCACAAAGUUUGUUGUGAUUAAGAUGAAAUAAUAAGAAUCGAAUCAUUGACCUAACCUAAUCCUUUCUCAACAUUCCUAACUACAAGGCAAAUUAUUUUUAAUUUCAUUUUAGGCUAAAAUAUAAUUUUUAAAAGUCUGAACGCUGAUUUUUUUUUUUCGCCUUUCAUUUAUUCUCACUUUUUUCUAUUUAUACAAUAUGGUGAAAGGGACUUAUGAACAUACUUUCCGAGUCAAAUUCAAAAUGGGUGUGAGAUGAGUGGAAUAUGGUAUGGUGUCUAGUUCAACAAAGACAUAUUUCACAUUAGAUAACAUAAUAGAGUGAACAACAUCAAAGAGAAUUGUAUAACAAGUUUGUUAAAACAUGGUGGAUGGGAGAUCAUUUCUAUUAUAUUUCAUAUGGGCUCCAAGCCCACCAAAAAGUUUUCAGACCCCAAAAAACAGAAAAUAUAAAAUAAUUAAAGAAUAAAUAAUAUAUGAUUAAAAUGUCAAACUGCUUUUAGACAAAAUGUUUUUGGGCUUCAAAAGCACUUGAAGUGCUUCAUUCAAGAAGCAUUAGUUAUGUGCUUCUUCUAGUUAUAUGUUUCUUCUAGGAAGCACUUCAAGUACUUUUAUGGGAUUUACUUGUAUUUUUACUAAAGAUUGGUUUAAAAAACAUUUUCACCAAAAGCGUAUUUAGUCAUUUUCAAAGUCCAAACGAGCUAUAUAUCUCUUUGAAAAAAAAAAAAGUUAAGUGCACUAACCACAGUAAAAAAAAAGGAUAGUGCUAUCCAACACCCACUUCUACCUCCUACACAACUCUCUUAAUUUCCGAUCGUCAGAUUGAAUGAAUUGGAAGAAGAUCAAAGACAAAAAAUUAACAAGCAUGCGUGGGAAGUAAAAAUAAGUGUGUAAAUAGCACUAUCCUAAAGAAUAUGUACAUAACAUAGGAAAAUUGAAUACUUCACUUGAUUGGUUUUCCUAUAGAGUAAUUAUAGGCAAAUCAACUUUUUAUUUUUUAUUUUCCAAAAUAAAAAUAAAUAAAUAAACACGUUAAUCAUGUGAUAUGUCUCAAAUAAUAAAUAAACACGUUAAUCAACGCUUAAGUAAUAAUCCAAUAAUCAACAACCAUGCCAUAUGGUUUACAAAAUUUAGUCUAAAUAGUUGGUCUAGCAUUACCAUUUGAUUAAAACAACAAUUAUUAAAAGAAAUAUUAACUAGUUUUUCGUAUCAUCUCCUCUAAAUUAAGAAAAAUCUCAAUAGUUUUCGUUGAUAUAAUUGACAUAAUAAAUCUAGACACACAGAAUUAAUUACAUUAUUGAUAAUUUUUCUAAUACGGAUCAACUCACUGCAGAUUGAAAUGUGAAAGGGGAUCAUUCCAAAAUUGAAAAAAUUUGUUCAUUGGUGACAUUAAAAAUUUUAAAUGCUAAUGCAAAUAAUUGUAAAUUGGAUAUGCUUUGAACAACAUACUAGUUUUAGGUGAUGAAAAAGAUAGAUAGGUGACUAUUAAUUCAGGUUUUUUUUCAGAGAUAUAUGCAACUAUUAAUUAAUUGUAAAUUGGACACAAAUUUUCACAGUCAUACACAAAUAAGGGUCAUCAUUACGGGUUAAUAUAAUUAUUCUUCACUUAUAAGGUCAUUUUUAACCAAAGGCUCUAGGCCACAUUUAGUCUUAAAUUUGAUAAAAUUAGUCCCUAAUUAAAGGGCUAAAGAGAGUCAGGCUAAAAGAUUCAGGCUAAAUUUGGUAUCGUGACAAGCAACAUGUAACCUCAAAAUAGUCUUUAAAAUAUUAAUUUUUGGAGGACUAAAUGGCUUAAGUGGUAGUCGUUAGGUUUUAGUGUUUGUGAACGGCGAGUUGUCAUUUAUUAUUCAAUUUGGUUUUUGAAUUUCAUAUUCCUCCAAGUUUGUUACGCUCUCUGUCGUUUAUAAGGCCAAUAUUUCUACCUAAUUAUACACACUCUAUUGGUGUACGUUGACUCGAUAUAAAUCUAAGGCCGCAAAGAGUAGUCUUACAUUAGUGCAUGGUUGAAUUAAAUGGUGAAUACCUUUACCUCUAAAUUUUUUGGUUGUAAAAAAAUUUAAACAACUUCUUGAUCUAUGCGUAUCAUCCUUCUUAGGGUUGGGCAUUAAAAAAAAACCGAUUGAACCGUCCAAACCGUACCGAUGGGUUGAUUUGGUAGGGUUUUUUUUAAUUUUUUAAUUAUUUUUUUAUUUUUGGUGGUUAAACCAAACCGCACCGAUCAUAAUCGGUUUGGCAAGCGGUUUUCAAAAUUCUUCAGAUGCGGUUAACCGAACUGACCCGCAUAUACUUAUUUUAUUUUUAUAACCAUAAUUAAUACGUGUAAUAAUAUAAAUAAUUAGUUAUUUACGAGUUACUCUGUAUCCACCACAUAAAAAUAAAACAUGAUUAGUUUAGGAGUCCCUUUUUGUCACAGCACAUCCCAGAGUAUUAUUUUUCGACGACAUGAAAUUACAAUAUACCCUUGAACCUUAUGGUGUGUGAUAUGUUGGUUGCGGUUUCAUUCCUAAUUUUCCCUAAGUUUUGAAAGGACUUAAGUGCUUUGUUUUGGUUUGUUGGGGACAAACUAGGACCACAUAACACACCCGUGCUCUCUCUCUCCUCCCUCACGGAUUUUUCUGAAAAAUCCGUACAAUUGUACGGAUGAACUUUGGAACCAACCGUAUACGCACGGAUCGAUGUCAAGAAGGUAAGAUUCGAACUCCUUGCAAGUCUUUGAGUUCAUAUAUGCCAUUUUUAGAUCGUGAAACCCUCAAAUCCCCGAGAAACCAUCACCCCCGAUUUGAGUAAUGUUCACGUGGUCGUAAUUAUGGAUGUUUCAGGGGAUUUUAAGCGCAUAGGAAGUUUUAGGAUGUUUCAGGGGAUUUUAAGCGCAUAGGAAGCUUUAGGACGUUCUUACGAAGCUCGGAGAAGAAAAACCAAGCAAAAUGAACGUCAGGAGACCUAGUUUUGACGAGUUGCAAUUUGGCAGAAUUAUCGAGGAAUUUUCCGGCGUGAUUCUGUAAUUUUUGGAGCUUGAAAUUGGUAAGAAAGUGUUUUACUCGUUGUAAGCUUAAUUUGGUAUAAGUUUCAUGAGUUUUUGUGCAAAAAUGAAGAAGUUAUAAGGAUUUUAAGAUUUUCCAGUUUCCGGCGACAGCGACGGUCGCCGAAGUUCAAAGGAAGAAAACAGAAACUGGAAGGAAUAUUCUAACGCCGUCAGGUAGACUUAACGAUUUUUGUUGUUUUUAACGGAAUAUUCCUAAUGGCAAUUAGGUUUCUGUCAGGGUUACUCGCGCGUGGGUGAUUGGAUUUUUUUUCUAAAAACAUGAGGAUGUUCGUGAAAGUGUGUAGAUCAUGUUGGUGUAUUCAAACAUCCCAUUUGAGCAAUGUAUGAGAAGUUAUUAACUAGUUUUGUCCAUAUGCUUUAAAUAACGUUUAUUCAGUUAUUUCGCAUAUAGGUGAGACCUAUCUCGAGGACGAGCGCAGUCAAAGGCGACUCGGGGGCUACGACCCUUCGACAUACCAGUGAGUGGGCUGUUGGUUUUCAGUAUAUAUUUAUAUACUUGAUAUUUUCCCAGAAAAUGUGUUUAAAUGAAAGUAUGCUUUGAAAAUGCCAUGCCUAUUGAAUUAUGCUUAAACCAUGAGUUAGAAUUGUAUGCAUAAAUGUGAUUUGGUGCUGUGGACGCUUAGAUAAGUUUAUGAAUUUUGAAUGUGAAUUGAAUGGUUGUGAUUAAUUGAGAAACUUCGAGCUCAUAAACCUGCACCCUGGUGAUUGUGAUUUAGUUAGAGAUAAGGUACAUGUCUGUUUAUGAUGUCAUUACCCGCACCAUAUGCUCACAUUGGAUCCAAUUUAGGUGCAUAGCCUUGUAGUACAGACCAUUAUAGGUGGUUCCGACUCAUAAGUGACUAGCGAAUUAUCGCGCAACUAUCGUGAGAACGUAGCAUUGAGCAUAACUAUAUUCACUCAGUCUUGUCGUACAAACCAUUACAAUGGUUUCGACUCGUGUGCAGGGUGCAGUGCCGUAUAGGUCACUGGCGGUGACUCCAGCUAGAUUGAUUAAUGAGCUAUAAAUUCAGUCGUACAUACCUCUGCAGGGGUUCCGGCUAAUAUGUUAUUUUCCAUGAGCUUAUUCUCACCUGAGUUACUUAUUAUUUUCUAUAUUUGACAUGACAUACUUAUGUUUAUGGUUAUGUGAAGCAUGAUUUGAAAUAUAUAUAUAUAUAUAUAUAUAUAUAUAUAUAUAUAUUCCAUUUCUGGUAAAAUUAUACAUGUUUUACGGUGAGGGGUUAGAAGAAAUUUUAAUGAAAUGGUUCCAAAACUUUCUGUUUGCGCCCUUCAGGUUUUAGAUAAGGGGUUGCUAGUGGAAGGUUGAUUAGAGUGACGACUGCAAUUAAAGGCAUUUUGGUGUCGUUUAAUUAGUACUAACUUUAGGUUUAGCUAUUUAAUCUCCUCUUCUAGAGUUGGUAUUUAAUCUAUAUCAUUAUUGCUUCGGUACUAGGUCACAUCAGUAGGGCAUGUUCAAUCUCGGUGUGUGUCACUUUUCCUUUUAUAAGCAUAUGCCUUUAAUAAUUAUAUGCUUUAUUAAUUUGUCACCAUUUGGUGAGUUCUUGUUUGGUGCAUGCUUGAAUCUCAUUUGUUUUUUCUUUUUGGCUCAACCAUACUUUUUAAUUUAGCUUUUUGAAAUUUUUUGUUUUUUUUCGUCUCCUUUACUUUUUGUGUCUUUUUUAGAAUGCCUCAAUAGUCUCUAUUUUGCGUUGCAUACAGAAGGUAAUGUGAAUCCUAGAAAAAUUGCUAUUUUCAAAUAAGCAUUCACAAUCACGUGAUUUAAGUCCACUAUGGCAUCGGCGUUUAAAAAUUGGUGUUUUGGUGUUAGAGGUCAAGUUUUUAGAUAGAAGCUUAGCGAAGCGCACCAAAAAUUUCAGUUUAUUUAUUGAAGCAUUUCGUUGAACACCUAUUGGUCUUGUUGUCGUUAGCAAACCACACAUGUCAACAAAUAUCAACAUAUGUCAAAGGGUGAUAUCGAGAGAAUUCAUCAAGUGUUGUACGCAAUCUGUUGAAAUAUGCCCAGUAGGUAUUACUUCAAACACUUGAAGAGUACAAAAGAGACCUGUACAGAAUAUUUGGAGGAUUCUCGGAAGAUCUUCUUAUGUAUAUUUUUCUGACUCCGACAUGGGACCACGUUCCAGAGCGCGUGGCCCCUUAUAGUAACAACACAUACUAGACAGUAAUUUUCACAUUUUCGUUUUAUUUUUUUACAUUGUUUUACUCUUAUUAUUCUUAUAAAAGCCAGAAAUAACCGAAGCAAUGAGAUGCAAAGAGAACAAGUAGCAUUUACUACCCGGAAUUCCAGCAACUAGAGAGAGUAUCAGAUAUAAAGGCUCCACACCAAAUACAAUUUUAUAUUCAGUGCUAUAAAGUACCCGCCUGAAAAAAUUAAGCCAAAAAAUGGUAGAAAACCCCAUUAUAUUGUGUUUUAGCUAUAUUUUCUCUUUGUCUAAAAAACAAAAUCCCCAUUCCCCAUCCAAUAUUAGAUUGUAAAUAUGGAAAUAUAGUUGGAAACAUCCCACCUUAAAAAAUGAUUACUCAAAAUUUACUUUUUUAGUCAUUUUUAUAGGAAUUUCUCCAAAAAGACUAAUGAUCAUGAGCGUUAGGUGACAAAUUUGGUAAACGGCUAUUGACGUCAUAUGAUGUCAGCCGCCGGUAAAACCCGCCGCCGGCACGUUUGCAUUUUUCUCUUUUCUAUUUAGAAAAAUGCUAAAAAAAAAAAAACUAAUGAAAAUGAUUUGAAAAUUUUGAGUUUUAAUGAUAAGGACAAAAUAAAGGGUAAAGUAAAUAGUAACAUAAUUAAUUUUUUAAUAUAAAAAUAUGAUUUUUCGUUAAAGUAAUUAAUAUCAAAAAAAUUUCGUUAAAGUUUCAAUAAAAUAAAAAAAACAUAUUUGGGAGGACUGAACUGGAGGCUUAUAAAAGAGGUAGAGAGAGAGACCACAAAACUGCCAAAACACCCUAAAAACCCAAAGAAAUUAGAGAGCUUUUUAUUUCCAUUACAUUUUACAACUAGCCUUUGCCUUUCUGUUUCUGAUUUUUCUGUUGCCACAUUGUGUGUAUAUAUACACACAUAUAUACACACACACACACGCAUAUAUGCGCUGUUCUUCCUCUGUUUUUUCCUUGUUUUCUGAAGCAGAAAAGUCUCUGUAUUUUUAGAAAAAAGGGGGAAAAGAAAAGAAACGGAGCUUUUUUUUUCCAAUACAAAUAAAUAUUCAGUUCAGCCGGUCAAUUGUUUGUGUUUUUCUGUGCAUUUGAGCUUGAAAUAUCAAAUGUGGUGGAGGUUGAACCACUGAAACUUCAGCUCUUCUCCAUUUCCAUCGUUUUUCCGAUCAAACAAGUAAGUUCUCGUGAUUUUUUUCAUAAAAAUCCAUUUUGUCUUCUGGGUUUUUCUCAAAUUCCAAAAAGUUUUUGUCUUUGCACUUUUUUUUCUCUUCCCAUUUGCUCCUCUUUUUUCUUGAAAAACUCCAAAUAAAAUGUAUUUCAUUUUUAUUCAGUUGAUUUUCUUCCAAAAAUGAUUGUUUGGUGUUUUGUCUGUGCAUUUGAGUUUUGAAAUUCAAAAACGGAGAGGUUGAACCACUGACUUAAAGCUCUUCUCCAUUUCCAUCGUUUUUCCGAUCAAACAAGUAAGUUCUCGUGAUUUUUUUCAUAAAAAUCCACUUUUGUCUUCUGGGUUUUUCUCACAAUCCAAAAAGUUUUUGUCUUUGCACUUUUUUUCUCUCCCAUUUGCUCCUCCUCUGUUUUCUGCGACGAAAAAUCGAAGAAAAACUCCCAAAUGGAGCGACUGCCGACUGCGGCGAUGCUCCCGGAUUCAUUUCUCGGCGCCAGAGACGACAUUUCCAUGCAAAUGGGGUUGAUUUGGGACCAGAUCAAGGCCCCAUUGAUCGUUCCUAUGCUGCGACUCGCCGUCGUUCUGUGUCUGAUCAUGUCGGUGAUGCUCUUCGUCGAGCGGCUGUACAUGGCGGUCGUCAUCGUUCUGAUCAAGUUCUUCGGGCGGAAGCCGGAGAAGCGGUACAAAUGGGAGCCCAUGAAAGAUGACGUGGAGCUCGGGAACUCGGCUUAUCCUAUGGUUCUGGUCCAAAUCCCAAUGUACAAUGAGCGAGAGGUCCUUAUCCUUAAGUCUUUUCCUUAAUUAUGUUUUGAGGCGAAACGAUAGCGGUUUUAUUUACGGUCUAGUUUUUGAGUUAAUAACAUUGAUUAGGUUUGUGUUUUGGUGAUUUCAUUGUCGUUGCAGGUUUAUCAGAUUUCAAUUGGAGCUGCAUGCGGGCUUUCAUGGCCGUCCGAUAGGAUCAUCGUCCAAGUACUUGAUGAUUCAACUGACACAACCAUCAAGGUCACUAGCAAAAAUCUUUUCUUUUAUACGUCUAAACAACCUAAAUAUUUGGAAAGGGAAUUUGAGCACGAGUUUAUUCGGCUGCCUGACCAACUGACUUAAACUACGCUUAUAAAAACUCAAACAUUUCAUCAAAUUUAUACCAAUUUUAUAUUUUCCUAUGUUUUGGAAUAAUUCUCAAAGAAAAUUUAGUUGGCUAAGCCAUUCUGUUGGCCCCUUGAACCCAAAUUUGAGUCACUUUUUCAUAAAUUAGAGUAUUUGAGUAGUUUAGAAUAUUUCUCUUAAAGUAAAUUGAUGGAAAUGAUCAGCUUACAAAUCUUAAGAGUUGAUAUAAUUAUUUUUUAGUAUUGGUGGAUAUAUCGUAAAUAUUCGAUUGACAUGUCAUCUGUAUUUGAUUUUGAUCAGUUCAGCAAUCGAAAUUUGUAAAAUCAUUGUAGUCAACUUCCCUGUAAAAACAACCCAAAUGCUCAAAUUUUAAUUACCAAGUUAAAAUUUGGAAAUUUGGGUUGUACUAAUUGUUAAAUUAAAAUGCAGGAGAUGGUGGAGCUGGAGUGCCAAAGAUGGGCAAGCAAGGGGAUAAACAUAAAGUACGAAAUAAGAGACAACAGAAAUGGCUACAAAGCUGGGGCGCUCAAAGAAGGCAUGAAGCGCAGUUACGUCAAAAGCUGCGAUUUCGUCGCCAUUUUUGACGCCGAUUUCCAGCCGGAGCCCGACUUUCUCUGGCGGACCAUCCCCUUCCUCCUCCACAACCCUGAGCUCGCCCUCGUCCAGACUCGCUGGAAGUUCGGUUAGUUCUUUAAUCCCCCAUUACUCUCAAUUCUUUGAUUCGUUUGGCCGUUUUGAAAUUGCUUUUGGAUAAAACACUUAUGCUCAUAAACACUUUUAAUAUAAGUGUUUGUGUAAAAGCACGUUGAAAUUUAUAAAGUAUAAGUGCGUCUUAGAAAAACAUUUGGUUGAAAGUGCUUAUUUGAAAAGCAUUUUUACGACCUCAGUGGUUUAAGUUUUUCUGUCGAAAUUAAUCAAAAUCGCUUGCAUAAUCAAACAAGCGUUUUUUAGUUAUUUCAGAAUCUAAUUCUUAUUUUGUAAUGUAGUGUUUAAUUUGAUUUUGGUUUAUUUUAGUUGGGUUUUAAAAUCAGAUUUGUAAGUAUUUUGAAUAUUUACGUAUUUUGUUCGUUUAUUGUAUAUCGUGUAAUUAUAAAUAAUUUUAAAUUUUAUUAUUUAAAAUAAAAAUCAUAAGUACGAACACAAUUCAUAACUUCUGGGAAUAGAGGAUCCGGAUUCCUAAACUCAGGAUCUGUCUUGACUUGAAAACUGUCGGUGCCUCUGUGCUGGUUUGAGAAGAUUUCUAGGAAGUAGGUGGGCCGCUCCUUGGGUUGUCCUUUUUCCUUUGCUGUGAUUGUCUUGUCGCUUGUUUUGUUUGCCACGUGUCCGAACUUUCUGUCUCUUCUCUUUUCUUUAGAGUGUAUCUUUGAUGUUUUCUAAACACAAUCACGUCACAUGAUUAUUUUACUAAAAUUAAAAUAUGUAGUUUAUAUAUAGUUGAUAAACUAUAAAAACAGAACAUUUUGAUCUUAUUGUGCACACAUAUUAUAACAUGUGAAAAAAGAUCAUGAUCAUCUCUUGAGCUUAGAAUGUUGAGCUUUAUGAGCAAAUCACACGGUCUGUUGGAUCAAAAUUCAACGAUUACAAACAGAAAACACUUUAAAAGUUAUAAUAAUUGCAGUCGUUGAAUUUUGAUCCAACGAUUCGUGUGAUUUGCUCAGUAAGCUCAACCUUCUAAAUAUCACUUGAAGCAGAGCAUUUAUGUUACUUGGGACCCACAGUCCAAAGCAACCCACACGAAAAAUCAGUGUGGAAAAUCAAAAUCAAUGGCAUUGUUGCUAUUUCCAUCAAUGCAUGCAAUUUUGAGGACCAGAAAACCCAGAUGUUAUUUUCAGCACUUUGUCUGUUUUAAUCCGUCUAAUACAUCUGUGAUGCUAUUAACAAUUAAUAAAUUCGUUGUUGGGGGGUUGUGGGCAUCUGUGGUCACAAAUGGAGAAAUGGCAAAGCUCUUAGCUGGAUACAUAAUCCCCAAACUUUAGUUUUAAAAGAUAUCAUCUAGUGGUUUUGUCACGAUAGUUCAUCUUUUUAGAGGCCAAGAGAUUAGCUAGUAAUUUUAUCAUGAUAGUCACUUUUUUAAGGCUAAAAAUACUCAAAUUGGUAUUUCAAUCUCAUUCUAACGAUUAUCGUGUGAUUCACCAAACUUUUGGUUUUCAUUAAAUUAUUUGACACAUUUUGGCGCAAGUUAAUUAGAUAUUGAUAGGUUGACAGUAAUUAAGUUGAAAUCAUUUAAAGCAAAGCAACUUUUACAGAGGUUUGUUAGUGACAUAUCAGCUUUGUGGCUGAAGGAUUGGAUGGACUAUGUUGAAGGGUAACCUAUAGUCUAUGGAGAUUCAAUUCUAGAUCUUUUUGAGAAUGUUUUUGGAAUUCGAGGUCUGUUUGGCAGAAAUAAUAAACAGUGCUUCUGAAUAGUGUUUAGGGGUUUUUUUCCAAAAAGGAAUGAGAUUCUUUCUUUCCGAAUCUUUUCCAUCAAAAUUCACUAAUCAAUUAAUCUGAACCUUUUAAAUUUGAUUCAACGAUUAAAAUUAUUAUAAUUUUUAAAAUAACUUUAUAUUUGUAUCCAUUAGAUUAAAUUUUAAAGAUUCGAAUUAAUUGAUUAGUGAACUUUGGUGAAAGAGAUUUAGAGCUUUCCAAAAACAGUAUUGGGCCCGGAUCUCUUCCCUUUCCCAAAAAGUAUUGGGAUUUUAAUAAUUUUUGAGCUCGUUUAGAAUUGCUUUGGUAAAAGAUACUUUUGCACAUAAAACAUUUUUGUUAGAAGUGUUUUUAUUGAAAGUGUUUUCUGAAAAGCAAAUGGUAUGAAUACCUUUAACUUUCUCUCUCAAAUCUAAUAAAAAAAAGCAUAUGUCAUUCUACAAAUGGAAGAACACUUAAAAAAAAAUUUCUCUUCACUUAUACCGCACCAUGUUCCUCGGGUACAUUGAAAACUCUCUCCUUGUUUGUACAUAAAAAUUUGCAAAGGCAUGCAUUGUAACAUGGGACAGCAGCAUGUGGCCAUCUUUAAUGGUGGACCUCAAUUCCUUAUAUACCCUAGUCACACUCACACUCUACUCUCUAACUUUUAUACAUAUUUGACCUAACUUUCUGCUAGCUCAUUACUUUUUGAAAACUCGAGCCGAAUUUGCAGCAGCUGUUUUCAGACUUCUUUUUUUACAUAUUUAUUUUGGCAGUGAAUUCAAAUGAGUGCUUGAUGACAAGAAUGCAAGAGAUGUCUCUGGAUUAUCAUUUCACUGUCGAACAAGAAGUGGGCUCCUCCACUCACGCCUUCUUUGGAUUCAAUGGUAAUUUAUGCAAAUUUUGAGCGGUCAUGUGUUUGAAUUGAGGGCUAAUUCUGUUUCGAUAUACAAUAAUUUUAUUUAGGCCCAUAAAAUCGACACAUUGUUGAAUAAAAGUGGCCCCACCCCACCAUAGUAUCAUUGUACGUGAGAUUCAUCUGUAUUAGAAAUGAUGUAUGUCAGUAAGUGUAUCAAUUCAGUCUGUCAACCAAGUCGAAUUGCUCUUCAGUAGUCAUUUAGUUACACAGUGGAGAAAACCAGCACACUCUCUAAUAGUGGUGGACCCUAUCGUUGUAUGCAAAACUCAUUUGUAUAAGAGAGUGCGUCUAAAUAGUAUUACUCUUCUUAAUAUAUGUACUUUAACAGUCAUUUUGUUAUGAAGUGGAAGAAAAUUGUAUUACCAUAAGCUAAAUGGGUUGAGGUAGUAUUAUUAGUAUGUAUAUGCUCAGUUCUGUUGGUAUAAUGAUAUAUAGGGACUGCUGGUGUAUGGAGAAUUACUGCAAUCAAUGAAGCCGGAGGAUGGAAGGACCGGACGACAGUGGAAGAUAUGGAUCUGGCCGUUCGAGCGAGUCUCAAAGGCUGGAAAUUCGUAUAUCUUGGUAGUAUACAGGUACCAUUACUGUCCUGUGCUUGUAUAUUUUUCUGCAUUAACGUAUUUUUGAGUGUUUAACCGAUCGAUCCAAAUGUUGUGUUUUUGCUCACUAGUAGGGUUUAGGGUUUAGGAAAGCCAAAAAAAAGUUAGUUCUUUUGACUCAACGACGUACUGACAUGAAACCCAACUUGUAGAGAGGGACAGAUCUCUUAGCAUUUGCAUUACGUGAGAUGCAAGUCUCAUCUGACCUUUGGACGUAUAAAACCGAUUGUUUUGAAUGCAUUUUUAAGUUACAUUUCAUCAACUUUUGAUUAUGCCUCCACUUUGUUCCUAAAAUUGGUAGAUUUCAACUCCAAAUGCACCGUAAACUUUGGAUUCAUGACGGAUUUUGAGUGAAACAUCAUAUCCUCAUUUCGUUUGCUCUAUAGGUGAAGAAUGAAUUGCCAAGCACUUUCAAGGCCUACCGAUACCAACAGCACAGAUGGUCUUGCGGUCCAGCUAAUCUUUUCAGGAAAAUGGUCAUGGAAAUUGUAAGCAACAAGGUGAGCGUUUUUCAUAAAUCGUAUCGAAUUUAACCAAGGGUGGGAGGUGAAGUGGAAAUGAGUGAAUAGCUAACCCUCUACCUUCAUAUGUUUAAUGCAGAAAGUAACGUUCUGGAAGAAGGUACAUGUGAUUUACAGCUUCUUCUUUGUCAGGAAGAUCAUAGCGCAUAUCAACGCGUUUGUAUUUUACUGCAUUGUCUUGCCCUCAACUGUCAUGGUUCCUGAGGUUGAGGUGCCAAAGUGGGGAGGGAUUUAUAUUCCUUCCAUUAUUACCAUUCUCAAUGCAGUUGGCACUCCAAGGUCUGAUUUCCUUUGAACUUCCGCUGUUUUUCCAUUUCGAUUUCUUUUUGUCUUCUACUCGGUUGGCAUUUGAUAUUCAUGUUCUACAAUUUGCAGGUCAAUCCACUUGUUGGUGUUCUGGAUCCUAUUUGAGAACGUCAUGUCACUACACCGUACGAAGGCUACAAUCAUUGGUCUGCUAGAGGCUAGUCGAGUGAAUGAGUGGAUCGUGACUGAGAAACUUGGAGAUGCUCUCAGGACUUUGAAGGCAGCCACGAAAUUACCUAGAAAAUCUCGAUUCAGGAUCGGAGAAAGGUACACGUUCUCACAUAUACUACUUCCCCAAAAUGAGAAUUUGAUGUUCGAUAAUGCCUGACCGCAAUUUGCCAUUUGUGUGUGCUUUUUACAUGUUAACAGACUUCAUCUGUUAGAGCUAGCUGUUGGAUUGUACCUCUUCUUCUGUGGCUGUUACGAUUUUGUCUUUGGGAAGAACUACUUCUUCAUGUUCCUUUACAUCCAAGCAACUGCCUUCUUCAUCAUGGGUUUCGGGUAUGUUGGGACAUUCAUUCCCAACUCUUAAUCUGCAGAAACGCUAUGAAAUCAUUCUCUUCUUCGAAGAACACCAGCGCGAUUGUAAAGAGGGAGACCAACAACGAAAGGAAAAAUGACGGCCAAAUUUUUUACGUACAGCAUAAGAUAUCGAGACUACUCGAAAAAUUAGUUCUCUUGUGAAUUGUCAAGAAAAGUAAGGAAAUUAAGUUUUACAGAUUGUUGUUAUGGGAAUGCAACACAAAAGGGGAAAUGGCUUUUAGGUUGUAAUUGUGAGAUUUUUCUUUGAUACUUUUUGUUUUCCAUUUUUUGGUUUGAUUUUGCUCAAAUGAAUAAACUCCAUGGGAAUGGAAGAUGUCACAAUUGUUCUCUCUCUCUCUCAAAAUAUGUACAAGAAAAUUUGUUGCUUGGUAUGGCUGCAUGAUUAGGGCAUCUCUCCUAACGUGAAAACAAAUGAGAUUAAAAUACGAAGUUUUUCUGUUUUUACAAUAAAUGCCUUAUGGAUGAUGUGAUCAGAUACUCGGAAUUUUUCAUGGUAUUCAGAUAUAAAAAAAUGAUUCACUAUCCUCUGUCCAAUGCAGAAAACAAAGCAGAUUGAUAAUUCCAAACAAUUCAACACCCAUUCUUCCAUUUCCGGAUGCCAUCAUAGCAAUCUUAUUAUCUUUCAGAGAAAAUACAAAAAUAGUAGAAAAUGACACAUUUCUGUAGCCCCACAUAAGUGGAUCAGACACUGAAUUACAAAAUGUAUGGUCUUCUCAUUUAUGAGAUUUUUUAGUAUGUUCCGAAAUAUUCUAUACUAUAUAGUUUUUAGCCGUUAAAUUCUUGAUACAAUGGCUAAGUUUUAACGAAAUAAAUCAGUAUAAGAUACUUGGGAGCAUGAUACAAAUUUAUUUUGUGUUGGUCCAGCCAUAACAGCUGUCAGAUGCAAGCAUAUAAGCCCUUGAAUUAAUGCUGGAAAAUGGUUUUAUGGUACCCACAACCUACUAAAAUGUUUGGUUUGGUUGGUGAAGGGGCUGGUCACAUAUCUUCUGUAAAUUUUGUUCGUUGAUUAUUUUUAAUUUAUUUGAUUCGAUGGUCGGAAAAAUUAAAACGAGGUGUGUAGGUAGCACCAUCCUAACCAAGGGUGUUAGAAACAUUUGUGUUGGUCUUUGGAGGAAGGUCUUGUUAUUCUAUAUGCCUUACCAAUUACCAUUGACAUAUUUUGUAUUAUGAGUAAUGGAUUUGUUUAAGUGAAAUUGGAGUAUUGGUUCCUCAACAAUAACUGAAUUUAAGUUUUAGUCUUUGAAUUUAAAAUCCAAUCAAAUUGGUAUUUGCAUUUGAAAAAAAUAUAAAGAGCAUUAGUUCCUAUGCCAACUCUGAGAAUUUCUGUCAAAAUUAAGCACUUGAAAGUAGUAGGUAAUCCUCCUUUUAAGAAACAAAUUGGAGAAAGGGUGUGCUUAUCACGUGUUUAAAUUUGGCGGAAAUCUCACGAGAUUGACAUCAAAAUCUCAAUUAAAUACAUUCCCUCAAUUUGUGAAUCCAAAAAAAAUUUGGACAAAAAAAAAAAAAAAAAAAAUUGGCCCAAUGAAAAAGCCCAUUGAAGAGCCUUCAAAGUUCAAAAUCCAUGAAGAAAUCUCCAUUGUUCUUUUGGGUUUUAAUUACAAAGAGGGUUUUGGAAGGGUUUUACGAUCAAAUUAAGAACAACAAAAAAAAAAAAAAAAAAAAAAAAGGGAUUUAGGGUUUUUGAAGGGUCAAUCAAAAUCCCGACUCCUCCUCCUCUGCGCUCUGCCGUGACUGCACCUCUCCUCCACCUCCAGGCGGUGGCUACUGUGGACUGCUGCUAACUCCUUCCUCAUGUAAGUGUGUUUCUUUUUCCUUUUGUUCUUGAAUUUCAGGGUUUAGCGAUUUGUGGAAUUGGGGAAAUUAGGGACUGGAAUUUUGAACCUGAAUCACUGAAUUCAGUAGUCUUCCUCUCUCUAGCUGCCUCAAAGUCGGAAAAUUGACAAAAUUAAAUCAUGAAUUAUACUGAAAGUAACAAAUAAAUAACAGAUUGGCCGAAUUUGGGAGUGUUAAGUGUUAGGUUUUAUGAGGUUUGAAGGAACGACUAUUGAAUUUGAGUUAAGAAAUUUUCAAGUACUUUGUUUUUCUCGAGAAUGCGUGUUGGAUGAGUCGAAUUUAGGUGUUGUGUAGCUCUCAUUUGUGACGUUCCGAUUUGUGUACUUGGAUUCUAUCCCCUCAUUGCAAUAUUUGUAGGCUAUGUUUGGGUGAGGGAUUUCCAAGUCCCAAGGGAUUGAUGCCAAGUUUGUAAUAAAAUGUUAGACAGGAGGGAUUAGAACAACUCCCACGUAUGGACUUCUACGUACGGAUUUGCAAAUCGUUCUCACAGCCUUUGUAAUACAUCUACACUUUUUUUUGUCAUCAACAGGUGUGAACUUGGGGGAAUGUCGUAGAAACGAAGGAGACUCUGUUGAAAGUUUGACAAAAUCCUUCUGCUAAUGAAAUUUGGAUUCGAAGUUCAGCCCUUUGCAGUUUUAAUACCUGGGUCCGUAACUGAUUACAGACCGAGACUCUGAAAAGUUGAAAAUGGCAAGACGUGUUUAUCUCCUUCCCAAACCCGUAUUGAAUGCCAUCAACAAACCUCAAAAUCCAAUCUCAGUCCCUCUAUCUUUCAAUCUCUGCACAGACUCUGCUGACAACCAAACUCAUCAACCACAGAUUGAAGGCCCAACAGAGAACCACAACCCCACCAACAUCCACGACCAACAACGCCAUGAGCAAGUCCGAAAACUCCGAGUCCUUCUCCAGCAGGGUCGCUCUGAAACAGCACGGAGGCUCAUCAAGUCUCUCAUUCUCCCCGGUUCACCCUUCUCUUCCCCCACUGAACUCUACACCCUGUUUUCUCUCUCUGCACCCUCCAUGAAACCCACAUUCUGCGACAUGCUUUUAGCCGCUUGUUCAGAGUCUAAGAUGCCGACUGAAGCAGUAGAAUUGUACAGUUUGAUGAGGAAAAGUGGUACACGCCCUUGCUUAGCUUCUGUCAAUGUGAUGCUUGAAUCUUUGGUGACUUCAAAGCAGUUUGGUAAGACCCUUGAAUUGUUUUCGGAGAUUUUCGAGUCAGGUCAGGGCAUUCGACCUGAUAAGUUCACGUAUGGGAAGGCAAUACAAGCUUCUGUAAAGUUAGGGGACCUGGAAAGGGCUGGUCAGCUAGUGAAUUCAAUGAAGAUGAAGCGGAUGAAUCCAGGUGUGUUUGUGUAUAAUGUUUUACUCGGUGGGCUGUGUAAAGAGAAGAAAAUGAGGGACGCACAGAAGGUGUUUGAUGAAAUGAUUGAGGGAAAGGUGACCCCGAAUUUGGUUACGUACAAUACGAUGAUUGAUGGGUAUUCUAAGGCGGGUGAGUUGGAGAAGGCCUUUGAAUUGAGAGAGAGGAUGAAGGAUGAGAAUGUGGAAGCUAAUAUGGUCACAUAUAAUACAAUGCUCAGUGGACUUUGUCGGGUGAAGAGAAUCGAGGACGCGAAAAGGAUUUUGGAAGAGAUGGAAGCUCACAGCUUUGCACCUGAUGGUUUUACUUAUAGCAUACUCUUUGAUGGGCAUUUCAGGUGUGGGGAUGGUGAGGGGUCACUGGCUUUAUUUGAAGAAGCAAUUAGUAAAGGUGUGAGGAUUAAUGGUUAUACUUGUAGCAUUUUAUUGAAUGGCUUGUGCAAGGAAGGAAACAUUGAGAAGGCAGAGGAGGUUUUGAAGAAACUAAUGGAAACUGGUUUUAUUCCAGAUGUAGUGGUAUAUAAUACUAUUGUCAGUGGUUAUUGUCGAAGGGGUGAGAUAGACAAAGCCAUUUUGGCCAUUGAACAAAUGGAAGUACGCGGGUUAAAGCCAAACUGCAUCACCUUCAAUUCUUUGAUUGACAAGAUCCGUGAGACAAAGGAUAUGGAUAUGGCUGAGGAAUGGGUGAAGAAGAUGGCAAAGAGGGGAGUUUUUCCAAAUUUGGAGACGUAUAACAUCCUUAUUAAUGGCUACGGGCAGAUGGGUGCAUUCGAUAAGUGUUUCCAGAUUGUUGAAGAGAUGGAAAAUAAGGGGAUUAAGCCAAAUAUUGUGAGCUAUGGUUCUCUUGUAAAUGGUUUGUGCAAGGACGGGAGGCUUCUUGAAGCUGAAAUAGUACUGAGGGACAUGCUAAGCAGAGGGGUUUUGCCAAAUGCACAAAUAUAUAAUAUGCUCAUUGGUGGUUGCUGUACGGUGGGGAAUCUGAAAGAUGCUUACAGAUUCCUCGAUGAGAUGGCGAAAACUGGGAUAAGUCCAACACUUGUAACCUACAAUGCACUCAUUCAUGGACUCUGCAAGAAAGGACGGUUCAUGGAAGCUGAAGACUAUGUAUCUCAAAUUACAAGUAGCGGUUAUAGCCCGAAUGUGAUCACAUACAACUCCCUAAUUUCAGGUUAUUCUGAUGCUGGAAACACCCAGAAAUGUCUGGAAUUGUUUGAAACUAUCAAGAGUCUGGGCAUGAAACCUACUUUGUAUACAUAUCAUCCUCUAAUUAGUGGGUGUAUCAGGGAAGAUAUGGUAUUAGCAGAGAAGCUAUAUAAUGAAAUGCUACAGAUGGGCCUGGUUCCUGACCGGGUUGUAUAUAAUGCACUCAUUCACGGUUACGCAGAGCACGGAGACACUCAAAAGGCACUUGCUUUGCACUCUGAGAUGGUAAACCAGAAUGUUUAUGUUGACAGGAUGACAUAUAAUAGCUUGAUUCUGGGGCACUUCAAGCAAGGAAAAAUUUCAGAGGUAAAGGAUCUGGUAAAUGAUAUGAAGGCUCAAGGAUUGACUCCUAAAGCCGAUACGUAUAGCUUACUUGUUAAGGGACACUGUGAACUGAAGGACUUCAGUGGUGCCUAUUUUUGGUACAGGGAACUGUUUGAGAGUGGUUUUCUUCUAAAUGCCUCGACGUGCCAUGAACUUACAUCUGGCCUUCAAAAGGAGGGGAGGUUGCGAGAGGCCGAGAUUGUCUGUUCAGAAAUGAGCGCCAAAGGAAUGAAUGACUGCAGCUCUAAUGAGGAAGUGUUUUCUGUUGCCAACGUCUAGGGAACAGAUGUUUGCCGUUCUUGAAGUUCUCCGCACAAGAAUUGGCCAAGAUAUAAGUAUCCCAUAGCGUACAUCUCCGCUGGCAGCCUGGCAUAUCCUUGAAGAAGAGCACAGUAAACUCCAAAAAGGUGUUGGUCAGAUAAGUUCAGAAGUAAUCCGGCAAAGAUUGGCCGGUGGAAGCGAGCAAGGAGCUUUUCGUUGUUUCGUGGACUUGGGAGAGAGUUAUCGAUGUGAAUAAGCUUCGAGCAUCCCAUAUCUUCUCCAUAAAAACCCAAAAAUGUAUGGUGUCCGUAUAAGUUUAUGGUGAAUUUUAGUGCUGUAUACCUUGUUUAUCCUAUUCGUCUUCAAUGUGAAUAAGCUUUUGGAUUGGCGUUCUGAAAAGUUGCGAUCUUCAAAGCUGUUUCAAAGCUCUUCGUUUUACUGGAAAAUGGAAUAUAUGUUGUCGAACGUUGAUGCAUCUAAUUUGAGCAUGGUUUUCUUCUAACCGUCUCCGCGUGCAAUGAACUUGCAUAUAACCUUCAAGACGAGGUGAGGUUACGACUUACCAGAGCUCGGGAUCAUCUGCUCAGAAAUGACGGUCAACGGAAUGGAUGAUCGCAACUCUAGUGGCGAUGUGUUUUCCGUUGCCAAAGACGUAGGGAUCUAUGUUUAGUGUUCGUGAAGUUCACGGCGCGAGAACUGGCCAAGAUCGAUAUCCGUAUAGAAAUGUUGCUAAACCAGUAGCCCGGCAACGAACCUUCAUUUCUCUUCAAGUUUUAUGCUCUCCGGGAGGGAAAGCAAUGCAUCGGGCUGAAGACGGUUUUUCAAGGGCCACUGCAUUAGAAGUGGUCUCUCUGGAUCAUUAGAAGUUCCUGGCUGCAAUGACAUGAAAUGUUGAUGGUUUGCUUUCAUUUCUGCCAUGUUUGUGAUUGCUUCUGCAAGGGCACAAACCGCUACAUGAUAGCCAAAGCGCUUCUACUUGCGUUUUGUAGAAAAACUUAAAAGUGCUUGAGUCAUGGAAGGGCUUCUAGCAUAAGUACUUUCUGGAAAUGCAAUUCCAAACAGGCCAUGAUACUAAAUAUUACCAUGCCAAAACGCAAACAAUUCAUCACGAAAAUUCGAAAACCAGAAUUUUCUACAACCAUCAAAUCAGAAAAAAAAAAAAAAAAAAAAACCCAACUGAUUUUAUUAGAUUGGAGUGGAAAAUCGAACUCAUUACCUCGGCUGCAAAGCUACUCUUAACCAUCUGAGCUACAAGCUCGCAGCACAGUAUUCUACUCAUAAAUUAAGAACAAAAACAAAAAAAACAAAAAAAAAACAAAAAACCAAAAAAAAAAAAACCUUACGAAGCUAACAACCACCGUCACCGCCGCCGCGAGAAGCAAAUUCAGAGCACUUUGAGAAUGUCCUCAGCUCCACUGGAGGUAAAGGCACCGCCUUCCUCCAAAUUCAAGACCUUAACAACGCCAUCCUCCGCCAAAAGCGAGUACCUUCUGGACCUGACGCCCAGCCCCACCGGCUUAUCGCUCAAAUCGAGCUCCGCCCCAAUCGCCCUCGUGAAAUCACCGUUCCCAUCGGACAGCAGCAGCACCUCGUCGCCGAUGUUGAGAUUCUCCUUCCACGCCUUGAGCACGAAGACGUCGUUGACCGCAAUGCAGGCGAUGGUCUCGACGCCCUUCGCCUUGAGCUCACCCGACUUCUCCACGAAUCCCGGGACGUGCUUCUGGGAGCAGGUCGGGGUGAAGGCGCCGGGGACGGCAAAGAGGACGGCCUUCUUGGAUUUGGUGAGCUCGGAGACAGUCACGGUUUGGACGUCGCCGGCGGCGUCGAGGUACGCGAGGGUGGCUUCGGGGAGCUUGUCGCCGACGGCGAUGGCGGCGGAUAUAGGUUUGGCAGCGGUGGUGGAGAAGCGGAGGAGGGGUUUUGGGUGUGGGGAGUGUUUGAGGGGGAGAGGGGUGUAGGAGCUUUUGGAGGAGAGGGAUUUGGGUGAGAAGAGAGACGUUUUGGGUGGUGCGGCGGCGGUGGUAGUGGAGAAAGAGAGGGACUUGGGGGCGGUCAGGAGCCUUGAGACUGUGAGGGAGGCUGCCAUUUUUGGUGGUUUGGGUUUUAGAGAGUGAGAGAGUGAGUUUGAGAUGGGAGAGAGAGACUGGUAAGCUUUGGCAUGCAGGGUUUGCUGGGUACGCUGGGUUUGUUGGGUUUAAGGGUUUUUAGCGGAGGGAACAAUGAGAGGUUGUUGUGAAGAGGGUCGGAUAGAUAGAGGAUUUAUUGGACCCUUCUGUUGUGUGGGCAUGUGAGUUUCCAUAUACCUCCAACUUUGCCACCAUAAAAAUUAUCAACGUAUAUAUGACAUGUUCUUGGUUACGUUCACUCGGAUAUGUCCUUCUCUCCACAAAGAAACUUGAUAAUUAGAACGGCUAAAGUAAAAAUAUCGUUGUAUUAAAAAAAAUUAUAUAAUUUAGUAAAAAAAUUUAAUAAAAAAUUGAACUUUAUUCCUCCUCAGUAUAAUUCAUUUCAGUUUAAAGGAUAUCGUCCUAUUACAUAUUAAUAAACAUGUCAUAAAGUAGUUGCGUUCUAUAACUUGUCUUUAGGGUUAGUUUGAAUGUGCUCCUAAAAUAACUAAAACGCUCUUGACGAGAGUAUUUUUGAAACAAAUCCUUAGUAAAAUGCAAUUGAAUCUUGAAAAAUACUUAAAGUGUUUCCUACAAGAAUCACAAGCACUUCAAAAAUUAUUACACUAAAGCCAUAAGUUAGAACUCAAGCGUUUAAUCUUGAUGUAGUCUAGCGUAUGGUGAUUAGUAGCGCUAAAAUAUAAAAUAGUAAGUUGAUAGGCUUUAAACAUAUUUCUGUGUUUAACAUCACAAAAUGGAGGGUCUUAGUGUAAUGAAAAUAUUACUUUCAAAAUUUUUUUUUUACCAAAAACGCUUUCAAUUAUUUUAAAAUCAUAUACAAAUGUGUUGUGACAUAUGUUCUUAUCAAUAUGUGAUUGUGUAAAUCCUAAGUAGAGAUAAAAUAGGAAUCCUUUGGGAUCUAGAAGAUCUUUCCUAAUAUACUUUGUAUUACUUGGAGAGCAAGUUUCUCUCCUCCUAAUUACUAUAAAUAAAGGCACAAUGACUGGGGAAUUAAUACACAAUUCCUCAAGUCUAUUCUCCAAUCUCUUCUUCUCUUUGCCGCAUAUCUCUGUAAAAUAUAGGCCACAACACGUUAUCAGCACGCUCUUCACGCUGUGCUUAGAAGAAUUUAAAGAGAAUUUAUUCGUCUACAAUCAGGGGAGUAUUACGUUUCAAUUAUUUUUAAUUGAUUAAAUCUUGAUUUUAUUGAAUUCAUAUAUUGUUAUUGAUUCAAUUUAUUUUUCUUCUUAUGUUGAACGUGAUACAAGCUUGAAGAUGAAAGCCGAAAUUGAAGAAAUAAUUUUUCUGCAUCAAACCAGUUCAUUCAUAUCAUCACGCAAUCAGGUUCUUCCAAAACAACGGUUUUUAACUCGAUAUUUUUGAAGCCCUGAUCGCAUGAACAUUCACCAUGAUACAUGACCCAACUUUACGUUUAACGUAUUUUAGAUUCUACAUAAAUUGGGUAUGCCUCAUAACCAAAAUUGCUACAAUUAUGUGAAUUUGAUAUUUUUCAUGAAUUGAAUCUUACAUAUGUACAUGCAUUGAAACUAUUAUUUGCAUAUGCAUCAAAGUAAAUACGUGAUUCAUUGAAAUAUAUAUACAAUUGAAUUAUAAACCUGAAGUUAUAUCUUUGUAUAUCCUUGUUGUAUAUUUGCUUGCAUAUAUAUACAUAUAUAUAUAUAUAUGUGUGUGUGUGUGUGUGUGUGUGUGUGUGUGUGUUUGUCUGCAAAUAUUAUGAACUUAAAAUUCAUACUUCCGAACCCCAAGUUUCGGAAAAGUGCCAUAUGAACCUGAAGUUUCUUAAUGCGCAACACUCAUGUUGAGACCCGAAGUUCUCCAUGCUUAAAUCCGUUUAAACCAAACCAUGUCUUAGAACCUGAAUGUUCUAAAUUUGUUGUUUAUGGAAAUUUUAUUUCCUAAAACACCAAUCACAUUCUUGUUUCCUCCAUUCAGCGUAUUGUCGAACCGUAACAAGUUCGAUUUCACUGAUUUGGAAGUUUCGAAUAGUAAACUACUUUAUGUGGAUACAAGACGUGAAUAAGCAUCCGCCAUGAUCCUUAUUCGAAGAAUUAUGCAUGAAGCAUAUCCAAUGGAAGUACCUCCCUGCUGAGGACUCCAUGGCUCUUCAAAUCCGUUAUGGAUUGUUUCAAAUCAUGCAAAGAUGAAUUUUUGCCUGAAGCAAAACAUGAUUGAAACUGUUACGUCCAUGAAUAGGUACAAUUCUCGUAGUCCAUUUGUGAGACUCAUUUUGCUCCACCUAAUACAUUGGAAGAGCGAAAUUUGACAUGGACGGCCUAUUGGCCGAACCCCAUUGUUUUUUUUGGUUUAUUUUGUGAAUAAUUUAUUUUGUUCUCGGAUUUAAGAUUAGUGUUUGGAUUUCACCAUUAUUCUCGAAUAAAAGAGUUAAUUAACGAAGAUUACCACAUGUGACUACAAUUAACUCAUGCUUAGGUAUGUUUUAUGGGGAAGUUAGCUGUCUGGUUCUAUGCUAACUUCAUACCUAAUCAUCUCCCGACAACCUUUCAGGCUUAUCCAACCUGAUUGUGGGGCAUGGCACUGCCCUAUAUUGUCCAAUGGUAUUAACUUUACCAUAAAGGGAAGCCUUAUACUCACUUCGUUCCGGAAGAACGCAUUUUUGAGCUUUAAGGAUAUUCGAGAGUAUUAUUACCAUAUUGAAACCAAUGUAGAAAAAUGGAGUAAAAUUCCUUGGCAUAUUACCAUUUUGCACUUCUUACGAAUAUAGUUAAAUGCAUAUUCUAGAGAAGAUGGAACGCUUAACGAAUGGAUUACAUCCAUUCAAGUCCACUAUGUGGCCGGCCAGAAGCCCCGCCCGCGAUUCCUAAGGAAUUUUCGCUAUGGAUGUACGUUUGGGAUAUCUAGGAUGAUUCGUGAUGCGCCGUUUUUGGGCAUCCUCCUUUUACCAGAAGUAAAGAAAUCAUACCUGGACACGUAUUAUACCUUAGCACCCUCCAUCUUUUUACAAAGGAUUCAAAUGGGACAUUUGUGGAUAGAUUCAACCACCCUACGGACCAUUUAAAUAUUCUAUAGUAUUGGUUGAUGCUUCUACACGUUUGUCACACGUGUGGGUUUGUUUUCCACAAGUUGCAUUCUCUCCACACUGGUAGCUCAGAUUAACAAGCUCAGGGCUCACCACCCUGAUUAUCUGAUCAAAUUUAUUUGAUUGGAUAAGUUGGAGAAUUUACAUCGAACAAUUUAAAUCUCGAUGGAUAUUGCAUGUCGGUUGGGUUUUUUGAAAGUUGAACAUCCAGUCCCAUGUUCAUACCCAGAACGACCCAGCAGAAGUAUUCAUUAAACGCCUUCAAAUGCCUUCAAAUGAUUGCGUGGUCGACUGGUCAUACGUACCACAGUUCCCGACCUCUGCUUGGGGCCAUGCAAUAUUGCAAGCAACCAUGUUGGUCUGCCUGAGGCCCGUCACGACCCAACCUUAUAAAGCGCGUGUCAGUUGGUUACCAAAUACGAACCCGACAUAUCGCAUCUGCGCGUCUUUGGUUGUGCGGUCUAUGUGCCAUUUUGCGCCGCCCUUACGUACACAAAAACAAAUGGGUCCUCAGGGAAGGAUGGAAAUCUAUGUCGGUUAUGAUUCUCCUUCUAAUAUUCGUUACUACAUAACCUUUGACAGGCGAUUUCUUUACCGCUCAUUCUGCGAAUUGUCACUUUUAUGAGACAGUCUUCCCGUCGUUAGGGGGAGAUAAGCAUGUCAACGUUCCUAAAGAACGACGCGAAUUAUCGUGGACGUCCUCACUAUGUCUCAUAUCGAUCCCAAUCUAGAUCGUCAGAGUUUAACCAGACACUUCCUCUGAUCUAGUAAAAGUGACAAGAUCACAUAUACCAGCUGCAAAUGUGCCUGCAAAGAUGUGUACCAAAUGUACUUCGGACCUUUGUCCUGAAAGUAGGAAAGCCACAAUUAUGGCCGACCCUCGUACAUUGGCGGUUAGCCAAUCAAUCUAUCUUAUGCCAGAAGCAUGGUAUAUCACUCGGUUCGAGGAUUCACCUCCCCAAAAGAGGAGGAACGUGGCACGAAUGAAUCCGCCCCUCGAUCGCUGUCUCAGACCUUUUCAUCUCAUGAGAUUAAAUCCGGAUUACUCCCGAGACCUGAAGUUCUUGGUCCAGUAUACUAGUUUGGAUGAGAUAUGGAAUUGGAAUGAGAUUAUCAUAAAUGAUGUUUCAUUUAUAUGGUACCGACAUAAAUGAAAAGCGACGAUAACGAACCGCGUUCCGUUGAUUAAUAUCGACAUAGAACUGAUUGGUCAACUAGAAGAAUCAAUCUAUGACGAAUGAGAUGAAUGAAAUAGUUCAAUAUGACGCCUUAUGGUGCAAGGUUUCUCUCAUACGCCAUGUGAUUGAUUGCAGCAUUACAAACGUGGUUGUAGUAUCUCUGGGAUCGUGAUAUGAACCUACAUGGAGUUUCCAAAGGACUUACAUGUACUGAUUCAAAUAGUUCUAGACCACAAGAACAUCCUCUUGAUUCUCAAGCGGCCUUCACUUUACGGAUGCAGAACUAUCUGGGCAGAUGUGGUAUACCCGUCUAAGUGAAUAUUUGAUCAGUUAGGGAUAUAUGCCCCUGCGUGUAUAAAAUCCGAAAUUGCUAAAGUUGAGAAAAUUAACUCGCAUAUCGGACUAUAAGAUGAAUGAUCUUGGGAGAACUUGACAUUACCUCGACCUGAAGUUUCGAGCUAGUUUUGAUGGUAUUCUGGUCCACCACUCAAACUAGACCCAGAAGGUGUUACGUCUGAGUAUAUCCUGAUCAUCUGUAUGCUAGAUGCAAAUGAGACCUUUACGGAGGGUAUGAAGCAUAAGGUUCCAUAUUGGAACGUGAGGCAGCCAUAUCUAAGUACCAUUGGCGUUUGUUGUACUUAGCUCAAAUGCACUAGAUCAGACAUCUUAUGUGCUGAUAAUCUUUUGGCAUAAAGCAGCACUGCGCCUAACACACCACCACCAAAUUUGGUGUUAAAGACGUUUUUCUAUUACUACGGAUUUGGGCUUAUUCCCUAUGCAUCUCAGAAUAGAUCACACCCCCUUGAUCUUCGGAAUGAUGCCUACCUUGUGGGAUUCGCUGAAUCAGACCAUUUGUCUGACCGCACAAGGUACGUUCCCGCAUGGUUAUGUCUUUACCAUUAAGGAACACCGCAAUAUCUUGGAGGUUAACUAGAUAGACCUUUUGUUGCGAAACCUUUGAAUCGCUCCAAGACUCACUAUGUCUCAUCACGUGAGAGAUAUGGUCGAGAAUUCUUGUUGAGCAUAUUCAAAAUCCUUGCGAUUUUCAUCCAUCGUUGAGUCCCAACAACGAUCCAUGAAUACAACGCUGUAUGUAUCGACCAGAUCAUGAUACAUCCAACAAAGUCAACACCAAGCAUAUUGUGUCUACAUCAGCAUGAGCAUCAGAAGAUUGAAGUCAAGCAGUCCAAUCCCAGACAACCUUACCGACAUCUACACAAAGUCACUACCAAAGUCUACCUUCCAGAAGCUUGUCCAAUGAAUUGGUAUGCGUAACUUUCUCAUUUGCAAUGCUUGUAGUUUCAUUUGGAAGUUUUGUCAAACUCAGGGGGAGUAUCUAGAAGUAUACUCACUUGAUCUUAAUGUACUCUUUUUCCCUACGAUUAGGAGCAUUUUUCCCACUGGGUUUUUGCUACCUAACUAGGUUUUAACGAGGCACCCAUCCUGGGCUGAUCAUACCCUUGUGAGCUCUUCUACUUGCGUCCAGAAGACGUAUAGUUUUGAUUUAAUGCAACUUCUCACUUUUCUCCUUAGCCUAUGGGCUUUUCUCCCACCUUGGGUUUUGCCAUAGUAAGGUUUUGUGAGUUUUACCACUCCUGCAUUCUUCCGUCUUUUGAGACUCGCAUUCGCUACUUGUGCCGACUAAACGAGACGAUUUCAUCCACUACUUCUACAUUUGCCUGAAGAUCUGAUGCGCCAUCUACUUGAGUAUUUGCACACUCAAGGGGGAGUGUUGUGACAUAUGUUCUUAUCAAUAUGUGAUUGUGUAAAUCCUAAGUAGAGAUAAAAUAGGAAUCCUUUGGGAUCUAGAAGAUCUUUCCUAAUAUACUUUGUAUUACUUGGAGAGCAAGUUUCUCUCCUCCUAAUUACUACAAAUAAAUGCACAAGGACUGGGGAAUUAAUACACAAUUCCUCAAGUCUAUUCUCCAAUCUCUCUUCUUCUCUUUACCGCAUAUCUCUGUAAAAUAUAGGCCACAACAAAAUGAACUCUUAAUUCACCUUUUAUCAAUAAAAACUUUCAAAUUAUGGUACAUAACCUGUCAAAUGACGCUCUCAGAAUUUGUCAUAUAGCAUCGCGCCACACGUGGUAGUCUAGUAGGUUUAUGUCGGCAUGUGUCACGUGAGAUCACAUGUUGUACUUGACACAUGUUGAAAGAUUUUUCAGUGUGAUUGGCACACGCAAUGAUACAUCACGUGUCAUUAUACAAAUAAUGAGAUAUGUGUGUGAAAAAGUUAAUAACUUAAAAAAUAAAAUUUUCUACUACUUACAUAAAAACACGUGGUGUAUCACUCGUGUUAUUGUCACUAUGAAAAUUUUCUAGUGUUGAUAUGCUUGCAAGAGUUGCGCAUCUACCGAACUUAAAAGGAAAACAAAAGUUGCGUGUCUUUGUCAAGCCACGAGUCAUUAAUCCACAGGAUUAUAGUACAGGCCCAACGGAUCGAUGCUCCGUAUUUAGAUCCAACCUUAAUAUAACACAUAGUUAAAUUGGUUAGAGCAAUAUGAUUUUUCUGUAUGUGCACUUAAGUUUGUAUCUUUCUCCUUCAUUUAUAUUAACUUAAAAUAUCGUUCGGAACUUGAAAAAAAAUAAAAUAAAAACACUUCAAAUAUUGGAUUGGGUUGCCUUUCUAACUACACGAUGUAACACUCAACUAAAAUUUGAAGCUUUAACUAGCUUUUGAUUUAGGAUUCAAUCAUUCAAAUAUGUUACUUUUGAGUUUGAUGUGGAGGGUUUGUUUGAGAUUGCUUGUGGAAUGACUAAAUGCGAUGUAUGACAAUAAAAAAAGUUUGUAACUGCGUUUGACUUAAAAAGUUAAAAGUGUUUUUUUAUUAUAUAACUGCUUUAUAGAGAAUUAAAUCUCAGAUGAUUCUUCAAGAAGUACUUUCAAGUGUUUCGCUUGGAUUUUUAAUAGAAAUUUUAAUGUGCUUCUAGUGAAAGCACUUUUAACAUAAGCGCUUAUGAGUAAAAAAGCUUCAAACAUAAAAUUCUCAAACAAACUAUGAUGAUUUUUGGCUUGCUAUUCUUGGGUGAUAUUAUUCAAGCCAAUGGUGAAUUCUCCAAAGUCCAAGAGUGGUCAGUUCAUCCAUGAAGAUCGAAAAAAGUGGAUGGAUAUUGCCUAUGAUAACCUCUUAGUCGACUAGAUAGUAACAUAAUGCAUGUAAACUGAUAGAUAAAUUGCCUGAGUGAGUAUUUGACACAACAUCUGCAAGGUUUUAACCUAAUCAAAACGAAGGAAGAAUGUUUGUUUGAAAUAUUUAUCUGUCUAUAUUAUCACUUAUCAGUGUUCAUGGUUCAUUUUUUAAAUCAUUAUUGACAUGUUUUAUAUAACAUUAAAACCUUUUUUUUUCCAUUGUCUAAGUUCAUACUUUACGCCAAAAAGUCUUAAAUAAAUACAAGCAUGCAAUCCCAUGCGCAUUGACCAUUUAGCCACCAAUUUUCGAGUCACAAAAUAUAUGCAAACAGAGUAAAAAAACUAAAAUAUUUUGAGAGAGAGAAGAAAAAUUCCUGUCCUUUUUGUAUUUGAGAGAGAGAAGAAAAAAUAAUGUCAUUUUUGUGUGAGAUUCGAGAAUAUUUUUGUUUACUAUUCUAUUUAUUAUGGUUAAAUGAGUUUGAUUUCGAGACAUAUGUCGUAUAUAAACACAAAUUUUAAAAUUUUUAUUCACCCAUUAAUGCAAAUAUAGUGAUUAGCAUUACCACUAUUUAAGAAUGGUGAACAAAAAAUGCACCUGUGAGAUGCCAACCAGGUUGGACUUGUGGGUCAAAUCAAAGAUGAAGUGUCCACUUUUGUUUUUUUAAAGUAAUGAUAAUUAAUUGAAAUAAAUAAGGACAAUAACUUAGAAAUGGACUCUAUUGGAUGGAAAUAACAGAUUUAUCCAUAAUUCUAUAUAACCAUAUAUAUUUUGCAAUCGCAUAAUUAUUUUUAUUUCUGUUCAUUUAUGCGAGUUCCGUUCUCCUAGACUUUAUGAUCUAAGAAAAUUUUGGUCAAACACCAUUCAAAGUUAAUAUAACGAUAGAAGAUAAAGCACAACAAUAAAAAUUAUAAACGACUGCAUACCAUUAAAUUAAAAUCGAACAAUGUAAUGUAUAACCACACAUUUACCUGGUCAUGUAAUCUACGGUCAUUACGCAUGUAUGUAUACGUAUACGUACACAUAUAUAUGUACAUGGAAUCCAAAAGCUGAUAAGAGAGAUGUUGCAGUUUUGUGUUGGGAGUCAAGCUGUAACAUGCUGCAAGAGAGAAUAUUGCCUUGGCAGCUGAGCAUCCUCAUCGAAAUCCAAUAAAUUAUUAACCAUCUGAAAUCAUGUUGUCAUUUUCGUUUCUUAAUUACACAAAUAUAUGCUUGACCAAAAAAAAAAUAUUAUUAAGAAAACAUAUGUUUUGAAAAAUCAAUUUGACACAACACGAGCGUAUGUGUGGGUUACACUGUUUCACUAUCAAUGAGAUUCACUAUAAAUCUGCGGACAAGGAGAUUUGGGUCGUUCAACAGAGAGGGAAAGAAACGGGGUUUUGUGAGAUAAACUAGUGAAAUUGACUAAUAGGGGUGUAUGAUUGAAAUUGUAUGGUCUGGAUCUAUCUGUAUGUGGGCUCUAAAUACAGAAAUUUGGAGUAGAUUCAAUCCAUUUCACUAGGACAAUGUGAAUGUUUCCUUAUUCUCAUAUUUGAAUUCGCUCCCUGUAAAUUAAUACGUAAUUGAAUGAAAAAAAAUAUAAAUAUAAGUCAUGAAUGAUUCAUGUAAGAACAUAAGAAAAAAGGUCUAAGUUGAAACCUGAGACAACAUCUAUAGGAACAAAAUAAAUGAGUCUCCAAGUGGAAAAUUAUUGAACAGGCAAAAUAAAUAUUUUUAACCAAUUGAGUGACACUCUCAUUCCAACACUACUAAUUGUAAAUGACUAUAUCAAUAUUAAGAAUUUGAAUUAUGUUUCGUAUUUAUAACUCAUGAUAUAUAAAGUGAAUAGAGUAAUAAUAGCCACGAGAUUUUAUAUUCUUGCCCAAUAAUUAAAAGCCUUGCAUUGCACAACAAAUAAAAGGAUAAAACAGGAUGUUUACCAUCAAUCGUGAACAAAUCUUUGAGGAGAAUAAUGAGCAAAUCUUCGUUCUUGCUCAACAAUCAAAUUCCUUGCACAACAAUUAAACCCCUUAUUUACAAGAAAAAUAUAUAUAUUUAUUAAACUUCGUGACCAUAAAUUUUUUUUUUCAAAAAGAAAAUGUUUUAUACCACCAAAUUCCAGAAAUAAAAAUCAUACGUACCAUAUCACGUGCAACUAGAAAGUCAGAUCUGACCUACCCAUUUUUAUUUUUCUAUUUUAGUAUUAUAUUCGUUUUGGACAAUAUAUUUAUUUUUAGUUAUAUCAAAAAAUAAAUUUAUUUUUAGAGUGUCACACUUUCCUUUACUUUUCACGCACAUUUGUUAAUUUUAUCCGUUGAUCAUUAUUAAUUUGUUCGAAGAAGGCCUGAAAAUUGAGAGAGUGUGUGAGAGGUAAAAAUAAAUGUGUGGACCACCAUCUUUUUUCAAUUGAUUUAUAAUUGAUUUUGUUUGAGGGGUCUUGUUAUGAGUGUAUUUUUGCUCACCAUUCUAAAAAUACUAAUCACUCUAUAUAUCAUUGUUGAAUGAAUUUAGGGGUAUAUUCAAUUGAGCAUUUGAGAGAUUUUAAUGGAUUUAUAAAUUUAUGGAUUUUUAUGGAGUUUAAUUGAUUUGUAGAGAUUCCAUAAAAAAUUUUGAUUUAAUUCCCUUGAAAUCUCAUGAGAAGAUGUGAGAUUUGUGGAUGCUUAAAAUACACUACGAAAUAUCUCCAAUUUCCUCUAAUUCCUCAACUUUCUUAAAUUCUUUAAAAUCAAUUUCUAAUUGAAUAUACCUGGAAUGUUAUAAACUUCUUUAAAAUCCUAAUUGAAUACACCCGGAUUUCUAAGGAUUUUAAUAAACUAUCUUAAAAUUUUGAUUCAAUAUAUCUUUAAUUUCAGAGAAUCAUUUAAAAUCUUGAUUGAACACCCUCCUUAAAUUUUUACUUUGUUUUUAUCCACAACACAUUUUUUUAAAAUGUAAUAAAAAAUAAACUCAUCUAACGAUCAUAAAUAAAAUAUUACUCUUAGUUCAGGGAGGUAAAUAAAAAUAUUCUCCUUUUGGUACAAAUUAAUUUUCUUUUCUAAACAAAAUUAUAAAUACUUGCUUAAUGAGUCCGCUAAACCUAAAAGAUUAAAUCGGACGGCUGCAAUUAACUAAGUUCCUCUACAAAGAGGCCAGUCCCUUCACUCUCCCAAGUAAAAGCUCUUACCAAAGUCUCUCUCAUCUCUCUCUCUCUCUCUCUCUCUCUCUCUCUAUCUCUCUGUGCAUCCAUCCAUGGCGACGAUCCAGAGCGUCAAGGCUAGGCAGAUCUUCGACAGCCGUGGCAAUCCCACCGUCGAGGUUCGCUUCUCUCUCUCUCUCUCUCUCUUCGAUACUUUCUAGGUCGCCGAUCUACUUGUUCAAUCACUGAUCGCAAUCCUCUUUUCUACUUUUUGUUUUUCAUUGAUUUGAAUUCGAUUCGGUUAAAACGACGCGUUUCGUCUGUGAUUACGACAGGCAAGAGCGUUAGCUGAUUAGAUCGAUGGGUGCUUGAUUAUAUAUGAACAUUUGUUUUUAUUUUUUCGAAUUUAAUUUUGCGAUCUGUAAUUUUGUUGAAUUUAAUUCUCAAAUGGAUCGAUAAAUGUUCGAUUGAAAAUUAAAAAAAUGGAUGUGUGUUCGUUGCAGGUCGAUAUCAUACUGUCAGAUGGCACUUUGGCUAGAGCCGCUGUUCCAAGUGGUGCAUCCACUGGUAUAUUUCUCUGAUCGAUUUCUCACUUUUUUUCGUGUUAUUCGAAAGAUUUCGAUGUAUGGAACUUGUACGAUGGUUCGUGUUUAUUGUCCAGUAUACAUCUUAAUAGUCUUAUCAAACAAGUGUAAUUUAUCGUUUGUCAAUAACUUGCAGGAGUUUACGAGGCCCUUGAGUUGCGCGAUGGAGGCAAAGACUACCUCGGAAAGGGUGUUUCGAAGGUGAGGAAUCGCUUCGUUGUUAGUUGAUUUUGUGUACCACCCAGAUUGAACAUAGUGUUGAUCUUUUGUGACUGGUUUAUUACCUUUUUUUGUUGUGUGUAGGCUGUCAACAAUGUCAACACAAUCAUUGGCCCCGCUUUGAUCGGCAAGGUUGGUUGAAUCUGCUUGUAUUCUAUUAGAUUAUGUGUUCUGUUUUUGUCAAUUUAAUGUUUGGAACCUUAAGAUUGCUGUUUCAGGCGGAUAUAAUUGUAAACUAAUGUUUCUUGUUGCAUUGCGCAGGACCCGAGCGAACAGACGGCUAUUGACAACUUCAUGGUUCAACAGCUCGAUGGAACCGUCAACGAGUGGGGUUGGUGCAAGCAAAAGGUAUAACAUAUUUAUGCUUGUUACAUUUAGUCUAUAUGUGUAAAUCGUUGGUUGUAGGUGUUGUCAAUCAAAUUAACUGGGAUAUAAUUUGUUUUUCAGCUUGGUGCAAAUGCCAUUUUGGCCGUGUCUCUUGCAGUCGCCAAGGCUGGUGCUAGCGUCAAGAAAGUUCCUCUCUACAAGGUAUAGGGUUUGGGGUUUAAGAUCAAAUAAUAUCUAUUGUGCUUCUUUUCAUUUUUAGUGUUCACUGUUGUGAUGUAGGUUUUAAAGGACCGGAUGAAUUGCUUUUUCCUUUUUUAGCUGUUUCUUUUUCAUGUUACACGAAUCUGAUUUUAAUGUUGCUGUCUUUUUCAUUGCAGCAUAUCGCCAAUCUUGCUGGCAACAAGAACCUAGUGUUGCCCGUUCCUGCUUUCAAUGUCAUCAACGGUGGAUCACAUGCAGGAAACAAGCUUGCAAUGCAGGAGUUCAUGAUUCUUCCUAUUGGAGCUUCCUCAUUCAAGGAAGCCAUGAAGAUGGGUGUGGAAGUAUAUCACAACCUUAAGGUGGGUUACCCUUCCUUGAGGGAAGGGGUUUAGAAAUUUUUGGGAACGUAUUGUUUCUUAUUCUAUAUUCAUAAGAUCAUCAUAGUGUCCUUGCGAUGAGGAGAUUUUAGUAAUUCUCUUUUCGGAAUUAUCUGCUAAAUCAUGCCAGUACUUUCCCCUGAUAUUUUCAGGAUCCAUGUCCUUCGUAUUGUUGAGCAUGCUUGUAUGAUUCAGUUAUGCAUCUUACUUUCUCACUGACCACUGUUGUUCUCUAUAGUCUGUGAUUAAAAAGAAGUACGGUCAGGAUGCAACCAAUGUUGGUGAUGAAGGUGGAUUUGCUCCUAACAUCCAGGUUAACCAUAGUUUUAUGUAACCUAAUCAUUCAAUUGAAGUUUUUUCUCGUUACUUUUUAUUUCUUUCACAUUUGUGUACUGAAAUUAUCAUCAUUUUUAAAUGAAUUCAGGAGAACAGGGAAGGUCUUGAAUUACUCAAGACAGCCAUCGAGAAGGCUGGAUACACCGGCAAAGUAAGUUUGUUUCUAAUCCUAAUGCUCCAUUACAAAGGAAAUUUUAUGACCCUGCAAUAGUUAUCAACGGAAUUUCUUUUUGUUUUCUCUUCAGGUUGUCAUUGGAAUGGAUGUUGCUGCAUCUGAGUUUUAUGGAUCAGAUAAAACCUAUGACCUGAACUUCAAGGAAGAGGUUCGCCUUUUUACAAUCCCCUCCUUUCAAUCUGUGUUGUCGCUUUUUGUUUAUCCGACCUCGAAAAAAGUUUAUUAAGAAUUAAUUAUUAACUUAAUUUUCUACUUUCUUUUUUGUCUGUACAGAAAAAUGAUGGUUCCCAAAAGAUCUCAGGAAAUGCUCUCAAGGACCUCUACAAGUCAUUUGCAAGUGAGUACCCAAUUGUUUCAAUUGAAGAUCCAUUUGACCAAGAUGACUGGGAGCACUAUGCCAAGAUGACAGCUGAAGUUGGAGAAAAAAUACAAAUUGUGGGAGAUGAUCUGUUGGUGACCAACCCCAAGGUCGGUUGAUCUCUUGGAAGCGAUGUUUUUCCCUUCUGUCGCUUUCUCCCUAGAAAAUGGGGUUUCAAUUUAAAGUUUCUUUCUGAUGGCCUCACUUUACUGACAUCUCUACUCUUCCUACUCGUAUUUUCAGAGAGUCGAGAAGGCAAUCAAGGAAAAAUCUUGCAAUGCUCUUCUUCUCAAGGUACAACAGGAAUCUCACUCCUUAGUCGAAAUUACUGGAGCUUGUGUUUUUUACCAACAUGAAAAUAAUAACCCUUUUUAAUCUUGUUUGGAAUACAGGUGAAUCAAAUUGGAUCAGUAACCGAGAGUAUUGAGGCUGUAAGAAUGUCCAAGAAAGCUGGAUGGGGUGUGAUGACCAGCCACCGCAGUGGAGAAACCGAGGACACCUUCAUUGCUGAUCUCGCUGUUGGUUUGGCUACGGUAAUUAUUUGAUCUGAAAUCUGUGUUAUCCCUCAGUUUUCUCCAAACCUCCAUUCGAUUUCUCACGAGUUUUUAUAUUUGUUUUCAGGGACAAAUCAAGACAGGAGCUCCCUGCAGGUCGGAGCGUCUUGCCAAGUACAACCAGGUCUGUACUAGCACCAAUUUUCUUUUGUGCUCCUAUGAUUUCGUAAAAUUUCUUCGUUCUUAGUUCUUUGUUGGUUGAAUUCUUCAACUUAGUUUCUGAACAUCUCAUGUUUCGUAAAUGUAGCUGUUGCGAAUUGAGGAGGAGCUCGGUGCUGAGGCAGUGUAUGCCGGAGCUAAGUUCCGCGUGCCCGUUGAGCCCUAUUAGAUUAUGAAGUGCUUCCAAGGCUUUUGCGGGAUAUGAGAAAUCGGAGUUUGACGAUGUUAGGGAAUAAGUUUUUAUGUAGAAUGGCUUAGUUAUGUGGAAAACUUGAAACCCUUUUCCAAUAACUUUCAGAGUAAGUUUUGUUCUGAGAGCUUGAAAACAGUUCUCUACUGGAAAUUUUCGAGUAAGCGUGUUCGACUAUGUAAUCUGUUUUGAGUUGCUUUCUUAAUGUUUGCUACAAGUAAAUUUGUGUUUUAAGAACAACUUGAUCGUCUUCUCUUUUAGCGUUCGCAUUCAAUCAUCGUUUCUUGUUUUUCGAGUUUGGUGUGUGCAUCAUGUUCAAUGUGCUUCAAUGGUUUUUAAGUUUGAUCUGGACGGAGAUUGAUACGAAACGCUUGAAUGUUUUUGAAGCUCGAUUUGAACUGAGAUUGAUAAGAGACAUCAUAAGAGCAUCUCAAGAGGGGAGGCCAAGUACAAUAUAACUAUCCGAGGUUGUCGCCUCGAACUAGGCAACUAUACCUCACACAUUAUCCAAGGUCUCUCUCAUCCUCAUUCUUUAUGGCGUCAAUAAUUAUCCAAGGUCUCUCUCAUCCUCAUUCUUUAUGGUGUCAAUAAUAUUAUGGUCUGAUAAUAUUUUUCUUCGUUUGUAAGUGAAAUAUUACAUGUUUGACUCACAUGAAUGAUGAGUUUGAUAUUUAAUCCUCUUUCUUAGUAGAAUAUCGUUGUAUAAGAAAAAACUUCAUCGUUUAUAAACUUAGGUAGUUGUGCCCGACCAUAUUUCCAUGGGGCAACUUUUACGGAGAGUCCUAUUGUUGUUGAUCUUACUUGAUCUCAUUAGGUACGAAUAUUUCGUUAAUAAAGUAGUCCUACCAGACAUCUUCUCAAAUCAAAGAUGCGUUUGGGGAUGGUAUGUAUGAAUAAUUAGCAUGAAAACCGACUAAAAGUUUGAAAACUAAGAAUUAAAAACGAAAUUUUUAUGGAAUUUUUUUUGAAAUGUCAUAUGAACUUGUACGCCUUUUUCAAUUUAUCAUAUAAAUUAAAAUUUUAAGCAAUAUUUCAUAUCAACUUUCUGAAAUCAUCAAUUUGUCAUCUCAUCCUAACUCCGUUAAGUUUUCCAUCCAAAAUUCAAAUGACUUGUGUUCAAGGUUAUUUCUAUCAUUUAAGAUCUUUUCACAAGUUCUUUACUUUUCUUUAGCAAAACUCUUAAAUUUUGUGUUCCGACUUCCGAGGGUAUUCAUCUGGAUCAUUGUGUUUCAAGUAGCGUAUAUGCAUCUACAACUUCAUUUCUGGCACCAAACCUCAACUCGUUUCUCAUAUUACAAGGUCCAUAUAAAAUUUGAUUUCAUGACAUGCUAAACUGAACACUCUAGAAUUGUUUUGAUCUAAUGCAACUUAAUAGAAGAAAGUGGGGUGUUAAAAUGACAUAGAUAACCCUAAACACAAGUCAUGUGCCUCACACAUGACUUAUUUUGGAUGGAAAACUUAACGAAGUUAAGGUGAGAUGAAACUGAACACCCCUAAACACAAGUCAUGUGCCUCUCACACAUGACUUAUUUUGGAUGGAAAACUCAACGAAAUUAAGGUGAGAUGAUAAAUUGAUGAUUUCGGAAAAUUGGUAUGACAAAUUACUUAAAAUUUAUAAAGGAGAAAAAAAGAAAAAAGAAAUAAAGAAAAAAUAAAUAAAGAAAAAAUAAAUGCAGGCUGUGGGGUUCGAACCCACGCGUACUUAUGUACAGCAGAUCUUAAGUCUGCCCCCUUAACCUCUCGGGCAAACCUGCUUCACGUUUGUAGUUUACUAAAGCCUUCUAUUUAUCCAACUUCACAUUGAAUACAAUUAUGCAAGAUACAAGAAUAGCACUGCUGCCGCUGCGCGUUUCGUAAAACUUAAAACCCUAAAACAAAGAUCCAAGGCAGAAUUCGACAUCUUCCCAAUUCGGAGGUCUCACAGCCAUGGCGGAGCACUUGGCAUCCAUCUUCGGCACAGAGAAGGACCGCGUCAACUGCCCCUUCUACUUCAAGAUCGGAGCUUGCCGGCACGGAGACCGCUGCUCCCGCCUCCACACCAAGCCCAGCAUCAGCCCCACCCUCCUCCUCUCCAACAUGUACCAGCGCCCCGAUAUGCUCACCAACCCCGGCGUCGACCCCCAGGGCCAAGCCCUCGACCCCCGCAAGAUCCAGGACAACUUCGAGGUCCGUCUGUUUCUCUCCCCCCCCCCCCCCCCCUUUCUCUUUCUCUUGAAUUGGGAUUUUUUUUUUGGGUGCAGGAUUUUUAUGUCUCGAAUUGGGAUUUUGUUUUUGGGUGCAGGAUUUUUAUGAGGAUCUGUUCGAGGAGCUGAGCAAGUACGGACAGAUCGAGAGCUUGAAUAUCUGUGACAAUUUGGCUGACCACAUGGUAUAAUUUUCAAUUUCUAGGGUUUUUUUGGUGUGUAAUUUUUUAGUUUUCUAGUUUUGUUUGACUAAUUGAUUGUGUGUUUGCGUGUGUAGGUUGGUAAUGUGUACGUUCAGUUCAGGGAGGAAGAACAUGCUCAAGCUGCGCUUCAGAAUCUCACUGGCAGGUUCUAUGCAGGUUAGUUCCCCAUCUUUUUCUUAUCUUGGUAUGUUACGAACAUGAUGGUCGAUAUUCGUGAUGCUAUGGUGGUUUUAUCUGCCGCUGUAAUAUGAUUUGCCGAAGUCCUUUUGAUUGAUUCGUGAUCGGUAGAUGUAUUGUGCUACAUGACAGUUCAGUGUUUAUUGCUCAUUUUUGCUGAACUUCCAACUUAGAGCCGAGCUAUUAAUGAGGAUUGGGUUUAUUUUGAAUUUUCGAUUGAUUGAAUUUUUAAACAUGCUGUCUAUCAGGGCUGGCCUUGAGACUGUUGGAUUUAGGAUGAAAGCAAAUCGUGCAUUCACACAAUCGCACAUAAGAAACUUCUUUGUAUAUUGUUAGAAGACCAUAUGUAUGUAAUAGAUUUUCAAUCAUGUGAGUGAGUUGCUCAAAUUUUAAUAUGUGAUGGUGUUGCAUAAUUAUUUCCUGGCUUGGCAUUAUCAUAAACUAUGACAGUUCCAUGGAUAAGAUUAAAUAAUAAAUCUGGUUUCAGGUCUUUAGGUAUUGAGAUUCAAAGUUUCAGACCAUGUCCAAUUUAGCCCAAGUGGGUUGGAACGGCCGAAUUAGGUUUUCUGAACUACAAGCAUUGUACUUUGGUCCAUCUUUUAAUCAUCUUAGAUUAUGAUUUGAUGAACUACAUUUGUUCAGGUAACUCAUAGUUUUUCAAGGAUGUGUAUAUUGGAUGUACUCUUGUUUUUCCUUUAAUUGGACAAAUCUUGAAUCGAUGCUUAUCUAUUAUAGAGAUGGAUUGGUUCUUAUAUGUUUACAUGUGUCUAGUUCUACUCGUUCAAACAUACUUUAUUCAUAUCUAUAUCUAGGCCGAAAGGGGAAGUUUCAUUCCAUUGACCAUAAAGUUUACCUAUGAGUAGAUUACAAAAUUUACUUUAAAGAAGAACUAAAGGAUAAAAAUGUCGUUGUUACAUAAUGGUUUGUAGAUGAUUCAUACAUCGACUAUAAAACUUGAUCUGUAGAAAUGACUGCAUGGUUGUCUUAUAGUUGUUCGACCAUUAAAUUAGAGCACACGUAUUUAAUUCUGCAGUAACUUGUAAAACUGUUAAUCAUUACAACCAUUUGCAAGUUAAGGUAAUGAAGCUUUAUCCUUCAGAAUUGAAUAUAUUGGUAGGAUUCCAUUCAAUUUGAGUUAUUUUGAAUUGUAUAUGUUUGAAUCUGGAGAGUUUUAAAUUUUCUUGUCAGCCGGUGGUGGUGGCACUCUUAUUGUUCUCUGAUCUUUUUCAUUGUUUUUCUUUCAUUACAAUGAUAGUACUAUUAGUAUUAGUAGAAUUACUGCUAUCAUGCAGUUACUAAUGUUUUGGUAAUAUGAUGAAUGCUAAACAUUCUAGGGCGUCCCAUCAUUGUCGACUUUUCCCCCGUGACGGAUUUUCGUGAAGCUACCUGUAGGCAGUACGAAGAAAAUGUAUGCAAUCGAGGUGGCUACUGCAACUUCAUGCACUUGAAGAAAAUUAGCAGGUGAGAUGGUACUUUUCUCUUAUUUUGCAAACAGCAUGAUUUUCAUAAUGACUUGUUUGUUUAUGCACGUACUUCUAUAAAUUGUUAGGGAGUUGAGGAGGCGGUUAUUUGGGAGAAACAAGCGAAGGCAUAGUCGCAGUCGAAGCAGAAGCCGCAGUCCUCAAAGGCAUCAUCGUGGUGGUUAUCAGGAGCGCCCACAUGGAGGUCGUGGUUUUGGUAGAAGAGGAGAAGAUGACAGAGAUCAUCGUUUCAAUGAUAAGAGCAGGAGGCCUAGAAGCCGCAGUCCUGGGCGUAGAGGAAGAAGUAGAAGCCCUGUGGGUGCUGGGGGAAGGAGGAGGAGUCCUCCAGCCAGGGAAAGUAGUGCCGAAAGAAGGGCUAAGAUCGAACAAUGGAACAAGGAGCGGGAACAGGUGGACUCUGGAAAUAAGUAUGAUGACAAUAAUAACAGCAACAAUCAGGAUGAUCAAUGGAAUGGUUCUGCAGAGAACAAUGAUCAGUACUACGACGACCCUCAUCAGCAGCAGCAGUAGCACGCUAGAUACAAAAUUAAUCUUCCUGCUUCCAAGAUCAAGCCUCAGUUAUUUCAAGCAGCUUACCGUGCUACUUGUAUACAAGAUGGCUGUUGUCCAAGAACUAUGUCCAUUAUCUAAUGUGAUGGGUUUUGGAGGCGGUAAGGUAAUUUUGUGAUCUUGGUGCAGGAGUCUGCUGCCUACAAUGGUGAGUUUUUAUUAUAGGAAACAUCGUAGUGUACGUGAAGUAAGAGACAUGAAUGUUUUUACUGGAAUUACAAGAUAUUUUCUGAGAUGUCUUGAUUAAGUUUUUCAAACCUCUGCUGUUAGAAUUGUUAGCGUGAUCAUUUGUUGCUGCUUUUCCUAAUUCGGGUGACUGACGGUGAUUAUAUUAUUAUUCCUGCUACUUCCUUUAUUCGAGUUUCUGUAGGAUAUGGCUCCCUAGUAGUUUAUUCCCUGCAUAUGUGUCUGUAGGCCUUUAGUGCAAUUGUAAUUCUUGCUUCGGAAGAAAUCAAAUAGCAGUGUAUUGGUUUUAUCGAAAAAUCGCAUUCUCAUCAAGUCUCAAAAGUAAUUAACAACUGGUUCUGUUUUAACCAGCUUGGAUGAGAAUUGACUGCAGUUGAUAUGGGAGGCAUUUUCUAUGUAAAAUUGUUCUGAAUUCUAUGGUUUUCGAAUUUGAGACGUUAUGAGUAACCGUUGCAUUAUUUUACAUAGGUGUUCGUUGCUUUCGUUUCUUACCGAGAUUUGGUCAUUCUCGUGUUUAGAAUUUCUGAAAACGGAGUUCAGUUAAUUGAAAGUUAGGAACAGAUGAAAAUUUCACAAUUUACCUCUCAUUGUUGCACACACCACAAGCUAAAGCUUUCUAAGUUCUGGUCACCGAAUUGAAGAUGUUGCCAACCUCACAACUUAGUUACACCGAUGAAGCCUACAUCGUACGUGUGACGGAAGAAGAUGGAUCAAAAUGUCUCCGGCCAAACGAUCAGCAAAUUCUGGGUGAUCAUUUACAGGUCUCUGUUACUUGGAAUGUCAAGAGAACUUGCUAUUCGGAAUUUGAAUGGCCAAUCAAAAAUUCAUGCAUUUGAUGGUAUAUACUAUAUGCUAAUACCAUCAUUAGAAUCGGAAUACUCGCAGCAGAAACACGUAGACGCCAUGACAUUUGAACACAUGAUAUACGAGAAAAUACCCGUUCUCGUUCCUUGGUUGCCGGGCGCUGGUUGGAGUGUUCUUCUGAAUCCGCCGGAGCCACAGACGGCUGCGCUGGUUAGAGUGUUCUUCUGUCUGCGGAUUCGGAAGAACCAUUGGCAAACGUUUUCGACAUGAUUCAGAAAAUAUGCAACAUGACGCAAGAAGUUGGACGUUCUUGUCACAUUCGACAAGCAAAUUACACUCUUUACCUCAACAAUAUGAAGCAGUGGAGCGGAGAACACUAGAGCCUAGGUGUGGUCUUUUUAAGUACUUUUCUCAAUGAACUGCAAUUUCGUUUUCGGCAAUUCUACACACGAGAUGACCAAAUCUUGGUAAGAAACGAAAGCAACGAACAGCGACGUAAAAUAACGAAUCAUAACGUCUUAAAUUCGAAAACCACAGAACUCAGAUUAAUCAACUGCAAUAAAUUCUCAUCCAUGCUGGUUAAAACAGAACCAGUUAGUAACCAAUAAUCUCCGUUUAUCUUGCUAAACCGAACUUCUUUCUUCUGGUCAAAAUCCCAAAACAUCACCAUGUAGAGGGUGGAGAAUAAUCUGCCUCUCACUUUGCAGCACUGUGCUUUGCCUUUGUAUGGCUUUGCAAUGCACCAUCCGAGUUAAACGACCUGCGUGAAGAACAGUGCAAGAAAUUACAAUUCCGUUUACGAAGAAACAGACAGUAGCAAGAGUUGAAACUUGUUCAAAAAAUGAAAUAGAAUUACCUGUUGCAGGGUUGGCAAUGGAAUGCACCGCUUGAUUUAGGAGCCUGCUGCUUUGACUGGUCGGACGUAGCUGGUUUUUUCCCAGUCUGCUUUGAAGGGUGUGGAGUUGCUGUGUGGACGCUGCCCUUCCUGCUACCUGCACUGACAAGUAGCAGUCAAUUAAACAUCUCCGCUUAUAUAAUGGUCAGACAAUCAUCUCCAUUUCAAAACGCCGCUGUGUGACAGGGAACAUGUAACAUAUUCAAUUGAAAUGAGACUACAGACAGCACCCACCACAAAAUCCAGGUUUACAAGUUAAAAUUUGGCAAAGUACAUGUUUAAAUUUAUUAAAACUUUGUAAUACGCGUCUUCCACAGCACACACGAAAAUGUUUAAAAUGGUAACAGAAUGAGAAAAAGCAUUGGAAGACAGAGAACUUUACCAAUCUUUUCAGGAGUAACAAACUUUGGCUUCUUGUCAUUAGCAGGUGUUUUAGAAGAUUCAGCAGGUCGCUUCUUGCCAACAUCAGCCUUGACAACAAAAAAGACGAAUACAUUUACUUAUCAACGAUAAUUUGAUAACGAAAACAACACAGAAGGGAUAUAAGCACUCUUGGACAUCAAAAAGUAAAGGCCUUUAUAAUAGGAGCGUUAUUACCUUCUUCGGAGUUUCUUCAUCCUCUUCACUGUCAUCGUCACUGUCAGAAUCAUCAUCACUUUCGUCAAAAUCUUUACUGCUAUCUCCCUCAGCCAAGGCCUAUAAAACAACUCAGCAAGAAGAUAUAUUCAGUACACAUUGUCUCUGGAUAAUGCCAUGCAAAAUUACAUCAACAAAGUUAAAACAAUAAUUUGUAAUAAGCCAGAAAAAAAGUUUUAAAAAUUCAGUAAUCAGUUUCAAAUGCAAGAAGUCGAUCACUCCAGAGUGUUGUAGACAUAAUAUAAUGGCACGAAUGUCAAUUCAAUUUUUUAAAUGCCAAACUUCUAGUAGUCACAUCUGGGAAAUUUCUGUACACAAGUACGCAUGCUCCAGAGCCAAUAAUUGUUUCCGAUACCCAGAAUCUAUAUUUCUAGAAUUAACACCUAAAUAAAGCUUUUUCUGUUCAUAUUUAUUAUGGAUUAAUACCGCAACUAAAUAUACCUAAAGAACAGAGAUUAUCGGAACCUUUCUAAACAAUUACAUAGAAAUUGCACGUACAAUACGUCCCAGAACACAAGUCCAAUAUCGUAUAUAACUUGGGCAAUGAACAUGUUUGUUUCAGAUGUACUUUUCUCAGUUAAUCACGGUAGGUAAAUUACUGUUAGACAUUCACAUCUGGUAAAAUAUUUCAGUUAUCGAAAGGAAAUUCAAACAGAAUUGAAAGAUGUGAAUACCUGAUGACCAACAAACUCAUCAUCAUCAUCGCUACUAGCUUCCUUUUGCUCAGAUUUAAUAGGCUUCUUAGCUACCUCAGUAACAUUAACCUUUGCUUUUCCUGCAAGCCAACUCGUUCCAAAUCACAAUAUAAAGUUAUUAAAAAGAAGAAGAAAAAGCCUCAAAUCCCAGUAAUAAAAAAUGAAUCAGUAUUAUCUUUACCCUUAUCAACCAGAGUAGGUGCCCUAAUAGGUGGUGCAUCAUCCUUUUCAGAAUCUAGAAGAAAAAACAGAUCAACAGCUUAAGAAUCAAAUGCGCUUGGAAGUUAGAACUAUGAUAAAACCAAAUAUCAGAAUGGUGACUCACCAGACUCCACAAUAGUGAAGACAAAACAUAGCAGUCAAGGAUUUAACAAAAAAUUCAAUGUUCAAGAAAGUAAUCUGAGAACAAGUAACAUGUAAGACACACCAUUUAACGUGAAACGUCAUUAAAAAAAAGGAUAUCACAUAGACUUAUAUCCAGUGAAGUGGACGCUCCCAUUUUUCCAGUUAUGGGAUAGCUCAAAUUUCUCAUCAAAUACAAUAUCAAACAUUAACUGAGGGGAUUUCUCAGCAGAAAGAAACCCAAGAACAAGCUUCAGAUCACCAACUUUUGCAAAGAGUGAAAUAGGAUCGCCUCCCUUCGCUUUCUUAAGGUCAUCCAGACAAGCCUGCAUUAUAAAAAUAAAUUUUACACAAACUUGCGCAACAUAUUAAAGGCAAAAGAAACAGAAAAAUGAAAAAUUAACAGUCACAAAAUUUUACAGCUAGCUGACUACCUGCGAAAGAUGCAGAAGCUUUUCACCAGGAUCAACAACAAGAGACUGACCACUUUUUACCUCAGCACCUGGACAUUGAGUCACUUAAGUAGUCAUUAAUAACUGCAAAUUUGAAAGUAAAGAGAAAAAAGGACAUUGAGGGAAAAAAGUAAGAGAUGCCUAUUUUGCAAUAAAAAUUAAACAAGGGAGGGAAAAAACGCAAACGAGAUUCCUGAAUCACAUCAACCCGAUGCAAAAACAAUUAUGGAAUAGAUAUCACAUUCUAUUCAAUAACUUGAAACAGAUAACAAAUCAUCCUUAACAUAUAUCACAUACAACUGUAUUCACCACAAGCACAUUGCAUUGGUUCAAAACGAAAUACAAUGAUUAUAAUUUUGUUACCAUGGCACCUUCAACAUGUACAAAGAAUUAACACGUGCAUUGCUGUAACUAAGAAGUAAGAAGCCACAUGAAGAAAAAUAACCUGGAAUCUUAAACGUUAACCAUCUCAACAAAAGAAAAUUAAAACUUAUGCUAGAGCAGAAAUGCCACGCAUGCCAAAAAUCCAAGUUAAACAUGUCAGCAACUGAAAAAACAUUUACAAACUCAGACUAAUUAUAUUUUCCAUUUAUUUUCUCGGCAAACAAACAGAGUGACUUAAGUUGUAAAUAAGCAACAAAAAGCCACAAAAAUACUUUCAAAACAUUUUAGAAAGAAACAGAAGCUAAAAAACCUAAGUCAAGCGCUGCGAAAAUUAACCACACCAGUCCUGCCAUUUUCCCUAGUUUUCUCAGCAACCAAACAGCAAAAGAAGGUACUUUCCAUUUAUUUUCUCAGCAACAAACAGAGUGGAUUAAGUUCUAAACGAAGAACAUGGAGCCAGAAUAAUUUUAAAAACAAAAAAGGGCUUAAAAACCUAAACUCAAGCGCUACAAACUUCCGAUCCACAGCAUAAAAUUUUAACCAGACUAGUACCGUCAUUUUCCAGAUUUUUCUCGGCGACCAAACAACAAAAACGUUACAAAUAAAAACGCAAAAAAUUCGUAAUGAGAAAAUAAAACCCUAACAAAUCAAACGAUCAGGGAGCGAGAGAAGUUUUCAAAAUUACAUAGAGAGACAGAGAGGAAUACCCCAAAACUCCAUUGCUUGCUAGUGCUAGGUCUUCUAGAAGGCUUUGCGGAAUUUUCAAUUUCUAAUUUUCGGUUUCUUUUUCGGUGACAAUUUUAAUCUUGAGGAAUGAGGCGGAUCAUUUUAUAUGGAGGCUCCAUCGGGUUCUUCCCUAGAGAGAUUUUAAUGUGCCCGCGUUAUUUGUACGGAUUUUUUUUUUAAAGUUUCCUUUUCCACAAUGACAUAUAGCGUAAGUUUACGUGCUCGUGUUACAAACACAUUGAAAUAAUUCUCGUUUUUACAGUGAGAUGAAGAGUGACAACGUUACACAUGUCAAAAGGUUAAGCCUCACUGGUUGAGAGAAUUUUCAAUGAGCCAAUGUCAAGCCCGAUUGUUUCGAAGAUUUUUUGAGCAUGUCUAGUUCGAUACAUCAAGUAUAAUAAUAUAAUUAAUUAAAAAUUAAAAAAAAAUUUCAUCGAAUUAUAUUAUAACAUUUGAUAUACCAAACAGUGUUUUCAACGGACAUAAAAUUUUUACCGACUGGUUCGGCAACCCAGAGGCUGAUGAGUGACCCAAUCGGGCUUAGAGGCCAAUAAAGUGCAAAUUUUUAAUUUCAUAAAAUACCCUUCUGAUCAAAUUUCAUAAAUACCUUUAUUUUCGAAAAUUAUUAUUGACACUCUAAAAAUCUCAUUUUGCACUCCAAACUUUCUAUAAUUAAAAAAAGAAACACUUCUCUCUGCAAAGAGCCUUGAUGAUUUGCAGGUGCAAGCGUUGUUUAGAAGCUGUGAAGGUUUGAGGAUGGACCAUCUGGCAAGCAUUGGCUCGGCACAGUGAGGCCUUAUAGACGAUUCACACCUUCGUUUCUCAAACUUGUCUUAUCUUACAAGUCUUCGUUUGGGGUAUGUUUCUUUGCGGCAAGAAGACCGUGAGGAGUGUAGAAUGAGAUUUUUGAAGUGCUAAUGACAAUUCCUUUAUUUCCUGAACAAACAAACUUAAAUACAAGGCUUUUGGAAGAAAAUAGUUAAAAAAUAAUACAACGAAAAUUCCAAAUUAUACAACACAUUUCCUCCAAUCGACGAGCUAAAAAAAUAGAAUUACAAAGAAUGUAAAUCCUUUGAACAAACUAAGGUCAAUUUGUAGAUUGAAUUUCUAAAUCUUCCUAACUUCUUCUGGGAUUCAUUCAACACAUUUCACAUAAAGAAUGGACGAGCAGCAGGAUCACAAUGAACUUCUAUAACGAAUCGCAAACUUCAGAUAAAUUACGCCAGUCGCCAGCUACCGAUUCUUUCUAUUUCUCUGUUUUCUUCGUUGAUUCCUUCACGUACUCCUCCUUCUCGUUCAACCACAGGUCUGCAAACUCGCAAUGCUUCCAAGCUUCAAACCACGGUCCUCCACGAGUGUAGUGUACAGCCUUGGGUUGUGUUUGGGGAUCAUUUUCAACGACCUUGUUAUGUCCCUCGAGGAAAUUCCACACAAAUGGGAUCGACCCUAUUUCAUUAUCCUCGAGCCACUGAAACCUGUGAAGAAAAGCACCCGUUUCCUUAUUCACAACCUCGGGUGUCAACACCUUGUUCUUGGGAUGCCCACAGUUAUACAAUACCAUGGAGGACCAGUUCUUCCUCGGAUACACAGUUUGAACGGCUCCAUCCAUUUUUGUUGUCUCUUUUGGAGUAUAAUCAUGUUGAACACACAUUAUAGCGUACUUAUUGUCAAUCAAGUCUCGCAGCUCCUUAAUGUCAGCAAGGUAAAGAAAAUCGCAAUCCACAAACAUUGCCCAACCUUCAUAAUUCGCCAAACGUGGAGUCAAGAACCGAGAAAAUGAAAACUCAGUGCUUUCAAAUUGCCCUCGUUCACGCCAGUAGAGGCCAUCCUUUCGCAGAUCUGAUUGUUUGAUUGGUGUGAUCUCAACAGGGAUUGAAGACCGCUUCAAAAUUGAGUGGCGACAGACCUCAUAUGCGAGAUCUUCACGUGGAUCAUAACCCACAAAGAUCUUAAAGGGAUUUUCCUUAAUGUUGCCAUUAGAACUCACUGGAUGAAUCUUCCCAUCACUCGAACUCAUCUUAGCUGAUAAGAUGGUACCUCACUGUUCAGAAUCAAAACAACACGCAGAAGAUUAUUCAGACAAUGAGUUUCAAAUAAGUAAUGAAAAUCGUCGACGGAUAUAGAAAUUUUCAUGACAUGGAAUAAACCAUGGAUUAUAUGACAAUUUCUCUAAAAUCCAAGCAGGGAAAUGGCCGAUCAUACAAAUACCGAGUUUAACUAGUCGAUUAAUUGCUGAGCAAGGAAAAGAUUAUUCCAAUUGAGAUAAGCUGCCACCAAGGUAUACAAUUCACAGAUCUGAAUCGAAAUUCAAAGACCAUAACAAAGGGAUUGUUCUUAUUUACUAGUUCGAGAUCUAAAACAUCACAAACAACAACACUAGUGUCAUGUGUUACCAAGACCCCUGUUUGGUUACCAAGAAAAUGAAGGAAAAUUGUGGAUCUUAACACUUUCUGCUGCAAUGGGUCAAUUAUUCAUUUUCCAAAAAUAUGGAAUUCUAGUUUCUGAGUCUCAAUUUGGCAAAGAUUAAGGAUCCGAGCAUUUAAUUCCUCAAUUUUCCAUCAUUUUCAAUUAAAUUAAACCAAAAACAAAAAACAAAAUUCUGGGUUCUGCGUAAUAAACCAAAAUCAAAUGCAUACAUCAAAUGCAACUUAAUCACCGUAUAUCCAAGAUCAAAGAUAUUCAUACAAGAAAUCCAGAAAACCCCAUAUUUUUGAGUUUUAGAGAAAUGCAGAAACACAGAAGCUAAAUCGUAAACGUCAUAAACCCAGAAAUACACACAAAAUUGCGGAAGCAGUACCUGGAGGUGGAAAUGGCGCAGAUCUUGCUGCAACUGCGGUGGCGGUGGCGCUUGUAUAUUCUUUUCUUUUUCUUUUCUUCAACUUUCCGGGAAAAUUUAUAUGAGAGGACUGAGAUCAGAUAUUUUCAAUUCAAUGGCACAGAAAGAGAGAGAGAAUUGAGCGGCAGCGGAGUGAGUGGCUGGGCUUUGAUUUGUGCAAAUAUAUAGGGAGGGAGAUUUACUAUCAUAUGAGACAGAGAUCAUGAGAUUCACGUUAAAUUGACCAUAUAUAUGGCCUCGACCUCGAAAAUAAUUUACAUGAAACGAGCACGAUAUUAUUGUAUCGUUGUUAAACCGACACCGAAAAAUUAUCUAAUUAUACCAAUAAAUAUGUAAAUAUGUAUUAUUCUAUUAUAAUACUACCAUAAAGAUGCAUGUAAAUCGCUCUCCUUGCUGUGGUGGCGCUUUUUUAUUGUUCGGUGCGUGGGGUUACCGCGUAUAAAUUGUCAAUGCCCAUUGCAUAUAUAUAUAUAUAUAUAUAUAUAUAUAUAUAUAUAUAUUUUUUUUUUUUUUUUUUUUGUCAAAGAGCUUCAUUGAAAAAGGAGACAAGGCUCCAAAACAAAACCAACAGACCAAGACAGCACACAGUUGAGGCCAGCACAAUUAUACUAUGUCGGUGCGCCCACAAAUCUUACUGACCUAGUUACAACGUGUGCAUUUAAAUAUAGGUAUAUUUUUGCUCAUCAUCAUUUAGUACGAUGUAUGCUCACCAUUUUAUUUAUUAUCGUUAAAUGAGUUUAAAUUUCGAGAUUCGUGUAAUGGAUAAACACAAAUCUUAAAAAUCAAACUCAUCUAACGGUAAUUUUCUAUUCAUCAUACACUCUUCAUAUAUGUGUUUUUCUUUCCAAAUAUAGAAAGUUUUACAUGUAGAAUAAAAUUUUAGAAUGUCAAUCAUAAUUUUCUAUAUAUAUUUAUAUAUAUAAUUUUGUAGUUUGGGUAAAAUAUCUAAAUAUGAAAUUAAAUAUAUAUUUUUGGAACUUGCCGUGCAGUGUUUUGGGGGGGCCCAAAAUAUAUAAUUUUAAAUAUGUGUGUGUAUAUAUAAUAUAUAUAAAUAUAUUUUAGAAUUUGAAUUUAAUAAAAUAUUUAAAUAUAAAAUCAUAUAGUUGUCUUGAAAGUUGAAACUUGGCAUACAAAAUGUCUUGGGUGGGGUGAAAUAGAAACUUCAGCAACAAUUCACCUUUUUUUUUGGAAAUUUAACGCACAGAGCAAGUCUGCGAUGGACCCAUUUGCAAUGCUUAUGAGAUCUUGAAGGUGCUUCGGUGGCGUCCAGAGACUAAUAAAAGUGAUGGUAAGUUGGGUUUUUUUCAUUGGAUUUUGUAGCUUCCAAUUGGGUGUUUGUUGUAAUUAACUAGGUGUUCUAAUAACUGGCAAUUUUUUUUACAGUGGAAGUGAUUUUGGAGGUGAAAAAUGAGUUGAUGAAGAGUAACCAAGAGAGUGAAGUUUAGGAAGAGUGGUCUGGAGAUCCAUGUGUUCCAGUUCCAUGGGAUGGUAUUACUUGUGAAUCUGUUGUUGGUUAUGUUGUCAUUACUGUAUUGUAAGUUAUUUUUUUCCAUUUUCUUAUAAGUUCUGCAAAUGGCUUUCAUGGAAUCAUGAGAAUAUGGCAUUUUUAUUGAAUUAUACUAGUUUUCAGUGUUGUGGGAUGCUUUGGGAGUGAAGUUUUAUCGGGUUUUUUCGACAAAAACGUAUUGUUAAAGACCAUAAAUCCAGAAUUGUGAUAAAUGCCUUAAAACCAUAAUAAGUUUAACAUAGAAUAUUUGAUAAUAAUUUUUAGGUUCUUGUUAAAUUACUAAAAAAGGUUUGAUUGCAAAGUAGGUAAAAGAAGACAGUUAUCAGCUUUCAGCGGAAAUUGAUAAUUCAUUAGAUUAAUUGCUUUUGCUUUCUUAGAGUUAUUUCAUAUAUAACUUUGCUCAUGAUUUCGAAUUUCAGGUAUUCUGAACAGUCAUAGUUCUGCAUGACUCAUUUUUUAUUUUGAAUCGGUUCUUCUUUCCCACUCCACUUACAGAGGUCAGGACUCAGGUACCCGAUCAAUGCUUCUCUUCUCUUAUGCUUCUUUUUCUAUAUUUAAUUUGUGAGUGUUGUGGGAUUUUCGAUUCUAGGGUUUAUGAUUUGUUUAUUUUAAUGUGUAUUGUUUAUGCGAAAUCAGAGUAUUCACUUGUCUAGUGUCUAUAUUGCAGUUAUAAAAUUCGAACUUGUGGAUGCACUUAAUAAAGUGGUUAAAUCCCUUCAAGAAGAUACAUGGAUUAUGGGUACACUUAACAAGGUUGGUUACUUUUGCUUCCUAACUAGUUUUGGUUCAAGAUAAUUCAAAGUUUUGAUGUUGAAUUUUACCAUAUUUUUUAUGCGCCUUGUUUUGUGUUGUGUCAUUUGUAUCAAACUGUUGUGUUGGGUAGUGGGUAAAAUUUGAAUUUUAGUUUUCUUCUUUAUCAAUUUGUUGUUUAUAGAAUAUUGAGUUGAUUGUUGAUUGUUGAUUGUGGGGUUGUGAUUUCUUGAUUGAAAAAGAGUUGGUUAUCAUGCCUCCUAUUAGAAAUAGUAAGCCCACUAACAGAAACAGAAAGUAUCUCUCUGGGUCUCAAAAAAGAAGAAAUAAGGAAAAGGAAGAAACAUUAAUAAAGUCUUAGGUUGGAUCUCUUAGUAAGUUUUUCAAGAAACAAGAUGAUAUUUCAGUGAAUGAGGAACAAGGGAAUCAUGACAGUAAUGGGGAGAAAGAUGAAUUCACGACUGAGAUUGAUAACGAAGAGCAAGAUGAGCAAUAUGAGCCUCUAUCUGACGAUGGUAUUAAAGAGCAAGAAGAUGAAAUUCUGAUUGAGACUGACAUUGAAGAACAUGAUUAAACUAAUGAGAACGGUAAGGAUAAUGAAAUUGUCUUUCCUUUGAAUACUGAUGAUCCAGGGAAUUGGGAUAAGAUUGAUCAAAAUCUUAGGGACAUGUUAGUGGAAAGAGGUUCUAAAAGAGUUGAUGAUGUUGCAUUUCUGAAAGAUAAUUCAGGUAGGCAUUUUUCUUCUGUACAUUACAUUAGAAAAUUGCCUAAUGGGGAGAUGCAAGAUAGGAAGUGGCUAGUAUACUCAUGUUCUUUGGAUAUAGUAUUUUGUUUUUGUUGCAAGUUAUUCAAGCAAAUUGGAAUCAAGACUUACCUGGAUAAUGAGGGUUUGAAAGAUUGGAAGAAUAUUGGUCAGAGGCUUACAACUCAUGAAACUAGCAAUGAACACAUUCACUUCAUGAGUGAAAGGAUUAAAUUGGAAAGAAGAUUUCAAAAAUGUAAAACAAUUGAUGAAAGUGUGCAACAACAAAUGAGCAAAGAGAAAGAACAUUGGAGACAAGUGUUAUGGAGGAAAAUUGUUGUUGUGAAAAGACUUGCAAAAGUUACUUUGGCAUUUCGUGGAGACAAUGAGAAGCCGUAUGAAGAGAAUAAUGGAAAUUUUUUAAAUGUGAUUGAAAUGAUUACUGAAUUUGAUCCUACAAUGCAAGAGCACAUUCGGCAUAUUGAUACACAUGAGACUCAUUACCAUUAUCUUGGUCACAAGAUUCAAAAUGAAUUGAUACAACUGUUGGCAAGUGAGGUCAAAAGUGAAAUCAUAGCAAGAAUCCGAGAAGCAAAGUAUUUUUCAACGAUACUUGGUUGCACUCCGCUUACCAGUCACAAAGAUCAAAUGUCUUUUAUAAUAAGGUGUGUGGAUGUUACAAAAACUCCAAUAAAGGUUGAAGAAUUCUUUUUAGAAUUUCUGAAUGUACAUAACUCAACAGGGUGUGCACUGUUUGAUGUGCUUUUAGGUGCAUUGAGCACUCUUAAACUUGAUGUUGAUGACACAAAGGGACAAGGUUAUGACAACGGUUCAAAUAUGAAAGGCAAAAAUAAAGGCGUGCAAAGCAGAGUACUUGAAAUAAAUCCUAGAGCAUUCUACACUCCAUGUGGCUAUCAUAGCCUUAAUCUUGCACUUUGUGAUAUGGUCAACUGUUGUCCUAAAGCUAUGUCUUUUUUUGGAGUGGUACAACGUAUAUAUACAUUGUUCUCAUCCUCAACAAAGCGAUGGAAAGUUUUUACAUAUCAUGUGCAAGGAAGUCACACCCUCAAACCGUUGUCACAAACUCGUUGGGAAAGUCAUAUUUAAAGUGUUAAACCCAUAAGAGAAAGCGCUUAACAGAUAAGAGAUGCUUUGAUUCACUUGGCAAAUUCUAGUGAAGAUCCUAAGUCAAAGAGUGAAGCCGAAUCCCUAGCAAUCCAUGAGCUGGAGAAUUUUAAGUUCUUGUUAGGUAUGGUUAUUUGCCAUGAAUUGUUGUUUGCUAUUAAUACUGUUACCAAAACUCAUAAAAAAGAAGACAUGCGUAUUGAUGUUGCUAUUGAUCAAUUGAAAGGGCUUAUAUAUAUUCUUGAUCAGUAUAGAGAAUCUGGAUUUGAAGAGGCAAUGAAUGAAGCUAAGAAAAUAGCAAGUGAGAUGGAGAUUGAGCCUAUUUUUCUUGAGAAACGCAUUGUUGAUGCACAAAACCGGAUGGUCUUGGAACAACGUAAAUCCGAUUGUGGAUCUGCAAUGAAAUGUAAAUAACACAAGAUGUAUCGUGGUUCACCCCAAGGUUUGGGCUACGUCCACACUGAUUAUGUAUUUAUUUGAGGGAAUAGAGAGGGAGAGGGUGAAAGCUUCUGAGAGCUUCUGAGGAUGAGAGAGGGGAUCUCAGGCCUAGGAAUUGGCCUCCGAGAGUGAGAGUGAGGCCCCUCCUCAAUUGUGAGGGUGAGGGGUCCUUUUAUAGAAUAAGGACUCCUCACUUAUUACAUAUUUGCCCCUUCCUUUAUCCCAUAAUUACAUUUAAGUCCCCUGAGUAUUUGUACGAGAUCUAAAUACGAGGCCCUAAAUAUGGUAUAAACAGUAGUCCCCCAAGUCUUCAGUCAAGAGAGUCUUUUGGCUGGAGACUUGAAAUUCAGUCCAUGUGUGGGCCGAAGUAACUAGAUGUCGUCUAGAACUAAUGCUUGAUAUGAGGCGGUGCCCAAUCUGAAAUGAUGCUCAACUAGAAGUAGCACAUGUUGCGAGGCCGUUCUGCUUUGUAGCUUGUGUUGCCUUGGUUGGCUCGGCUUGUGGCGUUUGAAGGUGAGGGAGUCCCUUUUAUAGAAUAAGGGCUCUCUCCUCAAUACAUAAGUGAUGGGUUAGAGUUGAUGCUCGCAGUGAGACAGUUGCUCAGUAGGCGGCGAUGCUCUCUAAUGGUGGUGAGGGAGUCCCUUUUAUAGAAUAAGGGCUCGCUCCUCAAUACAUAAAUCAUGGGUGAUCUUUCAAUGAAAGUGAGGGAGUCCCUUUUAUAGAAUAAGGGUUCGCUCCUUAAUACAUAAAUAAUGGGCUAGAGUCCCCCAAGUAUUUUUCAUGAGGCCCAGUUGAGGCCCAAUAUAUGGUACAUAAUGUAGUCCCCCAAGUCUUCGGUCAAUAGAGUCUGUUGGCUGGAGACUUCAAAUUGAAUCCAUGUAUGGGCCGAAGUGGCGGUUGUUCGGAGGCGGUAUUUGUAUACCCUGCACUGAAGCUUUGUAGGUGAAGCUUUUGUAGGUGAAGCUUUGCAAGUGAAGCUUUGAAGCUAGAGCUCUGUAAAUGAAGUCUUUGAAAGCUAGAGCUUUUGUAAAUGAAGCUUUUGAAGCUAGAGCUCUUGUGAAUGAAGCUUUUGAAGCUAGAGCUCUUGUAAAUGAAGCUUUUGAAGCUAGAGCUCUUGUGAAUGAAGCUUUUGAAGCUAGAGCUCUUGUAAAUGAAGCUUUUGAAGCUAGAGCUCUGUAAAUGAAGCUUUCGAAACUGAUUGACAUGAGUGAUGCUCAUGAAUGUUUAUGUUGAUUGACAUGAGUGAUGCUCAUGGAUGUUGACAUGAGUGAUGCUCAUGAAUGUUUAUGUAUGAUUGGAUGAGUGAUGCUCAUGAAUGUUUAUUUAUGGUUGACAUGAGUAAUGCUCAUGAAUGUUUAUGUAUGAUAAAUAUGAUUAAUGCUCAUGUAUGAUUUGAAGUAUUGGGGGUACUUUUGGUGACCUGGCUGGUGCUAUUUUGGGCUUAUGGACCUUCGCCCUCUACACAACAUUACAGCCCAUUUACUUUGGGCUUUGCCAUUUUUUUUUUUUUUUUUUUUUUUUAAAUUUUUUUUUAACCCUCUGAUGGGGUUUAUACAAAUGUUUCCGAAAGAUAAGGAAAAUAAAUUACAUCAUUCUGAUGGGAUAUUGAUUCCUCAUUUUUGCAGUGUCUCCAUGUGCAUCCCUUUUGCUUUCCUCUUUUCUGCUUUCCGAAAUAUUCUCCCAACAACAUGAUCUUUUUCUUUUCUGUUCCUUUCUUUGAUCUCUCCACCUCCAGACACACUCACUUGCUUUUACUUUUACUUUCCCUUUUCUUUCUCUUUUCCUUUUGCUUUGUCCGUCACUGCCUUUCUCUUUCAGCCUGGUUUCUGCUGUUUGAACACAAGCUGGUGUACUCCAGCUGUAAAAAAUGUAAAUAACGUAAAGAACGUGGCCUCCCACUCCAUUUCUUUGUCUUCAGAACCCCACCUCAAUGACCAUUUGCUAUCGUGGUCAAAGCAUGUUCAGAUUCACGUGUUCUGUUACUGGGCACUUCAGGUUUAAACUUCAUGGGAAAACUCAAGUACUGGGCAAAUUUCAAGUUCCCAUUGAUAAUGAUUUCUUAUCUGAACAAGAUCCAUUGCAACUAAAACCCGAAAAGAUAUUGAUCUUUCCAUUUCUCUUUUUCUUCUUGCUUUGAGACGGGGUUCUCAGUGAAGUACUCGGAGUUCCUGCCUGCUCUUUGGUUGCUUGUGCUUCUGACCACCUCAUUCUCUUUAACAGAAAUAAACGCAGCAGCGCCAACCUUAGAGAACAAAACGUAAUUUGCCGUCCUAGCCUGCCGUCAUUCCUACACUUGGCAGCGCCAAACCCUCGCCAACCCCAGCCUGGUCUUCUUCCGAGUUCCUUCUGAGUUGACCCGUUCUGUAUCAAUCGAGCCGUUCGAUUUCGCCGCCCUUUUCGUGUUGUUUUUCUUGCCGGAGCCCCGUAUCAAUCCAGGCCUUCGGACCUGGCGAGGUUCUCUGACCUGGUCGACCCGCCUGAGUCGUGCGCUGGGUGUCUGUACAAGUCACCAGGUCGGGAUCCUGUCACUGCCGAGCUCCUAUUGCAGAGGCCGACGCUGAGUUCCUCCAUCAUUUAACCAAUCCAAGCUAGAGAGACAAGACAGAGAUGAGAGAUUUGAUUCCCUGAAUCUGCCUUGCUAGAUUUGCCAGAACCAGUGCCUUUCUUGCCAGAGAUGGAGUCAUCGGAAGAGAUCAGGCGGUGCUUGUAGAUGCGGUUGGUGGGUUCUGGGAUCCGUACCCGAGAGAGAUUGGGUCGGAGCAGGUCCAUGAGGUCGAGCGUCGCUCUUUGUGCAGAAAGAAAGGGUUUUGAGAUUGGAUAGGCAAGACGAGAGAGGUGAAUUUUUCUGUAUGCUUUUGCCUUUUGAAUACAAAAGCAACAGGCAAUUCGUUUUGAAAUUUCUCUGGUAUUCUUCGUCUUGUCUCGACUCUACUGGAGUGAUGAGAGAGAAUGAGAGAGUGUGUCUUGGCAUGCCUAAUGGGCUGUUUCUAAAACUUGUUUUUGAAUGUGGUUUUGGAAAUGGAUUUUUGGGCCAUUUCUGGGUUUCUAGAGAGAGAGAGAGAAAUGGGACUGGGAUUUUGGUUUGGUGUUUAUGCAGAAUCACGGCAGAGGUGAAAAAAAAAUGAAAGAGAACCGACAUAGUUUUUUGUAUCGAUUCCCACAGACGGCGCCAAAUGUUGAUGCACAAAACCGGAUGAUCUUAGAACAACGUAAAUCCGACCGUGGAUCUGCAAUGAAAUGUAAAUAACACAAGAUGUAUCGUGGUUCACCCCAAGGUUUGGGCUACGUCCACACUGAUUAUGUAUUUAUUUGAGGGAAUAGAGAGGGAGAGGGUGAAAGCUUCUGAGAGCUUCUGAGGAUGAGAGAGGGGAUCUCAGGCCUAGGAAUUGGCCUCCGAGAGUGAGAGUGAGGCCCCUCCUCAAUUGUGAGGGUGAGGGGUCCUUUUAUAGAAUAAGGACUCCUCACUUAUUACAUAUUUGCCCCUUCCUUUAUCCCAUAAUUACAUUUAAGUCCCCUGAGUAUUUGUACGAGAUCUAAAUACGAGGCCCUAAAUAUGGUAUAAACACGCAUCAUUUGAAGAAAGAAACAAUUUGAUGAGAGUGCUAGUGAAGCGGCAACACAAUCAGCAAUUGAAGCUUUUAGAGUUGAUUACUUUAUUUAUAUAGUUGAUCAAGCUCGUACUUCACUUCAUAUCAGGUUUGAACAAUUUUAGAAAUACGAAUAAACUUUUGGGCUUUUGUUUAAUUUGAAGAAGUUAAAAGAUAUAGACAAUGAUAGCUUGAAGGGUUUUUGUAUCAAUCUUGAAGGAUGUCUUAAACAUGAUGAGCAUUCUGAUAUUGAUGGAAAAGACUUAUUUAUAGAGCUAAGAAUCUUAAGAGAAACUUUGCCGAAGGAAAUAAAUCGGGCAAUGGAAGUGCUGAAAUAUAUAAGACAAAUUAAUGGUUGUUUCCCAAAUGCAUGGGUUGCUUAUCGUAUUUUGUUAACCAUACCAGUUACAGUUGCCUCUGCAGAUAGAAGUUUCUCAAAAUUAAAGUUGAUCAAAUCGUAUCUUCGAUCAACUAUGUCACAAGAAAGAUUGAAUGAGUUAUCUAUUUUGUCAAUUGAAAAAGAAUUGGUUGAAAAGUUAGAUUAUGUAAACUUAAUUAAUACAUUUGUGUCUAAAAACGCGAGACGUGUAAUAUUUAAGUAAUGUUUGCAUAUAUUUCUUCUUUGGAUAUGAAUUCUAAUGAUUUUUGAUGUAGAAAUGAACUUUUUCAUGUAUUUAGCGAAAUCUUUUCUUAUAUAUAUAAAUGUACAAUGAGUUGGGUGUCAAAGAACUUUAGGGCCCCUACUCGAAGGCUCGCCUAGGGCCCCCAAUUUCUCAGGGCCGACCCUGAAUAUAAACCUGUUUUUUUGUUCUCAAAAUUUUUUACCAUUAACUUUUCUAAAAUAAUAUAUAUAUAUAUAUAUAUAUAUAUAUAUAUAUAUAUAUAUAUUAGUUUAUCUUAAUUAUGCACAAUCAUCUAAAGGGAAGUGUUAUUGACACUUUAAAAAUAUCAUUUUACACUCAUCAAGUGUAUAUUUCUUUCUAAAUAUAAAAAGUUUAGAGUGUAGAAUGAGAAAUUUAGAAUACCAAUAACAAUUCUGUUAAAGCGUAAAAAUUUCAUAAUUAACACUUACCAAUUAUACUCCUACCUCUUGCUACACGUAAUAAAUACACUUCAAUUUUUUACUACACACACACGAAACAUGCUAAACAUACUCCAAGCACUUAUACACACACAUCAUUAAGGUCUAAUUAUCUAACGCACAUCAUUCCGCUCUUUGAGCUAUCAUCUUCAUUUGUCACUAUCAGUAUAUUUUAGAUACCUUUAUUUGUAAAUUAAAUGUUUCAGUUUUGACUAAUAUAAAUAAUGAGUUAUGAAUGGUGAGAGAUUUGAUUUCGAUCCACAGAACCCAAAACCUAAUUAUUAUGUCCAACUCAUUAUUUAACUUAAAUAUCUCAUUCUUUCUCAGCCUUACACGCGCAUGAGAUGCUUUCAUUCUUACAUCCAUUGGGUGCUUUCUUUCGCUUUUCCUUUUUUUUUUUUACUUAUUGUAUUUUUAUCCAUGAUUAUUUAGUCUAGUAACAAUGUGACACACUAUAAUAUUACAAUAUUAUGUUAGCAAUAUUGAAUUUAAAUUUCAUGGUAGCUGGAGGAGAUUCUCUCUUGAAAUCAAGAGGAAAUUGUUGUAAUAGUUCCUCAACUUUACUCAAUUGGAGCAAUGGUUCCUCAACUAAAAAGGCAUGAUCAUUAGUCCUUAACUCUUUAAAACGUGCAGCUAUGGUCAUUUUCAUCUACUCCAUCUGAACUUCUAUCAAACAAGUUAUGUUGGAAGAAUCAUUGUUACAAUUGGAUUAAAGUUAAAGGGACCAUUGCUCCAAUUGGGUUAAAGUUGAGAGACCAUUUCUCAAAUUACAUUAAAAUUGAGGUAAUUUUGUCAGAAGUUUUAACGGAAGGCCUAAUCGGAUAAAUGGUCCCCGCGGUCAUAAGGUAUUCGGAUGAUAGCCUCUGUGGUAAAAAAAUUCGGAUUUAAACUCAUGUGGUCACAGUCUGUUAGGAUUUAAACCCUUGUGAUAUAAGUCUGUUAGGAUUUAUGCCCUUCUGUCAUUCCUCCAUUAGGUUUAGGUUGGCCAAAUCGGAUAAAUGGUCCCCGUGGUUAUAAGGAAUUUGGAAGAUAGCCCCUGUGGUAGAAAAAAUUCGGAUUUAAACCCCUGUGGUCUAAGUUUAUUAGGAUUUAUGCCUGAAAUUAGAGGUUCUGUCAUUCCUUCGUUAAGCUUACAGGUGGAGCAGAGUUUCUUUGAGGAGACGCGACAGAACGAGGUGGAACUAAUAAAUCACAUAAUUCAUUAAAAUUCAAGAUCUAAUAUAUCAAAUAAUUCAAAAUACCUUUAUAAAAAUUAGCGAGUUUUUGACUCCCGAAUGUCCAACCGAUUAAUUAAUUCUUUAUAACAUAUUCUAUUUUUCUUUGACAAAUAAGAGUAACGUUGACGUUUUCCCAGAAUUUUACGUAAACACCUUGAGAUAAAUAGUUUUUUUUUUUUGUGUAAUUGUAAAUGUGAAGUAAGUCUUCAUAUCCUAUUGGUGAAACUAACUAUUUGAAAUUCAACAGAUCUUCUGUUUUCGUCUUUUUCUUCUUGUGAAAUAACUGAGAUGAAUGAAUUUUUUUACCAUAAACUGAAAUCUUCUCUCCCCCUCUUUUUUAUUGUAAGAUAUUUUUUUAUUGAUAGAUACUCAGAGAAACUCUGCUCCACCUAUAAGCUUAACGAAGGAAUGACAGAACCUCUAAUUUCAGGCAUAAAUCCUAAUAGACUUAGACCACAGGGGUUUAAAUCCAAAUUUUUUCUACCACAGAGGCUAUCUUCUAAAUUCCUUAUGACCACGGGGACCAUUUAUCCGAUUUGGCCAACCUAAACCUAAUGGAGGAAUGACAGAAUGGCAUAAAUCCUAACAGACUUAGACCACAGGGGUUUAAAUCCUAACAGACUGUGACCACAGGGGUUUAAAUUUGAAUUUUUUUACCACAGGGGCUAUCAUCCGAAUACCUUAUGACCACGGGGACCAUUUAUCCGAUUAGGCCUUAACGGAAUUAACGAAAAUGACCAUAACUGCACUUUUUGAUGAGUUAAGGACCAAAUGGUCAUAGAUUUUUAAUUUAUGGACUAUUGCUCCAAUUGGGCAAAGUUAAAAGACGAUUGCUACAAUUUUCUCUGAAAUCAAUGCGUAAUCUCAGUAUCGAUCUAAAAACAAACAAGAAUACAUUUUAAUAUAUAUAUAUAUAUAUAUAUAUAUAUAUAUAUAUAUAUAUAUAUAUAUAUAUAUAUUGAUUAAAUCUUGAUCUCGACCCACCAUAUCGGCUGAUGUUGAUUAAGAAAAAUAAUUCCUACUUGGUUCUAAUGAUUUGUGUGACUAUGCCAAUUCAUGAAGGUGGACACUUGAUUUUCUGGCUGGACGGUCAAAGUUGAUUUUAAUUGUUCCAUCAAAAUAUUGCUCUAUGUUGUCUAGAUUGACUAAACUAUUUUGGAUACAACUGGCUUGCUUUCAUUAAUCAAACACCAAUCUGAAGGCAAACUGAUAUCUGAUCACCUAAUAGUUAUGGGUAUUUUGAUGUUGGCAUUUUCUUGAUUAGUUUGGAUUAGGAGUGUAUGGUCUCUAUGACUUUAACUAAGGCAUGGAAAUUCAUGUUUGUCCCUAUGACUUUAUAGUAGACUCUAAAAUUUAAAGCUAAUGGUUGGACUCUUUCAAGGACUUGGUAACAUGAAGUUUUUAUGUUUUAUGUGAAUGCUUUCAGUAUGUGGCGGUCUGAAAGACUUAUUGUGAGAUUUGGGAAACAAUCAAAAUGAAUUGGUCCGUUGUAAAGAUUUGACUCAAUCAUUCCAAGAAUGCUAUCACUAAAGUCAGUGAAUCUUGCAUCUCAGAGACAUAAUAAAAUAAAGGUAUUGAUGCGUCUUCUUGUUAAGGGCUUGAUUACUAUUUGGACUAGACCUAUGUGAAUGUAAUUGUAACCAUCUUUUCUAUGAGUUUUGAUUUGUUCUGGUGUGAAUAAUUGACAAGUUUCAUGUUCUUUACUAAGAGCAUAAGUUUUUUCAAUGUUUUGACUUGGUGUUCACUUCUAAAAGAGGGUACUGACCUUUUUUUUUGUAAAUGUUUUUACUAGAAACCUUGGGGAUAUUCCAAUCUCUAAAGUCGACACUGUCAUUUGUUUGAAAUUCUAAUUUCUGUUCUUCAUUUACUAUGUUUGGAAUUCUACUUAAACUGGAUCUGAAGCUAGUGCUGGCAGUUGAAUUAGAUCUAAAUAAUCUAUUCAUAUUGCUCAAAAUGCAGGUUUUCAAUAUACAUAAAUCUUACUGGCUAUUACCUUCCUCGCGUAUUUGCUAAACUCCCACUCCGCUCAUACCAAUCCUAUGGACUUAUUGUUUGGAACGCGUCUUACUGUUUGGGUUGAAAUUAAACAAUCCUACUUAGAAGGUUAACAAAUAAGAUAAGCUGUAAAUGAAAAACUGAAAGAUGAACAAAUGUAGUGAUUAUAAAGAUGAUAACUCAAUUACCACUCACUUGGCUUUGAUACCAAAUGAGGUGGAAGAUUUAAUGAUAAUAACGAUAAGGACAAUUAAACCAAGGGCAAUGAUGAUUAGAAUUGAAUUAACUGAUUUCUGUAUAUUGAAAACCUGCAUUUUGAGCAAUAUUAGUAGAUAAUUUAGAUCUAAUUCAACUGCUAGCACUAGCUCCUGUUUGUACCAUACUUGGCCAAUCCCGAAACUACUGAGGACCCAUCAACAUUAUACCUUCAAGGACCCAUAAGAGUUUCCCUCAAACCAGGAGGCCAAUCACAGCGUGACAUGUGUCGACAUCAGAAGCCAAUCAUAGCGCGACACGUGUCAACAUUAGGAGCCAAUCACAACACGACACGUGUCAAUGUCAAAACAAAGCUAGAAACUCUCUUCUAUAAAAGGAGAUCAUUCUCCCACAAUAUUUCCUAAUGUCAUUUGUACUAAAUCAUUCACUAGUACUCACUAAAGGAGAGCUUGAACCUAUGUACUUGUGUAAACCCUUCACAAUUAAUGAGAACUCUUCUACUCCGUGGACAUAGCCAAUCUGGGUGAACCACGUACAUUUUGUGUUUGCUUCCCUAUCCCUAUCCAUUUGCAUACUUAUCCACACUAGUGACUGGAGCAAUCUAGCGAAUGUAAAAAACUUGACACUUUCUGUUGUACCAAAGUCCUCACUGAUUUUGUGCAUCAACAGCUCCAACUCCAGUUUAAGUACAAUUCCACACAUAGUAAAUGAAGAACAGAAAUUAGAAUUUCAAACAGAUGACAAUGUCGACUUUGGAGAUUGGAAUAUCUCCAAGGUUUCUAGUAAAAACAUUUACAAAAAGAAAUGGUUAGUAGCCUCUUUUAGAAGUGAACACCACGUCAAAACAAUUGAAAAAGCUUAUGCUCUUAGUAAAGAACAUGAAACUUGUCAAUUAUUCACACCAGAACAAAUCAAAACUCAUAGAAAAGAUGGUUACAAUUAAAAUCACAUAGGUUUAGUCCAAAUAGCAGCCAAGCCCUUAACAAGAAGAUGCCUCAAUACCUUUAUUUUGUUAUGUCUCUGAGAUGCAAGAUUAAGUGACUUUAGUGAUACCAUUCUUGGAAUGAUUGAGUCAAGUCUUUACAACGGACCAAUUCAUUUUGAUUGUUUCCCAGAUCUCAUAAUAAGUUUUUCAGACCCCCACAUGCUGAAAACACUCACAUUAAACAUAAAAACUUCAGGGUACCAUGUCCUUGAAGGAGUCCAACCAUUAGUUUUAAUUUUCAGAGUCUACUAAAGUCACAGGGACAAACAUGAAUUUCUAAGCCUUAGUUAAAAGUCCUAGAGACCAUACACUCAUAAUCCAAACUAAUCAAGAAAAUGCCAACAUAAAAAAACCCAGAACUAUUAGGUGGUCAUAUAUCAGCUUACCUUCAGAUUGGUGUUUGGUUAAUGAAAGCAAGCCAGUUGGUAUCCAAAAUAGUUUAGUCAAUCUAGACAACAUAUAACAAUAUUUUAAUGGAACAGUUAAAAUCAACUUUGACUGUCCAGUCAUAAAAUCAAGUGACCACCUUCAUGAAUUAGCCCAAUCACACAAAUCAUUAGAACCAAGUAGGAAUUCUUUUUCUGGAUUAACAUCAACCGAUAUGGUGGGUUGAGAUCAAAAUUUAAUCAAUUCCUUAGUCAAUAGAAAAUUAAAGGCAGUAGAAACUAGCAUAGCAGUCACCCAACAAGAAUUAAUCAAUGACCUGAUUAACAUAAAACUAAACUCAAUAGAAACAGCCUCUCAGGUGACUCACCUAAGAUAUCAACCCAAUACUCAAAAUCAAGGAGAACAAAUCUCUCCAACAGAAUCCGACUUCGAAGCAAGUCAAAUCAACCAUCAAUUAUUCGUAUUAAACAAACCAUUCAAAAUUCGAUAGAAGAAACUCAAUGUUGACAUCGAAGCAACAGAAAAUAUUCUCAGAAGGAAUAUUUUUUGAAAUAAAUAUACAAAAGAACAAAAAUUGGACAUUUACAAUAAAUGGACUAAUUUCUUGAAAAAGCACAUAUUUGAAAUAUUUUUCUUCGAUUUCGUUGAAAAAUAUUACGAGUCUAAAGUAAGUUAGAAGUCAUCACCAAAGAAAAUUAGGUUAAAGAAAACAAAACCAUAGUCUCUUCUAGUCACCCUCCACAAGAAACAAUUUUAAUUACAACUGCAAACACACAAGUACCAGCCACUCCUUUCAAACUUUCAAAAGAAGAUGUAGGAGUCAAGCCAGUCAUCGAACAAUUAGACAAAAUUGAAACCAAAAUAAAUAGACUUUCUCAACCAAAACCAACAAUUAGGAAAACCCCUUAGUCAACUUCCCAGAGCUAGUUUCAGAAUAUCAUGAACGAAAUAUUUAAUCAAUACAACCAUUUCUCAAUUGUUUAUAUUAACGAUGUUCUCAUGUAUUCCAAAUCGAUAGAUAAAUAUUGGAAACACUUAAACAUGUUUGCUAGGAUUAUUAAGUCGAAUGGAUUAGUUAUCUCAGCAACCAAAAUUAAGUUAUUCCAAACCAAAAUUAGGUUUUUAGGAUACAAUAUCCACUAGUCAACCAUUCAACCAAUAGAUAGAGUAAUUCAAUUUGCAGAUAAGUUUCCAAAUGAAAUCACUGACAAAACCUAAUUACAGAGAUUUCUAGGAUCUUUAAAUUAUGUUACAGAAUUUUAUCCACAUCUUAGACAACAAUACAAACCCUUGUUUGAUUGUCUAAAAGAAAAUCCCUCAUCAUGGUCCAAUACUCAUACUUCCAUAGUUAAACAAAUCAAAUCACAUGUUAAGACUUUAACCUGUCUUGACAUUCCAACUCUUAAUUCCGUUAAAAUUGUUGAAACUGAUGUCUCUGAAAUUGGUUACGGGGGUAUUCUCAAACAAUCAAUUUCUUCCGGAUCUCCUGAACAAAUUGUUCAUUUCCAUUCAGGAAUAUGAAAUCCAGCACAAAAUAAUUAUAAUACUAUUAAGAAAGAAAUACUAUCUAUAGUAUUAUGUAUUAGUAAAUUUCAAGAUGAUUUAUUAAAUCAAAAGUUUUUAAUCAGAGUCGAUUGCAAAUCUGCAAAACAUGUUUUACAAAAAGAUGUUCAAAAUAUUGCAUCAAAUCAGAUUUUUGCACGAUGGCAAACUAUUUUAAGUUUUUAUUUUAUUUUGAAAUUAAAUACAUCAAAGGUAGUCAAAAUUGCAUCCCUGAUUUCCUAACCAGAGAAUUUAUGCAGGGAAUGAAUGACAGCAAGAAUACUUGAUCAGAUGAGGCUUUCAUCCACUCUACCACCACCAUCAGUCAAACAAGAAUCAAGCCUAGAUUCUUCAUUGGCCUUAGCCAUUUACAACCGAUUCACUCUUUUAGGUUCAAUAAUAGGAAACCUUAAACCAAACUACCAAUCACCACGUCCCAAUUAUCAAACGACAUUAGCUAGUCAAUAUGAUCCUUAUUCAACCCCAACACACCAAUCAUCAUCAUCCCAACCAGUCAGUUAUACCAAAACAUCACCAUAUGUCAAGAAAAACCCCAUUGAAUAUCUUUUUAGUAUCCAUUUCAAUCUCAAUCAAGAACAAGCACCAGAAAAAUUAGCCAAAACUAUCUUUCCACCUAAUUUCCAUUAUCAUCCUACAAAGCCACAUAAAACAGUUAAAUACUAUCAAGCCAUCCGUAGCGAAAUUGAGUCCAUUUCAAUCAAACAUCUUUACAAAAAAACCCAUAAAAACAAAAUCCUCUACCAUUAUUUUUACAUUGGAAGGUUUCUAACCGAAUCAAAUUAGAGAAUCCCCCUUUACAAAACCAAACCUCUUCAUACCCAAUAUGUCCACAUUCCUAAUAACCAUUACAAUUACUUUUGUUUGUACCAUACUUGAUCAAUCCCGAAACUACUGAGCACUAGUCAAUGUUAUAUCGUCAAUGACCCAUAAGAGUUUCCCUCAAACCAGGAGGCCAAUCACAGCGCGACACGUGUCGACAUCAGAAGCCAAACAUAGUGCGACACGUGUCAACAUCAGAAGCCAAUCACAACCCGACAUGUGUCAAUGUCAAAACAAAGCUAGAAACUCUCUUCUAUAAAAGGAGAUCAUUCUCCCACAAUAUUUCCUAAUGUCAUUUGUACCAAAUCAUUCACUAGUACUCACUAAAGGAGAGCUUAAACCUAUGUACUUGUGUAAACCUUUCACAAUUAAUAAGAACUCCUCUACUCCGUGAACGUAGCCAAUCUGGGUGAACCACGUACAUUUUGUGUUUGUUUCCCUGUCUCUAUCGAUCUACAUACUUAUCCACACUAGUGACCAGAGCAAUCUAACGAAUGUCACAAACUUAACACUUUUUGUUGUACCAAAGUCCUCACUGAUUUUGUGCAUCAACAUUUGGCGCCGUAUGUGGGAAAGACACUUAUUCCCACUCUCUUCAGAUUUGUUAAGCUGGUUUCCACCAUUCGUACACUCUCUUUUGACUAGGCAUCCCUUUUCCAACAUGGGGAGCAAAGGAAUCCACAACACACAGAAUGACACCUCUCUUGUACCUGGUGCGAAGCAACGAAAGAAAGAACAAAAGAAGUUUGCUCUUCAGGCUAAAGUCGAUGAGUUGGAGGCUCAGAACAAUAAGAUAACGAUGAAGAAUGCGAUCAUCUAAGAAUAGUAUGAGAAGGCCUUCGAGAUGUUCCACGAGGCUAGAUAUACUAAAACACACGAGCUCAUCACCCAUGUGGAAGUCAACCAUCAACUGGGUGCCCCCCAAUGCGGAUGGUCAUUUGCCCUCGACAUGGGUAUUCCUGUUGAAGAGCGAGCUACUCAUCGAAAUGGCAACCAACAUGAGACUUCUCUCAACCCAGUUGCUUCGACUCGAAGCAGGAGGAGUGGAGGAAGACACCUCCUUACAGAAUAAGUAGAAGGAUCGAAAGCCGUCUUUCGCAACUGUCGAGACUUUCUAAAGCAACAUCGAGACAAUCCCAUCCAUGUAAGCUUGAAGAUCAAUGACCCAAGGGUCUCUGAAAGACUCGGUCUCCUCCCAUGUCCCAGGCCGACUACCAAUUUGGGGAAGGGGAACAAGUCCUAGAGAAACACGAAGGUAUAGGGGACUCAGAGAUGUUCCAACAAACAUACCUUGGAAGUCAGUACGGCGAGUCUAGGGAAAAAUCACAUGCUCUUGAUCAAACCUUCCUACUUCCAAGAGGAGAUGGAGAUUUACGAAAGAAAGCUUUAGUGGUACAUGACUCCACUCAGGACCCUCUUAUCCUACAACUCCUUAAGGAAGUAACAAGUUGAAGGCCGAACGACAAGCUGAGAUACCUGAUUGGAACCAACCUAGGCCUGACCCUCUUACAAGGAGGAUCAUCGACGCCUUCUCCAAGCAAAGACAAAACAGAAGCUUGGCUUGCAACUCUAUACUGGAAAGGAGGACCCGAUUGAACACCUUAACCUUUUUUAGUCCACCAUGGCAUACCGGAUGCACACCGACAAAGAGUGAUGUAUUCUCUUCCUCUCUACCCUUUCUGGCAGAGCUCUAAAUUGGUAUUGCUGUCUUCCACCUGAGACGGUAGACUCAUUUGAGGAAUUGAGGAAACUGUUUGUUUCUCAACAUAUUUUCCAGACUGAUCGCUUACACUCUGCGAAUGACUUGUACACUAUUUUCCAGAAGCCAGAUGAGUCAUUAUGUAUGUAUACUGACUGCUUCAGCCAUGAGUAUUCUCAUUGUGCCAAGCCAGACGACAAGACUGCCCUCAAAGCCUUCACUGCAGGCCUACGUGACUGUUUAUUUAAGUACAUAAUUAAUGACAACACUUGGAAAACUUACUCUGAGGUGAUGGCACAGACUUACAACAAUGCCUCUGCCGAGGCAAAGACAUAUCAAGGGAAACCCCCCACAGCCACACCUUAUCAGCAAGUAGGAAGUGGAAGCCAGAUCCAACCAAAUGAGAAGACCUCGACCUUCCAAACGGCAGCGGUGCCUCCCUCUACCUUACUUAAUACUUCGCCAAGUCAACAGACAUAUCAAUCUCAAGGCAAAAGGAAAGAUUUCCAUCUUCACUAGUCUUAUUUUAGUAAAAGGAGUAAGGGACACUAUCGCGAUAACCAAGGGUAUCGCCACGAUAAUGCCCACCCCCAGGCAGUCAACACAGUGGGCUAAGAACGUGUCAGGACAUUCCCUACCCCGAGGUAUGAGACAUACACACCUUUGGACGCCACAUGCGUGGCCAUCUACCCUAGCAUAACAUACCUGAUACCGAAGCUAAUGUCGAGGCAGUCGGGUUACAAGCCCACAAAGAACACGGGCACAUUUUGCUGCUACCACGAGCAUAACGGCCAUGACAGCGAGAAAUGUAUCACCCUUCGUGAUCAUAUUGAAGCUUUGGCGCGUGAAGGAAAAAUUGAUCGAUUCCUCUUUCACCCUUCAAGGGAUAACCGUAACCAAAGCCAAGUGAAUGUGAUAUAUUUCAUAAGCGGUGGCACACCCAUAUCUGAAUCUUCCAAUAGGGCCACGAAAAACAGCGAACGAGCUUUAAGGCCUGGCCACCAAGUGUUUCACGUGGAAGACAUCAGGGGAUGAAAGUAUCAAAAGCCUAACUGUGAUCCAAUAUGCUUCUACCCAGAGGAAGAAAGAGGUAUUAUCUACCCUCACAACGACUCACUGAUCGUGGAGGCUCAUAUAGCCAAUUUUGAAGUACGACGAAUCCUGGUAGACAUGGGGGUUUCGGUCAAUAUCAUGUUUGUUGAAGCUUUCAGAGCACUUAAUGUAGCUGAACACUUGCUCGAUUGCUCGAUUUCUCUUCUGAUAAGCUUUUCCGAUGAUAUCGUGCAACCUUUAGGGAGCAUACACUUACCUUUCACCAUUGGUACAGGCCCUUACACAGCUACCAUUACCACUAACUUCCUGGUGGUUGAUUGCCCAACGGCAUACAAUGUCAUCUUCGGACGCAUAGGCAUCGAUGAUCUCAAGGCCAUGGUAUCCACACAUAUGUUGUUGAUGAAAUUUCCAACCCCUAUGGCAAUGGUUACAUAAGAGAAUAUCAACUUAGUGCACAAUCAUGUUACAACACUUCGGUUAAGCAACAUCACCUGACUGUGCCCAAGGAAACUCUUUCUAUACAUGACCAAGUCAUAAAGACCAGCCCAGACGAAGCCAACUUGGAUCUUCACGAUGGCAACAGUCAACCCGACGAUCCUCGAGACAACUCUUUCACCUAACAAGCACAACCCGCUGAAGAGUUAGAGAAGUUUUCUAUCUCAAAAGAUUAUCCAGAUCGCAUGGUGAAGAUUGGCACCAUCUUGUCACCACCCAUUCGGUUGACAUUGAUCUCUUUUUUGCAAGAGAAUACUGAGGUCUUCGCCUGGUCAUACAAGGACAUGCCAGGCAUCUAUUCCGAUAUCAUAUGUCAUCGCUUGAGUAUUAACCCCAAGACCAAGCCGGUGAGUCAGAAGUGAAGAUCUUAUGACGCUCAACGAUAUGAAGCAAUGAAGGCAAAAGUUGAAAAACUCAAAGGCAUAUGCUUCGUCCGUGAAGUCAAUUAUCUAACGUGGGUAGCAAAUGUUGUCUUUGUUAAGAAGAAUCCGACCAAGGAAAGUCUCAAGCUUUCAAAGGUCUUGUGAAAAAUGUGUGUCGAUUACAUCGACCUAAAAAAUGAUGCCCAAAUGAUAGCUUUCCUCUUCCUUUCAUAGACAGACUUAUAGACUCUACGGCAAGGUGUCAACUAGGGGAGCACUUAUGCCCAACAAGAGUUAUAGUCACCAACAAAGUCUUAUUGCAAGCCAACAACAACUUCAGUGCAUGGCAUACGAAGAUCAAGCUAUUCAGCCCUUUUACAUCUACUUCAGAUAUUUCUCCUCUGUAAAAAUGCAAACACUACAACUCGUAGAAAGCUUCACACACUUUUGAUCAAGAUAGUGUGAAGCAAAACCAAUUUAUGAAGCCAACAAGAGCUUCAUCAAAGGAGUUCAACCACAAUUCUCAAAAGCUUCACACACUCUUGAUCAAGAUAAUGUGAAGCAAAACCAAUUUAUGGUAACAACAAGAGCUUCAUCAAAGGAGUUCAACCACAAUUCUCAAAAGCUUCACACACUCUUGAUUAAGACAGUGUGAAGCAAAACCAAUUUAUGGUGCCAACAAGAGCUUCAUCAAUGGAGGGCAACCACAAUUCUCAAAAGCUUCACACACUCUUGAUCAAGACAAUGUGAAACAAAACCAAUUUAUGGUGCCAACAAAAGUUUCAUCAAUGAAGGGCAACUACAACUCGUAGAAAGCUUUACACACUCUUGAUCAAAACUGUUCGAAGCAAAUUCAAUUUAUAUGGUUCAUACAAACCUUUGACUACUACAAGGUGUGGCUUGCAUCGCAAUCUCUUGCUCAACAGUGUGGAAGCAAAAUUUGUAUAUGUUGUCUCUCCCACAUUUUCAAAUUUCUAGUUUCCAAAAAAAAAAAACAAAAAAAAAGGAAAUUGGGAAAUUCAACGAAUUUCUAGUUUCCCAAAAACAAAAAAAACAAAAAAAAAAGGGAAAUUCAACAAAUUUCUAGUUUUCCAAAAAAAAAAAAGGAAAUUCAACAAAGCUUCAUUAAUGGAAGACAACUACAAAUUCUCAGAAGCUACACACUAUCUUGAUCAAGAUAGUGUGAAGCAAAAUUAAUUCGUGGUACCUAACAAAGCUUCACCAACAAAAGUUUCAUCAAUGGAGGACAACUACAAAUUCUCAAAAGCUUUACACUAUCUUGAUCAAGAUAGUGUGUAGCAAAAUCAAUUCAUGGUACCAAACAAAAGCUUCAACUCCAAAGCUUCACCUACAAAAGCUUCAACACAAUAGCUUCACCCUUAAAAGCUUCACCCACAAAAGCUUCACCCACCACAAAAGCUUCACCCAUAAAAGCUUCACCAACAAAUGCUUCAUCCAUAAAAGCUUCACCCAUAAAAAAUUCACCCACAAAAGCUUCACCUACCACAAAAGCUUCAUCCACAAAAGCUUCACACUAUCUUGAUCAAGAUAGUGUGAAGCAAAAUCAAUUCAUGGUACCCAACAAAGCUUCAACCUGAAAGCUUCACCUACAAAGCUUCAACACCAAACCUUCACCUACAAAGCUUUAAAAAUAUAUAUAUAUAUAUAUAUAUUUUUUUUUUUUUUCAAAAAUUUGAAAAUUCGAAAAAAAAAAAAUUUGCCUAGGCCUCAUCUUCUUUGGGCCUAACAACUUUCAUAACAAAUAUAUAUGAAGAAGGAGUUUUGGGUUAUCACUUAGAAAGGAAAUGCCUCAUUCGUCAACUCCCUCGAUCGGAGACUUGGGGGACUCCUACCAUAUGCUACUGCACAUUGAUAUUCGGAAGUCUCACGACCACUCAGUGACUUGGAUUUUUUAAGUCUCCAACCGAGAAGUUUUCCUCACUCGGGAAAUUAAGGGAGCACUACCUCAACAUACAUGCUUCACUCACAAAGCUUCAACAAAAGAAAAAAAUUCAAAGAACUUAGUGAAGAAUGCCUUGGUGUAUUUCACACAAUACGUAAUGAAGCAAAGCUUGUUUAUUGAUAUCUCUGAUAAGUUACAAAUAUGUACACAUACAUGAAUCAAAAUAAACAAACAAGAUGGAGCCUUCACAAAGGUUGCUCAGGAUAAGUCUCAGCAGUCUGCAGAGCUCCAGAAAGAGAAGGCACCGGAGGAUGAUUAUUCGGAGCCUCAGUACUGGGUAGAACCCCAGAAGGAGAAGGCACCGAAGGUUGAUCAUUUGGAGCUUCAUUACGCGGUACAACCUCAGAAGACGAAGGCAAUAAAUGCCUUUGGAACAAACCCACAAACCUCUGAUGAUCAAGUAAAAUCUGACCAUCAGAUUCCUGCAGCUGGUCGAGAUUCCUCUUCAUGUUCGUAGCAUAAUUAUGUGCGAGCCUCUGCAACUGUUUAUUCUCAUGCUUGAGCCAUAUGAUCUCCUGUUUGAGACUUAUCACUUCAGCCGCUAAUGAUUCAACUUGGCGGCUGAAGUGAUAAGUCUCAAACAGGCGGGUUCGAGCAAAUAGGCGUUGGGCUAUAUUAGACACAGAACCUGCACACUGAACACUGAGAGCCAGAGAAUCCUUAACAGCCAACUCAUCAGACCGUUUGGAAUGUAGUAUGUUAUCUUUGGGAGUGAGAAAGUUCUUGGUCACCAUCGCAGCGAUCAUAUCAUUCUUCAUCACAGAGUCCCCAACGGUAAGAGGACCAGUAGGGGAUAAGAAGAAUGGGUGCCAUAUGUUGUCUUGAGAAGGCAUGACUGCCUCUUCAUCAAAGUUCAAGUCAAAAUGACGGUCGGAUGGGCCAGACAUUCUCAGAAAUGAUGAAGGAGAAAUGAGGUGUAAUAAAUCUCUGAAGUACAAAAAUAAAGGGAAAAUUCUUGUAGGCAAUAACUCUCUGAACGUACUUCUUGCACACAAUUGGUGCCCCUAUAAAAGAAAGGGCAACAUGGCCGUUGGUUCAAAAAUCGAAGAGGCACCAUUCUCUGGAUUUCGAGAAGAAACUUUUCCUGAGUAAAAUAUGUCGACAAUCCCACACGCAACAUCAGCUCCUCGGGUACCACAGAUAACUUUGCCAAAGAUCUCUGACAAAGUUUAGACAAAUAAAUUUUGAAGGUCCAGCUACCCUACUAUUACCCACAAGGGUAAAGGAACAGCACCACUGCUUGAUAACUGGAAAGUCCCUAUGUGUGUCAACCUCCGUGCUCCGUGGCAAGACAAACUGGCAAAAAUGCCCAACCUUUACUCACAUUCGAGAAAACACUCCCAACAAGAUUGUUUGCUCAAAUAUCGAAGAGGUACCGCCCUCCGAAUCUCGAGAGCCAAACUCCUAACAGGAUUACUUGCUUAAAAAUCGAAGAGGCACCGUUCUCUGAAUCUCGAGAGCCAGACUCCCAACAGGAUUACUUGCUCAAAAAUCGAAGAGGCACCCUUCUCCGAAUCUCGAGAGCCAGACUCCCAACAUGAUUGUUUUCUAAAAAAUCGAAGAAGCACCGCUCUCCAAAUCUCGAGAGUCAGACUCCCAACAUGAUUGCUUUCUAAAAAAUUGAAGAGGCACUGUUAUCCGAAUCUUGAGAGCCGACAUGAUUGCUUGUUUGAAAACCGAAGAGGCACCGCUCUUCGAACUUCGAGAGCCAGAUUUCCUUGGAUAAAGCUUGUCUGCAAUCUUCACACGCAACAUCAGCUUUCCAGAUACCAUAGACCACUUUUUCAAAGUGCUCUGACAAAGUUAAAACACGUGAAUCUUACAGCUCCCACUACAUUGUUAUGACCGAGAAGGGUAAAGGAACAACGUUACCACUCGUUUUUGGGACAAUUCCUAUAUAUGUCAACCUUCAUCCUCCACAGCCAAGCAGACCUGCAAAUAAAAAAAAUGCUCAACUUUUCUUCACAUCCGAGAGGGCACUCUCAGCAGAGUCUCUAAAAUACUCAGCUUCUUUUCCCUCCGAUAAUACCUCUGCAAACAAGCCACACCAGAGCAAGAGUAUCUCAUAUCAUCAGGGUUAAAAGCAAGAGUAUCCCAUAUCAUGCUUUUUCCAUGUCUUUUCCUUUGGCCUUGUUCUUACCUGCAAGACAAGGAGAAAGAGAGCAAUCAAUCAUUACUUGGACUCAAGCUUCCAGUCAGGAACUGACUGCCUGGAACCCCUUGCUUGAUUACUUACCUGGUAUUACUCUCGAGUACUCAUAUUCAACAUCUUAUGUUUUUAGAGAAGAUACCACAUCUGUCUGAGGAACAGAUAAGGCAAGUGAGAAAGAUACAAGGAAGCAUGUGAAGACAAGCGCAACAGAACACGUGCCGAUACAUCCAUUACUUUGUCAACAACAAAAGUAUCCCAUAUCAUCGGGGUUGAACGUACUCUAGAUUUGAUGGAUUUGUUUUGACUCUCAAAUUCUUGAGUCGACCUUAUACUCUGGAGGAAACUAGAAAACCCUCAAGCCCAGUUUAAGAGUAAGCCUGUGGAAAGUUACUUCUUCAAAAGCAAAAGUAUCUCAUAUCAUAUCUUCUCAUUUUUCUUCUCUUUAUCCUUCUUGCUGCCUGCAAGAUAGGGAGAAUGAGAACAAUCAGUCGGAACUCGAAAUCAAACUUCUGAUCUGAGACUGAUUGCUUGGAACUUUGAUUGCUUACCUUGUCUAUCACCUCUUUCGGCAAAUCUCCUAGCUCGGUGACUUGAGAGACUCUUACUACAUGGUUUGUAUCGUGCUUGACUAAGCCUGAAACUACAAGUAAGCUUCAAAUCAAAUUGAUACAUUACCUUGUGCAUCUUCACCGGUUAAAGAUACCAUCCCUGGAUGGAGGAAAAGUACUUCCAGAGAAGAUGCCACAUCUACAUAUGAGACAGAUAAGGUAAGUGAAGACGAUACCACAUUUCAGUACUUAGAAGUUUCGUGAUUACUCAGCGGCUUGGAUCUUGCAAGUCCCCAACCGAAGAGCUUUCCUCACUCGGGAACUUAGGGGAGCACUGUUUGUACCAUACUUGACCAAUCCCGAAACUACUGAGCACCAGUCAACAUUAUACCGUCAAGGACCCAGAAACGUUUCCCUCUAACCAGGAGGUCAAUCAUAGCGCGACACAUGUCGACAUCAGAAGCCAAUCAUAGCGCGACAUGUGUCAACAUCAGAAGCCAAUCACAACACGACACGUGUCAAUGUCAAAACAAAGCUAGAAACUCUCUUCUGUAAAAGAAGAUCAUUCUCCCACAAUAUUUCCUAAUGUCAAUUGUACUAAAUCAUUCACUAGUACUCACUAAAGGAUAGCUUGAACCUAUAUACUUGUGUAAACCCUUCACAAUUAAUGAGAACUCCUGUACUCCGUGGACGUAGCCAAUCUGGGUGAACCACGUACAUCUUGUGUUUGCUUCCCUAUCUCUAUCCAUUUGCAUACUUAUCUACACUAGUGACCGGAGCAAUCUAGCAAAGGUCACAAACUUAGCACUUUAUGUUGUACCAAAGUCCUCAUUGAUUUUAUGCAUGAACAACUUUGAUUACAUUGAUGCAUUGACUAACAUCUUUCUCCAUCAAACAGAAGAUUUUAGUCAUUCAUGUUUCAUUAAUUUUAACAAGAGUUUCAAAUUGAAUUUUCCUGCAUGGUUCCCUAAAUGGUGGUCAAUUCACGGUCCGACAGCCAAUCUCCUACCAUAAGAAUUUAUGCAGGCCUUAUCUGCCAGUUUCCAAAAGAAAUUUGACAGAAGCCGAUUCAACUACAGAAUUACACUUCUCCCAAUUUUGAUGGCCAAAUACAAAGUCCCAUGGAUUAUGAAGUAAAAUUAUGAAGUCGAAACAUGUGAAGUCUACAGAGUCAGAUCAUUUAAGUGGUGGGAUAAAUUCAACCAUCAAAAGACCAUCAGUUAGGUCCUCACCGAAUUUUCCAUUACUCCACUUCCAGUCAUUCCGGCACAACCAGCACAACCAUCACUGCUAGUCAUCCCGAAACAAUCAGUAUCGGACAUUAGUCCAUCUUCAUCCCUCAAAGGAAUAUUCAAGUAUUCCAAAUCGUUAGGCUCAAAGAAAAAUAAAACCACUCAGCUUGAAGAUUUAGCACAACAAUUACUUGCAAAAGCAGCGAUGCUCCAUACUGAAGAAGAAGAAGCCACAGACUCCAAAUCUUCAGACGCAUUCUCACAGCAACCAUCUAACUCAGCAAGCCAAAAACACAUUCAGCCAAGUAGGCCAACUACCAGGAUUCCCAUGACCCAUUUGCAUAGAGUCAUGUGAAAAUUUUAGUCAUCUUUCCAAAAUCACCAUGUGAAGUGUUCAUGUAUUAUUCGCACCAAUAAUUCCAACAAAGCAUGGAAUUAUUCGAUCAGCCAGCACGUUCCCACCAAUGAUCCUGACAAAGUUUGGAGUCAUUCAAACAUUCAUCUCAUGCUUCUACAGUAAAACCAGCAAUUAUUCCAACAAACUUCACUAUUAAUCAAUUGUGAAAGCAAGUCAUCAUUCACCAAAUAGUAAGAGCAAGUCUUUCAAGACAUUUUCCAAGUCUGUAAAAAGUGGACUACGGAAGAGAAAGUUUUCAAGUUUGGAAUUUCCACAAUUUCUUAGUAAAAGCUUUCCUUGAGUUGAUAACCCAAAGAAAUAAAAAAUUAUAAACACUUUUAAUUUUCAAAUGUCAAGGAUGUCGGCGUGCACUAAUAUCCUUUUCAUUAGUCAUUUUCUUAUUUGCUGACUCAAUCGUCAGUAAACCAAUUGUAAGUUCCAGUGUAAGUUUUGAAAUAAAACUUAUUUUCAAAUUAUAUUUGAAUCAUUAUUUUGAAUUCAUUAUUUUCAUUAUGAGGAAUAUUUUUAUAACAACUGAUUUUGAAUGGCAUAAAAUCUUUACUCACAGUCAGUUCAUCGAAUAUCUCAAAUUCAAGGUAAACACAGACCAAUCAUUUGUUCAAUUCUUUUUAUUUGUUUAUAACAGUUGGUUUUAUGACAUAUUUAAUCAUGGUUAUCAUCCGCAUCAAAUUUCCAAUAUAUAUAUUAGGUUUCCAAAUCAUUCAUUUUCCUAUCUUAAUCAGAAACAAUAUUGUAUCAGAAGGAAGUCUAAAGCCUUUCCAGAAGAGCCACAAAUAAUUAAAGUAUGAUCACUCUAAUAAUUGUUUCGUAAUCGAAACAAUGUGGCUCAGCAGCACAGAUUAUUGGGGAAGAACUAGAUGCAGCUUUUGAUUCUGUUUCUGGCCAUCAGAGUUUAGAAAAACCCGUUCAUACGGCAGUGUUUAUUCCGGCUUUCGGCACGUAAUCACCGAAUACUUGAUUAGGUCCUUCUUGAAUCCUUGGAUCAUCAAUGGCAUUACCAAUGCUCCUCUUAUUGUUUUUAUCCCUGCUCAAUUCAAAUCAAGAAACACAAUUAUUCCGGCUUUUCGACCAAAAGAUUUCAAGAAACGCAAUUAUAUAGAUGGAAUAAAUGAAAGCUGAGACUGUAUCUGCAACCACAGAUAGAAACGUGCAGAAAUCAACUGAUGUAGUAUGAAAUGUGCAUCACAAAACAAUUUAUUGGGAAGAAACGCUAAGUUCGUACCGGUGCCUAACAGCGAUGUAAAACCCUUCCAUGUCAAUGCCGAGCGGAUAACUGCAGGCCAAAACGGGGCAACAUAAGGGGACCAAUCUUCCGCCUUGAUGUCCUGCCAUGGAAGGUUUCAGAUGUUAUUGCAGGUUGAUGUAGAGACACUGGGUUGUUAGAUCAAAAAGACUUGACAUGUUUUGAAGGGAUUUAGUCCAGCCAAUAUUUGAGCAGGAAGUCAUUUCCGCAAGCCCAUUUUCUCCCCAUGCACAUGCUCGUAAUAUGGAUCUAGGAAAAUCAUUUCUAUAUUUGAGCAGGUAAUUUACCUCGAGCGAGUGGGACUCGAGUAACUUGAGAUAAUCAGCAGUGGAACACCAGGCUGGAAGAUAGAAUGAAUUGCAUAUCCUGUCCAGGAGAUUCUUCUCAUCUGGCUUCAAGGUUUUUUCAGAAGCACCAAGAUCCCUGUGGCACCAUGUGACUAUAAUUAUUGUUGCUCCUGGUGCAGCAACUCGAACCAACUCAUUCACAAACUGCACAGUUUUAAAAAGAGAGCAAAGAGAAUAUUAGGGCAAGUAUUUAUACAAAGAGUUUAACAGUCUUUCUACGUUGCAGUUAACUAUACUUGCGGACAAAGUACGAUGACAUAUCAUGCAAUCGUAUUUACCACAUAUUGACAAUUGUAAAUUGACAUUAUCAACAAUAUUAAAGACAUCGAUAGCAUAUUUGACUACAUAUCAAUGCAUGCCCGCAUUCAAAAAGUGCAAUUAACAGCGGCGUAUAAAUUUUACGAAUCUUGCCCUAUUAUCAAACCGGUCCAGUGGAAAGAGGUAUGACCUUGGCUUUGUCAGGCAUGUGCUCACCACUCUCCAUGGACCAUACCAGAUCAAAUUCCCCGUCAGGAAAUGGUUGGUCCAGAGCAUCUGCAACUUGAAACGAAGCCUGCAAAUGAUGAACAGAAGUUAUCUUCAUUUAAUUGAGUCAUGGAACAUGUUACAUCUCUAUCAUCAACCAAAGCUUACAUUGGGACCCGUUCACAUAAUUGAGUCAGGGAAAAAGAUGCUUUCAGUUUGAUGGUGAAUCAUAAAUUCAAUUCGAGUCUUGUAAUACAGAUAUGGUGCAACUGUUAAACUGAAGAAUUCGUGGGUACCUACUCACAUAAAUGGGUCCCAUAUAUGGAUCCAAAAUAUAAUUAUCCGUUCUCCUAGACCCCAUAGUCUAAGGAAAGUGUGGUAAUCGUCCGUACGAAUUUAAUCCAAACGGUUUGUGUUUAUUUACCUUUUGAUGUUGUACUUUAUCCUCUACUGUUGAAUUAUCGAACAGUCAUUGCCCAUAAUUUUUUUGACCAUAGGGUUUUGGAGACCGGAGCUCUGAUAAAUGAACAGGUUUUAUUUGGGGACUACUUUUGGAAGAGCAAAAGGCUGCUUUCUCUUUUUGGCAAGGAUCUUAAAAUUACUGUUUAAUAAUUAAGGGCUCAUUUAUAUGUGCUUUUAAAAUAAUUAAAAGCGUUUUUAGAGAAAAAUUUUUUAGAUUCCAAAAGCACUUGAAGUGCUUUCUGCAAGAAGAAUCAGUUAUGUGCUAGCACGUUAAAUACCUUUUCAGAAUUUAUUUACAUUUUUACUAAGGAUUUGUUUUAAAAACAUUUUGAAUUAUUUUAAAAAGCACGUCCAACCAAGUAAUAAAAAGUUACAGCGUGCCUCUCACAAAAGAAGUUCUAACAAAAGCACUGUCCAGCAGAAGUGCUUCCUACAAAAACAGUGUUCCAAUUAAUCGGAUUCCGGCUUAACCAAACGAUAAGGUGGGGAUUACCUGAUUGGCUAACCCUUGGGCAGCAGCAAGAGCAUUGGCCCUUUCAGCCUGCACAGGGCUGAGGGUGAUGCCUUUGGCAUUGGCCCCAUAUUUACUAGCCAGAUAUCUGGAGCUCCCUCCGAUCCCACAUCCCACAUCCACCAAAUUCUUAGGAAGUCUAGUUGGGGGCUCCUCUGCAAAAACCAAUUACAAAUUUAAAUUACACUAUUACCCGAAAACUAUCAUUAAUUAAUCAAAUCACCCACAAUAAAAAGAUAAGAUAGAAGGAGAGUGACCAGAAAUGCCGGCGAAUCGGAGGACCUCGUCGAUCAUGCGAAUCUGGGCGGCGCGAUGGUCGGGAAUGGAGACCGAAACGUCGGCGUCUGGGUCGUAGUAUCCGUGGUGCAUGUGGUCGCCCCAGAUGUUCUCCCACAAGCCAGACGACUCGUCGUACAGCUCAGCAAUCCCCUUCUUCAGCUCCACUGCCUCCAUCGCUGCCGUCUCCGCCACCGCGUUCAGUCUCCUCAAUCCUCUGUUCCUGGAGUUCGCUCCGACCACGACUGUACUCGCACGAUUGAGACGGUAGCACAUGCGAGGCAGCACUGCUCGUGUCGUCGUCGACGAUGAUAAUCCAGCCGUCUGGUACGACACGCAUGCCAUCGGGACUAAACAGAACAAAUUAUUAAAACUCACAGAUCAAAAAUUCAAAUCCAAAAAAUAUAAGAAAAACCCAACAGAGUGAAUUGUUUGUGGCAGAAACCACCUUGAAGAUUUUAAUUAGCAAAUCAGUCCUCUGUUAUAUGGUUUUGCGACGCUGCAGCUCUACCAGCAGAAGCUCGAUGAGGGAGAGAGAGUGAGAGAGCGGAUGAUAACGAGGGAUUUGGAAAGUUGGUGGCUCUUGAGAAACCAUGUCGGGAUAAAAUAGUGACGAUGACGACAUCGAUGCGAUUUUGGUUUUAAAUUGCACACAAAAUUAUUUUGAUAAAAAAUCAUAAGUCGACUGUGUUGACAAAAAAUGUUUCAUUUUAGUAAUGUUGAGACUCUUUAAAAGUGUGAUCAUGGAAUUUCCCCUACCUUACGUUUUUUUGGCACAAUUUAUGUAUUAACAUUAUAAAACAUUGGUCGUGCUAAAAACAUGAAAUUGUGAAUGAUUCCUAGAAAAUCUUACUUUGAGAGACUCGUAUUUAUAUUCUUUUUGGCUUUUUAACCAAAAUAGUCUCUGAAAUUUGCAUAACACAACACUUCAGUCUAUGAGAUUGAAAAUCAAUAGAAAUGGUCAUUGAGAUUGUCCACCAUCUAUUAUUUUGAUCAUUUCGUUAAAAACUCUAUUAAGUAAUUCCGGAGAAACUGAAAUUUUUUGCUGGAAGUUUGGGCAAUUUUCAAAGUUUCAUAACUCAAUCGUUUCUUAACCAAAUUCGACCCAUAAUAUAUCAAAAUGAAUAUAUAAAAGUGUUGAACAAGAUUAUACCUAUUUGGAAGCCCAAUGGUUGCCAGAGAUGGCCGGAAAAUAGCCUAAAGGGUGACUGGUCCGUGGGAAAACUGGAAAACGCAUCGGAAACUGGAUAAACUUUAAACGUUCAUAACUUUUUCAAUACUCAAUGAAAUCGAGUGAUUAAAAAACGUCUUGAAAGUGGCUAACUUGAUGAGACUAAGACAAUCACUUUCGAGCCGUUUUCCAGCCAAACCACGGCGAGUUAGCCGUCGAGAAAGCUAUCAUUCUCUUCGUAUCGUCGAGAAUUACGAUUUUUUGUUUGAAAUCAAUCAAUUUCGUUGAGUAUUGAAGAAAUUAUGAACGUUUAAAUUUUACCCAAUUUUCGACGAGUUUUCAGUUUUUCCGCGGACCAGUCACAUUUUAGGAUAUUUUCCAACCAAACCACAGUGUGUUAGCCCUCAAGAAGGGUACCAUUCUCUUCGUCUCGUUGAAAAGUAUGAUUUUUGUUUUUGAAGCACUUGAAUUUUUUGCAUAAUAUCAAUUUACCAGUCUUACAACAAUUAGCUUCUUUGAUUGUAACCUUCAGAAGGAAGCAUCUUUAACUCACCUGAUGGUCUCAUAUCCAAUCCGAUAAGAGUUCUAUAAAUUUUAAUUAGUUUUGUUUACAUGACACAAAUUUGACAUCACAUCAGUAAAAAUAUCAGACAUGUAAUUUACACAUUAUCAAAUAACAGUCAUAUUAAUAGAUUAAUUAGAUCUGACAUUACAACGAAUUCGUAAAUGAAUGUAUGACAUUAUUAUGUUCAAAACAUGAAAGAAAAAAAAAUCCUCCUUCCUAAAUUAGUAUAGGUGGGAUAGAAAGGUUGAGCGGGUAUGAUUUUGUUAUUUAACCCAAAAUUAGGAUGGUCAAAUGUAAUUUACUAAAAAUGAUAAGAAGUGAGGCGAGCUCCAAUAAGCAAAAGGAGUGUCAUUGCUGUCAAACAGUUAGGAGCAGAGCUACUUGAGCAGCUCUCAUUCUCUUCAAUCAUGGAUCUGGAUCAUCUUCUACACCUCCUAAUUCCCUCAUGGACCUCUGUAAGUACCCCUCUCUUAAUCCAUCUCACCAUUCCCCUUAAUCCCCACUUACGCUAAUUAAUUAUUAAUUUAAUCAAUUUCUUGAUCCGUAAUAUUCAGGUUGCUAUCCUGGCAUUGUUCUUCACUUACUUGGCCAUUGCUGGAUCUUUACUGCCCGGAAAACUUGUCCCCGGAGCCACCCUACCGGAUGGCUCUCGGCUUCAUUAUCGAUGCAAUGGUGUGUUUUUUGAAUGCAUCCUUACUCGUGCACAUUACCUGUUUGUUUAAAUGCUUGUAUGAAGCUGGUGUGCCUUUGUUUGGAGAGUUUGAUGUGUUUUAAACUUGUAUUUAUUUAUUUGUAAGGUCUGCUAUCACUUCUGUGGCUGGUUGGGCUUCUUGGGGUCGGCGCUAAGAUGGAUAUCGUAUCGCUUACUGUAUGUGGUCACUCCUACUUCAAUGUGGUUUUUUCGGAUUGUUAAUUUCGUUGUACUGACCAUUUGUGUUGAUGCUGUGGUGAUUUGGUUUUUGUUCUUGAGGUUCUACUUAAUGGCUUGUUCAUAUUUACAUCCAACAAGAACAACAACAACAACAAAGCCUUAUCCCACUAAGUCAGCUGUAUGAAUCCAAGAAAGCCACUGCGCUCAGUUUAACUCCAAUUUUUGUUCACAUAUGUUGUGAAAUUACACUUGCAAUCGAUCAUGUUGUGGAAUUGAAGAUGAUUUCACAACCCACAUAUUGGAAAUUUUUUUAAUGAUAUAAACUGUUAUUUAAGACAAAUCAAUUAAGCAACCCAAAUGGGGUUGAUGCAUACUGGGAAGUAGAAGUUUUUUUCCAUAUGCAUCUAAAUUCAUCCAUUCUCUAAACUUAUGAAAAUCAAUCCAUCAUAAUACAUAGUUUAGCUGCUUUCAUUGUUACAUCUCUCUUCUCUCUCUUCUCUCUCUCUCUCUCUCUCUCUCUCUCUCUCUCUCUCUCUCUCUCUCUCUCUCUCUCUCUUUCUCUCUCUCAAAGUUGUGCAAAUAAACUUUUGGAGAUUAUAGUUGCCAAAUUUUUGUUAUUAGUGUCGCUCCAAUUUCGAAUGAGUGUAUUAACAUCAUAAGACUGUUUGCAGGCAAUAUCAGAUAGAGGACUCGAGCUGUUGUCAACAACUUUUCUGUUUAGUGUUCUGGUAAGAUAGGGAAUCUAUUCACAUAGUUUUCUAUGUUCCAGUUAUAGCAUUUGAAAUGGACAGUAAUGUCACAGAUGGUAAAGUGUGUGCAUAACUCUUGGUAUGAUUGUUUAAGAUAAAACUAUCUUUCUAUCAACUCAGACGAACGUUAUGAGUUAAAAAGCGAGCCUAUCAAUGUUUCUGGUUUGCUCUCAUGCGGAAGAGAUUCCAUAUUGGCAUUGCCACAACCUCAUUGUAACUGGGAGAGUGUUCACUUUGAAAGACCAAAGAUAAGCCAAAACUUCAUUAUGAAAUUAAUUGGAUGGGAGAAUAAUUACGUCAUUCUGGCAUGCAAAGAUAUAUGGAUAAAAAAUAUCAGCUUUCAAGUAGUGUUUCAUAUUAAUGUAUGCUGCAUUUACCUUUUAUGGGACCCCACAUGGUAAAGAAUAAAAUCACUUGUUCACAUUAACUUUUAUUUAACCAUAUCUUCCAUUUUCAGUGGAUGAGUAGUAGAUCAUUAUUGUUAGGUUUUCUUCUCUUAUCAAUACUUAUGUUAAUUGAUAUGCCUUUGUUUCUUUUAAAUGUGUAUUAUGUUAGGUCACAAUGGUACUUUACGCUGCGGGCUGCAAGUCGACCAACCGGGGUUCUUCCCUGAAGCCUCAUGUCACAGGGAACCUUCUUGAGGACUGGUAGUUUAAACAUAUUGUCCAACUCAUUCCAAGUGAUCUCCAUUGGGUGAAAUGGUUUAUAUUCAUAUACGAUAUACCAACUGGUAAAAUUUGUUUAUAAAUAUAAGAAAAAAACAUGUAUAUAGUGGUUUUUCUAAAAAAAUUGUUUUUGCCUCCCUUAUGAGAAUAUUUCCAUUUUCUCAAUUAGAUGAAAAUGUAUAAAGAAAGUGUUAGAAGCGGAUUUAUAGAGGGUUUUUAAUACUGAUACCGUGAAACCUGUCUUAUCAUUCCUAUCCUGGAGUCUCUGCCAUCUGCAUGAUUAAACAACCUGAAAAUUCCUCUGUUCUGAAAUUCACAUAUUUUAAUUAUUUAAAAGGGUUUUGAUUCAAAAGCAGAUUUGUCGAAUAAUCUUUUGACCGCCGAAAAGAAUCCCUGUGUUGUGGUUUAGAACAAACAGAAAUAGAUUACUAUCUUGAUUAUUUUUGUCUUCACUGCUUCAUCAUCUGCAAUGUGAUGCUUGACUACUCUUUCUUUUAUUGUCUUAAAAUUGAAGUGUGCAUUUUCUGUAUUUUACUUCAAAUCCUUGUCAAAUGCAUCUUCCAGUUAAUUGAUAUGGACACUCUUACUAUGUUUAAUAGGUGGUUUGGAAUACAGCUUAAUCCGCAGUUUAUGGGCAUUGACCUCAAGUACGUAAUCCAGUCUUCAAAUAUUCAUGACAUGUUCUAACACACACCCAUAAAGUUAGUAUACUACUAUGGUCAUAACAAUCUCUUUUUGUUAAUGUCUUAAUAAUUACUUUUGAUUUCAAACCUUUAUUAUCUUUCUUACCUGAAAUUUUCCCCUGCCCCUUCUGUACAACAGUUCCCCAUCUCUUACUGCAGUCUGAGUUUGACUACUUUCCUUUUCUAUAUUUCUUCCAUGUUUCCUCUUAUUUUUGGCCAGAGCUUGGUCCUCAUAAUUUUACCAUUUCCUCGGAUUGCUAUUACAUUUUAUACCUACUUGCAUAACUGAGACAAAAUUAGCCUGAUAUUAAUGAGAUAUAUAUAUAUAUAACAAAGAGAGAUUCUCUUUUGCAGAUUUUUCUUUGUUAGAGCUGGAAUGAUGGGCUGGCUAUUUAUCAACCUUUCGGUUCUCGCCAGAAGUGUUCAAGAUGGUACCUUGAGUCAAUCAAUGUUCCUCUUCCAGUUGUUUUGUGCGGUAAUCUGGGACCUUACAUUAUUUAUGUAUAUUGUUUCUCUACACGUUUUAAUAUGAGGUGCGUACAAAAUUAUCAUGUGGGCAUCAUCACCCAUACUAUGAUAGGAAAUUAAGCACGCAACCCUUGUCCUCCACUUGCACAUUUCUCCUUCCUGCUGUGUGUGUGUGCACAUGUUAUUACAGAUGUAUGUUCGCAUUUGUAUAUGUAUAAAUAUUCUUUACUUGUUGCAAGUGAUUGCUGAAGAUUCUGUCAUUUUCUCUCUUUUAUUUUUCAGUUAUACAUCUUGGACUACUUUGUUCAUGAGGAGUACAUGACCUCCACGUAAGAAAAUUACCAUAACGUCUAGCUGAAUAAUCCUAUUUAGUUUUAUCCUGUGCCACUGUUUUCUUUUGCCACUAUCAAAUAUCUUUUCACAAUAUGCUUCCCCUAGCAGAAUCUGCCUCAUACACAUUCUCUGAAAAUAAGCCUGAGACACAAUUCUGAUUGUAUCUUUUGUCAUUUCCGGAUUGCUUGAUUUUGCCAUUUAUUUUGUUUGUUCCUAUGUACUUCUAGUUGUAUGUUCAUUUUUAUUUUUUAUCUUUGGACAGUGAGGAAAGAAUUCAUUAUGUUUGUUCAGCUAUAUUUCUUCAUGCUUCCCUUUCAUUGUCUUUUUGAUGAUUGAGCAACUUGUCAAUUUGAGGCCAUUAUAUGUUUUGUCUUUUCAUAUUCGAUUUAUUUUUACAUGGUUUGCCCUUUACAGAUGGGACAUAAUCGCAGAGAGACUGGGCUUCAUGCUGGUAUUUGGAGAUCUAGUCUGGAUUCCGUUCACUUUCAGCAUCCAGGCAUGUAGCCUGAACUAGAGCUUAGAUAGCUCAACUGGUUUUUUGCACCCAGACACAUUUUUGUGCACACUAAAGACUUGAUUUCUGGUGCUUCCAUACACUUCGGUUGAGAACUCAGUUUUUCUAUUGUCAGCACUGUAAAAGAUAAAUCAUAUUUGGUAGCAAAACCAAAACCGUUGGCCGUUAUAUUCUUCAUUGUUGUUAAUAUCUGCAUUGUCAUUUCCUUUGGUAAAGGGAUGGUGGCUUCUGAGCAAUAAGGUGGAGUUAGGAACAGCGGCUGUCGUAGCAAAUUGCUUGACAUUUCUGAUUGGGUAAUCUUCCCCUUGUAGUUGGGGUUUGAAGCUUUAUAACAUAAUUACUCUUUGUGCAUUUGCCAACAUUAAACUUUUCAUUUCCAUACUGGUCAGGUACCUUGUAUUCAGAGGAGCCAACAAGCAAAAGCACGUCUUUAAGAAGAAUCCCAAAGCACCCAUAUGGGGUAAGCCCUGUAGGGUCAUUGGGGGAAAGUUGCUUGCUUCUGGUUAUUGGUAAGGUUCCAUCAAUCACAUUCUUUAUCUUCCUUUCUUUUUCUCAUCAUUAUUGUCAACCGUCUUCUGAUCUCUACAUAUAUAAACUGAUAAAAGUAAACAAAAUCGUAACUGGACGAACAUCACCAUGCGAAGAUAUUAUUUUGGACAAUGUCGAAUCAAUUCUGGUACUUCUAGAGGUACAAGGAAAUAGUGAUGAGAAGAAAGAAAGAAAAAAAAAAAAUGAUACAUUGACUUGAACACGAAGUUCAUCAUCCACAUUCUGAUUCUUUUGGUGCAGGGGAAUUGCAAGACACUGUAAUUACCUCGGGGACUUGUUACUUGCACUGUCUCUCAGCUUACCUUGCGGGAUAAGGUAGUUUCGCUAUUCCUGCAAAAAUGCUCCUACAAGUUCCUUACAAAACAAUUCUCCAUUUGAUAUGCCGUUCCACUUUGCAGUUCCCCAGUUCCAUACUUCUAUCCAAUUUAUCUUCUUAUUCUGCUCAUAUGGAGAGAAAGACGAGACGAAGCUCGUUGUGCUGAGAAGUACAGAGAGAUCUGGGCCGAAUACUGCCGGCUUGUUCCAUGGAGAAUAUUACCUUAUGUUUAUUAAGCUUCCUGACUCUGCACUUGUUAACUCUCAUCAAGUUUAACUUUGCAGUGGAGCUCAUACUUUCUUGUUUGUACUAUAAAAAUGCACUUCAUCGUGUCUGUUGAGUUAUUUCAGAAAAAUCAUCGUGACUGUUGAGUUAUUUCAGAAAAACGUAGUGCGUCCUUUUUGACGAAGUACCUGCACAUUUAACUAUCUUUGUGAGUUUCGGGAAUAUCCCAUUCAUAGGUCGAGAUCCACAUCUGUGAACUGAAAGGUUUGAAUUAACUCUGUAAGUAAGAAUAUCACUAGACUAAAAGUAAGCCGAUACGUUCGUUGUUCAUGUCAGUUGAAGGAAAACUAAACGCGGGCGUAUUCCAUCCACGAUUUGGGCCUUUUUUUAAGAAAGUGCUAAUUUAUUUUCCUCAUUGUUUUGAGGUAAUAGGUAUAAGAAACUGGUUAACAUCAAGAUUCUAAUGUGGGCUUGACUUGGGCUAUUUGGCCCACAAUUAUUACGUGUCUUUUGGUUUUUAACAGAUCGAUAAUAAGACUACUUUAAUCGCCGGAAGAAUUCAAACUCAGAUGUAAGAGAAUGUACUUUUCUGAUCGACUGACUUAACGUAUGUUUGCAUGUUUUUUUAAGACUAGUCCAUGCAUAAUUGAGAUAAGGCUUAGCUUUUACCUUUGGGGAGUAAUGAUAUGAUAUGCCCUUAUAUUUAAUCAUAUAAUCUAAUACAAAUUUAAUAAUAAUACAAGUGUCGUGUUAAAAAUUAGAUUUAAUAUAUUUAAUGGAGGUGCAAAUGUGGCCCUAACCAAACGAAAAAUGGUCACCUAAAAGUCAAUGAGCCAUAACCUAGUAAGAAGAGAAGGGUAUUUUAUAAUGGUUGUAGGGUUGCUUGGUAGUUGAGAAAGCAAAUCCACACACCCACAGAAUAACUAAAGAGCGGUGGUGGUAGGGUGUUCUCCCUUUUCUCAUCCUUUUGUCAUCAUUAUCUAUCUUUUAAUAUUUUAUUCUUUAUACGUAUUGAGUAAUUUUUUCUUAACCGUAAUAACGGUUUGUUAGCCUCUCUUGUUGGGCCCAUACACAUUGGAUUUGUUUUUACAAACGAUAGUAUUAAUUGGUUAAAUUGUUAAAUAUUAUAGGAAAGUUGAUAGGUGGGAAUUGACAUUCACUACAGUGCAUAGACAUUAUUGCUUUUCGCUACUGUGAUAAAGUAUCAUCUAUACGUCGGAUUUGAUUCUCAUAAAUUGGAACCAAACUCACUAAGAAAAUCAAAAUAUCAAGUCCAAUGACUCAUAUAACUAUUAAACUCACCAUAUUUAUCACAAAGUUAUAAAAACUACACUCACAUAGUCUGAUUCCUAUAUACGAGAAUCAAAUUCACAUAAAAAACGAAAGACCUUUACUCAUUAAGUUAAAAACAAAAUAAAAGGAUACACAUAUUAAACGUGAUUUGUCUGUAAAAACGAUUCUACUUUAAGACAACCAAGCAUCUUCCAAGUAAAAAAGGGAGGAGGGAAUCGGAUGCUUCUUUCUGUCAACCUCUUCUGGCCAAUAUUAUGCAUUAAGGCUGUGAAAGGGCAUGCAUGUAAAUUAACACCAAGGCGGGGAUGGGGGAUGACGUAAUGAUGAGGUACCAAACAACCCGUGAAUGUGAUGACGUUUCAUUGGAAAAGUGGUCCCCUUCAAUAAAACAAGGGAAAAGAGGAGGAAGAUAUUGUGUUGUGGACCCAGUCGAUGCCUAAUUGUCCUUGGCUGGGACCUACGCAAAUAGAGAGAGAGAGAGUGUGUGUUGUGGACCCAAUCGAUGCCUAAUUGUCCUUGGCUGGGACCAUAUAGAGAGAGAGAGAGAGAGAGAGAGUGUGUGUGUGUUGUGGACUCAGUCGGUGCCUAAUUGUCCUUGGCUGGGACCUACGCAAAUAGAGAGAGAGAGAGAGAGAGAGUUGCUUACAGUUGUGUACAUUAUUAUUUUUUAUUGUUUCCAAUUUUUGGAAAACUUGGAAAAUAAUUUUUUGUGCUAUCCUCAAUUGAUGAUGGUGAUGUUCAUGUUAUAUUUAUUAUAAUUAUAAAUUUUAAGAUUUGUGUAAUGAAUAAAUACAAAUUUUGAAAUUUAAACUCAUAAAAAUAAUAAUAAGUAAGAUGGUAAGUUAUAUCUUCCUCAACGUGUGUCCACCUAAACCAGGUGAAGGUAACUAUAACCAGUUUGGAAGUGAAUUUAUGAAGGCCCUAAUCACUUCUAGACAAAAUGACAAGAGAGAUACUUCUUCAUAAAAUCACUUAAAAAUUACUUUUAAUCAAUUUUAUCUAGAAGCAGGUGAUUUUAUCGAGAAGGACAUCAAAAGUGCUUCUUCUCAUGAGUCAUAAGUGACUAUGACUCUCCCAAAAUCACUUUCAAAUGAGUCAUACAUUAAAAGAGUUAUCGAACUAUUUUAUUACAAUAUCUUGUACAAAAAGUACCUUAUAACAUAGGCUGAGAUUCAUAGUUGUUGAUUCUUUAACCAUAAGUCAUAGGUCCCAAUCUAUAUAAUGAGUCGGUCCAUACUUGACAAACUUCGUCUUAUAAUGUAGGAAACCUAAACCUUCUGAAAUCAUUUAAGGCACCUCUUAGUGUGAGUUACCUUAAGGUCAAACAUUAAAAAAUUGGUUACAUGAUGAAAAAGUACCAAGAUGAUCCUUAAAUCACAUCUGUUCAUCGUACAUCGUGCGGUCAUAAAUCAUUGUAAAUUUUUUAUUUAAAAUUGAAUAUAAAUAGUACCUGAGAAAAAAUAAUCGCACGAUGUACGAUGAACGAAUGUGAUUAGAGGAUCCCUGGAAUCCUCACAAAGAAGAUCCAGCGAGGAUCCUCACUCUUAGUAGGUCUCUGAGCACCUCUAGUAUGCUUUAUAUUGAUGGGUCCCACUUUACCUCUCUUUUUAGGUGUCACCUCUAGAGCUCUUUCACAUCUUAAGCAUUUUGUAUUUAAAGAGAAAUUAUUGCGUACGACCAUUAAAGUAUUAAACAACCUCACAAGAGAUGGGCCCUACUUGUAGUCCUUAGUUUGGGCACACCUCGAUUGUGCUAUCGUAUAUACAGACAUAUAGAUGCAAGAAUUUCUUUUUUUUUUUUUUGCACUUCAAAAACAUGAUUUGUGGUUCUCUUUCAAUAAUUAUAAUAGUAAACUAUGUAUGAUUAGGGUUUAUGGUUAAUGUACUAAACAACUGCACAAGAAAUGGGCCCCUACUUGUAGUCCUCAGUUCAGGCACACCUCGAUUGUGCUACCGUAUACACAGAUAGAUGGAUACAAGAAUUUCUCUUUUUUCCAACUUCGAAAACAUAAUCGGCGGUUCUCUUUCAAUAGUUAUAACAGUAAACUAUGCAUGAAUAGGAUUUAGGGUUAUGUACUAAACAACCUUAGAAGAAAUGCGCCCCUACUUGUAGUCCUCAAUUCGGGCACACCUGGAUUGUGCUAUUGUAUACAUAGAUAGCUGAAUGCAAGAAUUUCUUAUUUUUCCGACUUAAAAAACAUGAUUGGUGGUUCUCUUUCAAUAAUUAUAACUGUAAACUAUGCAUGAAUAGGGUUUAGGGUUAAUGAACUAAACAACCUCAGAAGAAAUGGGCCCCUCCUUGUAGUACUCAGUUUAGGCACACCUGGAUUGUGUUAUCGUAUUCACGACAGCUGAAUGCAAGAAUUUCUCAUUUUUCGGACUUCAAAAACAUGAUUAGUGGUUCUCUUUCAAUAAUUAUAACAAUAAACUAUGCAUGAUUAGGGUUGUCUUUUACAGCAAAGAAAGAAGGUAUUGAUUUCAUCACAUUCAGAAUGCGUGAUUCAUCAUCUACCAUUCAAUAAAGGUUUUCCACCGAUUCCACGCACUUCACAUGCAGAUGGUGAUGUAGUUUGCAGUAAGCAACUACACUCACUUUUAGAUAGACGGACGUUUAAAGCAUCUUCUUUUCAUACAGCGGUCUUACCAAUUUGUAUUUUGAAUGUUUGAUCAUCAAAUUCGAUACUGAUUAAUGCCCUAAUCUAAUAUUUAAUACAAAAUUAAUAACCCUAAUCCAAUUUGUUUUGGCUUUGAAGCUGGACAAAUGUACGUGCAUGCGGACUUGUCGAUCUUGCCUGGUUAUAUACUGAUGUGCCACGAAUCUCAUUUAUCUUGAGCGACACAGAUCAUACAGGGUUAUAUACUUGUUAUUCUUAGCAGGGAUUUCACUGUAAUGUUCAUGGAGCGGGAUAUCGUAAUGCCAUCAUACUUUCCUUUAUGUCAAUUUUUUGGUUGUAUGAUGUAUGCGAUGCUAUGGAGACAACACAUGGUCGUCCUACAUACAUUACGAAGAUACUCAAUCCCGUUCUGUGAACAGUGGAGCGGGAUCUCUAUUAAAAGGAGAGGGAGAGAGAGAGGGGGCACCUAAAGCUAAAGGCAAUGUGAUGAAUCAUGGGUAGGUAGGGGUACUUGUCAAACUUUGCGUUGCGUAUGGUUAGCUUAUUAUUUGCCAUCUCUUUUUCCAAUAAGCGUUAAAGCAAGAGAGAUACUAAUUCAUUUGUGAAUGGACAGUGGAUGUAUGAACAAUCUCUCACCAACCCAAAACUCGGUCAACCGACCUAAUAAAAAUGUACACAAAUCGAGAUGAGAGAGAGAGAGAGAGAGACAGACAUGAAGAACGAAAAAAGAGAGUGAGAGACAUGAGGAACGAAAAAAGUGAGAGUGAAGAAUUAAUAAGUGGGAGGGAUGCACAUCGUCUUGCCGCGUUCAACGAUAAGCUGACUUUGAAAUGAGUGGAUGAAUGUCACUAAAGUCAACUUAUCGUUGGAAUAUUUGUCUUACUUAUUUUAAAGCCAAAUUUAACGUUGUGUGUGCGCGAUACGAGAUGCAUUACCAUUUACCAGCAUUCAUCCCACAAACGCAUUGCAACAUUUCACAAAAACACAAAAGUACAAGGCCCAAUGUAUAAUGUAUACAAAAGUCAGGCCACAGAAUUCUAAUUUUUACAAGUAAUUCUCUAUUUUGUUGAGAAAGAUAAAAAAGCUUCAUGAAGGGCGAUUCAUUUGGGAUCAUCCAUUUGCUUAAUUUAGGACCAUCAAGGAAAAAUCUUACAAGGAAUUCCCUAUUUUGCCCUUUACAUGAAACAAAGAAAAACAAAACUUCAAAAACUCAUUGUCACUCCCUCAUCUAACUACACUACAAAAUUCAUCCCACUUCCUUACAUCAUUAGCCCUUCCUCGAUAUGUAACUCUCUAAGCGGAUAAGUGGACCCCAUCAUAGGGCAUCAUGGGGGAGAUAGUAACAAAGAGAGAGAAAGAGAGGCCCAAGAGGGGGUUGGGUGAUAGGUGACACGAGAGUUUAUCGAGGAAGGGCUAUCGUUGUCAAGGAAAGGGUUGGCAUUUUCAUUCUGGUUGGGGUUGAAGGUUGGGCUUUUAUUUAAAUAUUUUUAAGGCAGAAGUGAAAAUGUAAAGUUGCAAAAAAUCUUGGAUCUCAAAAACCAACAUUUGGGUCCAAUAUAUUAAAUAAGUGUGGCAUAACAAAAUGGCGACAUAUUUCAGCUAAUCAGCAUUAUGUAUCAUGUCGCAAAUAAUGGCACGACUUAUUAAUAUCUCAUCUAAUUAGAAAUGUGGUACAAUAUGAUACGAAUUGUAAGAGUGAGUCAGUCAUAUUAGUCUGCGGUUAGUUAUUUAGAAUUGUGUAUAGAAAAAUAUUCCUUGUGCGAUUAGGAUUUUUAUAUUUCUAACUAUGUUUUUACAACACACAUUAUAAGCCUAUAUAUUCCUCCUUGUGGAGGAAAUGAAGCAUUCUAAAUAACCUGCGAGAAGAGUGAUCUAGUUGAAGUAAUUGUUGAGGGAAACACACUUACAACAAAAAACUUUGUGUAAUAAACAUUCUAGGUUGGAAUUAAGUGGAAGUGUAAUGACCUAAAAAUUUUUAAGUAUACAUUCGUUAUACCUUGACAACUUAUGCCCAUCAGGUCGGGGUUUGACGAGAAAAAUAGAACAUGAGCAAAUAGGAUAAUUCGGUUGAACCCUAACUAGGACCACAAGUACUCGAACUGAAUCAUCGAAACCCAAAUCGAACCUCGAAAUGUCACACACAAGCUCAAAUCAAAUAAAAAAGGGUUACUGAUGUGAAGUUGGUUUCACAUGUGGCACGGGGCCAUGUUGAUGUAUGUAAAAGUCCCACGUUAGAAAACUAACCAAACCACAAACUUUGAAUGAAUGAUUUAUCAUCACUAAUUGCAACGACACUUUAUUUAUAAAACCACACAUCUAUUAAACUGCACAAAUGUAGUUUUAUUUUAUUUUUUAAUUUUUCCAGGUACAACGAUAUUUUGCUCUGAGAGAAGAGGAGAUAGGCUAAGUCACACAAUGUGCCAAACAGUAACCACAAAUCGAACUUAACACACAUAUAAUACGUGAUUCUCAUUCAUGUGAGUCAAAUCUGAAACCUUAUUUAUAAAUGAAAAAUGAAUAUCAUCAUACUGUAAUACUAAUUGGUACUAUAUUAUAAUUAAGUUGGAAACAAUAUCAAAAUUAAUCGUUAGAAGUUUGAACCAUCUCUAAUAUUUUUUGACAUAAAUGAUUUGGUCUUCUUAAUAUUUUCAUUUACUUAAUAAUAUAAUAAAUAAAUAAUAAGAAAAAAGGACAAACAUCAGAACUCACAACCAAUCAAAUAACAAUCAUUGUGCUUUCAAAAACCUUAACUUACGUCACAUCAAAUUAAAGCACCUCUUUUCAUAAUUUCAUUACAAAAAACCGCACUAGUCUGCCUCUGAGGAGAAAAAGAGUUUACUUAAUUCCAAUCCGCAAUAAAAAAGAAAUAAAUUUUUUGUGUAAAGUUAAAUAGACCAGUUCUUUAGAUCACAUUAAUAUAUAUUAUAUAAUAUACACUUAAAUAAUAAUUAAAUAAUUAAUAAUUAACAAUCAUAUCAUAUAAUUUAUAAAAUAUAUUUUAAUCUCUUUUAUCAUUACCUAAUUUUCUCCGAGUAUCCUCCCACCUGGAGUCCAACUUGUAGAUUCAUUUUUGUCAGUAUCCAGUUAUUUAAUACAAGAUUGAUAUCUCCACAUGUUUCUCAGUGCCCUAACCUAUAGCAUGUGAGAAUUUAUAUGAAGGGGCAUGCCCCUGCAACCUUUUUACUCCAAUCAUUAUUUGACGGUCAAAAAUAUAUUAUUUUAUAUCGUAUAAUUAUUUGAUGGUAAAAAAUACACAUUAAUUAUAUCGUAUGGAUUUCAAGCUAAUUUUUCUAGAAUGUUUAGGUUUAAAGUUAUGAAAAUAAAACAUAUUCAAAAUAAAAUUGAACAUGCAAGUAGCCCUUUACCACAAUGGUGGAAAGAAAUUAAGUCCUUACAUAAUGGCGUGGGUUUGAAUUACAUCGAUGACUAAUCUAACAAAUUCUGUCGUUUGACAAAAAAAGAAAAAUGAACAUAAUGAAAAUAUAAAAAUUGAUUUCAAUAUAAAUACAAGUAGCAAACAAAUGUAGAAGUUUAGAGUAUACCAGGACUUUUAGAGAGAGUGGAGAGAUGCAAAAUUCAUUAAACUGACGGGAAAAAAAAGAAAGGAAAGGUUGAGAGAGGAGAGAGUCUGAGUCAGACAAAAAUAUGUAGACUAAUAAUAAUAAAGUAUUACCACGUAGUACUACGGUCUAGUGAUAUUUUUUUUUCACUUGUAGGUGAGAGGUAUUACGAUCGAUUAUCGCCAAAUGCGAAGUUGAACCACAUUAUUAUGGCAAACCCUUUGUAAGGCUUAGCCCAUUUCCCCACCCCUUAGUAUAGAUAUUAUCAUUUGUUAAAAAAAAAAUUAAUAAGAUGAAUUAAAAAAAUAAAAAAUAUUUGGAUCCUAAAGAUAAUUUAGUAUGUGGCCUAGUUGGACACUUUUAAAAUACAGUUAAAUAAACGCUCAUCUGCUUUAUUUUACAGCUGAUCAUUCUUAAAGUAUAACAUAAGCAGUUUUUUUAAAAGCACAACAAUCCCAAACUGGCCCUUAGUCCAUCAAAGCCAGUAGAGUCUAGUCCUUAAAGUUAGUCUAAUCUGAUAUAGUUCGGUGCAACAAAUACACCCUAAGUAGUCCCAAAUAUUUGGAUAAGCACGUGAGGUUUCGCAACCAUUUUAAUAUUAACAGAAAAACAGAUAUAAAAGUAUAAUUUCAAAUUAAAAAGAACAUAAUAUCAUUAGUAUUGUUGUAGCCUAUUUUAUCUGACUAAGGGGAGAGGGCCGGUGGCAAGGGAAGAGAGAUGUUUUUGUAGAAUCGUAGGGGAAUGCGUGUGUUGAGAAUGUGUUAUCCCCCUACGUAGUGCCUUUAUUUACAGUAAUAAGAGGGGAAUGAAAUCAUUCAUCGAGUCCAUAUAGGAAAGAAUAACUAUAAUCAAAUUUAAUCUUGGAUUUACGCAAUUACACUUAAACUAGGAAAGUUCACAACACUCCCUCUUAAGCGUAUAAAUACUCAAGGUAGAUUUCAGCAUCAUGCAGAAGUUGAGGAAGUCGACUUGUCGACACCGAUUCUGGGAACAACGCUUAUUCUCAAAAAGGUAGAAACUUGUAUGAAGUAGUAAGUCUCACUAAAAAACCCUAAGGCUAUGACAAAAACCGAGUAUGGACAAAAUUCAUAGUCCAAGGAAAAAUGCGUGAGAAAUGCAAAGUCAAAAGAAAUGUCUACGGGACGUCAUCAGGGAUAUGAUUAGCCCAAGGUAGAUGCCUUGUUAAAACCUAGUUAGGUAGCAAAAACCCUGUAGGAAAAAUGCUCUUAAUCGUAGGCAAAAAGAGUACAUUAAGAUCAAACAAGUAUACUUAAUGAUACUCCCCUUGAGUUUGACACAAUUCCAAAGAAAAAUAGCAAUGUUACAACUUAGAAAGUUUACGCAUACCAAUUCCAUGAACAAGCUUCUGAAACGUCGCCUUGGCUAGUGAUUUGGUGAAAAGGUCGGCCAGAUUGUCUUAUCAACGGAUUUGCAUGACUUCAAUCUUCUGAUGCUCUUGUUGUUGAUGUGAGAAAAAAGAACUUCGGUGCAAUGUGUUUGGUGUUGUCUCCUUUGAUGUAACCCUUCUUGAGAUAUUCGAUGCAUGUUGUGUUGUCUUCAUAGAUCAUCGUUGGGACAUCAAUGAUAGGGUAAAGAUAGCCGGAGCUUCGAAUAUGGCCCACAACUGCUCUCAACCAAAAGAAUUCCCAAAUUGCUUCAUGUAAAGUGAGAAUUUCAGUAUGGUUAAACGAAAUGGCAACUAUGGUUUGUGUAAUUGACCUCCAAGAGAUUGCGGUGCCUCCAAAGGUAAAGGCAUAACAUGUUUGAGAAUGCGCCUUGUGCAGAUUAGAUAAGUAUCCUAUGUCGGCAUAACCAACAAGGCAAGAAUGAACUAAAGAAGUGGGGGGUGCGGCAUCACUCACGCCAGUCCAAUGUCUGUGUGUUGGUGCAUUACUGUAUCUUGCCAAAAGAUUAACAUCGAAAGAAAUAUCGGGUCUAGUGCCUUGAGUUAAGUACACUAAAGCGCAUAUCUCACUUAGAUAAGGAACUUUAGGUUCCAAAAUAUCAUUAUCAUCAUCCUUCGGACGAAAGGAUUCUCGUUUUGCAUCUAGCGAUCGAACGACCAUUAGAGUACUAAAAGGCUUCGCUUUAUCCUCAUUAAAGCAACACAACAUCUUCUGGGUGUAGUUCGUUUGAUGUACUAAGAUUUCAUCUAAAUGAUGCUUUAUCUCGAGACCGAGACAGUAUCGAGUCUUUUCUAGAUCUUUCAUCUCAAAUUUCGACUUUAGGUGCUCAACAGUUCUCGCGAGCUCUUCAGGAGUUUCGAUAAAGUUCAUGUCAUCGACAUAUACUACAACCAUUGCAAAACAGGAAUGUGACUUCUUAAUGAACACACAAGGGCAUAGUUCAUUGUUCACAUAUCCUUGACUAGUCAAAUACUCACUCAAACGGUUAUACCACAUUAUUCCGGAAUGCUUCAAAAUGUAGAGUGAACACCUCAACCAAAUUGAGAGUGUGUUCCGGGGUUUAGAAAUAUUUGAUCUAGUCAAUGUAAGUCAUUCAGGAACUUUCAUAUAGAUUUCUGUAUCAAGAUCCUCAUAGAGAUACGUAGUUACUACGUCUAUCAACUGUUUUUUUUUCUUCAAUUUUUCGGAAACUACCAAACUGAUAAGGUAGCGAAAAGUAAUCACAUCCAUAAUGAGUUAAUAAGUUUCGUCAUAAUCAAUCCCAAGGUGUUGUAAGAAACGUUGCGCAACAAGACGAGAUUUGUAAUGCACAAUUUCAUUCUUCUCGUUACGCUUCCGAAUGAAAACCCACUUGUAGCCAAAGAGCUUUACGUUUGGAUGAGUAAGAGUUACAGGUCCAAACACCUUACGUUUCGCAAGUGAAUCGAGUUCGAUUUAGAUUACUUGUUUCCAUUUUGACCAAUUGGUUCUACUUCAACAUUCAUCAACGGAAUGAGGUUCAAUGUCAUCGCUCAACAUGAUCUUAGUAGCUACUGCAUAUGCUAAUGCACCGUUGACGAUCAUCUCAUUUCUACGUCAUACAUCAUCUAAGCUAGCAUACUAGACCAAAAUCUCACGAUUCUCGGGAAGAGGAUUUGUCGAUUCAAGGACAUUUCCAUAAUCUAGAAUUUCCUCAUGAAUUGGAUAAAAUGAGUAAGCGGCAGUCAGAUUCACGAUAGGCUUUUUAGAAGCCUGUGCCGUGGGUUUCCUCUUCCAGGAGUGUGAAUCUUUUGAACCAAGAACUCUGGAUUGCUUUUGUGUAGAGGCAGAUGAUUGGCUAGUCGUUAAUGUACAUGGAUCACCUAAGUUGGCGUCCCGGGCUUCUAGGAGGGAAAUCCGUCGUACAUUUGGUACAUCUAUCUUUGCAGGCGUAUGGGCAGAUCGAAUAUGUGAUCUUGUCAUUUGCGCUACAUUGGUGAAAGCAUCUGGCAUGCUCUAAGCUAUACUCUGAAGAUCUAAUAUGCGCUGCACUUCAGUUUCAGACUGAGCUGUGCAGGAAUCUAAAUGAGACAAAGUGGGAGUCGUCCACGAUAAUUCGCGUCAUUUUUCAGGGAUGUUGACAUUCUUAUCUCCCUUUAACGAGGGAAAACUGUCUCAUAUAAGUGACAAUGUGCAAAACGAGAAACAUAUCGUCUGUCAAAGGUUCUAAGUAACAAAUAAUCAAAGGAGAAUCAUAUCUAACACACCCGAUCCUGAUAGUCUCUAAAUACCCGAGGUAGGCACGUGCUGGCUGACACCCGAAUGUGACGAAGCCAUACUAACAUGCAUGCGAUGUAAUGAACAUAAAUAAAACUUGUAAAUUUAAUUAUAAUGAAUAAGCAGUUGUGGAUCGUGUUCAGAACAUACAACUAAAUCGAGACACUAGAAAGGAAAUAAUAUAAAAUCGAAUGAACAAAGAGAUGGGUCCUACACCGAAAGGACUCGAAGAUGCCGAUGCGGGAGUGUCUUGACGCUAGGAUUGUACGCCUCUAUUCUAAGUCAUGAGAGGGCGCAAAAGAAAAACAUGAGUAGACCAAGUUGAUAUAUAAAUAGUACUGAAACAGUUAUUCAAUAACGUACUAACCCCCUAAGUUUUAAGGAAACUCAAUAGUACAAUAUGUAAUAGGUUUUUUCGAAAACCCUAGCAUGCCAUAAAACCUUUGUAAAACAUAUAUCGUAUAUAAUGUGCUAAAUAGUGGUAUCAUAAUUGAUCGAAGCCACUACAUCACUUGACCCGUAGGCCAAAUAUAUGAAUAUCUUCGGACCCGUAGGCCACUACAUCACCCGACCCGUAGGCCAAAAUAAAUAUCUCCUAACCUGUAGGCCACUACAUCACCCGACCGAAACAAAUAUAAAUAUCAUCGCCCGUAGGCAGAACAGUGACCACUAGAUAAGCACAAAAACAUUGAAUAUAAUCUUUCCAAUAUACAUACAUAUAUCUCAAAACAUCUUUAUAGUAUAUAGUCAUCCAUCAUAUAUACUACAAAGAACAUAAAUUCGAUAAAGUAUGGUAUUCCAAAAUAUUCUCAGUAAAGCAUGAUAAUCAUAAAGUGUAAAUCUAAUUUACUCAUAAAACGUAUGCAUUAAAUCAUGCUUUUCAUGUAUGCAUUUCUCCUAUUAAAAUAUGCAUUUUAGAAGGGGUCCACUCACAGUUACUUCACUGUCGUAGAGCCAUGCAAACUAGCGAAGACGGAAACGCCACAAUAAAUGGUCCAAUUAAUAAAACAUUAUCAAAACGAUUGAAUUUGGGAAAAUAGAUGUCGGAAAUGGAUUUAGGACGUCAAAUUACCCUAAGAAAGGUCCCGGGUAAAUUUCAAAAAAGUCAACACAAAGUUAACACGAGAAUAUUCGAACUGGGUCGAGUCAAACGGGGCGGGUCAGCUGGGCUGGAUAGUUGGGUCGAAAGCCUUAGGUUGGAUUGAAGUUUGGGUUGGGCUGGGUCACAUGGCCCAAUGGGUCUAGGCCUAAAACUAAGCCAAGGGUUAAUGGGUUUGGGCUAAGUUCCAUUUGGGUUUAGUCUUGGGUGGUUAGGGUUGGGCCGGGUAGUUAAUUGGGUUGGGCGCAGAGUUGGGUUUUAGGCUAGGUUCAGGGUGGUGGGUUGGGCUGCCUCGAGUCGAGUCUGGCCCGUUAACCUCGCAGGUCAACGAACCCAACGAAGGAGAAGGUUGGAUUUCAACCGGGAAACUCUUAAACUCCGAUCGAGCUCAAAUCUUAACCAAACCAAGUCAUUCCAUAUAUCAAAAUGAAGCCCGAAAGACCAAGAAUUGAACCAUACCUUUGGUUCCCACAGUCGUGGCCGGAGUUAGCCAGAAAAGAGCUCAAAGCCAUCAGAUAUUCGCCGAAAACUUGGAAAAAUACUCCCCGAGCUUAUCUACAAUCAAACCACUCCAAAAUUGUCUCAAACUUCACCUAAACACCCUACUUAACCCUAUCUAGGUUGAAUUAGGACCUCGAAGGAAGAACACAUGCACAAACCACUCCAAAAUUAUCUCAAACUUCACCUAAACACCAUACUUAACCCUAUCUAGGUGUAAUUAGGACCUCGAAGGAAGAACACAUGCACAGUGACUGUGCACAAUGCAGAGAAAAAGAGAACGUGAGAUUAGAGAGGUGAGGGAGAAAAGGGAGGGUCCGAGUGGUGGUGAUGGUGGUGUGAUGGUUGCCGCCUGUGUGUAUGUAUGUUUGUGUGUGUGAGUUCGCUGGUGAGGAAGGAAAACUGAGGUUGAGAGAGAGUUUCAAGGUAGAGAAAGUGCUAUGGAAAAGGGAAGAAAGAGAGGGAGUGGGAAAAUAGGCCGGGGACAAGAAUCAAGGGUGGGCCCUUUCGGCACACCAAUUAAGGCAAAAAACAACCUAAUUAAAAAAUAUCUAGCCCAAGCACAAUGAAAUUACAAAAAUACCAUUUCAUUUUGUAAAUUUUGGGACAGGUUGUUACAAUAUACCCUCGUUAAGAAAAUUUCAUCCCGAAAUUUGAAAUAACUUGUUACACUGAAAAACUCGAAAAUAGGGAGAAGGAUAUAUAUAGGUUCAAGAGACAAAGAUUUUGACAAAUAUUUCUACUCUUUAUUUAAACCCUUAGAUUAAACCCAUUUUAAAGGUUAGGAUUGCUUUGAUAUGUUGACUAUUUUGAAAUAAGAACGGAAAUUAUACAUUUAUACCUCUGCAAUAAUGAAAAUUAUUAUGAUAAUAUUUUGAUUUCUCUCUUCUCAUCUCUUCAAAUUCAAAAAUAAAAGGUUUAUUCCUACUUGGUCCUGCUGAUGGUAUGAAGAAGAAGGAUGAAAUAGGAAGAGUCGAAAUGACAUGGGAUUCAACUUGUUUGAUUCAUAAAGUUCUUGUAGUCUCGUAUCUUAUUUUCUUUUCUAAUCUUUAGGCAUUUGAGGAUAAAUAAAAGAUCAAAUUUUGGAUUACAAACACCAAUUUUUUUUUCUUUCUAAGACUCCUUUUGGAAUUGGGGUGAAAUUGAGGAAUUACAGGCACCACCGCCAUAAACCCGAACAACACUAGAAUGCUCCAAAUCAAACUAAGGAGCCAUUGCUUGCAAACCAGUUGGUCGAAGGAAAUUCUACAUACUUUGCUGCUAAAUGUAUAAGAUUUAAUGGCGUUAAAUCUUUUAAGAUAUACGUAGGAGAUAGAAUCACUAAUAAUAAUUUUUCACAAUUAAUGAAUUUUAAUUUCCUUUCAUAUUUCAAAUUAGUAAAUAAACUAGUGCGAUCUUAACCAUUAAAAUAGCUUUAAUCUAAAGGCUCAAAAGAAGUGUAAAAAAAUUUGUAAAAAAAUUUGUAAAAAAAUUUGUCCCUUAAUCCUAUCCCAUAUAUAUAUAUAUAUAUACACACACACACACACACACACGUAACAAAUAAAUCAAGUCAGAGCAGUUGCACAAAAGGGAAAAUGCCACCCCGUCGCGAUCAAGUUGCAAUGAUUCCAUCUUUCGUGCGUCCAGGUUCAUACCUUCUUCCCCCAUUAGUGGAAAAGUAUAAACAUACUUUAUAAAGAUAUAAAGUCGAAAACAUAUAAUAAUGUAAGGUUAAAAAAUAGGUUCGUAUAGCAAUAUAACUUCAAAAUAGGGUACAUAUUGAAAUAAAGGUCGAAAACUCGUACUGAAAUUACAUUGAAAGUGGAAAAGACUCGACCAACAUUUGUAACGUCAAAAAUACAAAUAUAUAACUAUAAUAAGGUAAGUUAUAAUACUUGUACUGAAAAUCCAAAUCAAACAUGAAAGUGGGUCUCGCCCCAGCAUACGUAAUGCCACAUACUUCGAGAAUAGGUGUGAUUCUUUGGGUCGAUCCUUAACAAAAACUAACUAGUAACAACUAUCGCCGAUGGGUCUACCUACCCAUUUGCUUAACAAACCCAAUGAAUAAGUUAUCGAUACAACAGUCGGCUGCCCGCGAUAUUGACCACAAAUUGUUGUCUCGAUAAGUAAGCAGUAAUUUCCCAAGGGUGCACAAUUUCCCAUAUCGUAAAUUCGAUCCUCCAAAUACCAGUUCACAAAACUCCUCUAUCAACCAGUGUUGCCUGUAAAAACUCUCGUACCAUGUCUCAAAAGUGCCACCCAAAACAAAAAAAAAAACUAGCAUCGUAACCACUUCAAAUGAGAUCGGUGCAAAUUCUAACCAUGUUGCAACCACAGAACAAGCGAACAUGACACGUCUUCCUAGGUUUAGAUAGCUCGUUCAGACGUAUAACUGUCUGGGAAUGAAAUGCAGUACCGAAUAAACAACUUAGUACCCAAGGCCUCCAAGAGAAACUUCACAAAACUUAGAAAUGGAACGCGUAAAGCAAUGAGGCAUCAAAGUGACGACAUACCCUAAAACCGAAAAAGUGAAACACACAGUUAAGUGAGCUGAUUCAAUGAACAUUUCCCUCGAAUUUAGCAAACGGCUAUUCAGAGAAGGCUAAAAGAACACUCAAGAAUUUAAAGGUCAAAACAAGUCCAAGGAUAGAAUGGUUCACAUCAUGCAGUUCCAAUCAUCAAGAGGUACAUGCGUUACUCGAUCCUGCUGCAUUAACGUGCAGCCAACAUUGAAUAAAACACCACCGCAGGAAUUCGAAAUGUAAAGGUUACGAUCAGAUGAGACAAUACCCCGUUGUCAGAAACUUCGUUUGCCAUCAGCAUCACAAUAAAACUGACUGGUUUCUUAGCCAAAAAGGAAAUAGGUCUAAGCUCAAAGAGUAGUUAAGAACUGCUGAUAGGCCAAAAACAUUUCGUAUAUCAUAACACCAUGUGAGGAUUUCCAAAGGUUGUAACCCUUUUUGGAAAUUGAUGAGAAUAACGUCUACUACCAAAAAAAAUUCUCAAAAAGAGUAUCGACUCUAAACAAAAACAACAUUUGAAGAAUUUGACGUACAAUUGACUGUUGAUCUUUAGUGAACUUAACCUCGUGGUUGAAGUAAGCAAGAAGGUUAUCAAUAAAACAAUCAUCGAGAAUUGUUCUAAGGAUCCACACAAGUUUCCACAAUGAGAACGAGUCAAAGGACAUUAAUUCGAUCCCACCAACUAACACUUACUAAACUUCGCAACAUCUAGCGCUUACUCGCUCUCUCUAACACGAACUUCGAAUAUUUCAAAUAACUUCAAUAAAGAUGUGACUCUGCCCGUUAUUCCUAAAGAACGCAUGUCGCACAGUGACAUCACCAAUUCAGAUCUUACAACUCAAAUCACUUAAAUCUUUUCGUUUCACGUUAGAUAUGACUCUGCCCGCCCUUCAUAGGGAACGCAUGUCGCAUAAUAACAUCACUGUUUCGGGUCUUCAGUUGGUCUUAACCAACUCAUACCACAAGUAUUUUUCGUUUCCCAAAACUCGUAUGUAGAUCCGACUACGCCCGUAAUUCCUAGGGAAUGCAUGUUGUAGAGUGGCAUUACCAUUUCGGAUCCUCAACUGGUCUCAACCAACCUUCUUCUAACUGAGAUUUUCUAAAUCGCGUCACUUCAAUGUAAACACUAAAUCUUCCCGUAAUUCCUAGGGAACACAUGUUGCAGAGUAUCGGUCUGAUGUUGAAAGUCAUCAAACAGUCCAUUUCUUCACCGAUGAGGCAUAAUCCCGACACGAAUUUUCUUCUUCUUCAAUAAGAUGUGACUAAUCAUGCAGAAUGAGGGUUGCACAAACGUGUCGAAAGACAACAAAUCCGGAAGUCUUGACAUCUAAAUGACGUCAUGACCGACACAUUACUACAAUAAAAGAAGAUCCUAAAUAUGCUUUGCACAAACCACAUUCUGAUACCAAAUUGACAAGCCUGACCCUGAUAUUUUCUAAAUACUCGAGGUAGGCACGUGCUGGCCAACACCCGAAGGUGACGAAGCCAUACUAACAUGCAUGCAAAGUAAUGAACAUAAAUAAAACUUGUAAAUUUAAUUAUAAUGAAUAAGCAAUUGUGGAUCGUGUUCAGAGCAUACAACUAAAUCGAGACAUUGGAAAGGAAAUAAUAUAAAAUUGAAUGAACAAAAAGAUGGGUCCUACACCGAGAGGACUCGAAGAUGCCAAUGCGGGAAUGUCUUGACACCAGGAUUGUACGCCUCGAUUCUAAGUCAUGAGGGGGCACAAAAAUUAAACAUGAGCGGACCAAGUUGAUUUAUAAAGUGUAAAUAUAAUUUACUCAUAAAACGUAACCAUUAAAUCAUGUUUUUCAUGUAUGCGUUUCUACUAUUAAAACAUGCAUUUUAGAAGAGGUCCACUCAUAGUUACUUCGCCGCAAACUAGCGAAGACAGAAACGUCACAAUAAAUGUACCUAAGCACAUAGAGGGUCCAAUUAAUAAAACACUAUCAAAAUGAUUGAAUUUGGGAAAACAGACAUCAAAAUGGAUUCAGGACGUCGAAUUACCCUAAGAAAGGUCACGGGUAAAUUUUGAAAAACUCAAUAAAAAGUUAAAACGAGAAUAUUCCAUCCGGGUCGGGUCAAACGGGCCACUGAGUCAACGGGCAAGGUCAGCUGGGCUGGACCUAAAACUGAGCCAAAGGUUAAUGGGUCUAGGCCUAAAACUGAGCCAAAGGUUAAUGGGUUUGGGCCAAGUUCCAUUUAGGUUUGGGCUUAGGUGGUUAGGGCUGAGCCGGGUAGUUAAUUGGGUUGGGCCCAGGGCUAGGUUUUGGGUUGGGUUCAGGGUGGUGGGUUGGGCUGCCUCGGGAUGGGUCUGGCCCGUUAAGCUCGUGGGUCAACGAACCUAUCGAAGGAAAAGGUCGGAUUUCGAUUGGGAAACUCUUAAGCUCCGAUCGAGCUCAAAUCUUAACCAAACCAAGUCAUUCCAUAUAUCAAAAUGAAGCCCGGAAGACCAGGAAUCGAACCAUACCUUUGGUUCCCACAGUCGUGCCCGGAGUUGGCCGGAAAAUGGCUCGAAGCCACUGGAUACUCGCCGAAAACCUAGAAGAAUACUUUUCGAGCUUAACUAUAAUCAAAUCAUUCCAAAAUCGUCUCAAACAUCACCUAAACACCCUAAUUAACUCUAUCUAGGUGUAGUUAUGAGUGGGAUCGACUUACCUCAAAGGAAGAACACGUGCAUAGUGAUUGUGCACAGUGCACAGUAUAGAGAAGAAGAGAGCGUGAGAUUGAAGAGGUGAGGGAGAGAAUGGAAGGUCUGAGUGGUAGUGAUGGUGGUGUGAUGGUUGCUGCCUGUGUGUGUGUAUGUUUGUGUGUGUGAGUUCGCCGGUGAGGAAGGAAGAGUGAGGUCGAGAGAGUGUGUGCUAUGGAAAAGGAAAGAAAAAAAAAGGAAAGGAAAAUAGGCCGAGGACAAGAAUCAAGGGUGAGCUCCUUGGGCACACCAAACCAAUUAAGGCAAAAAAUAACCCAAUUAAAAAAUAUCUAGCCCAAGCACAGGGAAAUUACGAAAAUACCCCUUCAUUCUGUAAAUUUCGGGAUGGGUUGUUACAAUAUCCGACAUAGAUUCCCAUCUUUCGUUGAGGCCCUAUUUUUGUACGUAAGGGCGGCGAAAUCGGCACAUAAACUGCACAAUUAGAAACUCGCAGAUGCAAUAUGUCGGGUUCGUAUCUAGUAACCAACUAAAUGGCGCUAUAUGGUUGGGUCGCAACAGGCUUCAGGCGGACUAACAUGGCUGUGUGCAAUAUUGCAUGGCCCCAAGCAGUGAUCGGGAGCUUGGUACGUAUGACCAACGAUCGAGCAAUCAUUUGUAAGCAUUUAAUGAAUGCCUUUGCCAGACCAUUUUGGGUGUGAACAUGGGGUACUAGAUGUUCAACUUCGACCCCAACCAACAUGUAACAGUCAUCAAAAGUUUUAGAUGUGAAUUCUCCAACAUUAUCCAAUCGAAUAGAUUUGAUCAGAUAAUCAGGAUGGUGAGCCCUGAGUUUGAUAACCUGAGCCAACAGUUUGGAGAAUGUAGUGUUCCUUGUGGACAACAAGCACACGUGUGACCAACAUGUGGAAGCAUCGACCAAACCCAUAAACUAUCUAAAUGGUCCGCAUUGAAGGUGAAUCGGUCCACAAAUGCCCCCUGAAUCCGUUGUAGAAAAAUGGAAGGAUUCAAAUGAAUCUUGUCAUAAGAAGGCUUAGUAAUAAGCUUUCCCAUUGAACAUGUUUGACAUGCGAUUCCUUGAAUCGAACCUAAACUUCAGGUUAAUAGAUGCCCGUGUGAUGAUUUGAGGAGACGGUGCAUCACUAUUCGUCAAAGAUUUCCCAAAUGAUCAUGCCAAAUUGUAAUUUCGUGCGUGGUCCCAGAGGUAGGGUCGGCCAUAUAAUGGUUCUCUAUGAGGCGUAUGGUCAUAGUAUACAGACCACUUGGGAUACGCUUCAUCUUCUCUAGAAUACGCUUCUAGACAUAUUCAUAGAAAGUUAUGCAUAGAAAUUCAACUCCAUUUUCUAAAUGGGUUUCAUCGUGGUAAUUGUUAUCUUUAAUGUCCUUAAAACUCAACAAGGCUCUUCCGGAACGUGGAGAAUAAAGUGUCUCAUCAAUGGUCAAGAUUGUACCAUUUGACAACAUUAUACGUGCCUUACCGUAUCCUUCGAUUAGGUUGGAUCAGCCUGAGAGGGUUGUCAGAUGUGCAUUAUUAGGUAUGAAGUUAGUGAAAUAGAUGUGUUCACACAAAACGGUGUGUGUGGUUGCACUAUCUUCCAGACAACUAAUUUCCCCACUAGUCAUAUGUAAAAUGAAAAAUUAAUUUGAAUCGAUCACAUGCAUAAAAGUUCUUAAAACAAAUAUCCAUUCAAAAUAAUUUAAGUAUUCAAGGCCGAAAAUUAAUUAAAACUUAAUAUCCAAAAAAAAUCAACAACAAAUAAUCCAAACGUAAAGGAAAAUUGUUCAAAAUUAACCAAAAACAAGGAAGGGGUUCGGCCACUACUAUGGAAUUUGGCCCCAUUGUCUUAUUUUAACUAGAAAAUAAGUUUAUGUCUAAGAUUCUAAUCUUUCAUAGGUGUGGUAUCCUCUUGAAAGACAAAAACCACCAUUUUGGUGCUCUCCGGUUCAUCCACUUGCACAAAGUUUGAUUCAAACUUCUUACGACGAGAAUGAUAUUCGGCUAUAACCUUCUGGGGAGCUCAGCAAACACAGAACCAGUGGUCCUUAUAACCACAAUUAUAACACAUAUCUGCAUCCAUAGUUUCAUGUGAUUUACCCUUAUUCUUGAAGUUUGGCGCAUUGAGAGCGAGGUUAGGGCUUUUUUGGGCUUUGUUUCCUCCCUUAGAUGGGUCUUGGCUCUGUUGAACUUGACGGGAUGGCUUCUGGCCGCCCCUACCACGCCUCUUUUAGUGUUUUGGGCGUUGGUUCGUGCUAUAGUGUGCUUCAGGCACAUCAGUUGUCCUAGUAGGUCAAGCUUGAUGAUUCUUCAUCAACAGCUGAUUCUGCUUUUCAGCGAGAAGUAAAACAGAGAUCAAAUCCAAGAACUUGGUAAACUUCUGAGCUCUAUAUUGUUGCUGCAGGACAAUAUUAGUAGUAGAGAAGGUCGAAUAUGUCUUUUCCAAAAGAUCAUCUUCGGUCAAAGUUUCGUUACAAAACUUAAGAAAUGAUCAGAAUCGACAAACUUCAGAAUUAUAUUCAUUCACAGACUUAAAGUCUUGGAAAUGCAAAUGUUGCCGAUCAUGUCUUACUUCCAUUAAGAAGAUGUCCUUUUGGUGAUCAAAACGAUCAGCCAAAAUGACCCAUAAUGCUUGUGGAUCCUCCUAAACAAGGUACUCGAUAUGUAAUGCGUCAUGAAUAUGUCUUCGGAUGAAAAUCAUGGCAGUGGCUUUAUCAGCUUCGCCAGCCGGGUUGUCCGUCUCAUCUUUAAUGGCAGGAUGCAAAUUCUUUGCAGUGAGGUAGAGUUUCACAUCUUGGACUCACUUGAGAUAGUUCUUUCUAAAGACCUCUAAAGCAGUGAAGUCGAGUUUGUUCAAAUUUGAUAUGUUCCUAUCAAAAAAUAAGUGGACAAGAUAUGGUUAGUGCAAUGGAGAAAAAAAAAAUCAAUUCAUUCACAUAGGAGUAGAACAUUCAGGUUCUAAAAGACAUAUAUUGGUUAAAAUUCACAUGAAAAAGCUUCGGGUUUUCAUGAGUGAUGUUUUUAAUGAAAACUUCAGGUUUUCAAACAAGGCAUGUUUAUAGAAGCUUCAAGUUUCGAAAUAAUUAUAAACUUCAAGUUCAUAUGUUCCUUCAGAUAAACGCAAAUAUAUAUAUAUACAUAAAUAUACAACAAGGAAAUAUGCAAAUAGAACCUCAGGUCUAUAAUUAUAAUUGAAUUAAUUAUUUGGACCUUGGACCAAAAUUAAAGUGUGGGUGAAAAAAUAUAAAACCCAUUAGGCUUAAAAAUAAUUAGGCAAUUAAAUACGAGGCCCAAAAUAAAAGGCCAAAGCCCACGGAUGGGCUAAUGAAAAUAGGUGUCGUGCAUCCCACGCCCAAAUAUUGAACGGGUUUGGUUUCGGGCCGAGUAGACAUGCAGGCCCAACAUCACAAAGUAAGCAGUUAUAUUCGCAAGCCCAAAGUAGAAGCCCGUGAAAGGUGCGGAUUGGCUGCGAUACGACGCAUGUGAGAGACGGCAGGAGCCCAGAUAGAUCUCGGGCCAGAUCAUCAUUAAAGUCUAACGGGUUGGUGAUGUGGGUUGAAACUCACGGCACAAGCAUGCCCAAUAACAUGGGUGAUGUGCGAAUAGACCGAAUGGAAAUUGAGGCCCAUGAAGGCUCAGGUUGGGACCUUCAGGCCACCCCAUUAACACUGGGUGUGGUGAUCCGCUGAAAUUAAGUCGACGGCUCCAUGGUCGGUGCAAGCUAUAGUUCAUCGGAGAACCAAGUUUUUGUCGACGGAGGUGAAAUCUCAACAUCGGGGUAAGGAGAACCGAAAGAAUUCAAUCGAAUUCGAAUAAAAACUCAUGAAAUUCUUCUGGAAUUUCGAGAAAUCGUUGGUAAAAACUAUGAGUUUCGUCCAAAUUACACGACUGCCAGUCGUGUUUCGAUGGAAAAAUCAACGGGGAAGACCUAGGCUUUAGGCCGAGGGUUGGGACAGUGGUGCCUCAAUGCACCGUUAUGAUUUUUGGGCUUGCAACCUGGGUUUCGAUUCUGGGCUGGGCUUGUCGAGCCGUUGCAGGUUGCUGGCUUGGUGCUAUCGACUUGCACGAUUUGAGGUGAGGUGUUCUAAGAACCCUAGCUUUCCCAAUUUCAAUUUUUUUUCAAUUUUUUCAAUUCAAUUCAAAUAUUUUAAUGCAUGGACAUAUAUUUGAUGCAAUUCAUGGCACUAUCAAAUUCACAUAAUUCAACAAUUAUGAAUUUAUACACAAUUGAUGUAGAAUCUCAAAUUCGAAAAACGUAAAGUUGGGUCAUGCAUUAUGGUGAAUAUUCGUGCUAUUAGGGCUGCAAAAAUAUCGAGAUAAAAACCGUUGUUUUGGAAGAACCUGAUUGCAUGAUGAUAUGGAUUAACUGGUUUGAUGCAAUAAAAGCUCCAACGUCAGAUUCCUAAGCACAUCGGUAGAAACAUGCUGAUAACGUGUUGUAGCCUAUUUUAUCUGACUAAGGGGAAAAGGCUAGCAGCAAGGGAAGAGAGAAAGGAAAGAUGUGUUUGUAGAAUCGUAGGGGAAUGUGUGUUAAGGAUGUGUUAUCCACCCUACGUGGUGCCUUUAUUUAUAGUAAUAAGGAGAGGAAAGCAUUCAUCCCCAAGGAAUACAAGUCCAUAUAGGAAAGAAUAACUAUAUCCAAUAUAAUCUAGGAUUUACACAAUCACACUUAAACUAGGAAAGUUCACAACAAGUUUAAAAUGUGUCUAAUUAUAUGUACGUGUAUUAUAAACUAACAAAAAAUUUAUGUUGUCACAUGUAAGUAAUGUGUUCGCAUUGAUGACAAAAGUUCCAACACAAUGAGUGACGUAAUCAAUAAAGUACGAAUAAUUAUGUUUUAUAUAAAGACGAGUGUUGACAAUACAUAUUUUAAAUUGUGCUGAUGACUACUAUUUUAAUGAUUCGUGUUGACAAUGUAUUUUCAAACAAUCAUUGUAACCAUCAUGUCAAAACGACUGGGCUCUAAAUUUGGUGCCAUCAAACAAAAAGAAGGAUUCCAAACCAAUGAAAUGGUACACAUAUUGAUGAAGUAAUGGUCUUUUUAUGUAACACCAUUUCAACUUCUUUCCAAAAUGGUUUCAAGUAAGAAAUAAGGAAUGAAAUUUCUAACAGACUUACUCAAACUAUUUCUUGUUUUAAUUGAGAAAAAGAAGAGGUCGGAUUGUGUUUACAUGAAAUUAAACAACUAGAUUUUGGAGUUUUACAAAAGAGAAAAAGAAGGGGAAUAUAAAACGUGAAUCUUACUUUUAUGAAGAAAUACAAUAUGUAUUACAUGAUACAAAUAAUUCAUGUUAUUUUAAAGUCGUUCUACUUGCAUGGACAUCGAAUGUCAAAUCCGCAUUUACAACAAAUCUCUAAUGUGUUCACAAUGACGACAAAAGUCCCAAAACAAUGAGUGACGUAACCAGUAGAGUGCACACAAUUUUGUUUUUUUAUAAAGACAAGUGUUGACGAUACAUAUUUUAAAUCGAGAGGACGACGAUUAUUUCAAUAAUUCGUGUUGACAAUGUAUAUUCAAACAAUCAUUAUGACCGUUAUGUCAGAACUACCGCAGUCAAAAUCUUGAGCAACCAAACAAAAAGAAGAAUCCCAAACCAAUGAAAUGAUACAAACAUUUAGAUUGUCUAACCCCACACCAACACAGAUAUUUAAUCCCUAACCCUAGUAAAAAGUAGGGGAAUCCUCCAACCAAGUUGCAUAUUUUAUUUUUCACUUUUGGCCAUGAGUGUUUGGAUAGUGUUCUUGGGUACCUGUCGAGUUUUGUUUGCUUCCCCCGCCCGAAAAACCUUACAACCAAAAAGCACGACUGCAACCAAUGCAUGCCACUUUUACUUUUUUGUUCGGUCGGCAUGCAUGACACUUGCCCCCAACAAAACACCAAACCCUAACCCUAAUUUCAGUUCCAUAUUUAUCCUCAUCUUUUCAGUAAUUUCCCUAAGUCAGCACGGCACUACGAAAUAAAGUUGUCACCUACGCGAAUUUAAUUUAACCAAACUCAGUACGAAAAGACAUAAAUGACACUGAAAAUACAGAAGCAAAGAAAGGAGAGUUUUCAGGGCUGGUUUAGUAUUACUGUGCUUUGAAAAAAAACUGCCGUGAGAAUAAGCGGCUGUGCUGUGAGAAUAAGCGACUGUGAAAUAAAUUAGCAGAGUGUUUGGUAAACUUUUUUGUAAAAGUGCUUUUGGAAAAAAAAAACAAUCUAAUAGUAGGUCUUUUCAUUAAAGGAGCACUAUAGCUCCGUGUGCUUUGAAAAAAAACCAAUUUUUCAAAGCUAUAAAUAACAACUUCAGCUUUUUCCUUUGAUUUCAGCUUAUUCUCACAGCAACUUCCAAAAUAAGCCCUUUUUUUUCAGUUUACCAAACACCUAAAACCCUCACAGCUUUUUUUCAUGAGUGCUUUUUUUUUAAACACCUCACUCCCAAACCACCCCUCACUGUCUCCUAAACACAACCAGCCAUAUGUUAUUAUAUCAAUGAAGGAAUACUUAAAAAAACUUUCUUUCGCAAACAAUGCUACUAUUACCGUCUAUUUAUACUAUCACACAAAUAAAGAUAAGAACUACACACGUUGACGAAUCUUACUUCUAUUAAAAAAAAUAUAUAUAUAUAUAUAUAUAUAUAUAUUAAGUGUAGCGUUACUCUUCUUCCACAUACAUAAAAAUCUAUAACGUUUAGCCCCGUAUACCAAGUCCAUUAAAAAAUCUUUCAAAAAAAAAAAAAGACCGCAAAUACAUGUAACUCAAUUGGUUACAAGUAUUCACUAUUACAGACCAAUGUCGAGUUCUGAUUUCUCUAAUUCCUCUAUCACCUAGUCAGAAAAAAAGAGGACACGGAAACUGUGACACUUGUCACGAAAAGAGGCAUGUAGCAUGAACAUAAGGUGGUGCGAUGGGUGAUUGUAGCAAGCGUUUUUCAAGCAGAAUAGUCAGGACAGAAACUUGAAAAGAGGGGAGAUAAGAUUCUUUGAAAUGGCCUUGGAGUCGAGAGUCACGAGCGGUGACCGACAGAUUUGGGAGUACGGUCAAGCAAAUGGAGGAGUGAGAAAGUAGAGAGAGAGAGAGACAGAGAUGACGAGAAACGAUUGGAGCACUUUACUCGCAUGAAAACCAUGUGUUGCGGUUGCUGGCAAAAGAGCAAACCACCAAAAUUAUAUUUCACAUUUCUUCACACACCUCAUCACCCUUAAAUUUCGGUUUUGAUCAAAUGGGUUUUUGUAUCUUAGCUACCAAAACCCUAUCCCUUUCUCAUCCAAACAAAAAUAAAUAAAAGAAAAUAUUUUCCAAUGAAUAAAAAAACCAACCAAAAAUCAUAAUCCAGUUAAUUACCUCUUAAAAGCAGUUUUCAAAACAAAUUGAUACACAUCACGAACGGUAAUAAAUUUUAUAUUCAAUUCGCAUAAAUAAUAAGUUUGAUAUUUAAUUAUUAUAAAUUAUUUAUUGCACCACGUGACUCAAUCAUCUUAUAAACAAAAACCACCUGAAAUAUGCUAGCAUUUAUAUAUAUGUGUGUAUUAAGAUGCUUGUAUGUGAUGUGAUGCAGUGAUAGUGCUUAUGAAGAAAUGUUAGGUUUGAAGAUCCCAAUAAUAUGUUGACAGUUAAUGUAGUUGGAAGCAAUUGGUUUUUCAUUUGUGUGAGUGAAAAAGUAGAGACACUAAAUAAAGUUAGUGUCUGAAAAAAAGACGGCGCGCCAGACAAAAGAACAUAAAUAUUUUUGAAUAAAAGACGCAUAAUUAAUUAAUGCCUUUAUUUUUUUAUAAAAGGAGCUUCACAUUCUUCCAAUCAUCAUAAGAGACAGGUGAAAUGAAAACAGUAUAUAUAUAUGUUUGACUUUUGUCUAGCAAAAUCUUGUUGGAAUCUAUUGAUCAUGUGGGACCGGUUUAAGAUUUCAUCAAUUUUAAAACUCAACUAUGACCCGUACGACACACCGUUACGUUGAUGUUCCGGAAAUAAACUCGACACAACUACGUACAAAAAAUGCAUGAACAUAUAAACUUUCAGAUAGGGUAGCCCUAUAAUAUGGUAGGUUAACUAAUCCUCAAUAAAUCAUGAAUUAUCAAAUUAGCACUAAUCAAGAUUAUAUAUCCUCACACAAACUCUUUAAAUUUCUUAACGACCCACCACGGAAUGACCAUCAUGAACCAAUUCCACGCGGGCCAAAUUCAAUCAACACGCAAAAACCUCCCCACCUAGAAAAUGGUGAAAAGGGUGCACCAUUUUCUCAUCCAAUGAGGGGACCACUAACGCCGUAACCGAUGGCUCCGUUAGCUGGAAUCUGCCGUGAGGGUAGGGGCCAAAAUAAAGCAAAAUACAACCCCCCCUAACUAGCAUUGUGUUAAUCGCCCAAUCCCUAACCGUACGACGUCGUAUUCAUGCUAAGCCGGACCCAUUAUUGACUCUUCCACGCCUGCUUGUGCCAAGUGUCAAACUUUGGGCCAACCUCGCCCAGUAAAACCUCUUUAAUUUUCUGUUAGGUCUCGUGUAUCAGUCAGGAUUCGACGCUUCACACGCCGUGGUCGUUGGUCCAAAACCAACUUCACAUAUUACCCCUGUAGUAUCAUGUAAUUACACUACUACCCCAUGUGUACGAAUUACACUUUCCAUUUCCUAACUGAUCCUAAACAGUCACAAAUGUAGCUCAAGUAAUAUAAAACAUUUAUUACUGUACUCGUGGUCCUAAGUAUGAUCCAAUGUCCUAUGUAUUAAAAAAAUAAUUAUACAGAGGGCCAACCUGAUUUGUGGUAUUUGCCCUUUUUUUUUAUUCAAAAAUUUUAGGAGCAGAGGCUACCCCGUUUCAAGUUUGGGCAUACCACAAGCCUUCGUGAGAAUUUGCAAACAAGGUCUUAACUUUUUUAUUUUUUUAAUUUUACAGAUCAUCACCAAGAGAAGUUACCGACAGUGAAAACUCAAAUGUCUUUUGAAUUUGACUCAAUUAAAUAACGAAGAUAAUAUAUUUUUUAGUGCAUGAAAAUCAAUUAGUAGUAAGUCUAGUGUAUUUUUCUCCACUCAAUCGUAAGAGGUCUCAAAUUUAACCUACCGAAAAGACGACGGCUAUAUAUAUUCAUAUAUAUAUAUAUAUAUAAACACACACACAUAUACAUAUAUAUAUAUAUUUGUAUUGAGCGUAAUACUUAGUCGUGCAUGCCGUGAUUGCAUGGCUCUAUGACACCGUGAGUAGAUUAUAAAGUAUUUGUUAAUUAAUGUACAAAUACACAGAAAGAAACAGAAAAGUAAAGUAAAAUUAGUUUAUAUAAUUUCGUGUUUAGAAUUAUUAUAUUAAUAUAAUAAUAUUAAAGACCAAGUCGUUUACCGGGAAAAGGUGUUAUCAGUUAUAUCUAUUGGUUCCAUGGGACUUUGUGUUGUUUGGCUUCUUUCUUCUCUCUUCACAUUUCUCUCACUCCCUUCCUCAAUAACUUUUCACCAUUUUCGAUUCUUUCUGAGAGUUGAAUGAGAUCUGGGCAGUCACUUAAAUUCAGGGUAGCUCUAUAAAUCCUCUCUGUUUUUGCUAAUUUUUUAAAAAUAUUUUUCUCUGUUCUGAAGAUUUCACCGAACAGCAGAGAAUAAAGUGGCAUUAUCCGUGGAGAUUUCUGUUUUUCCCAUCUUAUUCAAUAAAACUGAAUUUUCAGUGAUUUAAAGAUCUGAAUUUUUUCAACCAGAUGCUGCUGGGUGUAAUGUUUUUGGUGAGCUGGGUAAACUCUGAUGGUUUGUUGUGUUGUUAGCUCAAAGCUGGGUUUUUUGAGCUGAAGAUUCUCAAAAUUUGCCUUUUUUUUUUCUUUGUAGCAGGUGAUUCGAUAAAAUGGGGAAGAGAAGGAUGAAGAAAUCUUGAUUUCGAGAAAUCGAAAUCGAAAAAUCCGCCUUGGGGAGAACGGAAUUGAGCGUGUUAGAAGAAAUCUAAGAACUUAACAGGUGGGUGGGUCCCUCUGAAGGCAGAGGGAUCGGUAUGGGUGAAGAGGGAGGAGAUCGGAGUUCUUGCUGUUGGAUGCCACCAACACCUUACAGGCCUAUUGUCCCAAGACCGGAGCCCAAAUUGCAGCCGGAGAUUGCGACGGCCUCGAGACCCUUGGCCUUCGGGGUAGAAGAAACUCAAGAGAAUAGAGUAGUUAUAGACUUGGAUCCGGAUCCGGAGGAAGAGAGCGGGUUUGUUUACCAUGGGGCUGGGGCCGGAGCCGGAGCCGGCGUUGAAAGUUCAACGGACGCUUAUUUUUGCCGCGUGGCGCAGUGGAGAGACGUUCCUUGUAAAGAGCUCAUGAUCCUUGCGGUGGCCUCUGCAAAUGACGGGAGUGGUGGUGCAGUGCUUGGAGAUACUCAGCGUAAGUGCAACCAAUUGAGUUUUAAUUGUUAUUUGUACCACAUUUACUGAUCGGGGCGAAUGACGGCGCAGGUGCGAACUCACGUGUGUCCGGAUCCACAUCCGACUCACGUGCGUCUCGACUCACAUCGGGCCCACGUGCGUCUGGCCCUCUAAUUAUUGGAGGACAGUUGACGCACGUGUUCUUUUUUCUCCUCUAUUAGGAGAAAUUCUUGAGUACGGACGUAUGCCUUUACCACCCACGAAAAUAGUGGGCCCAUAUUCUCUCCCUUCUCACGUGAUGAGAGAUAAAAACACACUAAGGUCAACUAACUUUUCAUAGGGUUGUUUAGUGGCAAAUGAGCGGAGAGACUUACAUGUAUACUGCUUUUUUCUCUCACGUGAGGAGAGAAGAUAGAUAUAAAAAGGGUACUAACCUGGUUGCAAGGUGAGUCCCGUAUAAAGCUUUAUACUUGAUUUUUGCUACGAACUCUAAUCUUUUACUAUCUUACACCUCAAGCAAAGCAUUUUUAAACAAAUUCAUCAGUCUUGAGAAGUGGAGAACAUAGUUACCGUAGGAGAAGCAAACUCGGCAGUCACUGAAUUUAAGGGUAGGAUAGCCGCCUUAGCGUGGACAGCCAGUUGAAGUGACUACAAAUAGCAUGAAUAUGAUAGUUGUCAGAACAAAUUAAACAUCCGAAAUGAAAAUAUUGAUAACAAGUUAUAGGAUUGUUCAGGAUUACGAUAUCUAGAAGAUAGUAAUGACCGCUAGAUACACGCAUUAUGUAUGAUAGAACAAGUAAUGAGCCAGUUUUCACACGUCAUAUGUCAUAUAUUCUGACUGCAAUAAUGAGUUGUGUAUUGAUAUGUCGUAUGAAUUUCUGAUUCUCGGUAUGAAUUUCAUCUUGGGGAACAAGUUCUCCAUGGUUAGUUGAUUACCACCAAUUUUUUUACCAGAUUUCAGAUUUAUGUUAAUUUUAAGUGCAACUCUAUAAAUCAACAACAAAGUUUGUAGUUUGUUUUUGUUACCUUUCUGAUCAGUAGAUGAACCAAUGUUUCUAUGCAGAUGAAUAUUCGUUCCCUGACAACCAUCCUUAUGAUCUGAAUGUUCCACCUCCGACUACAUAUGGCCAAUUUGCACCUAUAACACCAGAUAAGUCCAUGAGAGUAGACAGUGUUCAAAUGUCUCAAAUUCCGAGCUCCAACGCAGACGAUGGACGAGGCCAGGAGAUAGAAGAGCAAUGGGAUGCUAAUUCUGCGACAAUUAACAUAAUUGAUCUGGAAAACAAUAAGGAUAUAGAAAAAUCUGCCGUGGAUUCAUCACAAGCUACUUUCUCCACGCAGCUCCAGGAACAUUGCAACCCUGACAAGGAGGUGAACAUCAUUAUAGACUUGAACAAUACACCACAACCAAAACAAAGAAGGAGAAAGCACAGGCCGAAGGUGAUUAUAGAAGGCAAGCCAAAAAGAAACCCACAGCCUUCUGGUUCUAUGGAAAAUCCAAAACCCAAACGUAAGUAUGUGCGGAAGAGUACACUCGAGAAAAACAAAACUCCUCCACCACAGGAAUCUACAGAGCAUAUUGAUUCAAAUAAUCUGAAGCCUCCGAAGAGAUCAUGCAGAAGGACUUUAAACUAUGCCGACACAGAAGAAACAAUAGAUGGAAUUUCCUCAAGCAAGUCUUUCAAUGUGGGUUCACAAUCACAGGAGAUGAAUGUUGGCACCGAUGGAGUUCAAUCAAAUUCAACUGGACCGUGCAGGAAUGAAGUUGAAUUGGUGGCAGAUAACACCCAAGCAGGCAUAGCCCAAGAUCUCGUCCGUUCUACAAGCCGAAUGCUGAAACAUUACUUGUCAUUGCCAGACCAGCAACCUCCAGUCACACCACAACAAAUUAGAGGUUCUACUACAUAUGUUAAUUCCCAAAAGGAGGCUGCAGAAGAAAAAGGACAAAUGAGCACUUGUAGUGGACAGGCAAACACUGCACAAACCAUGUUGGAUUGUGACACUCGAUCAUCCCAACGAAGUGCAAAUGAUUCCACCUGCAGCACAACUACAGUUCUGGCAACAGAAGAAGAGCAAGCAAAAAGAUCAGAGAGAAACUAUUUGAAUGCUGUUGAGCAAGCAUAUCCUAGAACUGGAAAUUUGUUCGGGGCUAACUAUAAUAAUUUGCCGGCAUACUACAAUGUAAUGUCCUGGGUGCAUUUUCCAUACAUAUACAAGAAGAAGAGGACCGACAAGGCGCAAAAUUCUACCAUACCAAGCACCUCAUAUCGUGUGACUAUGGCAGAAAAUGUAUGGAGACCAUCGACAGCUGGCUACUUGACUUCUGGUCCUCAAGUGAAUGCUGAUAAUUUUUCAACUGCACUUGGAGAAGCAGGAAAAACCCCUCAGGAGAGACCGCAAGGUGUUCACCGUUUCCUGCCUUUGUAUCAGACAGAGAGGUCAACAAAGAGAAGAUCUAGUUGCCCUACAAGGGUCCGUGACUUAGCUUCCCUAACCAGAACACCAGAGCACAUUCUGCACAGAACCUGUCUCGUCAAACAACCACCCACUGAUGGCAAUGGUCAAAGAGUGAACCACUUUGACGGAUCUCAGACAUGCAUUGACGCGCUAGUCACAGACGUCGGUGCAACACUCGCAAAAAAGAAGAGGACAAAGAGAAAUCCACUUUCCAGUUCACAACGAGGUCUUGUAAUAUAUCAGAACCAGCAAUCUUUCGCCACUGCAUCAGGUAUGUCAGUACAUUAUUUAUUCCUGUAUGCAGGUUGUUUCCAAAUCUGCCAAGCAGCUUUCGUAACUGUACCUGAUCAUCAAUCGCAGGUGUUCCUCCAGAAGUACCAUUUGAACAACUGCUUUCUGCUAUUACUGAGCACUUAAAAUGUUUGAACAUAAAUAGAGAAAAUAGCAGCAGAUUUGCCUAUCAAGGGUAUAAUGUGAUCUCUUCUUAUAAGGCACAAUAUCAAGAGCACAAUGCACUUGUUCUUUAUAGAAGAGAUGGCACUGUUGUACCAUUUGAUGGUUCUUUUGAUCCAAUUAAGAAACGUAAAGCACGACCUAAAGUUGACCUUGAUCAAGAGACUGAUAGAGUAUGGAAGCUUCUGCUGGAAAAUAUAAAUAGUGAAGGUAUUAAUGGAACAGACCAGGAGAAAGAAAAAUGGUGGGAAGAAGAGCGUAGAGUGUUCCAUGGACGUGCAGACAAUUUUAUUGCACGAAUGCAUCUUGUGCAAGGUACAAAUUCUUUCAUUUUCAGGGAAUUCAUAUUAAGCGUAUCAUUUCAAAUCUUAUCUCAUGACUACAGUUUCUACGCAGUGCAAGCUACUCGAUGAAAAGAAAUAUGCAUUCUGUAUAUUCAUGUACUGACCAUCAUGAUAGUCUCAAGAACCUUGGGAACUCUCAUGCAUAUGCAUUAUAUACAAAUAGAACGCUAUUCUUUCAAUUUUAGAUGUAGGUUACAACUUCAUAUUCUAACAGUAUAAUAUUUUACUUUUAACAGGUGAUAGACGCUUCUCUCCGUGGAAGGGAUCAGUUCUGGACUCAGUGGUUGGAGUUUUCCUUACACAAAAUGUCUCAGACCACCUCUCUAGGUAAAGUGCCGUUUCUAUAAACUAGAGAAUGACAUUAGAUAAAUUCCAAGUGAGAAACUUUCUAAUCUGUACCUCCUUACAGCUCUGCAUUCAUGUCAAUGGCUGCACAUUUUCCCCUGAAGUCAAGGAGCAACGAAAAAUCAUGUGAUGAAGACGUUGCGAGCUUCGUAGUAGAUGAACCAGAAGUGUGCCUUAGUGAGAAUUCAAACCAGCCAGGUUGUGACUGGAGUUCCCUCACGUUCCAUGAUGCUGAGCAUAGUGAAGAAAAAGUUGUCAAUGGAAAUGAGAACUCUGGAAGCACUACUGAAGGUAUCUCAACAAAUGAAGCAGAAUGCAAGCUAUCACAUCCAUCUGAAUCUGGUCCGGGGUUGUACCCUAACUCAUUAAUGAACAAAUCAACCACCAAGAUCACAAGAACAGGAUCGUACCUGCAGGAGGAUAUGAGAACUUAUGAUGGAGUUUCAUCUCAAAAUUCUGUGGAUUCUUCAACUUCACAAACUGUGGAAAAGACAGGAUCAUGCGAGAGCAACUCAGAAACAGAGUAUCCACCUAAUAGAUGUGAAAACAGCAGUUUAGAUCACUCCACUUCGUUUGUGGAGCUUUUACAGAGGGCCGAAUCAAGUAUGCUGCAUUACAGUCUCAAGGGGACCUAUAUGUCCUCUCAUGACACAUCAAACUGUGGAGGUUACCAACCUGAAUGUAUGCAGCAUAAUGAUCAAAGAUGUGAGAUAAACAGAGAAGAAGCAUCCCUAGACCCUUCCAGUAACUGUUGUUUGAAUCUAACCCCCCACCCAGGAGUACGGCAAGUUGAGUGCUUUGAUUUGUUCGCAGAAGUAACCGAGUCUUCUUAUACAUCCAAAAAUAAAUGGGAAGACAGUCUGAGUGAAAGAAGUGUACUAACAGCAGAAUCUCCCAGUCAAGAUACAAUAAAUAAUAAGCUGACAGCAAAUGUUCAAGAAACACCAAGAUGUUCCAGAAAUUCGUCCAAUAACAUUCAGGCAGGCAAUAAUAUGGCCCAGUCUCAACUCGGGUGGGUUGGGAACUUGAAUAAUGUUGACAUACAUUCUCAGGAGCAAAACAAUAAGAUACAGCAAAGUCGCUUGAAUGUUUCUGGAGGGACCACAGAUGUUAGGCAGAAGGCAGCAGAGUUGGGUUUAAAUGAGCAGAGUAAUUCAGUAAGCAAGGAGUUCACUAGUACAAAUGCUGCUACCUCCAAAACAAAGAACAGAAGAGCUGGAAAAGAGAACAAAGAUCAACAAGAUUGGGACAAAUUAAGGAAACAAGCAGAAUCAAAUGGAAAGAAAAGGGAAAAGACAGAAAAUACAAUGGAUUCCUUGGACUGGGAAGCCGUAAGAUGUGCAGAUGUUAAUGAGAUUGCCCAAACCAUCAAAGAGCGGGGAAUGAAUAAUAUGCUUGCAGAACGAAUAAAGGUAAAAGUAACAUUAAAUAUCAUUCUGAAAUUUUUCAGUGAGCCCAUUACACAUAGAAAACCUUAUCAGCUGAAGUUGAUUGAGAAAUUUUGUGCAGGAUUUCCUUAACCGACUGCACAGAGAACAUGGUAGUGUUAAUCUUGAAUGGUUGAGGGACGUUCCACCUGACCAAGCAAAGUAAGCUUGCAGGAUUAUUCCAACCCAUUUCUAAUUAUAAAAAAUAAACUCUAAAACUAAAUCACUUACCUUCCAUGUCAUAUAUGUACUGAACAUGCAUUAUGAUUACGUGGUUUGCAUUCCAUAACUAUGUGGUGUCUAUAGAGAGUAUCUGCUGAGCUUUCGUGGAUUGGGGCUGAAAAGUGUGGAGUGUGUGAGGCUUUUGACACUGCACCAUCUUGCUUUUCCGGUGAGUAUAUAUUAAAAAUAUGAUUGACCAGAAUAGAUGCAACAGAUCUCAAUAUAUAUAGUUGUACCUUUGAAGGUGGACACAAAUGUUGGACGUAUAGCUGUACGGCUUGGAUGGGUACCCCUUCAGCCACUGCCUGAGUCACUGCAGUUGCAUCUUCUUGAAUUGUGAGUUUUAUGAGCCUCCUCCAUGUUGCUUUUGCAAAGCAUAUCCAAUUGGCACUGGCGCUGAUAUUUCUGUCUUUUAUAGGUACCCAGUGCUGGAGUCCAUACAAAAGUAUUUGUGGCCACGACUGUGCAAGCUUGACCAAAGAACAUUGUAAACACAAAAUCAGAUAAAAUCUUCACAUUAGUACACUAUAUUGUAUUUAUAAGCUUGAUUUUGGAACAGUUGCUUUUCCAUGAAAAUUGGAUACUAACUGGACAAAAACAUUUCAAUAUUUGUGAACAGGUACGAGCUGCAUUACCAAAUGAUAACAUUUGGAAAGGUAUGCCAUCUUAUCAUUUAUGUGAAGUGAUUUGUCUUCACUUUCAGACUAAGAACGAAUAAAAUAUCAUUCUUUGACACAGGUCUUCUGCACUAAAAGCAAGCCGAAUUGUAAUGCAUGCCCUCUGAGAGCAGAAUGUAGGCAUUUUGCGAGUGCAUUUGCGAGGUUUGCAGUUCAAUUGUUCCAUCCCUUGCAUCUAAAAGCCAAUCUCCAUUAUAGUUCCAAUAAAUAACAAAACAAUUUUGUUUGUCCACCACCAAUUAGAUCCCUUUGGGAUGUUAAGCCUGAUAAGUAAAAGAUAUAGGGAAAAAUGGUAAGCAUGCACGUAGUUAGAACAAAAAAUGGAAGGUCUCAUGAAUCAGAUUAUAAUGUAAUAAAAAAGUGUGUACAAGAACAUCAGAUGUCCUAAUGCAAAUCUGCCUUUAACAUUCUCAUAGAACGUACUGUACGGUAAGAUUAUCUGAUUUGUUACUUACAAAGAAUGUUGGAUGCAGUGCGAGGCUUGCCCUGCCGGGACCAGAGGAGCAAAGCAUAGUGAGUGCAACUGAAGACAGAACUACCCAUCCAAACCCUGCUGGGAUCAACAAUAGAAUGCCCUUGCCCUUCCCUCAGGCAACAUACCAGCAAUUGGAAGCAAGUCAGAAAUCAGAAGUAAAAUCUACAGCUGGUCAUUGUGAACCUACAACAUACCAUCAAUUGGAAGUAAGCGAGAUAUCAGAAGUAAAAGCUGCAGUUGGUAACUGUGAACCUAUUGUUGAAGAACCAGCAUCACCAGAGCCAGUGUGUACACAGAUAUCAGAGGACAUUGAGGACUUCUGUGAUGAUCCUGAUGAAAUUCCUACUAUUAAACUUAACAUUGAAGAGUUCACUCAGACUUUGCAAAAUUAUAUGGAAAAAAACAUGGAGCUUCAAGAAGGUGACAUGUCAAAAGCUUUAGUCUCUCUGACACCAGAAGCUGCAUCUUUACCAACUCCCAAGCUUAAGAACGUGAGCCGAUUGCGAACUGAGCACCAAGUGUAAGUAGGAGCUUUCAUCUCUCCAGUAAUUCAAGAAAUAUCUUGCAUGCAGGAUUUUGGUAUUACUAGGAUUAAAUGGAUGUUUUAGUAAUCCAAUAAAAAUCAUACAACAUCACUCUGUCCAAAACUAUAUUGAUUGUGCAUCCAAAAAACAUAACAUCUUCCAAAAUAAAGGCAAACAUUUGGAACAAAAGCCCUACAACUUUCUACACCAUGAUGAUUGUGAUGAAUAUUAUCACAUAAAGCCAAAUAUCUUAUAUGUUACUGAUUCUUGUUCUUCACAAUGCAGCUAUGAACUUCCUGAUACGCACCCUCUUCUAGAAAUGGUUAGUAAUACCUACAUAUCUAUAUAAUAACAUUGUUUAACAACCCCUUCUUUCUAUAAGUCCAAUAAGUAUCUAUCCCCAAUUUAAUAUCUGCCUUUGUUUAAUACAGUUGCAUAUGGAUAAGCGAGAACCUGAUGACCCGUGUAAUUACCUUCUGGCUAUUUGGACUCCAGGUAUGCAGACGACAAUAAAAACCAACCACUAUAAUUCUUAAAUCUGGCUAUCUAAUUUUCCUCUUUCACCCCCAAGUUCUCAACCCUCUUUGAGAGUUUAGCCUAGAACAAUCUUCCAAAGUGGAUGGCAUAGCCUUAUGAAACCUGACUGUCCCCAAUGUCACAGUGACUACUAUUAUCAUUUGAACCACGAAUAAAAACUGGUUUAAGAUCAACACUAGAGACAUGGCAUAGAGCAUCUCUACGUUUCUUGGUGGGAUACUGCCCAUAGUUUAUACCUAUUCUCUUUUUAUAUAUGUUUACUAGGAAAUUCCACUAAAUGCCUUGAUGUUCAUACCAGGUGAAACUCCAAAUUCCAUUCAACCACCAGAGAAAAGGUGUGGUUCUCAAGAACUUGGCAAGUUGUGUGACGAUAAGGAAUGUUUCUCAUGCAACAGUUCACGGGAAGCAAAUUCACAAACAGUCCGAGGGACUCUCUUGGUAAGAAUAAGCUAAACGAAACUAACCAUGUAUAACGUUUACUGCUAUACAAAAGAACUAAACAUUUGUCACACCAAUAGAAGAAAAGACAACAAUGAUCAGUGGUUACUUGUUCUGAUCAUGAACAGAUACCAUGCCGAACAGCAAUGAGAGGGAGCUUUCCACUUAACGGAACCUACUUUCAAGUUAACGAGGUGAGAUACAAUUUCAUUCGGCUCAAGGUGUUUCACAUCCUUAAGGCAUCUGUUUCACGUUCAGGUGAUAUUGAUAACAAAUACUGUCCAAUGUAGGUAUUUGCCGACCAUGAUUCGAGCAUUAACCCAAUUGAUGUUCCAAGAGCUUGGUUGUGGAAGCUAAAUAGGAGAACCGUGUACUUCGGAACCUCGAUACCAACAAUAUUUAAAGGUAUAGAUUCUGAAAUAUUAUGCUUUGAUCUGUUUUUAAAUGUUUCUAACAAAAACACUCAAUAUUCUUCUUCUUCUUCUUGCCAGGGUUAUCGACACCAGAAAUUCAGCAAUGCUUCUGGAGAGGUAUGAGAAAAUGUCACUUACCCAUUCUGUGUGAUCCUAGCAGUCUUCAAAUGGUUAUAUGUAUGCACUGGCCUUAGUCUAUUGUUGAAUUAUACACCCAUUCAAAACCUUACUUGUUAGAAAGGAACAUAAGACCUACUUCCCUUGGAAUGUUGCAAUUUCUAACACCCAUUCAAAACUUACUUGUAAGAAAGGGACAUAAGACCUUCCUUGGAAUGUUGCAAUUUCUAACAUCUUACCCAAAGAGAUAAGGAUAUUGUAAUAUCUUCCUCCUGACAUAACCUAAGACACUACUAAUUUCAUCUUCAGAUAUUAGUAGAUUACACUUUCAUAACUUAAAAUGACAAAUGCUGAACUUGCCCAAGGAAGGGAUCUACGGGUACAAAGACUGUUUUCAACAAACUGGAACCUAAAGCAUCUUAUCGCUAACUCAUAGAAAAAUCUGCUUUAUUUCAUUUUUCUAUUUGACUCGGUCUUGUGGCACAAACUGCCUCUGGGCAAGUCCAUAGCAAUUUCUGUUUGCUCAAAGCAGCUGGUGUUUUUUGCAGGAUUUGUCUGCGUGAGAGGAUUUCACCAAAAGACUCGAGCACCGCGCCCAUUACUGGCCCGACUGCACUUCCCAGCCAGCAAGUUGGCCAGAACAAAAGAUAAGAGAGAGGAGUAGCCACCCAGAAGUCUCAAAGCAAGUCUAUAGAGCUGCAGAUAGCCCACAUUGAGCCAUCCAGAAAUUUCAAAGCAAGUCUAUAGAGCUGCACAUACCCCACAUUGAGUGGCAAAGCAUUCAAAACUUGUAAAUUGGCUCAUGUAGUAAAGAGUCGAGUUCUAGUUUAGUGGUUUGCUCAAUUGACUGAGAGGGAAUUUAGCCCUUCGUGUAAAAACGGCCAGGAUACCAUGCGGCUUUAUACACUAGCUAGUUUCUUGAGCAAAUUUAGUUCAAGGUUGUGAGAUUAGUAUCCAAAGAUCCCUCCCCCCUUUUCCCUAAAAAUCAAAAUAAUUAGCAAAAAAUGGAAAUUCUUUUAACUCUGUAGGGACAGGAGACAUGAAUCUGAUUUUACCUUACAGAACGUCCAACCCCUCCCCCAUAUCCAGCAGAAAUCCUUCUACUUCUUUCUAAUCACACUACCCAAAACACGACCAAUACUACACACCUCAAUAGGACAAUUAAGAAUAAAAGUGAUCUGCAUUUUCAGUUUCACUUCUACAUAUCAUGCAACAAUGGAAAGAAAGACAGACAUUGGGCCCUGUUCUCUCUAGGGAAUCACAAAUAUCAACCCAACCAGAGCAAUACUUCAUGACAGAAAGCGAAACCGAACCGUGGGAGGAGCUUUAGCCUUCCAAACCAAAUAAAAAUGGAUCGAAAAGGAGAUAUAGAUCGGUAGUCAACUGAAAACCCUCCUAAAUAGUUGCUAUUUAUACAAGAAAGAAAAGCCUGAAUGACUAGAGCUUUCAGCACCUUCUAUAGAAACCAGGUGUAAUCAAAAUGACAUUUCCUAAUGAUGAAAGUGAAGGAAGUUGAGGUUCCAAUCAUAAAACCAAUUAACAUCGGGAGAUUGAUCCAACUCCUUAUAAGCCCUUGCACGAUUUCGUAACUUUCCGAUGUAGGACAAUACUUGGCAUCCUCACAUAAAGCUCCGGCACUCACAAAUCAAUUAUAUUCCUACAGAAGCCAAAAGCUAAGCAAUUUGGGGAAGAGUUUACUCACAUUCAUCCCAAAACCUCAUUCUUUAGCCUUUUGUCUCCAAAAGAUUUCCGAAUUUUAAUCCUAAUUUUGUUCUCUCACUACCCCUUCUUCAUUCAAAUAGUUUUCUUCUUCUAUCAAAUUCAUUCCCCAAUUCUCCUCCUACUCCAUUUUUGUGACGUCAAAAAACCUCGUUCAAAUCCCUCCCACCUUGUUCUUCUCUAUCCCUCUGUUAGAAGCGUUCCAGAAAUGUGUGCGAUCGAGUAAUUAGCUCUACGAACAUCAUUUAUAUUUCUACAGAAGCCAAAACCUAAACAAUUUGGGGAAGAGUUUACUAAUGCUCACAUUCCUCCCAAAACCUCGUUCUUUAGCCUUUUGUCUCCAAAUGAUUUCUUCUCUGAACACUACUAGCUCUUCAAAUUUUAAUCCUAAUUUUGUCCUCUCACUCCCCCUUCUUCAUCCAAACAGUUUUCUUCUUCUAUCAAAUUCAUUCCUCAAUUCUCCUUCUACUCCAUUUUUUUACAUCGAAAACCUCAUUCGAAUCCCUCCCAACCUUGUUCUUGUCUAUUUCCCCACCACCCCAUUAAACAAUUGUCUAACUUCCUGAUACUUAAAAUUUCUCCAAGCUUAAAAAAUGCCUCAAAUGUUAAAUUCAAGAAGUUCCAGAUCUAUGAAACAUUUCCCCGAUACUCACUGAACAUUUCCUAAACUUCUGAUGCUUAAAAAUUUCUCCUAAAUUGAAAUUCCUCAUAUUUUAAAAUGGAGAAGUUUCAGAUAUAUGAGUUUUUCUUUUUUUUUUUUUGCCUCGACAUUAUUCAGACAAAAAGGAUAUGUAUUACUACCGGACUCAAGUUCCGAUUCUUCAAUGGAUCGAUUAACGGUGACAUAUUGGAAAUCGAUACAAUCGAACAUGAGCAAGCAAAUUUCAAAUCGCUAAAGAUGAAGAGGCAGAAAAAUGAAACCGACUGCGAUUACAGAGAAAGAAAAUCAACUACAAUAAGUCGAAUCAAAGCGUACCUUCGGAUUUGAAUCUGCUCGCGAGCCGCGAGAGGUAGAUCAUAGAUUCGGAGACUGAACAGCGCUCUCUCUAACGCUGAUUAAGAUGCAGAUGCAGAAAAUAUGAAAUCGAAUGCGAUUGCAGAGAAAGGAAAUCGACCAUGACAGUAUCGAAUCGAAGCGUACCUUCGGAUUUAUAUCUGCUUGCGAGACGCUAAGAGAUGGAUCGUGGAUUCGAAGACUGAAGAGCUCUCUCUCCUCUCUCUCUCUCUCUCUCUCUCUCUCUCUCUCUUCAGUCGCAGAUACAAAGGGGAGUGGAGAAAGAAACGCUCCUUUGCCGCCUAACCACCAUUUUCCUUUUCGGUUUCCCUCCCAAAUUUCCCAUAUCUUUCCUUUUGUGAUUUUAAAGCGAGACGCGUGACGUGGCGAGCUGUAGGCUGUUGUGGAAUUACUCGAUUGAGUUGUGUAACGCGCGCGCACAUGCACAUGUGAGCGGAUUUUUUUUUUUAACAAACAUGAUAAUCUAUAUUAAGAAAAUUAGGUAAGCUAAAUUUCACAAUGAUUAGUAAUAAUGUGAAAAAUUGGAGAGGGUAUUCCUCACAAUAGGCUAGCAAUAAUGUGGUUCAAAUUCGCCUUUGACGAAAAUCAAACAUAAAACCUCUUAUUUACUAAUGAAAGGAAUAUCAUUAAACCGUAGUAAAUAUUCAAAACAUUGUUAUUGUUUUCUAAAAUUCUGAUUGUGCACCUUAAAUUUUUAAUAUUUGGACAAAAGUACAUUUGUGAUAUUAAAUAUUGGGAAUUGUUAUUAGCACUUCAAAAAUCUCAUUCUACACUCCAAACUUUCUAUAUUUGAAAAGAAAAAUACAUUUGUGAGGAAUGUAGAAUGAGAUUUUUGAAGUGUCAAUAACACUUCCCUAAAUAUUUUGAGUGACAAUAAAUGUUCUCAAUAUGUAUUGGGUUUCAUUUUAUGUUAAGCGUUUUGGGUUCAAAUUUUCUAUGUACAUUUGAUUCUAUUUUAGUCUAUCACAUUAUGUUUAUAACUUGAAAGAUAUUUACUUUUGUUAUAGUUGGUAGGGGUGAGCAUGGUUUGAUUUGGUGCGGUUUUGAGUGAAACCGAAACCGAAAUCGAAAUUUUUUGCGGUUCAGUUCGGUGCGGUUUUGAAGCCAAAACCAAAAUGAAACCAAACCAUUUGGUUCAGUUCAGUGCUGUUUCAAACGAUUCGGUUUGGUUUUUAAGAAAAAAAUGUACAAUUUGCAAUUUAACAUAUUAAUAAGCAUUUCCCAGUAGCAAUAGGAAAAAGACAUUUGUUAUAUAAACAAUUAGCAUGUUGCAUGCAGUUGUGAUGUUAAACAUGUUUGUGCAACAUAAGGAUGUCCCGUACAAGGUAUAACAUAAUACAAGUUGAAUAACUUUGAAUUCAUUAAACGUGAGCGAAACUUUCAUACUAGAAUAUGUGCUAUCAUGUUUCAAAUGAGAGGACUUCAUUAGAUCAUUGUUCGACUCUUGAUAACAAGAUUAGUCCACCAUUGUACAUAUAUGUGUGUGUGUGUGUGAUGGUAUAAAAUAACAAAAGUCCUUCAAGUUAAUGAACGAAAGAAAGUGAUGAAUGAUGAUAUUCUAGUGUGGUUGAGUCCAUACUAAGUGCAUGAAUUCUAACAAACAACCAAUUAAAAGAUGAAAUUUAAUAUGGACAUUUAAUUAAAUGUUUAUUAAUAUUUGUGGUGCGAUUCGAUUUCGGUGCGGUUUUCAAAAGCCAAAACCGAAACCAAACCAUUUUCUAAGUUGCGGUUCGGUUUCAAAACCGAAACCGUUUCAAAACCACAAAACCAAUUCGUUCGGUGCGGUUCGAUUUGGUUCGUGUUUCGGUUUCAAUUUUCGGUUCUAAGUGUCCACCCCUAAUACUUGGGAAAGUCAUAUUAUGAAUUUAUCCUAAUUUAAAGUCAAUAUUGCACUAUUGUUCACACUUAUAUAUGUCGAUGCAAAUUUCCGCUGUCUUCAGUCUUGAUGAAAAUGUACCUGCAAAACAAUCAACACAUUUGAUUAAAGACCUAAGCCUCACGCGCCCACAAGGUGUGGGGGGGUUAGGUCAAUAGAUCUCCGAUGCCUAAGUUAGUUUCUCUAAGAGAGUAAAGUGUUUAGGGCUUUUUUAGGUUGCAAAAGCCCUCCAAAAUUUGGUAGAAAAUGGGGUAUUUAUAGGGCUAGGGUCGGCCAUAUAGUGUUUAAUGGAGAUAUAUUCUCUAAAUAUUCCCAGGAUAUUAAAUAGGAAAUAAUAUCUUGAGAUAAUGGUGUAAUUAUCCCAAAUUUAUUUAAAUUGUGAUUACUUACUUGAUUGAAGUCAAUCUUCAAUUAGGAAAGUAUUAAAUAUAAGAUUUUGGUAAUUAAUCCUUAUCUUUAAUUCCUUGCCAAGGGCAAGUGAGCUAUGGGCAGUCGUAUUCAGCUGCUGAGACCUCCAAGGGUGUGAGCUGCACGUAGGAGCAUCUGAGAAGCCUACCAAUUUAUUGAGGGCAAUCUUGUCUUUUUUGAAUAAAAGUCCACGUGUUGCCUCUAGAAUAUUUGGGAUUAUUUUAGGCUCCACAAAUGCCCCCACACAUACUGUGUUGCACGCAGGAAAAAGAUUGUAGGUAUAGGAAUCCCAAGUUGCUUAGGCUUGCAAAAUUGUUUCCCAAUUUGAACUUGAUCUUCUUUCUUGAUUUGGAGAUAGACUUAUUCUAGGAAAAGGAAAAUAAUUGCCCCCAAUACUAUUUAAUUCUGCCUUAAGUAGGGGAUUAAAUAAAUUUAGAGAACAAUCAUUAUUCCAACAAGGAAGAGAAGCUAGAGGAAAUUUUUAUUUCCCCUCCCCUAGCAUUCUUCUUCUCUUACCCUUGCAAAGAGUUGUCUCUCAUUGUAGUUCUUCUUCUCCGUGCCACACCAAGGUAAGAAAAUUUUGAAUUUUCUUCUUCUUGAAUUUUUUUGAGAGUCUUGGGACUUGAAAAAUUGGCUUGGUGGGGGCCGUGGGUGUGGGUAACACACGGCAUGGGAGCCUCGGGGCUACUUGGUGGCGCAACACAAGUCGACUAGCGUGGGCCAGGUGGACGACUCGGCUCGGGCUGAGGGGAUCAACGCGUUGAGGUGCGAGGAGACCGGCUUGAGCCGGGUCUUCAAGGCUGCUGGGCACGGGCCCAUGCAGGAGAGAAGAGAGGGAGAAAGACCGGCGUGGGCUGACUUUCUUACGUGCGAGACCUGGGCCGAGAGGCUUGGGCCUACCUUGGGGCGCAAAAGAAAGAGAAGAAUGAGGCACGGGCCUCUCCCCAUAUGGCGUCUUUUCCAAGAGGUGAUCUGCUCCAUGAAAUACGCGUCUGCUUAGUGUUCCUCAAAUGCAGUUUGUGUGAUAAUGGGGUUCUCGAACUUGAGCAGGUUCUUUGAUCUUGGCUUGACCAUAAAUGAGUUUUGGUACUUUUUUAAGAUUGGCCAUAAGGAAAGUGUGAGGCAGCUGAGGUCUUGCCAUAAGUUGUUCGAUACUUCUAGCAAAGGGGAUCAUAAGUGGGCGAGAGAUACCUUAGAGGUAAGCAAAGAAUGAGACUAUGACUAUUCUCCUAAGCUGUGUGUUCCAACUACCUUUAUCAGUGGUAAGUGAACUCUUUAAUUCUUGUCUUAUUGAAUUUUUUGUUGAGCUGUUCCAUGACUUCAAUUUAUUGAUUGUCUUUCUUGCUUUGCAUAGAUUCGGAGGUUGGCUCAACUCCCAGGAUCUCGGAAAAUAUGAAGAAAGUGCACGUCGUCUUGGGCAUUCCUGCUGAGUACCGUGAGUGGCGCUGGCUGCUCAGCCCUCUUCGUCUGGAAGAAUGAUGGCAUGCCUCCGAUGGGAAAAGAUAAAGUGGAUAAAAGAUGAGGUGUUAGCUCGCCCGAUCGUUGCUGUAAAACAUGCUGCCAAUGAGGGUGGAAAGAAGAGAUAUUCCUCACCUGCUUAUGAGCCUUUGGUCGAGAAGAAGCCAAUAACUUCCUCCGCUGCUCGUAGGAACUCGUCUGCUGCCGAGAAGCUUAUUAUUGAUCUAACUUCCCCCAAUGAGGUGAAGAAGACCGUUGAAACUGAGCCUAUGAAACCUGCUGCUCCAAAGGUGACCGCAUCCAUCGCUGAGAGACUUGCCCAGCAGAAGGGUUCGGUAGGGUAUUCGGUGUCCAAGUUUAUAUCGAAUCGUCUGUCGGGAGUUAAGUCUAGAUCGGCUUUUGAGAGGUUCGUCGUUAUAAAGAGCGGGAAUGUGGAUUUUUUGUUUGUUAAUGUAGCGUCUGGGCAUGUUCAUCCUUUUACCGUGAUUGACUCGUCUGCUAAGAAAUGGAAAUCUGCUCGUACGGGCAGUUAUGAGAGCUCCACCGAGUUUGAGGUUGGAGAAUUUCUCAAGGUUUGUGCGCUGAUGAAGGCUGACCUGCUUGAGGACGUCGAUGUAUGCGCCAAGUUUGUUGAUAGUGUUAGGAAAGUUGUUGUCCACUCAUACUCUUUUGCGAAGCGUCCUACCUAUUCGAGGAAGUCUUCCCUGAUUGUUACAAUGCAUAAGACUUUGAUCCUGGCAACUGAGUCUAUGCGCGUUGAUUAGGAUGCUGUCAAGUAUGCUAAGGGGGCCGAAGUGGCGUUGGUGGCUCAGCUUCGCUCGACUGCUGAAAAUAUCGAGAAGCUCGAAUAUGAACUCGCCGUUUUGAAAGGGUAUGAUGUCUCUGCCCUUACUUCUUUGCAGUUGGAGAUCGCUCAUCAAAAGGUCGCCUAUUUGAAUGUUAGGCUUAGUGCGACUCAAGCGAUGUUAGAAGCUGCAGAGAAGGAAAUCAGUCGUGUUUUUCUGGUGGUCGAUGACCUUGAACGUGUCAAUUCGGAGCUACGAUCUGCUUGCUUUACAAAGGAAGAUAAGCUUAUCUUAAUGCAUGCUGAAAUGUCUCGUCUCAAGGAGGUUACCAGUAAGCUUGAGUGAGUCCAAGGAGAUGGAUCUGCAAGGUGCUAGCGAUAACCUGAAAAAGGAACUGGACAAGCUGCAAGGUGCUCACAUUGGGCUUAUUGAUAAGAAUACGCAGCUGAAGAAUGAGAAAGCUAAUCACAAAGUGGCGCUUGCUUUUUGUUAGGUUGAUUUCUACAAGCUUGGCUAUGUAGACCAUCUUCAGGGUAUGCCGUCAAAUUAUAAGUUUUCCCAAAAGGACUUUGAGACUUUUUCCAUUUCUCCAGUUGAUUUGCUAGAUUUCUCGUUUGAGGCUGUCUUUGGUGGAGCAGUUGAGGGUCAGGCAGUCCAGGCAGGGGCAGCUAAGGAUUUAGCUGAUGGAAGCUUUAGCUGCUAGGAAUGACAUGGAUAUUGAAGGCAUGGCAAUCGAGGAACCAGUGGUUGUGCAAGCUGCUAAGAAGUAGUUUUUUUUCUUAGACUUAGGAGUUUUCUUCUUUUCCUUUUUGUUUUGCUUUAUUUGAACUUUGCUGGCCUUCGAGCCAGUUUAUCAAUUUGCUAGAAAUUUAAUAAACAAUUUUCCUUGUUUUUGCUUCAUCCUUCUAUUUCGCCAUGUCUUUUGCAAAACUUUACCGUAUGACGGGUGGCUCACGCGGUCACUUUAGGCUUCAGUUUUGGCUUUGGGGCUUCUAAAGCUUUACCUGCGAAAGGAAGAAAUGCAAGAUUUCCAACUUAUAUAGCCGAAGGCCGAACUAGUUAUCUCUAUAGAAGGCAUACGAGUUCGCGUAGCUACUAUAGUUGUGAAUCUCGACUUUGGGUAAAUCCAUGAGCUUUAGCCUUCCCGGGGCGUAUUGCAAAAAUUUUUAACCUACAGAGCCAGCAGUCAAACACGUGUUUCGCGUAGAAAGCAAAGGAGUUCUUGUGGCCACUAUGGUUGUAUUCCGACUUUCGAGUGGCUUCUUAAGCUUUGGCCUUCCCAGGGCAUGUUCCGAGAUUUUUAACUUAUAAAUCAGUCGACCAGACUCAUGUUUCUCGUAGGAAGCAGAAGAGGUCCGUGUAGCUGCUAUAGUCGUGACACUCGACUUUAGUGGCUUCUUGAGCUUGGACCCUCCCAAGGCAUGUUGCGAGAUUUUUAACUUAUAGAGUCGUCCAUCGGACUCAUGUUUCUCGUAGGAAAUAGAGUAGGUCCGCGUAGUUGCUAUAGUCGUGACACUCGACUUUGUCCCAGCAAAACUUAAACCAUAGACCAUCGAUUGGAAUUGCUGCUUGUAAAUAAGCAGGUGUAAGUUUCAGCUUACGAGCUGCCUUGGACUUUUAACCGUCGGGUUAUCGGCCAGGUGUCUUACUUACAAAAACAGACGACUAGUGUAAACAUUUCAGGCUUUAUUCCUGGCUCUCAGAGGCAUUUUUUGGCAUUAAGUAUAGGUGAAGUCGCUCUUCAAAAGCCAUAUCCUUCCGAGUUGCAGCUUUGAUCCCGUAGGUCGCUUAACUAGUAUUGCAACACUUUAAAACCAAGCCGCUUCAUGAAGAUUUGCAUGUCGAGGACGGACCAUCUUGUCACAUGAAUUCUUUCAUGGGCAAGGGUCCUGCACUUAUCGUCUCUUCCGGUUAGAGACCCAGGAUCCCACGGAAUUAAAUCCUUAUGUUGGCUAAGUCUAUUCCAAGGGAAUGACUAUCAUGGAAAAUUCUAGGAGUCGUCCAGCGUAAGUAGUCGUUGCAUUCAGGGGAAACUAAGCAGUCAUACCACCCAUCCACAUCUGGAUGUUCCAGAUUAGUUUACCUUCUCAUGCUGGAGAGCUUACCCAGUUGGGUGUCAAUGAAUUAGUUUACGCUCUCACACUAGAGAGCUUACCUAGAUGGAUGUCGGGGAAUUAGUUUAUCCUCUUACGCUAGAGAACUUACGCCAUAUCUACGGGUAAUGGGUGUUUUCUGCUUGUCACAAGGUUGGUCAGUCUAUUUAUGCAUUUGGCCCAAGCUUGUCAACAAAUCCUUUAAUCUUCGUUAAAGAUAGAGGCUUUUAUUAACUUUGCUCGCAUGCAGUAAUGGCAUAACAACUGAUAAUCAUCAGCAUGCGAGGUCUUGUUCGUCGAGCUGCUUGAGUCUUCAAACUCUUUCGUCUUAAACGGGGUCUAAGAAAUGGUGGAAGGUCACACGUAGUACUUCCUUAGGUUGUAGGCAUUCCACUGUUUGUUGAUUUUUUUUUUGUCGUUCAUAGUGGUGAGGGUGUAAAUGCCUCUUCCGCCUGCUCGGCUGAUUUUGUACGGACCUUCCCAUAUGGAAGCCAUCUUUUUAGAACCUUCUCGUCGGGCAGUGAUGAAGGCUUUUCUGAUAACUAGGUCUAUUGAUUGGAACUACCGGAUGUUUGUCGUCUUGUUGUAGUUGGAUAUGAGCUGCUGCUGAUAGGCCACAAUGCGAGUGAUAACAUUUUCGCGUUCUUCCUCUGCCAUGUCUAAUUUGGUAGCCAUCUCAUUUUCGUUUUGCUCAAGAUUCGGCAGUACAGUGUUGAUACUUGGCACCACGAUGUUGGGAUGAAUGAUCGCCUUAGAACUAUACAUCAAAGAGCUUGUCUUUUGGUGGUGCGAUAUGCCUAUAGAACACCGGGGAACUCGUUUGGCCACUUACCCUUCUUGUCCAAUGGUAGAGCUCAUUGCUGCUCAGAUACCACCAUAUAGAUGCAUAGGUCAUCCGCUGCUUCUGGUUUAGAUUGCAUUCGUCGGUAGGUCGUGAGAGGAAUCAGUUGAGUGCAGCUGCUUGUCAGGUCAGACCUUGGAUCUCCUUCAGAGUGGUGGGGGACUUCAUAUCCAAGUGUCUAUCUGAAUCUUCAUCUUCUUUAAACAAGGUAAAAUGUGGGGGGCUGAACUUCCGCGAUGGCUCCGUCUACUCGAUCUCGUCUACAAAGGGUGACCUAUUUAGGUUGGCCACGUCUCUUCGAAGAGCAUCGUCGGUAGUGUCAAUGCGCUAGAAGCCACACAGCUGCUCUGCUACAAGCCUUUGUACUUCCUCCUGGAUUCGUGCCUGGUAAGGCAGUGGAGUCUCUAGCUGCCCCCGAUGUUGACCUGUUGGUCUAUGUUGCUAUUCGACAUAUCCUGCUCGUCCAUGUUGUGGUUGCGGUGCGCAUGGUUUGCCCUGCGCUGCUCGCCGUCGCUCUAGGCAAGGGUUGCCAGUAGAACUUGAGUUGGACUACUCUCGUGCUCUUCUCUAUACGUUAUGCGGUUGCCUACUCCGUUGCCUCUUUAGAGGAUCUUCUUGUGGGCCUAACCUCUUGUGGAAGCUUUGCCUAGAAUGUCCUGAGUGCUCGUCGGAGUGCAUACCCAACCUCGAAUGCACACUAACUCGUGAGCCGAGUCGGGAAUGAACGCUUUUAUGUGCAUUUAGGUAAGAGAUGACGUUUCCUCGAGGACCCAAAUAAAAAUGCACACUACUUGAAAGCACGGUUCGUGGUAGGCUGAGCAGCUCUUUAUCGGGAUGUUGCUGGAAUGAGUUAAGUUCUUCUGCCCUUAUCCUACUUCGGGACACCUCGUUUGGGGUGCGCUGCAUCUCGAUACGGUCAAGGAGUUGGUUCACCAAGGUGGUCUGUUGCGCGAGGGCGUUCGUCAAAUUAGUGACCUGCUAGGGCAGGUGGUGCUUGCCAUUUGGAUUGGAAGAGUGUGGAUGAUGGGCGUCUCUAUGUGUGGUGGAAGUAUAAUGGACUGCAGGUACAAAGUUUGAGCCCAAAAUGGGCAUUCAUGUAGAAAAGUGGGGUAUAGGUAACCUUGAAUCGAUCGCAAGACCUAUGGUCAGAAUCUGGAUUGCUAGAGCUGGCCUUGGAAUGGAUUGGGUCGCGGACCAGGUCAUUGGAACGAGUCACGGGGUGCGUUGGACCAGCGCUUGCUCGCCUUGGGCUUGCAUGGCCGUAGACCCUCCUGGUCGUUGGGCUGCCACAUCAUGUCCUGCUGGCUGAAUGGCUUGGCUUGGGCACGUUGAGUUGCCUGGUUGGCAACAGCUGCCGCAUUUUGGGCUCGAGUCUGGGCCUGCUGCUGCAUUAGGUUGGGCCUCCUGCCUAGGGUUUGGUAGGGUGCAGAGUUGUAAGGGCAUCGGUGGUGGGAGUGGCGUCGUGGCUGCUAAAUCACAGUGGUGAUGGUGGUGGCACGUCUCCACUGUGGUUGGGCUCCUCCUACCGCCGUGUUCAGCCUUGAGGACCUCCGUCGUAGGGCUAUGUCCUUGUCUUCACUCUCCGGUCCAAGUCCUUACACGUAUAAGGUUUCAUUCGUCGUAAUUUCUGAAUUUCUUACAAUUGUAUCCUUUUUCCAGGGAUUGAUCAAGAAACUUUUCUAGGAAAAAUUAAUUGAUACGAUGUGUGAGAAAUUCAACGUAACAAAAAAUUCAAGAAACUAAUGCAAGAGGUUUCUUCGAGUAUUUUGAAUCAGUUCUCAAUGAAAGCACCAAUUUGUCGAUACAAAUUUCCGUCGUCUUCAGUCUUGAUGAAAAUGCACCUGCAAAACAAUCAACAUCUUUAAUCAAAGACCUAAGCCUCACGUGCCCACGAGGUAAGGGGUUAGGUCAACGGAUCUCCGAUGCCUAAGUUAGUUUUUCUGAGAGAGUAAAGUGUUUAGGGCUUUUUUAGGGUUGCAAAAGCCCUCCAAAAUUUGGUAGAAUAUGGGAUAUUUAUAGGGCUAGGGCCGGCCAUAUAGUGUUUAAUGGAGAGAUAUUCUUUAAAUAUUCCCAAGAUAUCAAAUAGGAAAUAAUAUCUUGAGAUAAUGGUGUAAUUAUCCCUAAUUGAUUUAAAUUAGGAUUACUUACUUGUUGGAGUCAAUCUUCAAUUAGGAAUGUAUUAAAUAUAGGAUUUGAGUAAUUGAUCAUUAUCUUUAAUUCAUUGCCAAGGACAGGUGAGUUGUGAGCAGUCGUAUCCAGCUGCUGAGACCUCCAGGGGUGUGAGCUGCGCGUGGGAGCAUCUGAGAAGCCUACUCAUUUAUUGAGAACAAUCUUGUCUUUCUUGAAUAAAAGUCCACGACCUCAAGAAUAUUUGGGAUUAUUUUAGGCUCCACAAUAUAAUAGGAGUGAAUUUGUAAUAUGACAUGCGUCAGUUCACUAAAUUAAAAUUAUUUUUCCAAUGUAUUUGAAUUAUAUUAAAAUAGGGUAAAUUACAUUUUACCCCCUCAGGUUUGGAGUCGAUUUCAAUUCCUUACAACAUCUUUAAAACAUUUCACUUUCAUACCUCAAGUACUAUUUUAUUUCAAUUUCAUACAACUGUUAAAAAUUCUGUUAAGUUAACCGUUAAGUGAUGACGUGGCAAAUAUGAGGUCCUCAUUCGUGCUGAUGUGGCUGAUACAUUUAUGCCACGUGGAUAAACACUUAAUAAAAAUGUUAAAAUAUUAGAAUAAUUAAUUAAAGAAAAUUAUAAAAUUUAUAAAUAAAGGGAACUUUAACGAAAAGCACCUGGUACUGUUCACUUUAACGAAAAACCACAUUUUUACACUAAAAAGUCAAUCCUGGUACUAUUCACUUUACCCUUUAUUUUGUCCUUAUCAUUAAAACUCAAAGUUUUCAAGCCCUUUUCAUUAAUUUUCCUAUAAAUAAAACCCAAAAGUCCCUUCGUCUUCCCCACCCCUUCCUCCCACCAGAGCCCAUCCCCCUAACACCCACGCCUUUCUCCCAUCUCGCAUCACCCGAGCCUCCCCCGCAACCUUCAAUCUCCAUCUUGCUUCAGAUCCAUCAAUCUCCAUCCCAGAAGCCAAAAACUGGAAAAGUUCCAAAUUUUCCCACACUCAACAGAACACAAAGAAAUCCAAACAUUUCCUACCCAUUUUCUCUCAAUUUCCCUCUAACCAAACACACCCUGUUGUCUUUCGAAAGAAUAUGCAAAGCCUACCCAUUCAAUUUCAAAUCCUCAAAAACCCAGCAAAACUAAAAAACCAAAAAACUAAAAUAUCCAAAAUUUUCCCCUCACCCUAUAUCAUUUUCUCAGCAACCAAACACAACCCAGAAUCCCAAUUAAAAAAAAAGUCUUUCAAAUCAAAAUUCACUAGCAGCAACCCUCAAAAGUGCUCUCCAGACCCUCAUAUUAGUCUGCUCCGAAACCUUCAUCUGAACUCUCACGACCUCCUAAAUCGUCCUGGUCCACUAACUCUUCCCCUGGCUCACUGAGUCACCGCCACCGAGUCUCCUGCCAAACGACGACUUCAAACCCAGUGCCUUUUUGACCCUGCUCGCCAUUGACGACAUGAGUGAAGUCAAAACACUCCAGUCGAUCUUCUCGGACUUUGGGAUGUAGGUGAGAGGUUUGGGCUCGAAGAUCCGGCAGGCUUUGACUAAGAUCUCAUAUACAGUUUCCCGGAGCUUCGAGUCCGAGAGAGAAAGGGGCUCGAAAUUAGGGAUUUGAAGAGAGCAAUUUACAUUUAGUUGGGUGAGCUUAGGGUUUUUGUACAGAAGCACCGCAGCUUCAAUCGAAGUCCUAAGACGGUUUGGAUUCCGGGUGUGAGAUGUGAAGAGGGAGGAUUGGGUUUCCAAGGAGAGAUAAGGAAAGGGAGGUGAAGAGAAUGUGGGAGAUGGAGGUGGAUCGGGGGAAUAGGUUUUUAGGUUUCAGGGUUUUUUUUUUUUUAAUAGGAUAAAUUAUUAUAAUAAUUUAAAUGCAUAAAACAUUAUUAUUUUUGCCACGUGGCACACAUUUGGCAGCCACGUGGCACAAAUAUGGCAGUCACGUCAGCUCUUAACGGAUCAAUGGAUGGAAAAUGUAACGGAUGUAUGAAAUUGAAAUAAAAUAGUACUUGAGGUAUGAAAGUGAAAUGUUUUAAAGAUAUUGUAAGGAAUUGAAAUCUACCCCAAACUGAGGGGGUAAAAUGUAAUUUACCCAUUAAAAUAUUCAUGUUGUUUUGUUAGUUAUUAUCUAAUAAUUAUAGGAUGUCAAGAUAUCAAGUUUAGUGGUAUCUCACCAUAAUUUUCUAGUAAGAAACAAAACUCUUACAUGUUCAAGCAAACGUAAGUGUAGUCACGCUGUUUAAAAUAUGUGUUCCUUGUGCAUUCGAGUUAGCCAAUCCCAAAACACUUGUAGAGAGACCGAAGGCUGAAAGCCAAAGAACAAAAAUCAGCAACUUGCCACUUAGUGGAAACAUAAACCUGAAAAUAGGUAAACAGCAAUGGUGCCACUGACUAAGUGGAGACAGCAAUCAUGCCACUGUGAGUGGACAUAUGAGCGGAGACAGCAAUAAUUUAUUCAUUCAGUCAUCAGCGCAGGAACUUCUCUGUAAACUUCACACACUCCAGCUUUCUCUCUCAAUAAUUUACACACACUCCAGCUCUCUCUCUCUCACUAAUUUAUUCAUUCACUCAUCAGCUCAGGAACCUCUCUGUAAACUUCUCCUCCACACACUCCAGCUCUCUCUCUCUCCAGUUCUCUCUCUCUCUAUCAUCUUCUCCACUCCUCACUCUGUUAGUUCUAUACAACUCAUCCAUCGCCUGGGGACUGACCUUGGGCUUUUCAGCUGCCAAGCAACUCCAGAAUCUGUUCUGAUCAAACUCAAAGUUGUAACUAAGGAGUUUGGAGAAAAUAAAAAGAUGAUCAAGGUUGAAGUAAUUCACAAAGAAAUUAUUAAACCAUCCGCUCCAACUCCUCACCACCUUAGACAUUUGUGCCUCUCCCUUUUUGACCAGAUUAUGCUUGAACUGCAUGUGCCACAAGUUCUCUUCUAUCCUAGCAGCAGUGAUGAACAUUCUUUGGUCGCUGAAAAGUCCGAGCUUCUAAAGAAAUCAUUAUCUGAGGCCCUCACUAUCUUCUACCCUUUUGCAGGGGAAUUCAAAAAUAACGUUUCCAUCAACUGCGAUGACCGCGAAGCUCUAUUUCUUGAAGCCCAAGUCAACUGUCCCAUGUCCAAGAUCCUGGACAAACCCGAUUCUGAGAUCCUAACACAACUGAUUCCAACUCCUAUGCGUUCCAAACAAGCACAAGUAGGGCAUCUUGUACUAGUCCAGGCCAACGUAUUUGAAUGUGGUGGAUUGGCAAUUGGCGUCAGCAUUUCGCAUAAGGUCGCAGAUGCCUUAGCGAACAGCAAUUUCAUCGAAAGCUGGGCUGAAAUUGCCCGCUGCACUGCCAGCAGUACUGACCAUCACGUAGUACUUCCUACAGAAUUUGGUGUUGCAGCUACUUUGUUCCCACCACAAGAAUUUUUUAAGAAAAACCCCAUCACGCUACCUAUUAUUGACAAUGUUGUCAGAAAGAGGCUUGUGUUUGAUGCCUCAAAGAUUGCUGCUCUCAAGGCCAAAGCUGCCAGUGCCACAGUGCCAAAUCCGACGCGAGUUAAAGCAGUUUCCGCGCUCAUUUGGAAAUCCGCAUUGGAAGCAUCAAGAUCGAACUUGCGUUUUGCAAGGCCAUCCACAUGGCGGUCCUCUGUGAACCUGAGGCUCAGCCCUUCGCAGAAAACUUACAAGGAAAUUUUGUGUUUUUUACCAUGACGAAGAUUGAAGAAAAUGAAGUAUAUGAUCUUCAAACCUUGGUUGCAAAAAUGAGGAAAAGCGUCGAGGAAUUUAAGGUAAAAUAUGCCAAUGAAAUUAGAGGGGAGGAAGUAGUUCAAUUCCUGAAGGAGUAUAGUGAGCUCCUUCAAAAGGAUGAUAUGGACAACUAUAUUUGCACCAGUUUGUGCAGGUUUCCCUUCGGCUCGGCCAAUUUUGGAUGGGGAAAGGCAUCAUGCAUACGCAUCCCUUGGAAUGAAGAUUUCAAAAACAAAAUGUUAUUGUUGGAUGCAAGUGAUGGUAUUGGCAUCGAUGCAUGCAUAACACUGAAAAAAGAAGAUAUGGUCAUGAUUGAAACCAACCAGGACCUGCUUGCAUAUGCUUCUCUGCAAUAGACCAUUUCUGAGAGGUAAACCUCGUCUUAUCUUUCUCUAUAAUUACUUAAAAAAUAAAAAGUGUGCUUCCCGAAGUCAUUGGAGAUUCAAACUAUAAAUAUCUUUCAAAUGACGGGAAAUAAAAUGCAACUAAAUUAAGAGCUAGUUGCGAGUGUUCUUGAGCAUUUAGAAUUUGUUUGGAUGCUAUGUUGUAACCUUUGGUGAUUUCUUUUGUUGCUUUUGAUUCCACAAUUUCCUUGUUUUGUGUGAACAGUGAGUAAUGUAUUGCUUUUACUAUCGACUUUAUUUUUCUUUCAAUAAAAUGGAUUUGUUUUGUU